CCGUUUUCAACUUUUGGAUUGAAUCCAAAGGUUCAAACCGUGGACAAAGCCAUACACGAGGGCACGUCAUGAAUCUAGAUCAGACAUGGCGUCAAAGCUCGAGAGAGGCGACGAGCUCCGGCCAGCAACAGCGGGAUUUGAAGCAGUAGUAGGUGGUAGUGGUGGCUCAAACUAAUUGAUUGAUUUGGUCUCAAACCAUAGAAACCAAAUCAAGAUCCAAUCCAAAAACUAAGUUUCAGUCCAAAACCAAUCGGCUCAAAUCCGCCUCCGUAGGGAGACGCGGUUGGGGAAGGGAAUAAGAGGGGAGAUCUCACGUACUUGCCGGAGUUGGCGGCGGCCGCGCACCGGCAGCAAAGAGAGGGGUCGUCGAGAGAUGGCGGCGACGGCGGCGGCGCUGGUCGAGAAGGGGAGAAAGAAAAAUGUGGAGUGGUCGAGACGGGGAGAAAGAAAAAUGUGGUACAUGUGGUGGCUCGGUUGUGUGGAUGACAAGGGGACCCACUUGUGAGACCGAUAGCAAUUGAUGGCUAACCGCAGGAGGUGCAGGACCGCGUGCACGACCGCCACGUCCCCACGUGGAAUGGGGACGGCCGGGUGGGUGUGUCAAGUCAAAUUGGCACCCGCGGCUUCUCGGUAACUCCAAGAGGCAGGAGCAGUGCAUUUCUUCCCCAUAUCGGGUAGAAAACCCUCGUCCUCUCCCCACCCUCUCUUCCUUCGUCACCACCUCACCACCCUCUCCUCCUUCCUCACCACCCUCCUCCCUUCCUACGCCUCCCUCCUCCUGUCUUCGACCGACAAUGAAGCGCGGGCGUGAAGAUGCGGCGGACGAGCCGGAGGCAACCAUCGGAGCAGAGCAGUCUGCUGCCGUGGAUGCAGCCGUGGGUGGAGCGGCUGAGUCCGCCGUAGCGGCGGAAGCUGGCGGUGCAGCGACCGUUGUGCCUGCUCCCGCUGCCAUCGCAGCUGUCGAGGCACCCGUCGGCGAGCACAAGGUCGGGGAAGAUCUGGAGGAGGAGGAGAUGAGAAGGCAUAAGCGGAAGGUGCAUGACUGAAAGUGCAACUAUCCCUAGGUGGUUUUGGUAAUUCAUAACAACAUAUAGCUCAUUGAGCUAAUGCUAUUUCAAGAUGAUUAUUUCAGGAAAGCUCAAUGAUUGGCAUGGCAUGGAUGUGAAAGUGGAAUCCUCAAAAUGCGAAGGAAAAAGAAUUGGCUCAAGCUCAAAAGUUCAAGACUCUUCAUUUUAUAUUUUAGUGAUCCAAGAUCACAUUGAGUCUUUAGGAAAAGCCAAUACUAUUAAGGAGGGAUGAGGUGUUGCUUAAUGAGCCUCUUGCUCUAUGUGCUUAGUGAUAUGCUCCAAAAUCCUCAACCACUUUUCCAUAUCCACAAAUGACCUAAACCCUAAGCCAAACUCGGUCUUACCGAUUCUGUCAAUCCGGCGCCACCGAGUUUCACUUGUCAUUUGAGACUGCCAAACCCUAGCAAUUCGGUCCUACCGAUAAGGUUCUCGGUCUCACCGAGAUGGGCUUGCAAACUCUCUGUUUCCCUUUCGUAACUUUUUGGUCUCACCGAAAGAGCGAAUCGGUCCCACCGAGAAUGCAAGGUAAACUCUAUGUUUCCUUCUUGUAACGUUUCGGUCUCACCGAAAGAGCAAGUCGGUCCCACCGAUUUUGCCUGACCAACUCUCUGGAUAGCUAAUUGCCGAACUUGGUCUCACCGAGAUUACGUUAUGCCCAAACCCUAACCGAAUCGGUCCUACCGAGUUGCAUCUCAGUCCCACCGAAAUUCCUAAUGGUCACUAGGUUUACCAUUUCGGUCCGACCGAGUUUGAUUAUUUGGUCCCACCGAGAUUGGAAAACUGUGUGUAACGGUUGGAUUUUGUGUGGAGGCUAUAUAUACCCCUCCACCACCUCUUCAUUCGAAGAGAGAGCAAGCAAAACACAUACAUCAUUCCUACUCAUAUGUUCUGAGAAAGAACCACCUACUCAUGUGUUGAGACAAAGAUAUUCCAUUCCUACCUUAUGAAUCUUGAUCUCUAGCCUUUCCCAAGUUGCUUUCCACUCAAAUCUUCUUUCCACCAGAUCCAAAUCCUAUGAGAGAGAGUUGAGUGUUGGGGAGACUAUCAUUUGAAGCACAAGAGCAAGGAGUUCAUCAUCAACACACCAUUUGUUACUUCUUGGAGAGUGGUGUCUCCUAGAUUGGCUAGGUGUCACUUGGGAGCCUCCGACAAGAUUGUGGAGUUGAACCAAGGUGUUUGUAAGGGCAAGGAGAUCGCCUACUUCGUGAAGAUCUACUGCUAGUGAGGCAAGUCCUUCGUGGGCGAUGGCCAUGGUGGAAUAGACAAGGUUGCUUCUUCAUGGACCCUUCGUGGGUGGAGCCCUCCGUGGACUCGCGCAACCGUUACCCUCCGUGGGUUGAAGUCUCCAUCAACGUGGAUGUAGGAUAGCACCACCUAUCCGAACCACGGGAAAACAUCCAUGUCUCCAAUUGCGUUUGAAUCCUCCAAACCCUUACCUUUACAUUCUUGCAAGUUGCAUGCUUUACUUUCCACUGCCAAUAAACUCUUUGCAUGCUUGCUUGAAUUGUGUGAUGAUUGCUUGACUUGCUCUAAGAUAGCUAAAAUCUGCCAAGAACUAAAAUUGGGAAAAGGCUAAGUUUUUAAUUAGUCAAGUAGUCUAAUCACCCCCCCUCUAGACAUACUUUCAAUCCUACAAGUGGUAUCAGAGCUUUGGUCUCCAUUUGGCUUGAUCUUCAUAGCUUUUGGUGGUCAUAGCCUUGGUUUCACAACCUAGGAGAGUAUGGCAUCUAGCGAGGGAAAUUAUCACCGUAGAGGUCCUUACUUUGAUGGCACUAAUUUUGCUAGUUGGAAGCAUAAAAUGAAAAUGCAUAUUCUUGGACAUAACCCCGCCGUAUGGGCUAUUGUUUGUGUUGGCUUGCAAGGUGAGUUCUUCGAUGGGAGGGAACCAAACCGUGAAGCUACCGCGGAUGAGUUGAAGAUGUUGCAAUACAAUGCUCAAGCUUGUGAUAUUCUCUUCAACGGAUUGUGCCCCGAAGAAUUCAACAAAAUCAGCGGCCUUGAGAAUGCAAAGGAGAUUUGGGAUACUUUGAUUGAUAUGCACGAAGGUACCGACUCCGUCAAGGAAUCCAAGUUGGAUGUGCUCCAAAGUCAACUUGACAAGUUCAAGAUGAAGGAUGGUGAAGGUGUCGCUGAAAUGUACUCCAGGCUUGCUCUCAUCACAAAUGAGAUUGCCGGCUUAGGAAGUGAAGAGAUGACCGAUAGAUUCAUCAUCAAGAAGAUCCUAAGAGCCUUGGAUGGGAAAUAUGAUACCGUGUGCACAUUAAUCCAAAUGAUGCCCAACUACAAAAUCUCAAGCCAACGGAAGUAAUUGGAAGGAUUGUUGCUCAUGAGAUGUCACUCAAGGAUAAAGAGGAACUUCACAAUAAAUCAAGUGGUGCCUACAAAGCGUCAUGUGAAGCCCCCGCAUCAUCAAGUGAGAAACAAAACUUCAAUGAAGAAUUGAGCUUAAUGGUGAAGAACUUCAACAAGUUCUACAAGAGUAGAAGCAAAGAUAGAAGCUUCAAGUCAAGGUCCUACAAUGACAAAAGAUCUUCUAGUCGAGAGCGAAACUGCUAUAAUUGUGGAAGACCCGGACACUAUUCCAAUGAGUGUACGACUCCCUACAAGAGAAGAGAAGAUUCUCCAAAAAGAAGAAGCAAAGAAUCUCCACCAAGAGAGAGAAGGAGUAGAGAUGAUCGUUAUGAACGAAGAUACUCACGGAGAAGCAAGGACUCGGAAAGGAAGGAAAAAUCAUCAAGGAGCUAUACAAAACAAAGACAUCAAGCUCAUGUUGAUGAAUGGGUAUCCGGCUUCGACUCCGACAGCCACUCAGAGAGAAGUUAUCACUCCGACUCCGAAGAUACUCAAGAUGAAGGUGUUGCCGGUCUAGCACUUGUGUCAACCAACUCCUACGACAUAUUUGACUCCCCAAAUGAAGGAAUUGGAAGAUGCUUCAUGGCUAAAGGUCCUAAGGUAACACACCCCGAGUACGUUGAUUUUAAUAGUGAUGAAGAUGACUUGUUAGGUAAUGAUGAUUUGCUUGUUGACAACUCUAGUGAUGAGUACUAUGAUGAAACAUCAAUUAAUCAUGCUAAAACGAAUGACAAUGAUAAGGAGAAGAUUGAGGCUCUAACUAAAGAACUAAACACUCUUAAGUUAGCUCAUGAAACUAUCUUCGAAGAUCAUCGAGAACUUUUAAGAGCUCAUGAGAAAUUACGCUUUGAAAAGCUCAAUCUUGAGCAAGAGCAUGAGUUCUUAAAAGCAAUCAACGAUGAUCUCCGCAAGAAUAGUUCUUCUUACAUUGCCAAGCGUUUACUAUUAUCCACUUACAUGCCUCAAGUCAAGACUAGUAACAAGAAUAAGAAAGAUUCUUCCUCUAGUAGUGACAAUGAUCAUGCUAAAUCCAAUAUUGUUGCUUCUAGUAGUUCUCUUGAUUCCACUAAUGAUUCUCUUAGCCAAGUUACACUUGAGCAAGAAAAUAGCUUAUUGAAGGGAAUUAUAGAGAAAGGUGUUUACAAGAGCCUUGCCGGAAGUAAGCAAUUCGAGGAAAUUGUGCACAAGCAAGGAAUGCACCGGAAGAAUCAAGGUGUUGGUUUUGAACGAAAGUUCAAUGCCAAUGGAGUUGAAUGGGAAGAAGAUCAAUACCCCAAGACAAAGUUUGUUCCUCAACAAGAGAAGUAUGACACUUCUUUCAAGGGGACACAAGCUCAAGAUGAUCUUCCACCACAAGACUACAAGCAAAAAGGCAAGGACAAGCUUCAAGAGGAGAUUGAUGCAUUUGAAGAAGCUCCCAAGACCUUAGUCAAGUGGAUUCCCAAGACUACUUCAAGUUCCACUACACCAAGUACGACUACAACUCCAAGGAUUCCCAUCAAGAUGGUGUGGAUCCAAAAGAAGAAGAACUAGAGAGUUCUUGAGGGUGACUCCGCCAACAUAAUUCACUCUUAUCAUUUUGGCAAGAACAAGUGCAAUCAACUUCCACAUCUUGCACUAGUUCAAGGAGUUACAAACCCUCUUGUUGGUAAGACAAGGGACAAGGUAACCUAAAGUUUUCAUGGACAUCAUCUUGUGUGUGCAUCACUCUAUGUCUAUGGAUAUCCUUGUUUGUUCCUUGUGGGACUAACCCAUGUAGGUAUUGAAAGUGCAAUUCACUCAAAUGGAUAGCUCCAAGUGAUCUACAUCAACAUUGAGCAUCCACAUCUUCAACAUCUACAUGAAGUCAUCAUCGACAAAACCCAAGGUUAGUUCAUCCCUCUUAGGGGGGAUAUCACAUCUAGGGGGAGCUUUACUCUAAGACUUGAGCUAAAGCAACUCUAAAGAUGUGAAUACAACAAUGCUUUAUGUAAAAGUGGUAACCCCACUUGAGCUUAAACGAUGGGUAUGACCUAUGAUCAAGUGUUCUCACUUGACUCCUAAGUCAAUAUGCUCAUAUAUAGAUGACCUAGUCAUCGCAAAUUGCUUUAUAGAUGCUAGAAUUGGUUGUGCAUGCUUUGCCACAUAUUUCAUUUGCCAUCUUAUUGUGUGAGCAUGUUGGUUGCAUAUUUUACUCAUUCGAGGACAUCCACUUGUUGUUUUGAUUGUUUGGCUUUCUUUUUUUGCCAAGUGGAUGGACAAGAAUGCCUAAGAACCUCCUCUAGCUAUCUAUGCUUUUCUCGUCUCAAACUCUAUUCAUGCUGCAUCACAAAACUUGAUCAAGUCAGAUUCGAACCACUCUGUGUGAGGAGCGCUCGGAGUCCCCGAUUCGUCAUAGACUUAAACUUCCAAAACCUCUUUAUGAAUCUCGGUCUGACCGAUACUCCAUUUUCGGUCCUACCGAGUUCAUUAAGUUGAUCUAGGUUUUCGAUCUCGGUGCAACCGAUUUGAACUUUUCGGUCACACCGAGUUGCAAUAACUGCACACAGUUUUGCAUCUCGGUGCCACCGAGUUGUUCCACUCGGUCACACCGACAGGGUCGGGCUAUAUAUAGUGACGGGAAAUUUUUUGGAAAUUUCUCCGAAACCCCUUCGCCCGCGCGAUAGCCUGCUCUGCCUUCGUGGUCUCCGGAUCGUCUUCUCGUCGCCAGCAGCCUCCAGUCACUGGUCUCCGCCGCCGUCAACGGAUUUCUGCCCCGCCGUUGCCGCCGUAGCGAGUCUCCGCCGAACUAGGGGUCAGCAGUCAGUUUGCAACAUGUCUGAUCAAAGUGACAGCCAGAAUGUGUCUGAGCAGCAAGUUGUGAUGAGUGAGGGCACUAGCCCCUCAAGCUCUUCUGAUGAUGGCAGCAGGAGCACCCCCAGCAAUCUGCCCAAGGCCGCCACACGUCAAAGGAAGAAGAGAACGUCUGAUUCUGAGGAUGAAGACUAUGUGGCAGAGGAAGAGGCCACAUCAAAGAGAGCUGAACCAGCUCAAGGAACCAAGCCAGGGCUGAAGAUCAAAAGGCCAACAGGCAGGCAGCCCAUGUCAAAGGCUAGGGCUUCAACUGUGAAGCCUGCUCCCACUGAGCCCGUUGCUGCUGAGGGCAAGAAAAGGAAAGAAAGGGUGAAAAAGACUGUAGCCAGAGUGCUUGGAAAGGCCUCCAUCAUGGUCGAUGAGGAGGAAGAAGAAGAGGUUGCUGCACUAGCACCCAAGGCAGCCAAACUCAUGGGAGAUGCUAUAAGGUCAGGAACAGCUGCAUCCAAGCCCAAGGAUGCACCUAAGGCUGCAACUAAGCCUAAGAGUGCACCCAAGAGAAACACACGAAGCAUCCCAGCUGCAGAAAAGAACAAGGCCCCAACGCCUGAAGCUAUUGAAGAAGAGGAAGAGAGUGUCCUUAGGAAGAUCAAGCCUGAGCGUCGACUUAGCACUAUGCAUUUUCUAGGAACUUUUUGGUAACUUGUUGCCAAAGGGGGAGAAGAUGUAUAGAUCAUAGGCUUCGAGAGAGAGUGUGUUGCUUUUCUCUCUUGUUUUUAUUUGGUGGUUUUUCGAACUUUGUUUGCUUGUGUGUGAGAUACUAUGUCGUUAUUCGUGAGACAUCGAUGAUCAUGUGUUUGAUCAUAAGCUACACUUAAUGUUUGCUUAAUGCUUGCUAUAUAUUAUCAUUCCAUCUAUCGUUUGUGAUCAUUCACUAUUCUUGGUGAUGAGUGCAUGUAUUUCAAUCUUAUCAUUUUUGAGCGCUCCACCAAGAUGUAUGUGACAUGGAAGAGUAACCCAUGAUUCUAACUCCAUGUGCAUUUGCAGUCCAAAGCAAAUUUUAAAUACGCACAAAUUUAGGGGGAGCUCUUAUUUGUCACAUACUUCUGAAAGCGACGAUAUAUUUCAUGCUUAUUAUCAUUUGUCGAAGCUUUGAUCUAUAUGUUGUCAUCAAUUACCAAAAAGGGGGAGAUUGAAAGUGCAACUAUCCCUAGGUGGUUUUGGUAAUUCAUAACAACAUAUAGCUCAUUGAGCUAAUGCUAUUUCAAGAUGAUUAUUUCAGGAAAGCUCAAUGAUUGGCAUGGCAUGGAUGUGAAAGUGGAACCCUCAAAAUGCUAAGGAAAAAGAAUUGGCUCAAGCUCAAAAGUUCAAGACUCUUCAUUUUAUAUUUUAGUGAUCCAAGAUCACAUUGAGUCUUUAGGAAAAGCCAAUACUAUUAAGGAGGGAUGAGGUGUUGCUUAAUGAGCCUCUUGCUCUAUGUGCUUAGUGAUAUGCUCCAAAAUCCUCAACCACUUUUCCAUAUCCACAAAUGACCUAAACCCUAAGCCAAACUCGGUCUUACCGAUUCUGUCAAUCCGGCGCCACCGAGUUUCACUUGUCAUUUGCCACUGCCAAACCCUAGCAAUUCAGUCCUACCGAUAAGGUUCUCGGUCUCACCGAGAUGGGCUUGCAAACUCUCUGUUUCCCUUUUGUAACUUUUCGGUCUCACCGAAAGAGCGAAUCAGUCCCACCGAGAAUGCAAGGUAAACUCUAUGUUUCCUCUUGUAACAUUUCGGUCUCACCGAAAGAGCAAGUCGGUCCCACCGAGUUUGCCUGACCAACUCUCUCGUUAGCUAAUUGCCGAACUCGGUCUCACCGAGUUUGUGCGAUCGGUCUCACCGAGAUUACGUUAUGCCCAAACCCUAACCGAAUCGGUCCUACCGAGUUGCAUCUCAGUCCCACCGAAAUUCCUAACGGUCACUAGGUUUACCAUUUCGGUCCGACCGAGUUUGAUUAUUCGGUCCCACCGAGAUUGGAAAACUGUGUGUAACGGUUGGAUUUUGUGUGGAGGCUAUAUAUACCCCUCCACCACCUCUUCAUUCGAAGAGAGAGCAAUCAGAACACAUACAUCAUUCCUACUCAUAUGUUCUGAGAAAGAACCACCUACUCAUGUGUUGAGACCAAGAUAUUCCAUUCCUACCUUAUGAAUCUUGAUCUCUAGCCUUUCCCAAGUUGCUUUCCACUCAAAUCUUCUUUCCACCAGAUCCAAAUCCUAUGAGAGAGAGUUGAGUGUUGGGGAGACUAUCAUUUGAAGCACAAGAGCAAGGAGUUCAUCAUCAACACACCAUUUUUUACUUCUUGGAGAGUGGUGUCUCCUAGAUUGGCUAGGUGUCACUUGGGAGCCUCCGACAAGAUUGUGGAGUUGAACCAAGGUGUUUGUAAGGGCAAGGAGAUCGCCUACUUCGUGAAGAUCUACUGCUAGUGAGGCAAGUCCUUCGUGGGUGAUGGCCAUGGUGGAAUAGACAAGGUUGCUUCUUCGUGGACCCUUCGUGGGUGGAGCCCUCCGUGGACUCGCGCAACCGUUACCCUCCGUGGGUUGAAGUCUCCAUCAACGUGGAUGUAGGAUAGCACCACCUAUCCGAACCACGGGAAAACAUCCGUGUCUCCAAUUGCGUUUGAAUCCUCCAAACCCUUACCUUUACAUUCUUGCAAGUUGCAUGCUUUACUUUCCGCUGCCAAUAAACUCUUUGCAUGCUUGCUUGAAUUGUGUGAUGAUUGCUUGACUUGCUCUAAGAUAGCUAAAAUCUGCCAAGAACUAAAAUUGGGAAAAGGCUAAGUUUUUAAUUGGUCAAGUAGUCUAAUCACCCCCCCUCUAGACAUACUUUCGAUCCUACAAUGACGAAAUCGAGGAGCUCUUCGAGGAGAACGCCAUAAAGGAGUUCGACCUAGAUAGCAGGAAGGGCAGCGACUUCGACGAGGAUGCCAUCGACGACCUAUCUGAGGUAGUACUCUGUUUUUGCUCUGUUUUUUUCAUGACAUUGGGGUUUUUCUUGUUAACUACAUGAGCAUCAAUUUCACUUGGGCGUGCUAGUUGUACGUAUGUAGGAUUGUAGGGAUCUAGCAUAGAUCUUCAUGUUGGAUGUGGUUUUUUAAAUCUGAUUGACAUUCUGAUUCCAGCAAAUACUUUGGGUUUUUUUCAUGGCAUUGGGGUUUGUCUUGUUAACUAGAUGAGCAUAAGUUCCACAAGGGAUACAUUAAUGAAAGAAGUGGGGUAAUGAACCCAACUACAAGAUAAUGUUCAUGGCAGGGAUACAUUAAUGGAAAAAGUGGGUUAAACAAUGGAUAUAUGGCAGGAUUCUCCAUUGGCUUCCCCAGGACAGUGACAAAAUGCUGCAGUUCCUGAUUCAUUUUAGUUUAUGUAGAUGAAUUAAUUUGCACACAUGUUCAUAGAUGAUUAGUUUGCACACAUGUUCAUAGAUGAUCCAUUUGCAAAUUCUAUACAGCUUUCCAUUUUGCAAAGGAAGUGAUCGCUCCCUUAAUAAUUAUGGGCUGACAGUACAUAUCCACUGGAUACCAAAAAAUCAAAACAUUUCAUCUAGCCAAUUUUCCACAGUAUGUUAUCUAGAUGAUCACAGCCACAUCUCUCAUCAAUAUGAGCAGUGAGACACCCCAUAGCUCCUUUACCAAUUUCCUUCUGAAACUUAUCAGGGUCUAACAAUGUUGGACAAGCAGUAUUGCCGGUGUCAGAAAGAAUAAUGGUUUCUUCAUUCCAGUAGAUAGAACAAACCCCCCUUGUGUGAAACAUGGAGGAGUACAAUGAAGCCAUUUUUCUGAUUCCAAUAAGAAUUACACCUGUAACAAGUAUCAAAUAUCAUUAAACCAAGCCACUUCAUGAAGUCUUUCAUGUGUUAAUUAUGUACUACUUGUGCACUAAUCUAUAAAUGCAACUAUUCCACCAUCCGUAUUUAUGCAUGUCAGUUUCUUUGGCUCAAUUAUGUAUGUGCACAUACGCCUUGUUUCUAGCAAAUAGAUAGUUGCCAUGUUACACGUGUGUACUUUCAAAACAUUGUAAUUAAAGUCAAUGUACCAUAAUGGAUUAGCUGAGUUCUUCUAUGUGUACUAAUUCACUAAUUCACAGGAGGAUGACGACGAUGUGGACUACUGCAUGGACAGCAGGCACAACAAGAGCCGGUACACCCUGAGGCAUCUGAUUGCUGGGAAGAUCAAGUACCGUUUCUUUGGCAAGAUUGGGUGCCCUUUCUGUUGCAAGGUGAUCGGUGGCGGCAUAGAUGGCAUGAUCCAGCAUGCCUUCAGCACUGGCAAUGGACAUGGUAAGAAGCAUAAAGCCAGUACUUUGGCUAAACAUGCUGCCUACGCACGCUUCCUCGAGAUUGUGAAAGUCAAUGAGCCCUACAACAUGCAUUGAACAAGGGAGAGAAGUGAUGUGCUGCUAGAGUGCUGCUGCUGCCCCAGGACCCCCGUGUCCUGUUAUGUUAUGUAUGUUUGUUUGUUGUUGGAGUCUAAAACUGAUGUCCUAUGGUGUGUCUGAACCUAUGCUGAGCGGUGGUUGAUCUGCCGUUUAUGUUAAGAGUUUGCUGCUACUCUAGUUUAGUGUUCCUAGUUGUUAAUACUAUUUUGGUGAUGCAUGUUUAAGCCUUGUACAAUGCUAGAUGCUUAGGGUGGUGCUUAGAAAAAUAAACAGGGUUUUUUUGAAGCACCAGUGCCUAUUUCUACAGGAGAGACGCCUAGUUAUGCGUCUACCCUGUACAAAUAAGCACCUGUGCUUAAGAAAAGCCUAGUUUAUUUCUAUAAGCAACUCCCCUAAGCGCCUUGCAUUGUACAAGGCCUUAGCAACUCAAGUAUCGUACGGUGGUCUACGUUAUGGUUGCUGUGUUAUUCUGCCGUACGGUGAUGCAUGCUAGGAACUGUCAUAAUAUGACUAUGGUAGUUAUAGCUUCGCAUGAUUAUGUUUAGUGUAUAACUCAGCAUGUUCCUACCAUAUCUAUGGGUAAUUACAACUGAACUAUGCAUUAAUUUUUGACAAAAUGAAAGCAUGCAAAUGAUUGCCGAUUCCACCUAUUGGAAAAUCAAGCUUUGGACUGAUGAUGCAUUAUAUAUUGCAAUAAGUAGAGGAUGCUCAUGAUUGCCAAAAGUACCUAUUUCCACUUUCUGAUAAGAACUAAACGUGUAUCAAAUGAUGCUAAAAGUAGAGCAUGAGCAUAAGCAUGUAUCAAUGCAUUAGAUAUUGCAAUAAGUAGAGGAUGCUCAUGAUUGCCAAAAGUACCUAUUUCCACUUUCUGAUAAGAACUAAACGUGUAUCAAAUGAUGCUAAAAGUAGAGCAUGAGCAUGAGCAUGUAUCAAUUGAUGCUACCUAUUUGUGUUUGAAUGGGCUCAAUAAAGCUGGUGCUGGUUUAUGCUCUCUGCGUGACCGUGAUGGUAACGAAGACACUUGGUUGGCUAUGGUCUUGCUGUCAAAUUUAAGUUUCAGUUCUUUAAGAUUCUUUGUUUUUGCUGCUUGCUCGGGAUCGACUAGCUUUCUCGGGCGUCCACGUGCUCUCUUCCUUUUGGGGGAGUUGGGUGCACCAUUUUUGGGGGAGUUGGCUGCACCGGUAUCCUUCUGGGAGUUGGAUGUGUCAGGUUCGUUGGAACCAUCGGGAUUGUUGACUAAUUGUACGUCCUCUUCUGAAGCAUCAGGUAGAACUGCUUGCUGGGCAUCGUACACCUCCUUCUGUAUAAGAGAGAGUGCUGCGUUAGUUCUAAUCAUGAGACUUAUGAAAUAAAUGAUAUAUUCUUCAUGUAGCGCUAACCGUUAUGGGGAACUUAUAUGAUUCGAGACGAAGCGCAUUGCAAUUUGAAUGCAGUAAGGCUGUACAUAUUUUCCACCUGAAAAUAUCUAUCCUUGCCUAUAUUGGAUAACCGACACUGACGUCAGCAUAGCUUUCAAGCUAAACAAAUUACAAAUUUAAAUUAGGCAUUCAAUUACCUGGUUCAAAAUAUCGGUCAUUUCAUCCCCGUUCCAUGACAACAUGUACUGCAGUGUCCAAACCGCACAGGAAGUCUUGCAAUGUUUAGUUAAAGAUCAGUAAUCUUAUUCGUGUACGCAAAUAAUAAUUUAUGAGGCCAUGCGUACCCAUCGGUCUGUUGUGGUAUGUUCUCAUAGUGUUUUUUGGUCCAUUUGGCAAAAUUGAUGUUAUUAGCUGGUGAUAUCAACCCUUUCUUGACCGCUUCGUCAAUGCAGAACUGAAUCGAGUCCACCUAGGUUACGACAAGUUAUACAUAGGGUUACGGUACUUUGGGAGCUCAUGUUCCAUGCGGAUCAAGAGAGGCAGCAAGAGAACACUUACAAGAGAAUCUUCCUUGGUCUUGUUGCAAUGAUAAUUCAUGGAGUUCAGAGUCUGAAUUUCUUUUUUGUCAAAAUUAAACAUCAUUAGCAUCCAAUGGUUUUGGUGUACAUUGAGUGGGACAUGCACCUGCAGUAAAAUUUGGGUUGGGUUGAGAACCGAAAUUUGUCGUGUACAGUGUGUACGUAAACUAUAAAAGUGUGGAAAACGUGUACCUUUCGGCGCCCUACAAAUUUUCCUGCUACACGAGCUAACCAUGAUGCUGCACGUCCAACAGGAACCACCCCCUUCAUUUGUAACAGCUUUUCGGUUUCUUGAGGGGAUAUGAUUGAGGUAGUAUCAUUCUCAAUUUGGCUAAUGAGAGCAUAUGCCAUAAUAACCUGCCAAAUUUUCAAUCAUACAAUAAUAAGACAGUUGUUGCAGUAAUGAUGUACAAUAGAGUAUAAUGGGCUUACAUCACCAUAAAUGUAUUUCUCGUCCAAAUUUCGCUUCAGAUUUUCUGCUGUGAGGGAAAUGUCUCCGAUUCUAGCUAUUUCAACAGGGUCAUAUGUUCCGCGGGUGUAAACGGCUGUCUCUAUGUCCUCAUCCGUGAACUUGUAAUCAUUACCAAAGACAGGCUUCAUCGGAGUUAAUUGUGGUUCCUCAUUGUUUUCCCUCACAUGUCUUGCACUUGGUGUACUCAAAGUCCCUGUCGUGAUUUGGCUAGCCCUAGGAGUUCCUGUCAGGGAUGAAUUGCACACAUUGACUUGAUCCUACAAUGAACAAAGGUAGUUCAUCAUUAGUUUGUUACUUUUAGAUAUUAACGUGUUGGGCCAAUUUUGAUCACCUGCACGCCUCCUUUCUGUGACACUGAUUGUCGGUUCCUUGUAAAUUCGUAUUUUAAGUCCUGUAACAAUGCAAACAAUAAUGAACAUGAAGGAACAUAUUCAUAAAAAAUACAAAAUGCACAGUAUGACAUACAUGGAGUUCCCUCCUUAAGUCUUUAAUUUCGUCCUCGGCCUUCGACAACCUAGGAUUAGUGCCAGUUUUAGUCUUCAUGUCGAUCAAGUCUUCACCUAGAGUCUGGUAUUUGACAUCAAAUCUGUGCUCAAUUUCCAUUAACUUCCUGCAUACCUUCUUUUCAUGAUCAGCAAUGCGUGCAUUCAUGACUUCAACUACCAUUUCAAUCUGUGUAAACAAAAUAAAACCCCAUUGGUAACAAUAGCUAAAUGAAUGAGGUUCCAUGACACCUAUUUGUGAUAUUGCAAAAACAAAUAGUCUUUGGAGUACAUACUUGCUGGCUACUAAAUUGCUGUCCUUGUGAUGGUGCUCGAUACGAAUCAUGUUGAUGCACAUGUUCAUCUUUUUUUCUUGGAAAAUUAUUAGAAUUAUCGGACGGUCGUUGAGGAGCACAAAUUUCCAUGACAACCUAUUUUUUUAAAAUAUAAUGAACCAUUAGUACCAAAUAAAAAAUCGAAUAUAGAAAGUUCAAUUGUAGAUAGGUACCAGCCCGUUAUGAAGACCUCCUUUCUCGUAAGCAUCGCUUCUUAAAGUAGCCAUCAUUUCGUCCCAUCGUGCGAUCAAUGGAGGGGGUCUAGAAGCAUACAUUAAUCGGCCACUACGCACGUGCUCCCAGUACCAAUACUACACAAUAAAUUAGUUCAUCACCAUACAGAUAUGCAACAGAACAAUAAUUAAAGGACAUUAAGUAGUGAUCUAUCACUAACCUAGAGCAGAAUUAGAUUUCAUUGUAGAUUUACGUGAUCUCGAUUUCUAAACUUGUGAACGGACUUGAAGAAGUGAUUAAGUGUGAAACAUCCCCAGUUAAAUUUCCGAAGGUUUUCAAGAUCUGUAACGAGGUUGAGAAAUUUCGAGUCCACAUAAUGUUGUGCUGUUGGUGCUAGAACAGUACCAAUUGCGUACAGAAUGAACCGCCUCAGGAAAUCGCCGUCUGGGGCUUUGGAAGCUCGGAUCAUUGUUUCAAGGUCAGAAAUCAAAAUUUGCCCAUUGUUUGCAUAGGCGGUAAACAAUUCUGUGUCGGUUUGCAUUUCCAGAUGUGGCUCUAUAUCCUCCCCUUCUAUCGGAAUGCCAAAUAUACCUUGCACGUCCUCUUUUGUUAUAGGAAUUGGCGUUUUACCGAUGGUAAUGGAUUGCGUGUCCAUAUCUAUGCUCUUGGCUAGUCUAACCAACAUUAUGCGCCGUAGAGUCACUUCAUGCAUCUGGGUCAGACCGCCAAGACUGGUUUCUGAUAUGAUGUACUUUCUGUGGUCUUAUGAAAACAGUUUCAUGGUUUUUCCGAACCUUGUCUGUGAGCAUACUAACUUCAUAUGACCAUGCUUUUCGGCGAGUUCCUGUUACAUGCCAUUAAAUAUUACUGAGUACACAUGAAUUAUGUGUACGAAACGAUUGUACACAAACAGUAAAUUACUUACCACAUCGGUAAUUUCGGAGAUGGGCUUUUCUCCAUUAUUAAGGUUCGUAUCUGAAACUGACAUUGCUGCCUCGUAUGCAAUGAUAAAAUCAGGCUCAAUUAAUCUGAACAAAAUUGGAAAAUCUAUAACAAAAUUAGCAGAGAAUUAAUUUUAACAAAAUUAACUGGGUCAUUUAACAUAUGAUCCACUUAUGGGUUUAAGCACAGAACCUACUUGGGUGCAAAACCUAUGAGGGUUCAACAACUAAAGCAUCGGCGAACAACGAUUAUAAAGAGUUACAAUCAGCUAAGACCUUACCUCGGAGAUGGUGCCACCGAGUAGAUGGCGGCGGUUAGUGCGUCGGAAACUAUAAGUGCCGGUAUAGCGCGGUCGACGGCGCAAAGGAAAAACGGCACGUUCACGCGAGGAGGAGGCGGCGAGAAGAACACUGACGUCCGAGCCCUUAGAUCACGUUGGCGGUGGGCGGCGAGUGGUGGUCGCCGACUCCUGUAUUCCAUGGGCGACCGGCGUCUCCGAUCUGAUCUUGCAGCGGUCGUGGGAGGUGCAGACGACCCGGGUGGUUAGAAUGCGGAGCUGUAAUCGCGGGAUUUAGGGAGGGGUGGGCCGCGUGAGUUAUGUGAGAUUUGGAUAAAUGAUAUAAAGAAAUAAGAAAAUCUUGUGAACUCGGUGUGGGGUUUAUGGGCUUUAGGGUUUAGGGGUUUAGGGUUAUUAGGGUUUAGGGAUUUAGGGGUUUAGGGUUAUCAGGGGUUAGGGUUAUCAGGGUUUAGGGUUGAGUGUUUACAUGCAAGCCCGGAAAUGCGCGUGUCAGAGAACAUACUUGCAUGUGUAUGUACUAAUGAUCCCAAACUUUCUUAAUGGCAUCCCAUGACCACAUAGAGAAUGAAUGCAUAAUGGUUUCCAUGUUGGGCAAAAUUUUGAAUGUUUUUACGGUUUAGUGGGGGGGGUGGGGUUAGGGUUAUCAGGGUUUAGGGUUUAAGGGUUCUAGGGUUGACGGAACUAUGUUUGUCUUACGGUGGACGUAGCACACACACCGGACAUUGGUGGAGCGUUGGUCUACAAUGGAUUCCCUCUGGUAGCAUCGAUCCGAUCCAUUGAAUGGCUCGGCCAACAAACUUCGUGCCACAUAGAGCAUGCAUCCAUCCACUGGACCGGAUCAAUGUUGGGUUGGUUUCAUACAGGUGAGGAAAGCAGCUAGUGCUUUCGGGGUGUUGACAUGCUAGGCCGGAAAUGCGCGUGUCAGAGAUCGUACUUGCAUGUAUAACCCCAAACUUUUUUCAUGGCAUCCCAUGACCCCAUAGAGAAUGCAUGCAUAAUGGUUUCCAUGUGGGGCAAAAAUUUGAAUGUUUUUACGGUUUAGUGGGGGGUGGUGGUUAGGGUUAUCAGGGUUUAGGUUUUAAGGGUUUUAGGGUUAACGGAACUAUGUUUUUCUUACGGUGGACUUAGCACACACACCGGACAUUGAUGGAGCGUUGGUCUACAAUGAAUUCCCUCCGGUACCAUCGAUCCGGUCCGUUGACUGGCUCGGCCGACAAACUUCGUGCCACAUAGAGCAUGCAUCCAUCCACUGGACCGGAUCGAUGUUUGCUUGGUUUCAUACAGGUGAGGAACCCAGCUAGUGCUUUCGGGGUGUUGACAUGCUAGGCUGGAAAUGUGCGUGUCAGAGAUCAUACUUGCGUGUAUAAUCCCAAAAAUCUUUCAUGGCAUCCCAUGACCACAUAGAGAAAUUUUGAAUGUUUUUACGGUUUAGUGGGGGGGAGGGGGUGGGGUUAGGGUUAUCAGGGUUUAGGGUUUACGGGCUCUAGGGUUGACGGAACUAUGUUUGUCUUACGGUGGACGUAGCACACACACCGGACAUUGGUGGAGCGUUGGUCUACAAUGGAUUCCCUCUGGUAGCAUCGAUCCGAUCCGUUGAAUGGCUCGGCCGACAAACUUCGUGCCACAUAGAGCAUGCAUCCAUCCACUGGACAGAAUCAAUGUUGGGUUGGUUUCAUACAGGUGAGGAAAGUAGCUAGUGCUUUCGGGGUGUUGACAUGCUAGGCCGGAAAUGUGCGUGUCAGAGAUCGUACUUGCAUGUAUAAUCCCAAACUUUUUUCAUGGCAUCCCAUGACCCCAUAGAGAAUGCAUGCAUAAUGCUUUCCAUGUGGGGCAAAAAUUUGAAUGUUUUUAUGGUUUAGUGGGGGGGGGGUGGUUAGGGUUAUCAGGGUUUAGGUUUUAAGGGUUUUAGGGUUAACGGAACUAUGUUUGUCUUACGGUGGACUUAGCACACACACCGGACAUUGAUGGAGCGUUGGUCUACAAUGGAUUCCCUCUGGUAGCAUCGAUCCGAUCCGUUGAAUGGCUCGGCCGACAAACUUCGUGCCACAUAGAGCAUGCAUCCAUCCACUGGACCGGAUCGAUGUUUGGUUGGUUUCAUACAUGUGAGGAACCCAGCUAGUGCUUUCGGGGUGUUGACAUGCUAGGCCGGAAAUGUGCGUGUUAGAGAUCGUACUUGUGUGUAUAAUCCCCAAAAAUCUUUCAUGGCAUCCCAUGACCACAUAGAGAAUGCAUGCAUAAUGGUUUCCAUGUGGGGCAAAAAUUUGAAUGUUUUUACGGUUUAGUGNNNNNNNNNNNNNNNNNNNNNNNNNNNNNNNNNNNNNNNNNNNNNNNNNNNNNNNNNNNNNNNNNNNNNNNNNNNNNNNNNNNNNNNNNNNNNNNNNNNNNNNNNNNNNNNNNNNNNNNNNNNNNNNNNNNNNNNNNNNNNNNNNNGGUUUUAGGGUUGACGGAGCACACACAUCGGACAUUGAUGGAGCGUUGGUCUACAAUGGAGUCCCUCCUGUAGCAUCGAUCUGGUCCGUCGACUGGCUCGGCCGACAUACUUUGUGCCACAUAGAGCAUGCAUGCAUCCACUGAACCGGAUCAAUGUUGGGUUGGUUUACAUGUACAUGUACAGGGACCCGAAAUGCGCGUGUUAGAGAUCGUACUUGCGUGUACAUGUACCAUCCUUCCAUCCACUGGCUGGGCCGACAACCUUCGUGCCACAUUGUUCACAUUGUCCAAUUAACACUUUGUAUAGAUUUUUUUCAUAAAAAAUGAACGAAAUAAUGCAACUAAUCUGAACGUAACGUUUGGCAUGUAUCAAACCAAGUUGCCACUAUUCCUCAAAAAAAGAACCCAGUUAGCCACUAAUUGCGCCAAACAUAUCUCGUAAUUACGAACGAAAAUGGGUUGACAAUUAUAUCUGGAAAUUCUUGGACUGAAUUUAUUGCUCUUCGUUUUUUAGAGAACAAUAAGUUAGAAUGGUGGGCGGCGGGUUGGCAUGGGCACGACCAUGGCUCGGGCUUGUGUCAUAUGUGGUUCGACCCGCGGUCAGUGCACAUGUUUUCGAAGCCCCGAAAAGAUCGUGCUCGUUAAAAAAAAAACUUGCAUCGACGCGCAUUACUUCAAAAUAACUAAUUAACCCUACAAUCACGGAUAUAGACCUUCCCAUUCUACCGCAUAUCUACCCUAUCCUAACCACCCCCAUCUACCUUGUUUCUCCUCACAUAGCCAUCGCCGGGAUCGCGCCAUCACUUCUCAAGCGACCACGCCGACGCCGGAUUACAAAAGGUCUCUUCCACGGCUUCUCUCAUCUUCGAUUGCAGUGAUGAUUAUUUUUUCCAUUGAUUCGACCAACAAGUAAUUUCCGAAGAGAUUAGAAAAUCCAGCUUUUACUAUGGUUGAGUAGUUCUGUUGUGAUUCGAGUACAGGAUGUCAUGCAAGAGCUUUUUGAUUGAUAGUUUGUACUAGUUGAUCGUGUGAACUUAUUAUGAAUAUUUUUUCACAGUCGUAUUGUUUCGAAUUAGUUGGAUGAGGGUGUGGAUACAGUUUUCAUACUAUGGGUAUAUGUGUUGCUGUAGGGACCAUGGUCUCAGAGGCGCAUAACAACCGUGCGGAGUACGACAAGUCUUUGCAUGAAGCGCGUCGGGAGAUCGACUUGAAGGUGCAAAAGGAUCGCGCUGAGGUAGAUAAGAAACAGAAAAAAGAACGUUCAUACGUGGACAGGAUGAUAAAGGAGGAGCGUGAGGAGUUUUCCCUUAAGAUGGCGAAGAUGCGUCUUGAGAUUGAAGAAAAGUAUAAGAGGGACUGUGAGCACAUGGAAAAAAAGUUUGUCUUAGGCUACAAGGAAAUGCAUCAAAUGUUGCAGAAGGACCGGAAGCUUGUGGACAGUAUUAUACAGACAGAGCGAGUCAGGAUGGAUGCCUAUGUGUUGCAGGCAUGUGCGGAUAUGGACAGUAAGCUGCUACAGGAGCGGUCGGACAUGGAUUAUAAGGCCAUGCUGGAGAAGGUCCGCUUGGAAGGACAUAUGUUAGAAGACCGUGCGAUCUCACGGCCACCCCGACAACAUGUCUUCAAUUAUUCUCCCCCUGUCAGUAUCUCGCACCGAUUCUAUAUAUUAAGGACCUACGUAUUCUAUGAUAUAAACAUCUUCAAUUUGUGGCAACCUUAUGUCGGCGAUUGUAUGUAGGCUAAGCAUCAUGACACGACACAGUCGCCAUUCACUCGACACAUUGCGAUAGAGUCACCCGUUCAAUGCCACAUCAGUCCACCCCAACAACAUAUCGUCAAUUCUCCCCUUGUAAGUACCCCGCAACAAUGCAUACCCAAUAUAUGGUAUGACCUUUCAAAACUUGUGUGUAAACCCACUAUCGACGUUUCAUACGCAGGAUAAGAAACCUGUGAUGGCAGAGUCCCCAGUCACACCACAUGAAGGAUACAUUCCACAUAAUAAGGUGAGAAGGUUUGAGAUGGCACAACCCCCAGUCACUCCACAUGAAGGAUACAUUCCACAAAAGCAGGUAACAACGCCGCAAUGUUGCUAUGCACAUAAAAAAUUAUGUUUGCCCCUUUACUCAUUGAAUGUAUUAACUCCGAUGUGAGAUACUAGGUGCUGGUCAUGGAAUUUUUUGUUAGUAGGGAUCAUGAGAUGUCACAUGUCCCGAGAGCAUACUUUGAUGAACACCCGGCAGAAGUCAGAAUUUUUGAACCCGCCAAAGUUACCUACGAUCUCAUUAUGAGUGAAAUGAGAGAUACUUUUGGUUGCAAACUGGGAGCAGAACUGUACUACUUCUUACCCGGGUCUGCGUGGAAGCUGCCAGAAGGAAUGUUCUUGAUUGCAGGACCAGAUGAUGUACAAAAAAUGCUUUCUGAUCUGAAUGGCAGCAAGACAUGUCACCUGUACAUUGUGUACAAUAGAACUACGGGUUGUUUUCCCGAGGAUGACGUUGAUUCCGAGGUUCAAAUUUUACAUGUUACAUGCAUCUAGUUUAUGGCUACGUCUUUUUUGAGUUCUUCCUAAUACAAUUCCUAUGGUUUUCUACAGGAAGUGAGAAUCCAAGAAAUGGAGUGUCUUGCUAGAGAGUUGGCAGAGAAAGACCAAGAACAACUUAAGUUGUAUGGUUACAUUGAUGUUAAAGAGAAAAAGAUUGAAGCACGUGGGUCGUCGCCAAGCCCGACGCAAUCUCCAACGACGCAACGCAAGAGGUCACUGGAUUUUGGUAGUGCAGAAGACAAUAUGGAGUAGGCUCAAUUGUUUUUCAACCAGUUAAAGCUUCAAACCAGGAUUAUUUAGUUGCAAACAAACAUUUUGUUUUCUGUUUCACACUAUGUUCGCAAUUAUGGUACAAUUUAUUCAUGAGACAUUUCGUUGAACAACAAUGCAUGUGUUUUAUGAUCAAUCAUACAGUUGUUUCUGAGUUGUUUUUGAGAUGGCAUUGUGUCUAAAGAAGUUUCCAUCUAUAAAACUUGCCACGCAGUCGCAUCGGAAUCGCGUAUCACGCGAGAGGCGUGCGUCGCACGGGAGAGCGUCGCACGCGAGCUUGUUUUCGGGUAGAAAUCAUAACAUAUUUCGGAUAGAUAAAGUUCACGUCCUCCACCCGCGCAUGCAAACCCACGUCGCCGCCAUUCCCAUGCACGCAUGCCUCAGGCGCAGACAACGAGACGGCCCAUCCGAAUUAGGCCCAUCCGAAGUAGGACAUUAGAACCCUCCCCCCACUCCACCUAUUCCCCUCGCACUGUGGCCUCCCUCCCUCCAUCGCCAGAUCCCCCACUCGUCCCCCUCUGUCCGCCGCCCCUGCAUGCCGUCAGCGACUUCACCUCCGCCGCCCCCGCACCCCCCGAACGAGAUCGGCCAGAUCCAUCUCCUCAACCAUCGCAGGACAACGCAGGUACCCCAGUUUCUGUUGACGUCUCAAUGGUAUCCAUGCUGAUAAUGCUAGGUAGAUCGACUGAGUGUAGCAAUUUUGUGCCACCAUCUGAAACUUGUGAUGCUUCCUACUGUACAAUAUAGGACUUUUCAAAGUUCUGUUAUGAUGGCACUUUUUGACACAUACAGUAGAGCUGCGUUUUUAGUUGUUAUACUUUCAGUUACCAUCACUGCUUGGGAAAGGACGAAUUGGAUGCAUUCAGGUCUGCAGUUGAUAGUGUAUCAUCAUAAUAUAGGUGCUGUGUUGUGUGAUUCUUCAUGCUGAGAACUUCAGCUUUUUCAGUUAUAGUGAAAGGCUUCUGUAUAAAAAAAACUACUAAAUGAUCACAAAAACUUCUAGACAACAUUUUGUAUGAUCUGACCAAAACUUGAACUAAAUGAUCACCAAAAGUUGAAGGAUUUUGCAUCACAUCACAACCAUAAGUCUUCUGCACCAGCAUCAUAACAAUCACAUAACUACAUAACAAAAGCAAACUUGUUCAUCAUUACAAAAGAAAACUUGUUCAACAUAAGAAAAGCUAACUUGUUCAGCAUUACAAAAGCAAACUUGUUCAACAUAACAAAAGCUAACUUGUUCAGCAUUACAAACGCAAACUUGUUCAACCACAUAACUGCAAACUGAGACACAUAAUACCACAAACAACUCAAUAUCCCAGUAGUAGGGGUCAUCCCAAUGAUCCUCCACCUCUUGCCAGUACUCCAAACCUUCUUUGACGAUAUCGAUUUUCUUCCAUGCCUCGUAGGUGACGUACGCAUCUUUCGCUGCGUACUCGAUGAGGUUGUUUGGCAGUGGGCUGUCCCCCCAUAGUUUGUGGUCCAAUUCCUUGUUGAUCUUCUUCUUCAUUUCCUUGUACGAUGGGUGGAUGAGGCUGGCUGCAAACUCAGCCAAAGCCUGCCACUUCUUUCCAUUCCUUGGAACUCUCCAUUUGCGCUGCAUGUCGACGUACUUGUCGGGGUUGAUCUCCAAACCAGACAAUUUCAGCUUCUCCUUGUCACCUCCAAUGGAGAAGCCAACAAAGGUGUAGAGCUUCUUCUCCUGCAGGAGUGGGCGGAGUUCCUUAGGCCUGCAUCAAAUUAAUCUGGUGCAUCAAAUUCAUCCACUUCAAAAACUUCAGAAACUACUAAUUAGACAUAAAAUUCAGAACUAGUAUUGCAUCUACUCCAGAACUUCAGAACUAGUAUUGCAUCUACUUCAGAACUUCAGAACUAUUGCAUCUACUUGAGAAACUUCUGAAACUUCAGAACUAUUGCAUCUACUUGAGAAACUUCAGAAACUACUAAUUAGACAGAAACUUCAGAACUUCAGAACUAGUAUUGCAUCUACUUCAGAACUUCAGAACUAUUGCAUCUACUUCAGAAACUACAGAAACUACUAAUUAGACAGAAAGUUCAGAACUUCAGAACUAGUAUUGCAUCUACUUCAGAACUACAGAACUAUUGCGUCUACUUCAGAAACUUCAGAAAUUACUAAUUAGACAGAAACGUCAGAACUUCAGAAACUUCAGAACUGGAUGUUUUUACCAUUUGGUUGCCGCGGUGAUGUGGUAUACCAGGACGAGAUCCUCCACGCAUAACUGUAGAACUGCAGCCUUUUGCGGAGGUUCAUCUUCCCUCGUAUACUCGACAUCAACGCCGAUCGACUGAGGAAACAUGCCGCCGAGCCUCCUCCUGAUCUCGCGGAUCCUCUUGUCGGCUUCGUAUGGAUUGCUGGUGCAUACGACAUCCAGCUUCUCCUUCAGGUGGAUAUCAACCAUGAGCUUCACGGUGUAGUCCUGCUUCUGCCCAGGGAUCGGAACGUCGUCGUCGACCACCAGCGGCUCCUUGCCAGACGCCUCACCUUGGUGAUGCUUGCCAGAUGGAGGGGAGUUGCUCCACGAUGCCUCCGCCAUUCUCUUGGCAGACGGAGGGGAGUUGCUCCACGAUUCCUCCGCCAUUGCCCUCCUGGCCAGCGAUGGUGGAGGCAGAGGGGAGUUGCUUGAUGGUGGAGGCAGAGGGAGGAAGAUGGAGCGGCAAUGGAAUAAGGAGGGAGGCAGAGGGAGGCAGAUUGAGCGGCAAUGGAAUAGGAGGGGAGUUCCCUGCGUCGUGGGGAGUUGCCAGUGGAGGGGAGUCGUGGGGAGUUGCCAGUGGAAGGGAGGCGUGGGGAGUUGCCUCGAAAACUCAAACGUCCUGCCCUUUGGCCCUCGAAAAAUCUGGAGGGGAGACGUGGGCUCUUUGGUUUGUCCCGUUUCUGAAACAAAAAAAAAAUAACAGCCAUAUUUUGCUCUCACUGCAACCAUAUUAAGAGAUGAAAAAUGGCACCAAAAAGUCACUGCAGCCAUCCUCAAUGGCACGAAAACAGCACCAAAACAACAUCAGCCAAAACAACAAAAAAUGCAUCCAUUGAUCGUUCUUUAUUUCUUCUAACAUUCCGUGUUCUGUGCAGUGAGAUAGACACAACACUACAAAUGCAGGCUGACAACGCCCGCGAUUUCAUGACCAUCAGGACAGACGGCGGCUUCAUCCACGCUCCGGUCCCAUGAGUCGAGUCGAAAGUAGUGAUGCUAUGUGUAGUUCUGAAACAUUGAUUGGCUCAUGUUGUAAUUAAACUUUAAUGAAUUGUAUGUCUCUUUGGUUUGGACAGUCGUUAAACUUAGAUGUACUCGAUGCUAUUUAUUACUAGGACCAUGAAUUGUGCUAUUAAUGUCUUGCUUUUCUCUUCCGAUCCUUUUGUUGCAUACUUAUUUAUUGCUUAUGUAUUGUCUGUUGUUUGGCUUGUGCAUAGAGAUGCCGUCGUAUGUCGUGUACAAGGUAAGGUUCCCGGAGUCUACGAUGACUGGGAGGAGUGUCGGAGACAGGUUCACCGUUUCAGCGGUAACAGUUACAAAGGGUACACCACUAGGGUGGAGGCGGAAUCUAGAUAUGCCCGCUAUCUAGCGGGAGAGAGGAGGGAGCGUUGGAGGAAACGGAUGAAGACCAAUUUCAUCGCGAUGAUGCUCAUCGUGAUGACCGCAACUCUCUUCUAUGUGAUGGUAGUUUAGAUGAUCGAUAUCGACUUGUAAUGUGAAGACAAACUCGCUACUCGCGGUCUCGAGACUUGUAAUGUUCUAUCUUUGUUCGGUCUUGUGAAUUCAGAGACUAAUAUGAUGAAUUGUAUUCGGAGAGCUAUCUUCUAUUGUAUUGGAUGAAUGUGCUGUUGCUGUGUGGUGUUGUCUAUAUUCUCUCCAAUAAUAUAUUUUGUAACCUGUGAAAAUAUCAGAAAUGUGCAUUUUUUCGACCACCUCCAAAUCACCUCAGUUUUGGAACACAUGAUCUCUUCCACAAACAAAACUAGGUUUCCAAGUUUUUGUAUUUUUUUAAAUUUUUUUGAAUUUAUAAUGCCCUCUAGACUGACUGCUGAAAACAUCGGUCUAUGCCUCAAGGGGGCAUUGUAAAAUAUUUUUUUUAAAAUUUUCUUGCAUACACAUGUUUUGCACAUGUGGGUCACCAUGUACAAGAAAAUUUGGGUGAUUUGGAGGUGGUGGAAAAAUUCACAUUUUUUCAAAAACUGACUUAAGUUAAGACCAAAUGGUCCCUCCGGGAAUGCGGGCAUUUUUUCGACCACCUCCAAAUCACCUCAGUUUUGGCACACAUGAUCUCUUCCACAAACAAAACUAGGUUUCCAAGUUUUUGUAUUUUUUUAAUUUUUUUUGAAUUUAUAAUGCCCUCUAGACUGACUCCUGAAAACAUCGGUCUAUGCCUCAAGGGGGCAUUGUAAAAUAAAUUUUUUCAAAAUUUUCUUGCAUACACAUGUUUUGCACAUGUGGGUCACCAUGUAUAAGAAAUUUUGGGUGAUUUGGAGGUGGUGGAAAAAUUCAUGCAAGACUCGGGGACCUGCAUGCAAGACUCGGGGACCUGCAUGCAAGAGUCGGGGACCUGCAUGUGAAUAGUGAUUCAUCAAGGCCAUGACAGCUAUUGGCACAGCGGCUGCCGCCCGAUUUGUAUGCAGCGAAGAUGAACGUGCAUGGAGGUUUUUCAAAGAUUUCCAAGCACACCCCAGUGGGCCCCGCUUAUUUAAAAAAGACGUCAGUCAUUAUUGCUCUGUAAAUGAAGAAUAUGCAUGAUGAUUAUGAAUACGCAUGACAACCAUAGUAAGGGUGAAGAAUCAUAGUGCCCAAUUUGUCGAAAUACAUCAUCAUUCUUAAAGUUGGACAUCAAAUGAUACACACAGAAAAUGGAAACGAAAGAUGUCGAACUAAUAUAGUAACAUGCCAGUACAACUGCACUUCACUAAAUUACUGUCACGAUGAAAUAGAAUGUAAAGACCACGUCACACAAACAUGAAUGACACACGACUUUCUCUGGCUCAUCGUCGGUUCAUGCUGUAUGUAGAUAUCACAGUUCAGCCUCGAUAUCCUACACAGAAGAAUAGAAUAAAUCACAUGGACAUCAAUUAUGAGUAAAACACAUGCAAAAAAAAUAUGAAAAUAUUUUGUACCUCUAGCAAUUUAGCGCAUUUACGUCGAUUGUGACCUGGUUUCUUGCAAUAGCCACAGAUAUUCUGUGAUGUUGACUUCUUUGUCUUUGCCUGCAGCCUUUUCUUCGGUGCACCUCGUCCUGGCACAUGCACGGGAUCCAGAACCUUAUCAACUUUCUGUGAGUGUGGCAUCAACGGGCCAAACCUAAUGCUGUUAUGCUGAGCAUUAGUUGACUCCUUGCUGUCAGCUUGUUCAAAACUUGAUUGCUUGCCAUGAUGUUGUGCUUGCAAAAGCAUCUUUAGACGGUGAUAGUCCUCAUCAGAGUGGCAUGCCUGGAAACUUGCGGCGUGACUACAAUUCCGCAACUCGCGGUACCUCUGCAGGCUUAGCGAAUAGUCAUACAUCUGGUUUUUUCUGGUAGGUGCGUAUGCACAUUUUGCAUUCAUAGUCCACCUAGUGGGAACGCAACAACCGGGCAGAAUUGUUUGUUUUAAAAUCCCCAAUAUGUAAAAAAAUGUGGGAACAUGGUGUGCCUGCGCAUUCCAGCUUAUGGCAAGAACAACUCACCCUGUGCAAAAGACCUCCUUGCUCUUCAAUGCGCACUCCAAACUUUUUAUCCAUUCUUUCCUGCUUGGACACAACAUAAGUGGAAUCUUCUGAUCCAUCUAGUAUCUCUCUAAUCUGACAUUUGCUGACAGAAUCUAUGCUCCAUAAGACCAUCUUAAAGACACUAGGUGUGAAAACUGUUGCGGCGUGUUUCUCAAGCGGCGAAGCAUUUUCCUCUGUAAAUGGAACGGACUGCAAGGCUUCAACGUCAUGGAGAGCUUCGUUAAUCCGUCGCGACGCAAGGCAACGCUCAUAGUGCUCUAGCCUUUCAAACAACGACAUCUUACCCUCAAGAUGCGUAUGUAGCACAGAGUUCAAGCUCUCACUCCUCUGAUUACUGCUCAAUCCUAGGAAACAACGCCCCUCAAGAUAUGGAGCACACCACAACUUUCUCAUCUGAUACAUCUGAUGCAGCCAAGACUCCUCACUGGUUACUUUAUUCCGUUGUAAGAAUUGUAUUCAUUUUAUCUCAUGCUCUUCAAUGGAAGAAGUAUCAUAAAUGAAAGAUCUGAAUUCCUCCUUUACGUCGUCAUCAUGCAGAUGGCGUACAAUGUUCUGCUGAAUGUGCCAUAUACAUAGUCUAUGGUUUGAGUCUGGCCAGACCACCCUUAUUGCUCUCUGCAUUGCAAGGUCCCCAUCUGUGAUCACAGAUAUCGGAUGCUUCUGUGCCAUGCAAUCAGAAAAGGUCCGCAACAUCCACUCGUAUGCCUGGCUUGUUUCAUGAGAAAUUAAUUAUACCACAGCCAAAUAUAACAGUGCUGCGGUGGUGAUUCAACCCGACAAAAGGCACGAAUGGCAGAUUGUAUUUUUUGGUUCUGUAUGUGCUAUCGAAAACAAUGACGUCUCCGAAAGCCUCGUAGUCAAGUCGCGAUUGACUGUCAGCCCAGAACAGUCCCUUCAGAUGGCCAUGCUCGUCUACCAAGUACUUGAAGAAAAAAAUCCACAUCUCGCUCUCGCCUCGCCAUCAUAUGCAUGAUCACCGUUUUAGCAUCACCGGCACUGAUUGUCUCUUGCUUAUUAGCAUGGCAGAAAUUAUAAACGUCCCUCUUUAUGCAUCCAACCUUAUCAAAUCCACCGUAUUGGAAGCACAAAAUAUCCAUAAUACGGUAUUUGUGGAUCCCACAUUUUCCAUGUCCGCAAUGUCCGCUUUCUGCUCAUCGCUAAUUCGUCUGUGCAAACGCAACAGACAAGAAAGAUCCCAUGGGGCUAGAGGAUGGUUGUGCUCAUCGAUGAAAUCCUUGACAAACCACCGACCGGUUUCCUCUUGUCUCGUAAUGACCAAUUUAGCAUUACAUCCAACACGAGUUAAACUUUGUGGCCUCCUUUUUCUAUCUUCCAUCUUUCUUUUCAUGUGCUUAUCUUCGCGAAACCCUUGACGACUACACACAAUUUUCCUUAAAAUUAUGUAUUUGUUGGAUCCAUCCCACUCAACGUAGCUUUUCCUCACACUAAAACCUUUUUCAAGAGCAUAUUUGUUGUAGAAUUCAUAGCCUUCAGCCUCACUAUCAAACAUCUUGCUGACAACAUUUACAUACUCGAACAUACUCUCAUCACUUGCAUACGCCAUGUCUUCCUGCAUAUGACAUGUGAGGGAAACCAAUCAUCAACAUCUUUCUGUUUAUCAAUGUUGCAGGUGUAAAAUAGCUCAUAGGCAAAGACAAGUGCAUGGAAAAGACUUUGCUGGUUUGACAUGUGAGGGAAACCAAUCAUCAACGUCCAACAAGUACUAUCCUAGCAUGGAUGAUGACUCUAAUAAACUGGAUUCAUACCUGGUACGCGCGAAGAGAUGGGAUCGCCCGCCGCCGUCGCCGCCUAUUCCGUCGGCACAGAUCCGGCCUUCUUCUUCUUCGGUGACAGCGUGGGGGGCUGGGGUUGGUUGGGUGGAGGACGAGGACGAUGAAUUUAUUCCUCUCACCAGGCAGGUCGAGGACGGAGAAGGUCAGGAGCGGCGACGAAUAGAUCGGAGGAGGUUUCUGAUCUGGAUCGAGUAUACAUGGAUCUGGUCUUCGGGUGAUCGGUUCAAGAAAAGAUUUUUGUCCCUGGACCAUUAUGCCCUUAUCGCUUAAAUUUAAUCAAGUUUAAUUCCCUGCAAGAUCGGUUUUCUAAUAAUAAUCAGACGUCACCAGACAUGUAAGUACUGCUAAGUACUCCGAGUACUAACCUAAUCACCGUAAAACUGCUCCCAAAUAGGAUGACCGCUUUAGAGAAAGCAAUAAGGGAAUUCAUGGACAAUCAAACUGAGAAUGUAAUUGUAUUUGUACCGAUGAUGGGAACGAGUUCACAGAUUCUCUGACUUAGCCGAGACUAUGGCAGAGGGAUGUCAAAUUCAUAUAACUGUUCAUGCACCAUCCGACGGCAGCAAGCAAAGCCCAUGGACACACAGCAUUAUCGACCUAGAAGGGUGAUGCUGCCCAGUCCAACGCAUAGGCGAAGCAGGAAAAACGGUGCGAGGCAGCCGAAGUAUGAAUGAAGGAACCGAUCACCAAGCUGCCGAAGGAUGAGCUGCUCUGCUCUUGUGAGAGAUGUUAAAUUUUGUAGUGUUCAUUUUACCAUUCUGUAAUGUGCACUUAUGUUGCUGCUCAAUUCAGUUCCCUUCUCCCACUUGCAUUUCACAGUCAUGUCCAGUUCAGUGAGCAAAGUCUCUAAAAUUCAGCUCAUUCAAUUAUAGCAUUCAUUCACAACAACCACACUGAGAGAUCUCAACCCCUUCUGCCACUGAGUGAUCUCAACCCCUUUUGCCAUACUCAAUUCUGUUAUCAAUUUUACAACAUCAAGUGAUAUGCUCACAAAUUGACAAUGUCAAUGACCUGCUCUUAAUUUACAACAUCAUUGAUAUGCUAAAAAAUGAUAAUGUCAAUGAUCUGCUCUCAAAGUACUUCCUCUGUCCCAUAAUAUAAGAGCGUUUUUGACACUGUCUGAAACUCUCUUGUUGUUUUGUGUAAAUCAGUUUACAAUCUGAAACUCAACUGAUGUUUGCUUGUAAAUCAGUUAAUAAUGUGCUCUCAAUUUCCAGGCUAGCUUCGCCGGCGCCUGCUCGACGGAGUGGUGCAUCGAUGGCAGCCACGGCCGUCCUCCUCUUGCGAUGGUGCGGGGUCAGCGAUAUGGUGCUUGCUUAGUGCCUCCAGCAACAGCGGCGCGACCUCGCGGCGUGAUACAACCAUGACUUGUAGCCAAGGCAGCGGCAGUCGUCCUCCCAGGGCGAUCGCGAGCAAUGGCGACGGUGAGCGAUGGGUUGUUUAUGGGCUGCACAGCAUUGUUGUUAUUCUUAUUUGUUUUCACCUUGCUGCUGUCGAAUGACGCAUGUGAUUUGGAUUAGACGUCCGUCUAGCGUAAAAAUAAUACUCGAUGCUAUACAGCCCAGGUCGGGAAUCUCGAAGUGAGUUCACGAUGGAGAUAGCGAGAGUAUCUGAGCUCGUGCUCAGAACAUCACUUUCCUUAGGAAAGGGGGAACCAGGAUCGAUUCCUGGUCUCAAAGGUGACAGCGGGUGCUGCUACCAGUCCGAUCAAGUUCCGUUCGUGAUAAGUUGUAGGUGCGCGUCGUACUUGAGCCGAUUCAAGCCGGUUUUCUUUGAGUUUUUUUCCUUCUUCAUUUUUUUCAUUCUUUUUUGCACUCGUUUCUUCAUUUUUUUUCAUUUUUUUCUUUUGUUUAUUUUCUUUGUUCUUUUGGUUAUUAUUGUGCAUUUUUUGUAUACGUCAACAAUAUUUUUUUAAUACACGUCUAACAUUUUUCAAAUACAAAUCAACAAUUUUUGCAAUACAUGGCCUACAUUUUUGUAUACACAUUUUUUAAAUGCUUGAUUAUCAUUUUUCAAAUACAAUAUUAACAAUUUUAAUACAUGGUUAACAUUUUUUUAUCAUUUUUACAAAAAAAUAUAUUAAAUGCUUGAUUAACAUUUUCUUAAUAGAUGGUCAACCUUUUUUUCAUACACAUUUAACAUUUUUUCCAAACGCUUGAUUAACUUUUUCAGACCCUUGUUCGACAUUUCUUUCAAAUGCUGGAUUACAUUUCUAUAUACUUAAUCAAAUAUUUCUAUCAUUUUUAAUACAUGGUCAACAUUAUUAACAUACACAUUUAACAAUUUCCCAAUUCUUGAUUAAUAUUUUUUAAAUACUCGUUUAACAUUUCCCAAUUUUAGCUAGUUAUGGUGCAAACUAAGUGUUGUGCCUCGUCUUAAUCUAUCUAUAUAUCCUAUCUUCUAUUCGGCGACGUGGUUGCGCCCGUGGCGGAUGUGGUCGCCGCCAUGACUUGGUCGAUCUCCCUCUUCUGUAUUCGAGAAAAAAAGAUCUCCGUCUUCUCUUUAGAUGAGAUGGGGAGGAGAUGGUGAGAGAUGAGGUCAACGGCAUUGGGGAGAGGAUAAGGGUAGACGCCAGUGGUGAGGCGGCGUGAGGAAGACGAGGUGGUUGGCGGCUAGGACGCAUGAGGGGAGGGGAAGGGUGGGGAGUGGUGCGUGGAGGGAAGUGGGUGUGCGGCGUGCCCAAUUCACGAGAGAGGAGAGAGGUCGGCAAGGGAGCGACCCAUGGGAGUUUUUUUUCUUCUGAGUGAGCCUAGUUGGGCUAUCUGCUGCGUCCAAGGCCCAAUGCACCACAUGUCUUCAAAUUGGCCACCAGUAGCAGCCCUUAGAACAGACAUGGCCAUUUUGCAAAUUUAAAGACAUAAGUUUUUUGCACGCAUGAAAAACAUAACACGUAUCUUUUCACACAUAAUGAACUAUAGGUACUACCCAAAAAAACAUAAUGAACUAUAGGUUGUCACAAGAACUCAUGCCAUCCCACAACCUCCCUCUGACCCUGCCAACAUUGUUGCAACUGCACUCGCAAGUGUUAUCGUAGAUGAUCAUUUGCAUGAUUUCCCGUAAAACAAAAUAAGAUCUACAAACGAAUAGAAGCUACACAUACCUUGGCAUGCACACACAUUGCAAGCCAUACUAAGCAGAUAAGUGUUAAAAACUUGUACUCCCUCAUCUCAGUUUACAAGUCUUCCACGUGUAUCUAGGUCGUCAAUUUAAUUAUAUAAAAUAAAUUGUUUGACAUAAAUUAUAUCAUUAGAAAAUAGAAAUAUAUAUUUUGUAAUGUAUGCCUCUUAUUAAGUUGGUCAAAUUAACAAUCUAGGUACACAUGCAAGACUUUUAAACUAAGAUGGAGGGAGUACAACAUAUACAACACUUACGACAAGUAAAAGCAAUUUGAUGAGUCAUGGUCUAUCAAAGCAAGCUACAUUACUAAUCUAAUCUAUGUUAACAUGUCACACAUGAUUACAAUCUUUUUUGUGUGCAAGUCAAGCCUAUCUAGUCUACAUGUAACAACUUGUAGAACAUUACAAAAUUGAUGUUUGCUAAUAACUUUUAGAACACUACAACACUUGACAUGUAAAAAGAGUUUGAUGAGUCAUGACCUACUAAAGCAAGUUACAUUACUAGUCUCAUCUAUCUUAACAGGUCACACAAGAUUAAAAACUAAGUUCUGUGCAAGCAAUGCUUAUCUAUUUUACACAUAACAACUUGCAUAACAUUACAAACUUAGUUUUAGAAAAUUAGGCAACCUAGAUUAGUGUUUAGUUGUAAAGUGAAUAAGAUGAGUCAUGUGUGUUAUCACACCUUUUUAUGGUGGAAUGAUAGUGCCACCAAACACAACAUACCAAAAUAUGAUUUUGGGAAGCAUCCAAGCACUUUCCAGACAAGCAAAUGCCAAUUGUGAAAGAGAUAAUGCCAUGGCAGCUAUAAAUAGGCCUGUUGCAUGAUGAUCAUCCUUCCUCAUUCAUCAUUCUCAUAAGUAGAGUGCAUCAUUCAAGCCAAGCAAGCACUGGUCAAUACAAAUCCAUCAUGAAGACAUUUCUCAUCAUUUCCCUCCUUGCUAUCGUGGCGACCACCGCCACAACUGCAGUUAGAGUUCCAGUGCCACAAUUGCAGCCGCAAAAUCCAUCUCUGCAACAACCACAAGAGCAAGUUCCAUUGGUGCAACAACAACAAUUUCCAGGGCAGCAACAAACAUUUCCACCACAACAACCAUAUCCGCAGCCGCAACCAUUUCCAGGACAACAACCAUAUCCGCAGCCGCAACUAUUUCCACAGCCGCAACCUUUUCCGCCACAACUUCCAUAUCCGCAGCCGCAACCAUUUCCCCCACAACAACCAUAUCCACAACCGCAAACACAUCAUCUGCAACCACAACAACCAAUUUCGCAGCAACAAGUACAACAACAACAACAACAACAACAACAACAACAACAACAACAACAACAACAACAACAACAACAACAACAACUACUACUACAACAACAAAUCCUUCAACAAAUUCUGCAACAACAACAACUGAUUCCAUGCAGGGAUGUCAUCGUCUUGCAACAACACAACAUAGCGCAUGAAAGCUCACAAGUAUUGCAGCAAAGUAGUUACCAAGUGUUGCAACAAUUAUGUUGUCAGCAGCUGCGGCUGAUCCCCGAGCAGUCGCGGUGCCAAGCCAUCCACAAUGUCGUUCAUGCUAUUAUUCUACAUCAACAACAACAACAACAACAACAACAACAACAACAAGGACAACAUCAACCGUCGAGCCAGGUCUCCUACCAGCAGCCUCAGCAACAAUAUCCAUCAGGCCAGGGCUCCUUCCAGCCAUCUCAGCAAAAUCCACAGGCCCAGGGCUUUGUCCAACCUCAACAUCUGCCCCAACUCGAGGAAAUAAGUAACCUAGCGCUGCAGACGCUACCAGCAAUGUGCAAUGUCUACAUCCCUCCAUAUUGCUCGACCACCAUUGCGCCAUUUGGCAUCUUCGGUACUAACUGAGAAGAGAAGAACUCUAGUACUAGAUAUAUGAAACACCGUGUUCUUAGUCCAUGGUUUGGUCGUUGUACCGUUGAAAAUAUAAGGUGACAUGCACUAUCAUGUAAGAACCCGAACUAUACUAGUUCAAACAUGGGAAUAAAAGACAAACACAUGUCUUGUCUGCAUAUGAUUGUUUAUUUGAGUUCCAUUCCUAUGCCCAUUCACAAGUUCACCCGUAAUUAUAUAUAUUACACAUUAAGUAGAUAUUUAUGUUGCAUUAAUAUGAAGAUAACAAAAUGAGUCUGAAACUUGAAUUAAAUUGAAGUAUUUUCUUGGACUUUCAAAUUGUGUAUUAUUAAAGUAGUAAGGAUUAUCCACAUCCUUGGCUUGCCCUUCAUCAAUUAUUCCCAGAGAAGCUUUCAGUUCAUAAAUCAAUUACAUUGAUUUUUGUGAAUGGUACAUCUCCUCAUCACGAGUAUCAUUACGGCUACUCCAAAUCGCUCACAUAACCGAAGCAUUAAUAGCGCCCUUCUUGCAUCCGGAAAUAUGGAUCGAAGAUAUCACUUGACCAUGUUUCCAGGUGCAACCUUGGGAUUUUUAUGUCAAAAUAUUCUCAAGCAAAAUCCAAGAAUAAACUUGCAUGCUCACGUGUGAUGAGGGCAGAUGAAGUAACAUUUCCUCCCCAUGGCCACACAUAGGGCACACACAUAACCCCAUCACAUGCCUUUUUAGUUAUGCAUAUGAAAGGUAGGAUGUUUUUAAUUACUCUCUACCAAAAUACUCUUAACUUGGCUUGUACCCUAAUAUUUCGUUGCCUUUUCAAUUGUUCUUCCCCAUUAGACAAAGUAGACAGUCCAUCUACCACACCGUACCUUGUGUCCAUCAUUGCUCUGUACAACAAUUGAACAGAACAAAUGUCAUUUCUUUACGAUACCCACGACCAAAUGUCCUUUGCUGGAUUGUUUGGUCGUGGCAUAUUAAGGAUGGCCACCUCAUCUCAUGGGGUAAACACCUAAUGAAUGAAAGGAUUGUUCUAGUCGCCCGUGUUUUUCAUCGAUAAGAUCAUCUACAAGUUGGACCGAAGUUUCUCACAUGCAUCAUAGUGGUUUCAUUAGCGGCGUGCCCUGCACCCAUUUAUCACGUCGUAUCUCUGUAGUAUGUGCAUUCCCAAUUUGUCACAGCAUACCCUCCUUCAAACCUUCUUUCCCUUUCAGAUUAGCACGCCAAGUUAGCUAUGCACUAUGCGGGAACCAGCAUUUGAAAAAAAAGAAUCUCAUUUCAUGGUAUCUUCCAUGAAGGACCCUCGUACAUUAGCUAUCUAGGUAGAAAUAGCCAUGUAUGUUUGGCAAACUUUGCAUAAGUGAAUAGAUCAAGGUCGUGGAACCCCAAGCCUCCAAUUACACACGGCCUCUCUACCAAUAAGAUCUCCAAAGACAUCAAGGAUACAGACAGCCAAAAAAGAAAAUAAAAAGAAAAAAAAUAAAAAAUACCCUGCCAUGGUGAUCAAUCACAAGCAUCAGCAGCACUCUAACCACCACCAAAGACAAUGCCCAGAUUACAAAAAAAAAUUAUCCAAAAACAAUGCCCCCAAGAAGGAAACAAUACACAAGCGUUGUCGUUGCCCGAUCGAAGAUCGUGGGUUUUCACCCUGGAAAAUUUUUGAGUUCACCCAAAAACAAUGCCUUCAACAAGGCCAUUGCCAAGUACAACAAAUAUGGUCGAGACCUUGGGUUUUCACCCUAGGAAUUGAGACUCGAUGCUCGAGGAGUACCAGCAAAAAUGCAGUCCACUAGUGUUGCCGCCCCCACUUGGCAAGGCCACUGUUGCAAGUCACCAAACACCUGGCAUAUAGUUGUCAUCGCAUCCAAUACACCCUUCGGCCGAAGCUUCAAGACCUUGAUCCGUCUCCAGCGUAUCUAUAAUUUUUGAUUGUUCCAUGCUAUUAUAUUAUCUGUUUUGGAUGUUUUAUAUGAUUAUUAUGGUAUUUUAUAUGAUUUUUGGGACUAACCUAUUAAACUAGAGCCCAGUGUCAGUUCCUGUUUUUUCCUUGUUUUAGAGUUUCGUAGAAAAGGAGUACCAAACGGAGUCCAAACGGAAUUAAACUUUUGCGAUGAUUUUUCUUAGACCAGAAGACAUCUAGAGGACUUGGAGUGCAUGUUAGGAAAGCCACGAGGCUGCCACAACGACAGAGGUGCGCCCCCACCCUUGUGGGCCCCUCGUGACUCUACCGACAUAUUUCUUCCGCCUAUAUAUUCUCAAAUAUUCCAAAACAUACUAGGAGAGCCACAAAAACACUUUUCCACCGCCGCAACCUUCUGUACCCGUGAGAUCCAAUGUAGGGGCCUUUCCCGGCAUCCUGUCGGCGGGGGAUUCGAUCACUUAGGGCUUCUACAUCAACACCAUUGCCUCUCCGAUGAAGCGUGAGUAGUUUACCACAGACCUAUGGGUCCAUAGCUAGUAUCUAGAUGGCUUCUUCUCUCUCUUUGAUUCUCAAUACCAUGUUCUCCUCGAUGUUCUUGGAGAUCUAUUCGAUGUAAUACUCUUUUUGCGGUGUGUUUGCCAAGAUCCAAUGAAUUGUGGAUUUAUGAUCAGGUUAUCUAUGAGUAUUAUUUGAAUCUCCUAUGAAUUCUUAUAUGCAUGAUUUGAUAUCUUUGCAAGUCUCUUCGAACUAUCGAUUUGGUUUGGCCAACUAGAUUGGUUUUUCUUGCAAUGGGAGAAGUGCUUAACUUUGGGUUCAAUCUUGCGGUGCUCGAUCCCAGUGACAGAAGGGGAUGAUACGUCCCCAACGUAUCUAUAAUUUUUGAUUGUUCCAUGCUAUUAUAUUAUCAACCUUGGAUGUUUUAUAUGCAUUUAUAUGCUAUUUUAUAUGAUUUUUGGGACUAACCUAUUAACCCAGAGCCCAGUGCUAGUGCCAGUUUCUGUUUUUUCCUUGUUUUAGGGUUUCGAAGAAAAGGAAUAUCAAAUGGAGUCCAAACGGAAUGAAACCUUCAGAAAAUUUAUUUUUGGAAAGAAAGUAAUACGGGAGACUUGGAGUGCACGUCCGGGGAUCAACGAGGAAGCCACGAGGCAGGGGGCGCGCCCACCCCUCUUGGGCGCGCCCUCCACCCUCGUGGGCCCCUCGUGGCUCCCCAAAUGUAUUUCUUCCGCCUAUAUAUAUCCAUAUACCCCAAAACGACCGGGGAGCACAAUAGAUCGGGAGUUUCUCCGCCAGAAGCCUCCGUAGCCACCGAAAGCUAAUCUAGACCCGUUCCGGCACCCUGCCGGAGGGGGAAUCCCUCUCCGGUGGCCAUCUUCAUCAUCCCGGUGCUCUCGAUGACGAGGAGGGAGUAGUUCUCCCUCGGGGCUAAGGGUAUGUACCAGUAGCUAUGUGUUUGAUCUCUCUCUCUCUCUCUCUCUCUCUCUCUCGUGUUCUUGAGGUGAUACGAUCUUGAUGUAUCGCGAGCUUUGCUAUUAGAGUUGGAUCUUAUGUUGCUUCUCCCCCUCUACUCUCUUGUAAUGGAUUGAGUUUCCCCUUCGAAGUUAUCUUAUCGGAUUGAGUCUUUAAAAAUUUGAGAACACUUGAUGUAUGUCUUGCCGCGUGUAUCUGUGGUGACAAUGGGAUAUCACGUGAUUCACUUGAUGUAUGUUUUCGUGAUCAACUUGCGGGUUCCGCCCAUGAACCUAUGCAUAGGGGUUGGCACACGUUUUCGUCGUGAUUCUUUGGUAGAAACUUUGGUGCACUCUUUGAGGUUCUAUGUGUUGGUUGAAUAGAUGAACUUGAGAUUGUGUGAUCCAUAUCAUAUAAUCAUACCCACGGAUACUUCAGGUGACAAUGGAGUAUCUAGGUGACAUUAGGGUUUUGGUUGAUUUGUGUCUUAAGGUGUUAUUCUAGUACGAACUCUAGGGCUGUUUGUGACACUUAUAGGAAUAGCCCAACGGAUUGAUUGGAAAGAAUAACUUUGAGGUGGUUUCGUACCCUACCAUAAUCUCUUCGUUCGUUCUCUGCUAUUAGUGACUUUGGAGUGACUCUUUGUUGCAUGUUGAGGGAUAAUUAUGUGAUCCAAAUAUGUUAUUAUUGUCGAGAGAACUUGCACUAGUGAAAGUAUGAACCCUAGGCCUUGUUUCGACGCAUUGCAAUACCGUUUACGCUCACUUUUAUCAUUAGUUACCUUGCUGUUUUUAUAUUUUCAAAUUACAAAAACCUUUAUCUACCAUCCAUAUACCACUUGUAUCACCAUCUCUUCACCUAUACAAUUUACCAUUGUAUUGGGUGUGUUGGGGACACAAGAGACUCUUUGUUAUUUGGUUGCAGGGUUGCUUGAGAGAGACCAUCUUCAUCCUACGCCUCCUACGGAUUGAUAAACCUUAGGUCAUCCACUUGAGGGAAAUUUGCUACUGUCCUACAAACCUCUGUACUUGGAGGCCCAACAACGUCUACAAGAAGAAGGUUGUGUAGUAGACAUCAAGCUCUUUUCUGGCGCAGUUGCCGGGAAGGUGAGUGCUUGAAGUUAUAUCUUUAGAUCUUGCAAUCGAAUCUUUUUGUUUCUUGUUUUAGCACUAGUUUAGUUUAUAAAAGAAAACUACAAAAAAACGGAAUUGAGUUUACCUCACACGCUUCAUCUUUUUAAUAUCUUUCGUGAGUAUGAUGGAAAGAAAAAUUGUGCCAAAGUGUUAGAAGAAGAAUGCAUUAAACUGUUUGGCAUUAAAUAUUUGAAUGAUGAGCAUUAUUGCAAUGUUGUUAGUAUGAAUUCCUUGAAUAUCCAUAGUACUAAUGAUGAUUGCACUAGUUAUGAUGAAAAUGUCUCAUGUAAACAUGUCAAUUUUUGUGGAGUGCAUUGGGUUUGCAAGUACACACCAAUUAGGGAAGAUAGAUUUUGCAAGAGGCAUAAGUACUUAGAAACUAAAUUGUUGCAAGAAAGGCUAGAUGAAUGUGCUGAAAAUUUAAAUUUUCUUGGCCAUACUUGUGAGCUUUGCAAUGAACAUGGUUAUUUAACCAUCCGAUGCAAAUUGUUUCAUGAUCUAAUCGUUUCCAAAAAUUGUGAUGACUUGAUUUCCCUUGCACAUCAUAAUGAACUUAGUUUGCUUAUGGGUUAUGAGGAAAUGAAAUGUAUAACUAACUAUCUUCCAGUAUUUUCCCAUGAUAAACUUCUUGGAUUUGACCUAGAGGAAAUUUAUAUGUAUUGUGCGGUGAAUUGCAUUGAAAACCCCUAUAUUGUCAAUUACAUAAAGAAAAGAAAACAAAUAGAGGAUGAACAGAAUACUAAUGAAAGGGAAGAGACCUCCCAAUAUCCUCCUAUUAUUUCUUAUGAUGAACCAGGUAACGAGGAGGAGCCUCCUAUUCAACCAAUCUCAUUAAUAAGGAGCUCCAAAAAGAGGAUUGAACCCACACACGAUGUAGUGAAGAAGAAGAAAAGAAAGAGGAAGAGAGGUAAAAAGAUAUCUCUCCCAAAUAAUGCUGCUCCUAUUACUAUUGUGCCUCAUGAAAAUAUAAUUGUGGAAAAUAAUGAUACUUCUUAUGAUCUUGAAAAUCCUUUUGUCACUUGCUUGGAAGAAUAUGAUAAUUGCUAUACUAUUGGUGCUAUCCAUACUAUUAAUGAUGAGAGUGAUUAUGCUUAUGAUAUGAAAAGGCCCAAGCUUUGGGAUGCUAUGUUUGAUGAAGAUGAUGUUUUUGAGAAUAUAUUUGCUACAAUUAAUGUUUGUCCCAAGCUUGGGGAUGCUAUGUUUAAUCAAGAUGAUAUUUUUAGUCUCCCAAGUUUUGAUAUGCAAAUUUAUAAUGAUGAUAGCAUGCCUCCUACUUAUGAUGAUUAUUGUGAUGAUACUUAUGCUAUAAAAAGUAAUGAUUAUAUUUAUAAAACUUGUCAUGAUUAUGGUUACCCCUUUUCUGAACAUUACUCUUUUAAUGUGGAAACAAUUUAUAGUAUUCGAGUUUCUUAUGAUACUCCCACUAUUCCGAAUGAGAAGAAUUUUGCUUGUGUAGAGAGUAAUAAAAUUUCUAUGCUUGUAGAUCAUGAAAAGAAUGCUUUAGGUGCUGGUUAUAUUUUUGAAUUCAUUCAUGAUGCUACUGAAAAUUAUUAUGAGGGAGGAACAUAUGCUUGUAGGAAUUGCAAUAAUAUCAAGUUUCCUCUCUAUGUGCUUAAAGUUUUGAAGUUAUGCUUGUUUUGCCCUCCUAUGCUAGUUGAUUAUUGUUCCCAUAAGUUGUUUGCUCACAAAAUUCCUACACAUAGGAAGUGGGUUAGACUUACAUGUUCUAGUCAUAUGCUUCAUGAUGCUCUCUUUAUGUUUCAAUUCUUAUCUUUUAUGUGAGCAUCAUUGAAAUCGUCAUGCCUAGCUAGGGGCGUUAAACGAUAGCGCUUGUUGAGAGGAAACCCAACUUUAUUUUUGUUCCUUGAUUUUUGCUCCUGUCUAGCAAUAAAUAAUUUAUCUAGCAUCUGUUAUGAUUGAGUUUUUAUGUUAGAACCGUUGGGAAGACUUGGGGAAAGUCUUGGCGAUCAUGCUGUAAAAAAACAGAAACUUUAGCGCUCACGAGAAUUGCUGACAUUUUUUAUUGGAGAGUGCUAUUUGGUUAAUUAUUUUUGCAGAUGAUUAAUAGAUAAAUUCCUCACGUCCAGCAAUUUAUUUUAGAAUUUUUGAGGCUCCAGAAGUUUGCGUUAGUUACAGAUUACUACAGACUGUUCUGUUUUUGACAGAUUCUGUUUUUCGUGUGUUGUUUGCUUAUUUUGAUGAAUCUAUGGCUAGUAAAAUAGUUUAUAAACCAUAGAGAAGUUUUAAUACAGUAGGUUUAACACCAAUAUAAAUAAAUAAUGAGUUCAUUACAGUACCUUUAAGUGGUGUUUUAUUUUCUUUCGCUAACGGAGCUCACGAGUUUUCCAUUUUAAGUUUUGUGUUGUGAAGUUUUCAAGUUUUGGGUAAAGAUUUGAUGGAUUAUGGAAUAAGGAGUGGCAAGAGAAUAAGCUUGGGGAUGCCGAAGGCACCCCAAGGUAAUAUUCAAGGACAACCAAAAGCCUAAGCUUGGGGAUGCCCCGGAAGGCAUCCCCUCUUUCGUCUUCGUUCAUCGGUAACUUUACUUGGAGCUAUAUUUUUAUUCACCACAUGUUACGUGUUUUGCUUGGAGCGUCAUUUUAUUUCAUUUUUUUGCUUGCUGUUUGAAUAAAGUAUCAAGAUAUGAAAUUAUUAAGUGGGAGAGUCUUCACAUAGUUGCAUAAGUAUUCGACUACUCAUUGAUCUUCACUUACAUCUUUCAGAGUAGUUUGUCAUUUUCUCUAGUGCUUCACUUAUAUCUUUUGAGAGCACGGUGGUGGUUUUAUUUUGUAGAAAUAGAUGAACUCUCGUGCUUCACUAAUAUUAUUUUGAGAGUCCUCAGAACAGCAUGGUAAUUUGCUUUGGUUAUGAAUUUAGUCCUAAUAAGAUGGGCAUCCAAGAGGGAUAUAAUAAAAACUUUCAUAUAAGUGCAUUGAAUACUAAGAGAAGUUUGAUACUUGAUGAUUGUUUUGAGAUAUGGAGAUAGUGAUAUUAAAGUUGUGCUAUUUGACACUACUAGGAAAAGGCCUACUAAUGGCGCACCAGUUUUGCCUACUAAUGGCGCAUCACUGGUGCGCCAUUACUAGCACGCCAUUAGUAAUUUUUAGUAAUGGCGCACCACUGGUGCGCCAUUAGUAUCGGCCACGGUGCGCCAUUCGUAUAGGCCACUGGUGCGCCAUUAGUAUAGGCCACGGUGCGCCAUUAGUAUUUUUGGAUUUUGAAGGCGGGAAAAUAGUAGUGGCGCACCGUCUAACCCCCACCGUGCGCCAUUACUAUUUUUGAAUUUUGAAUUUGGAUCUGGAUCGUGAUUUUUUUGCCCAUUUUUUGCUCGUUUUUUUGCUCGUUUUUUGGCACAAUAUUAUUUCAAAUUUUGUUCUUGUUUUUGGAUCUUGUACGUUCUUUUGCCGUGUUCUUUUGCCGGAGAGGAGUUCGCCGGAGAGGAGGAGGAGGAGGUCACCGGAGAGGCGCUCGCCUACAUCGCCGGAGAGGAGGAGGAGGUCGCCGGAGAGGAGUUCACCGAAGCAUCGGAGAGGAGGAAGGAGAAACCAUGAGGGAAUGGGAGGAGAGGAGGGAGGAGAAACCAUGAGGGGAGGGGAGGAGAGGAGGGAGNNNNNNNNNNNNNNNNNNNNNNNNNNNNNNNNNNNNNNNNNNNNNNNNNNNNNNNNNNNNNNNNNNNNNNNNNNNNNNNNNNNNNNNNNNNNNNNNNNNNNNNNNNNNNNNNNNNNNNNNNNNNNNNNNNNNNNNNNNNNNNNNNNNNNNNNNNNNNNNNNNNNNNNNNNNNNNNNNNNNNNNNNNNNNNNNNNNNNNNNNNNNNNNNNNNNNNNNNNNNNNNNNNNNNNNNNNNNNNNNNNNNNNNNNNNNNNNNNNNNNNNNNGGAGAGGAGAAGGAGGUCGCCGGAGAGGAGGAGAUGGAGUGGAGGAGAGGAGGAGAUGGAGUGGAGGAGAGGAGAGGAGGAGAUGGAAUGGAGGAGAGGUGGAGUGGAGGAGGUGCGCCCAGCCAUGUAUACGACAUAGUAAUGGCGCACCGUGGGCAGGUGCGCCAUUACUAACUUUUUUUAUUUUUUGAUUUAUUUUGAAUUUUGAAGGCGGGAAGAUACUAAUGGCGCACCGUGGGCAGGUGCGCCAUUAGUAACUUUUUUUUUAUUUUUGACUAAUUUUGAAUUUUGAAGGCGGGAAGAUACUAAUGGCGCACCGUGGGCAGGUGCGCCAUUAGUAACUUUUUUUGACUAAUUUUGAAUUUUGAAGGUGGGAAGAUACUAAUGGCGCACCACGGGGUGGUGCGCCAUUAGUAACUUUUUUUUAUUUUGUUGACUUAUUUUGAAUUUUGAAGGCGGGAAGAUACUAAUGGCGCACCAUGGGCAGGUGCGCCAUUAGUAAGUUUGAAUUAUUUUUAAUUUUUUUGCCUCUCCAGAUCUUAAAAGCCCCAUAUAUUUUUUUCUGUUAGGUUUUUGAGGAUUUUAAAAAUGUUUAACGGAUUCCCCGGUUAAAUUUGGAUGUAACUUUUCGAGUAGAUGAUUUUUCAUAUAAAAAACUUUUUCAUCCGAGUUAGUAUGCAAAAGUUAUGCCCAUUUUUACAAAUUNNNNNNNNNNNNNNNNNNNNNNNNNNNNNNNNNNNNNNNNNNNNNNNNNNNNNNNNNNNNNNNNNNNNNNNNNNNNNNNNNNNNNNNNNNNNNNNNNNNNNNNNNNNNNNNNNNNNNNNNNNNNNNNNNNNNNNNNNNNNNNNNNNNNNNNNNNNNNNNNNNNNNNNNNNNNNNNNNNNNNNNNNNNNNNNNNNNNNNNNNNNNNNNNNNNNNNNNNNNNNNNNNNNNNNNNNNNNNNNNNNNNNNNNNNNNNNNNNNNNNNNNNNNNNNNNNNNNNNNNNNNNNNNNNNNNNNNNNNNNNNNNNNNNNNNNNNNNNNNNNNNNNNNNNNNNNNNNNNNNNNNNNNNNNNNNNNNNNNNNNNNNNNNNNNNNNNNNNNNNNNNNNNNNNNNNNNNNNNNNNNNNNNNNNNNNNNNNNNNNNNNNNNNNNNNNNNNNNNNNNNNNNNNNNNNNNNNNNNNNNNNNNNNNNNNNNNNNNNNNNNNNNNNNNNNNNNNNNNNNNNNNNNNNNNNNNNNNNNNNNNNNNNNNNNNNNNNNNNNNNNNNNNNNNNNNNNNNNNNNNNNNNNNNNNNNNNNNNNNNNNNNNNNNNNNNNNNNNNNNNNNNNNNNNNNNNNNNNNNNNNNNNNNNNNNNNNNNNNNNNNNNNNNNNNNNNNNNNNNNNNNNNNNNNNNNNNNNAAUUUUUUUACUAAUGGCGCACCGUGGAUGUGGUGCGCCAUUACUAGUUCAACUAGUAAUGGCGCACCACCCCCACGGUGCGCCAUUAGUAGUUUUGAAAAAAAUUAAAUUUUUUUACCAAUGGCGCACCGUGGAUGUGGUGCGCCAUUAGUAUUUGGACACUAAUGGCGUACCAACACAUGGUGCGCCAUUAGUAUAUAGUAAUGGCGCACCACAUGUCUGGUGCGCCAUUAGUGUCAAUUCCAUCUAUAGCCCUUUUCCUAGUAGUGUGAGUAGUUGUGAAUUUGAGAAAUACUUGUGUUGAAGUUUGCAAGUCCCGUAGCAUGCACGUAUGGUAAACGUUAUGUAACAAAUUUGAAACAUGAGGUGUUCUUUGAUUGUCCUCCUUAUGAAUGGCGGUCGGGGACGAGCGAUGGUCUUUUCCUACCAAUCUAUCCCCCUAGGAGCAUGCGUGUAGUGCUUGGUUUUUGAUGACUUGUAGAUUUUUGCAAUAAGUAUAUGAGUUCUUUAUGACUAAUAUUGAGUCCAUGGAUUAUAUGCAUUCUCACCCUUCCAUCAUUGCUAGCCUCUUCGGUACCGUGCAUUGCCCUUUCUCACAUUGAGAGUUGGUGCAAACUUCGCUGGUGCAUCCAAACCCCGUGAUAUGAUACACUCUUUCACACAUAAACCUCCUUAUAUCUUCCUCAAAACAGCCACCAUACCUACCUAUUAUGGCAUUUCCGUAGCCAUUCUGAGAUAUAUUGCCAUGCAACUUUCCACCAUUCUGUUUGUCAUGACACAUUCAUCAUUGUCAUAUUGCUUAGCAUGAUCAUGUAGUUGACAUAGUAUUUGUGGCAAAGCCACCGUUCAUAAUUAUUUCAUACAUGUCACUCUUGGUUCAUUGCAUAUCCCGGUACACCGCCGGAGGCAUUCAUAUAGAGUCAUAUCUUGUUCUAGUAUCGAGUUGUAAAUAAAUAGAAGUGUGAUGAUCAUCAUUAAUAGAGCAUUGUCCCAAAAAAAGGAAGAGAACGACCAAAUAAAAAAGGGAAGCCCCCCACCCAAAAAAGAAAAGAAAGGCCAGAUAAAAAAUAAAAAAAAUAAAAAAAAUAAAAGGGACAAUGCUACUAUCCUUUUUCCACACUUGUGCUUCAAAGUAGCACCAUGAUCUUUAUGAUAGAGAGUCUCUUGUUUUGUCACUUUCAUAUACUAGUGGGAAUUUUUUAUUAUAGAACUUGGCUUGUAUAUUCCAACAAUGGGCCUCCUCAAGUGCCCUAGGUCUUUGUGAGCAAGCAAGUUGGAUGCACACCCACUUAGUUUCUUUUGUUGAGCUUUCAUACAUUUAUGGCUCUAGUGCAUCCGUUGCAUGGCAAUCCCUAAUCCUUGCAUUGACAUCAAUUGAUGGGCAUCUCCCUAGCCCAUUGAUUAGCCGCGUCGAUGUGAGACUUUCGCCUUUUGGUCUUCUCCACAUAACCCCCUCAUUAUAUUCUAUUCCACCCAUAGUGCUAUAUCCAUGGCUCACGCUCAUGUAUUGCGUGAAAGUUGAAAAAAGUUUGAGAUUACUAAAGUAUGAAACAAUUACUUGGCUUGUCAUCGGGGUUGUGCACAAUGAGAGCAUUCUUGUGUGACGAAAAUGGAGCAUGGCCAAACUAUAUGAUUUUGUAGGGAUGAACUUUCUUUGGCCAUGUUAUUUUGAGAAGACAUGAUUGCUUAGUUAGUAUACUUGAAGUAUUAUUAUUUUUAUGUCACUAUUAAACUUUUGUCUUGAAUCUUAUGGAUCUGAAUAUUCUUGCCACAAUAAAGAGAACUACAUGGAUAAAUAUGUUAGGUGGCAUUCUACAUCAAAAAUUCUGUUUUUAUCUUUUAGCUACUCCAGGACGAGCAGGAAUUAAGCUUGGGGAUGCUGAUACGCCUCCAACGUAUCUAUAAUUUUUAUUGUUCCAUGCUAUUAUAUUAUCAACCUUGGAUGUUUUAUAUGCAUCUUUAUGCUAUUUUAUAUCAUUUUUGGGACUAACCUAUUAACCUAGAGCCCAGUGCCAGUUUCUGUUUUUUCCUUGUUCUAGGGUUUCGAAGAAAAGGAAUAUCAAAUGGAGUCCAAACGGAAUGAAACCUUCGGAAAAGUUGUUUUUGGAAAGAAAGCAAUACAGGAGACUUGGAGUGCACGUCAGCGGAUCAACGAGGAAGCCACGAGGCAGGGGGCGCGCCCACCCCCUGGGCGCGCCCUCCACCCUCGUAGGCCCCUCGUGGCUCCCCUAAUGUAUUUCUUCCGCCUGUAUGUACCAAUAUACCCUAAAACGAUCGGGGAGCACAAUAGAUUGGGAGUUCCGCCGCCAGAAGCCUCUGUAGCCACUAAAAGUGAAUCUAGACCCGUUCCGGCACCCUGCCGGAGGGUGAAUCCCUCUCCGGUGGCCAUCUUCAUCAUCCCGGUGCUCUCCAUGACGAGGAGGGAGUAGUUCUCCCUUGGGGCUGAGGGUAUGUACCAGUAGCUAUGUGUUUAAUCUCUCUCUCUCUCUCUCUCGUGUUCUUGAGGUGAUACGAUCUUGAUGUAUCGCGAGCUUUGCUAUUAUAGUUGUAUCUUAUGUUUCUUCUCCUCCUCUACUCUCUUGUAAUGGAUUGAGUUUCCCCUUCGAAGUUAUCUUAUCGGAUUGAGUCUUUAAAGAUUUGAGAACACUUGAUGUAUGUCUUGCCGCGUGUAUCUGUGGUGACAAUGGGAUAUCACGUGAUUCACUUGAUGUAUGUUUUCGUGAUCAACUUGCGGGUUCCGCCCAUGAACCUAUGCAUAGGGGUUGGCACACGUUUUCGUCGUGAUUCUUUGGUAGAAACUUUGGUGCACUCUUUGAGGUUCUAUGUGUUGGUUGAAUAGAUGAACUUGAGAUUGUGUGAUGCAUAUCGUAUAAUCAUACCCACAGAUACUUGAGGUGACAAUGGUUUGCUCACAAAAUCCCUAUGCAUAGGAAGUGGGUUAGACUUAAAUGUUCUAGUCAUAUGCUUCAUGAUGCUCUCUUUAUGUUUCAGUUCUUAUCUUUUAUGUGAGCAUCAUUGAAAUCAUCAUGCCUAGCUAGGGGCGUUAAACGAUAGCGCUUGUUGGGAGGAAACCCAACUUUAUUCUUGUUCCUUGCUUUUUGCUCCUGUUUAGCAAUAAAUAACUUAUCUAGCCUCUGUUAUGAUUGAGUUUUUAUGUUUUAAUUAGUGUUUGUGCCAAGUAGAACCGUUGGGAAGACUUGGGGAAAGUCUUUGCGAUCAUACUGUAAAAAACAGAAACUUCAGCGCUCACGAGAAUUGAUGGGCAUCUCCUUAACCCAUUGAUUAGCCGCGUCGAUGUGAGACUUUCUCCUUUUUGUCUUCUCCACAUAACCCCCUCAUUAUAUUCUAUUCCACCCAUAGUGCUAUAUCCAUGGCUCACGCUCAUGUAUUGCGUGAAAGUUGAAAAAAGUUUGAGAUUACUAAAGUAUGAAACAAUUGUUUGGCUUGUCAUCGGGGUUGUGCAUGAUGAGAGCAUUCUUGUGUGACGAAAAUGGAGCAUGACCAAACUAUAUGAUUUUGUAGGGAUGAACUUUCUUUGGCCAUGUUAUUUUGAGAAGACAUGAUUGCUUAGUUAGUAUGCUUGAAGUAUUAUUAUUUUUAUGUCAAUAUUAAACUUUUUUCUUGAAUCUUAUGUAUUUGAAUAUUCUUGCCGGAAUAAAGAGAACUACAUGGAUAAAUAUGUUAGGUAGCAUUCCACAUCAAAAAUUCGGUUUCAUUAGCGGCGUGCCCUGCACCCAUUUAUCACGUCGUAUCUCUGUAGUAUGCGCAUUCCCAAUUUGUCACGGCAUACCCUCCUUCAAACCUUCUUGCCCUUUCAGAUUAGCACGCCAAGCUAGCUAUGCACUAUGCGGGAACCUGCAUUUGAAAAAAAAGAAUCUCAUUUCAUGGUAUCUUCCAUGAAGGACCCUCGUACAUGAGCUAUCUAGAUAGAAAUAGCCAUGUAUGUUUAGCAAACUUUGCAUAAGUGAAUAGAUCAAGGUCGUGGAACCCCAAGCCUCCAAUUACACACGGCCUCUCUACCAAUAAGAUCUCCAAAGACAUCAAGGAUACAGACAGCCAAAAAAGAAAAUAAAAAGGAAAAAAAUAAAAAAUACCCCACCAUGGUGAUCAAUCACAAGCAUCAGCAGCACUCUAACCACCACCUAAGACAACGCCCAGAUUACAAAAAAAAUUCUCCAAAAGCAAUGCCCCCAAGAAGGAAACAAUACACAAGCGUUGUCGUUGCCCGAUCGAAGAUCGUGGGUUUUCACACUGGAAAAUUUUUGAGUUCACCCAAAAACAAUGCCUUCAACAAGGCCAUUGCCAAGUACAACAAAUAUGGCUGAGACCUUGGGUUUUCACCCUAGGAAUUGAGAGUCGAUGCUCGAGGAGUACCACCAAAAAUGCAGUCCACUAGUGUUGCCGCCCCCACUUGGCGAGGCCGCUGUUGCAAGUCACCAAACACCUGGCAUAUAGUUGUCAUCGCAUCCAAUACACCCUUCGGCCGAAGCUUCAAGACCUUGAUCCGUCUCCAACGUAUCUAUAAUUUUUGAUUGUUCCAUGCUAUUAUAUUAUCUGUUUUGGAUGUUUUAUAUGAGUAGGGCGUUUUGGUGCCCAGGCUCAUCUGCACCCGGUUAGAAAAAAUUCAUAAAAAAUUUAAACAAAUUCAAAAAAUUCCAAAUAAAAUUUGUAUGGUAGACAAUUUGAUGCGUGAGGCCCGCCUCAAAUUUCAAGUCAUUUGGAUAUAUGAGAAGCUCUCAGCAAAAAAGACAAAUCGGACUAAAACAGUACAUGAACAGUAAACAUUUUUACAGACCCUCAAUUUGUCUUUUUUGCUGAGAGCUGCUCAUAUGUUCAAAUGACUUGAAAUUUGGAGCGUGCCUCACGCAUCAAAAUUUCUAUCACACAAAUUUUAUUUGGAAUUUUUCGAAUUUUUCUAGUAUUUGUUUUGAUUUUUUUCGUCGGCACAGGUGCAGAUGAGCUCAGGUGCAGAAAUGGAUUUUCGGUUUUAUUUGCACUAUUAUGCUAUUUUAUAUGAUUUUUGCGACUAACCUAUUAAACUAGAGCCCAGUGCCAGUUCCUGUUUUUUCCUUGUUUUAGAGUUUCACAGAAAAGGAAUACCAAACGGAGUCCAAACGGAAUGAAACUUUUGCGAUGAUGUUUCUUAGACCAGAAGACAUCUAGAGGACUUGGAGUGCACGUUAGGAAAGCCAUGAGGUGGCCACAAUGACGGAGGGCACGCCCCCACCCUUGUGGGCUCCUCGUGACUCUACCGACCUAUUUCGUCCGCAUAUAUAUUCUCAAAUAUUCCAAAACCUACUAGGAGAGCCACAAAAAAACUUUUCCACCGUCGCAACCUUCUGUACCCAUGAGUUCCCAUCUAGGGGCCUUUUCCGGCAUCCCGUCGGAGGGGGAUUCGAUCACGGAGGGCUUCUACAUCAACACCAUUGCCUCUCCGAUGAAGCGUGAGUAGUUUACCACAGACCUAUGAGUCCAUAGCUAGUAUCUAAACGGCUUCUUCUCUCUCUUUGAUUCUCAAUACCAUGUUCUCUUCGAUGUUCUUGGAGAUCUAUUCGUUGUAAUACUCUUUUUGCGGUGUGUUUGCCGAGAUCCGGUGAAUUGUGGAUAUAUGAUCAGGUUAUCUAUGAAUAUUAUUUGAAUCUCCUAUGAAUUCUUAUAUGCAUGAUUUGAUAUAUUUGCAAGUCUCUUCGAACUAUCGAUUUGGUUUGGCCAACUAGAUUGGUUUUUCUUGCAAUGGGAGAAGUGCUUAACUUUGGGUUCAAUCUUGCGGUGCUCGAUCCCAGUGACAGAAGGGGAUGAUACGUCUCCAACGUAUCUAUAAUUUUUGAUUGUUCCAUGCUAUUAUAUUAUCAACCUUGGAUGUUUUAUAUGCAUUUAUAUGCUAUUUUAUAUGAUUUUUGGGACUAACCUAUUAACCUAGAGCCCAGUGCCAGUGCCAGUUUCUGUUUUUUCCUUGUUUUAGGGUUUCAAAGAAAAGGAAUAUCAAACAGAGUCCAAACGGAAUGAAACCUUCGGAAAAGUUAUUUUUGGAAAGAAAGCAAUACGAGAGACUUGGAGUGCACGUCAGGGGAUCAACGAGGAAGCCACGAGGCAGGGGCACGCCCUCCACCCUCGUGGCUCCCCUAAUGUAUUUCUUCCGCCUAUAUAUAUCCAUAUACCCUAAAAUGAUCGGGGAGCACAAUAGAUCGGGAGUUCCGCCACCAGAAGCCUCCGUAGCCACCGAAAGCCAAUCUAGACCCGUUCCGGCACCCUGCCGGAGGAGGAAUCCCUCUUCGGUGUCCAUCUUCAUCAUCCCGGUGCUCUCCAUGACGAGGAGGGAGUAGUUCUCCCUCAGGGCUGAGGGUAUGUACCAGUAGCUAUGUGUUUGAUCUCUCUCUCUCUCUCUCUCUCUCUCUCUCGUGUUCUUGAGGUGAUACGAUCUUGAUGUAUCGCGAGCUUUGCUAUUAGAGUUGGAUCUUAUGUUUCUUCUCCCCCUCUACUCUCUUGUAAUGGAUUGAGUUUCCCCUUCGAAGUUAUCUUAUCGGAUUGAGUCUUUAAAGAUUUGAGAACACAUGAUGUAUGUCUUGCCGUGCGUAUCUGUGGUGACAAUGGGAUAUCACGUGAUUCAUUUGAUGUAUGUUUUGGUGAUCAAGUUGCGGGUUCCACCCAUGAACCUAUGCAUAGGGGUUGGCACACAUUUUCGUCAUGAUUCUCCGGCAGAAACUUUGGGGCACUCUUUGAGGUUCUAUGUGUUGGUUGAAUAGAUGAAUCUGAGAUUGUGUGAUGCAUAUCGGAUAAUCAUACCCACGGAUACUUGAGGUGACAAUGGAGUAUCUAGGUGACAUUAGGGUUUUGGUUGAUUUGUGUCUUAAGGUGUUAUUCUAGUACGAACUCUAGGGCUGUUUGUGACACUUAUAGGAAUAGCCCAAUGGAUUGAUUGGAAAGAAUAACUUGGAGGUGGUUUCGUACCCUACCAUAAUCUCUUCGUUCGUUCUCCGCUAUUAGUGACUUUGGAGUGAUUCUUUGUUGCAUGUUGAGGGAUAGUUAUGUGAUCCAAUUAUGUUAUUAUUGUUGAGAGAACUUGCACUAGUGAAAGUAUGAACCCUAGGUCUUGUUUCAACGCAUUGCAAUACCGUUUACGCUCACUUUUAUCAUUAGUUACCUUGCUGUUUUUAUAUUUUCAGAUUACAAAAACCUUUAUCUACCAUCCAUAUACCACUUGUAUCACCAUCUCUUCGCCGAACUAGUGCACCGAUACAAUUUACCAUUGUAUUGGGUGUGUUGGGGACACAAGAGACUCUUUGUUAUUUGGUUGCAGGGUUGGUUGAGAGAGACCAUCUUCAUCCUACGCCUCCUACAGAUUGAUAAACCUUGGGUCAUCCACUUGAGGAAAAUUUGCUACUGUCCUACAAACCUUUGCACUUGGAGGCCCAACAACGUCUACAAGAAGAAGGUUGUGUAGUAGACAUCAGGGGAACCGACACAUAUUGUAGUGUUUCCAUCGAGGAUAACAAGAUGGGGUUUUCGUCAUAUUGCUUGAGUUUAUCCCGCUACAUCAAGUCAUCUUACUUAAUGCGUUAUCCUGUUCUUAUGAACUUAGUACUCUAGGUGCAGGCAGGAGUCAGUGGACGUGUGGAGUAAUAGUAGUAGAUGCAAGCAGGAGUCCGUCUACUUGAUACAAACAUGAUGCUUAUGUUCAUGAUCAUUGCCUUAGAUAUCGUCAUAAGUUUGCACUUUUCUAUCAAUUGCUCAGCAGUAAUUUGUUCACCCACCGUAAGAUUUUCUAUCUUGAGAGAAGCCUCUAGUGAAACCUAUGGCCCCGGGGUCUACUUUCCAUCAUAUAAGUUUCUGAUCUACAAUUGUGUUGGUUGAAUAGAUGAAUCUGAGAUUGUGUGAUGCAUAUCGUAUAAUCAUACCCACGGAUACUUGAGGUGACAAUGGAGUACCUAGGUGACAUUAGUGUUUUGGUUGAUUUGUGUCUUAAGGUGUUAUUCUAGUACGAACUCUAGGGCUGUUUGUGACACUUAUAGGAAUAGCCCAACGGAUUGAUUGGAAAGAAUAACUUUGAGGUGGUUUCGUACCCUACCAUAAUCUCUUCGUUCGUUCUCCGCUAUUAAUGACUUUGGAGUGACUCUUUGUUGCAUGUUGAGGGAUAGUUAUGUGAUCCAAUUAUGUUAUUAUUGUUGAGAGAACUUGCACUAGUGAAAGUAUGAACCCUAGGCCUUGUUUCAACGCAUUACAAUACCGUUUACGCUCAGUUUUAUCAUUAGUUACCUUGCUGUUUUUAUAUUUUCAGAUUACAAAAACCUUUAUCUACCAUCCAUAUACCACUUGUAUCACCAUCUCUUCGCUGAACUAGUGCACCUAUACAAUUUACCAUUGUAUUGGGUGUGUUGGGGACACAAGAGACUCUUUGUUAUUUGGUUGCAGGGUUGCUUGAGAGAGACCAUCUUCAUCCUACACCUCCUACGGAUUGAUAAACCUUAGGUCAUCCACUUGAGGGAAAUUUGCUACUGUCCUACAAACCUCUGCACUUGGAGGCCCAACAACGUCUACAAGAAGAAGGUUGUGUAGUAGACAUCAGGGGAACCGACACAUAUUGUAUUGUUUCCAUCGAGGAUAACAAGAUGGGGUUUUCGUCAUAUUGCUUGAGUUUACCCCGCUACAUCAAGUCAUCUUACUUAAUGCGUUAUCCUGUUCUUAUGAACUUAAUACUCUAGAUGUAGGCAGGAGUCGGUGGACGUGUGGAGUAAUAGUAGUAGAUGCAAGCAGGAGUCAGUCUAGUUGAUACAAACGUGAUGCUUAUGUUCAUGAUCAUUGCCUUAGAUAUCGUCAUAACUUUGCGCUUUUAUAUCAAUUGCUCAACAGUAAUUUGUACACCCACUGUAAGAUUUUCUAUCUUGAGAGAAGCCUCUAGUGAAACUAUGGCCCCGGGGUCUACUUUCCAUCAUAUAAGUUUCCGAUCUACAAUUUUAGUUUCCUAUCACUUCCUUUGCAAUCUUUUACUUUCCAUUCCAUAAACCAAAAAUACCAAAAAUAUUACUUUACCGAUUAUCCAUCUCUAUCAGAUCUCACCUUGCAAAUAACCAUGAAGGAUUGACAACCCCUUUGUCGCAUUAGGUGUAAGUUGCUAUUUGUUUGAGCAUGUAUUCAGUGACUUGUGCAUUGUCUCCUACUGGAUUGAUACCUUGGUUCUCAAAACUGAGGGAAAUACUUACUCUACUUUGCUGCAUCACCCUUUCCACUUCAAGGGAAAAACCAACGCAAGCUCAAGAGGAAGUAGGAAGAAUUUCUGGCACCGUUGCCGGGGACAUCUACGCCAAGUCAAGACAUACCAAGUACCCAUCAUAAACUCUCAUCUCUUGCAUUAUAUUAUUUGCCAUUCGCCUCUCGUUUUCCUCUCCCCCACUUCUAAAAUGAUUUGCCUUUUCUUCGCCCUCUUCCAUUCAUCUUCUUCGCUUGCUUUUUGUGUGCUCAUGUGUUGGAUUGCUUGCUUUGUCACGAUGUCUCAAGAGAAUACCAAAUUGUGUGACUUUUCCAAUACCAACAACAAUGAUUUUAUUAGUACCCCGAUUGCUCCCGCUACUAAUGCGGAAUCUUGUGAAAUUAAUGCUGCUUUGCUGAGUCUUGUUAUGAAAGAUCAAUUUUCCGGCCUUCCCAAUGAAGAUGCCGCAUCCCAUCUAAACAAUUUCGUUGAUUUGUGUGAUAUGAAAAAGAAAAAAGAUAUGGAUAAUGAUAUUGUUAAAUUGAAGCUAUUUCCGUUGUCACUUCGAGAUCGUGCUAAAACUAGGUUUUCAUCUUUGCCUAAAAAUAGCGAGUGUCAUUUUUUAAUGCGAGUGAUUAGUUUUUAAAGAAUGAUUGGCAUUCUUUCUUAAUUGCUCAUCUACUAAUCGUUUGGCGUGUUUUCUUAUCUUGUCAAAAUCAUAUCCCCUGGCUGUAAAUAUCAAAGAAUAAUUUCAUUUGUUGGGCUUGGACUGUACUGUCCGAGAGUCAGAGUAUAAAUACCAUACGAUUUCAAGAGCAAUAGCAACGGGGCAACCAUUAGUCCAUACUCUACACCAUAUGGCUAGAAAUUUUAUAUUAUAUAUAACAAAGUUGUGACAAAUUGGAAAUGGAAAGCAAUAAAAUGAAUAUGUUGCUAUAGGUUAUUAUUAUUACACAUGCACGUGUACCUUGAUCCUUGCUUGGACAUAGGGUCCGAGGAAGUUACAUUGCUUUGACUACUGAUAUUGUUUGUGUUAAAGUGUGCCACAAUGGCAUAAAUAUUGUCGUUGCAUAAUGGGAAACCACGUCAUAUUUAUCGAUGAUAUGUGGAAAUAGGGAUAAGCUACUUUAUGAAGAUAUAUAAGGAUGUAUGGGUUACGUUGGUGGAAAAUGUUGUUAUGAACACAAAUGCAGUUGCAUUUAUCAUGCAUUCGCGGUGAAGUGCGCUAUUGUGGCAUAUAUCUUCCUUUUUGCCACAGAAGCAUGGUAGAAUUAUAAAGAGAGUAUGUUUCUAUAGACAUUUCAAAAAAGAGAUUUGUGUAUACUCUCAUUAUACUGUAAUCACCAUAGAUUAUUCAGAUUAGAAGUUGUUGUCUCUACCACAUAUUUAGAUUUUCUAUACAUACUAAUAUCUAUAUCGCAUAGAAAAUCAUGUAUUUAUAUGAGAUCUUUGUGGUGCAUGAUAAAGCAAGAUUCCUUUUGUUAUUGCAGCAAUUUAUAAGUAUUUAAAUAUAUACUAAUAGCUAGUUUCUUCUGUGUUAUAAGGACAAAAUAAGACAUGCAUAGACAUGCAAAUACGUAUUAGAAAUCUGCUACUCCAAAUGUAUCAUGUUAAUCCAUGUAAGCCACGAAUCGCGUGCAUAUCAGGCAAAGCAGUUUUUUUUGUAAAAACAAUACAUAAUACUAAUCGAUGGUAUAGACGAUUCAAUACAUAUGCAUCAAGACACCGCUACCUUGCACAUAGUGAUAUAGGAUGGAAUUGAAUCUGAUCCGCUCCUUUCCAACUUAAUCGAGUAAUGUGUACUUCUCAUAAAUAGGCAUGUAUAUAGUAAUUGUUCUUUUGACCAAACGCUUGGUAUAUUAAUGAUCACAUUAUACAUUUAUGUAACAUUUCUUACUUGCGAAAUCUUUUACAAAUUGGAAUAUGGGAAUUUUAUUAAUACCUAGAAGAAAUACUACUAUUUAGAACAUAUAAUAACUGGUACUAUACUUUUUCUUAAUAUUGGUACUAUACUUAAUUGGACCAAAAGUUGCACAUAUUUUUGAUUAGUUCAUUUUUUUCUACAGAUUUAUCGGCGCCAUUAUUUCUCUAUGGUUGACAUGUAUAUGAACUACUGUCUGUAUAUAUUGAUCUGCAUUUAGACAAAUAUCAGGGACAAACACACAUACUGUUUAGCAUGUGUAGUUGUAAAGGUAGAAUACUGAUUUGUAGUAUUAAGAAAAUAUAUUUAUAAGAUCUUACUACAAUGUAUAUGGAUUGAGAAUCAGAGAAAUAACCAAGUGUUGUGCAAGGAUCAUUCUGACUAUCCAGUGGCAGAAUAAAAAUAGGAUGCUAAGCGCGGGGAGAAUACUUAUGUCCUAUAAACCUGCAAAUAAGAAGCAUGCAUUCACCAUAUAUUAGAAUUCCAAAUUUUAUAGUUCCUUUGCAUGUUGGAAAUAAGCUUUGCCCCUUGUGAUAUGGAUUAUCACGUAGAAUGGAAAGAGGAGAAAAAAAUUAUGGCUUAGCAGAAUCAAUGAGGAAAAGCACUACAUGUGAAGUAUCAAAACGUUGUGAUAGCACGAACCCCACCAGAUUUGAACUCGUGCUCUUAGUAUGACAUGAAAAGAGGGGCUACUCUCCAAUCGAAGUGAAAAUAGUAGAACUUUGAACUUAUAUAUAUAUACGCUUAAAAAUUCUAAAAGCAAAUGGUCAAAAACUCAGAAUAGCUUGAGCGGGCACUACUUGCUAACUCAAGCACAUGGCAACACAGUAUUAAGUCAAGAUUUUGCAACCGAGAGGGAAAGUCAAAUAAAUAAAUAAAUAAAUAAGGAUUCUCAUCAAACCUGUGAAUCCAAGCUAGUAUCUAACUAUUGUAUUGCUCAUAGUUUUGCAUACACCAUGGAACGUACGAUACAUAGCAUGUUGAAAAAUUAUAACCAAUUAAAUAGAAGAUAAAGGCAUAGUGCUAGGAGAUCAUCUCUCAGAGCAAUCAUCGCUGACAUAAACCUUCGGUUAAAUCACAUGUCUAAUUAGAACCUAGAGGUCUUUUACUUUUCCUUUAUAUGGAACCUUUAUUUUGACCUUUGGGGACUAUAGCCGCCUCAAAUAUGCAACUUUUUUUCGAAAUUUUAGUAUAGUGUAGUUGGAGCUUUUCCUGGUGUUCCAUAAAAAUAGCAAAGGGCAUAUUUCCUUUAGCCUACUUAUAUAUAAAAAAACGGCGUUCCUUAAUUAUUAUUCAAACUGAAAACACAUGCUAUCUUUAAAAGCAAAGAUGUACCUUAUGUGAGAAUCAUGCAUGUGUUAUUUCUAAUUAGUUAGGCAAUAAAAUAAUAGCAUCGUAUCAUUAGAUAAAUUAUUUUUCAACUGAAUCAGACAUGUGGGGUUUGACAAAAUUGAAAGUAUAUGCGAAGAUGUUAAGGAGAAAAUGUCAAUAUAAAAAAACUGUUUCUAUAGGCAGAUGUGAAUUACGUACAAAAAUAGGUCUGUUCGCUUUACAAAAGUUCUGGUGAAACCAAACUCCUGAGUUACUACAUGUAGAGCUCAAAAAUACCAGAUAUAGAGUAUAAAAUGAGAAUGGAAUACUAAGUGCAUCUUACAGAAAUUAUAAGAUCUUUUUAAUAGCUUCCUCAAUAUUACAUAGCAUACACAACAAUGAGGCAUCAAAUGAAUCAGUAUUCUAAAUAUGUAAAGAAGAAUAAGAAACACAAAGUAGCUGCUGCUCGAGCAACUACUACAUGCAAAUACAAUGCUUGAGAAUUUUCAAGCGUUCUGUUCGCUUUUUACCCUGAUUCAGCAUGGAUUAAAAAACCACAGUACUUAAUUCCGUGUAUCCUAAAUUCAAGCGUCAUGUUCGACGAAUUUCACCAUAGAUUUACAUGCCUGUGGACUUGUAGAACCAACAGCGCACUCUACAACAUCCGACAGAUAAAUCGAUCUGCUUUCCGUUCGCUGUAGGUUGUUCAUUGGGAAGCAGCACGAUCCACUUUAGACCACCAUCAGUAGACCUGAUCCUACGCUGCAUCGCAUUGUUAUAUUGCAGUCAGCUCGGAACUUAUGUCAAGGAGAAUAGUUAGACGAUGGAUUUGAUAUUUGGCCUUUUUGAGAUCUGAAACGUGUGUGUACUUCGUAGCUGUCAGCAGGUGGAAGGCCGUCCUGACAAAGAGGCAUAUUGCAUCCUAAAUUCAAGCACCAUGUUCGAAAAAAAAUCAGUAUGGGUUUACUUGCCUGUGGACUUGUAGAACCAACAUCAAACCCGACAAAAUCGGACAGAUAAAUCGAUCUGCUUUCCGUUCGUAGUAGGUUCUCCAAUGGGCAGCAGCACGAUCCACUUUAGACCACCUGAUCCUACGCUGCAUCUUGCAGUCAGCUCCGAACUUAACCCAGAAGAAUAGUUAGACGAUGGAUUUGAUAGUUGGCCUUUUUUUAGAUCAGAAUUGUAGGUGCAGGGUGGCUCGGCGAUCCUGACAAAGAUGAGAUUGAUCGGGGUCGCUAAUAAUCCCUUGUAGCACCUGCCGGGAUCCUUUGUGGUUCGCCGAGUGCACUUGAUGGCGAUGGGAUCAAGGGAAGAGAAGAAUUGAAGGAGGUGGGGUCGAGGGACAUGUUUUUCCUAUUUUAGGGGGAGAUAUCUUUCCUUUCUGUUUUUGCGUGAUUGUUUUCGUUUUUCAAUCGGCCGAAGAUUUUAUUGACAGAUCUAUUUUCUUUUUCUUUUCAUCACGGGAUUUUACAUGAAAGGAGGCUAUCUUUUUUUAGCAUGGAAGGAAGAUAUCUUUUUUAAAGGAACCGAUGGAUGCUUUGUUUGUUUGUUAAGCCAAUCUUGACGGUGUCGCGUUCCUUUAUUUUUUACGGGGCCAUAUAUGCUACCAUUGAUUGCAAUUAGUUUUUUUCUCUUGGAGAUGGAUUAUUUGUUUGUUGAACGUGUCUGCCUUAAUUAUGGAUGGACCAUCUGUGUAACGCAUGUUUACUUUUUAUCUUGGACGUUAAUUCUAUAAUCUAUCGGUGUAAUUAAUUUUGAUGAUGUGGAUUAAUGAGAAGGCCUUAAAAGGUGCCUCCAAUUAGUAAAUAUAUAAGAUAUAAGAUAUUGAUUCAUGGAAUAAGUUUAAGGAUGAAUUUAUUUCCAAGUAUUUUCCUCCCGCUAAGAUCAUCUCUCUUAGGAACGACAUUAUGAAUUUUAACCAACUUGAUCAUGAACAUGUUGCACAAUCUCCGUAGAGGAUGAAAUUGAUGAUAUGAAAUUGCCCUACACAUGGUUUGAAUAUGUGGAUGAUUAUACAAUUUUUUAUGCCGGAUUGAAUUUUGCUUCUAGAAAUCUUUUAGAUUCGGCCGUGGGAGGUACUUUUAUGGAAAUUACUUUAGGAGAAGCUACUAAACUCCUAGAUAAUAUUACGGUUAAUUAUUCUCAAUGGUAUACUGAAAGAUCUUCCACUAGUAAAAAAGUGCAUGCGAUUGAUGAGUUUAAUGUUUUGAGUGGAAAGAUGGAUGACCUUAUGAAAUUAUAUGCUAGCAAGAGUGCUUCUGUUGAUCCUAAUGAUAUGCCUUUGUCUACUUUGAUUGAGAAUAAUAAUGAAUCUAUGUAUGUGAAUUUUGUUGGUAGGAACAAUUUUGGUAAUAACGCUUAUGGAGGUAAUUUUAAUCCUAGACUGCUUCCUAAUAAUUCCCCUAAUAAUUAUGGCAAUUCCUACAACAAUUCUUCACUGGUAGAAAAAGGGCCUGUAGUCCCGGUUCGUAAGGGCCUUUAGUCCCGGUUCCUGAACCGGGACUAAAGUGUCGGUACUAAUACCUCCCACCUUUAGUCCCGGUUCAAUCCAGAACCGGGACUAAAGCCCAUCCACGUGGGCAGUGUGCAGAGCCCAGUCAGGAGACCCUUUGGUCCCGGUUGGUGGCACCAACCGGGACCAAUAGGCAUCCACGCGUCAGCAUUUCUGUGNNNNNNNNNNNNNNNNNNNNNNNNNNNNNNNNNNNNNNNNNNNNNNNNNNNNNNNNNNNNNNNNNNNNNNNNNNNNNNNNNNNNNNNNNNNNNNNNNNNNNNNNNNNNNNNNNNNNNNNNNNNNNNNNNNNNNNNNNNNNNNNNNNNNNNNNNCCGGUUCAAUCCAGAACCGGGACUAAAGCCCAUCCACGUGGGCAGUGCGCAGAGCCCAGUCAGGAGACCCUUUGGUCCCGGUUGGUGGCACCAACCGGGACCAAUAGGCAUCCACGCGUCAGCAUUUCUGUGGCUAGGGUUUUUAUUUUUAUUUUUUGAAAGGGGGGGGGGGUUGGGGGUUUUGGGGGGUUAAUUUAGGUGUUUCAUAUAUUGUGUUAGCUAGCUAUAAUUAAUAUAGAGAAGUGUCCUCUCUUAUGUCCGUGCUUGGUCGACGCUACGUACUAUACAUACGUAUAGAGAGGACUAGACACGCUGGCUAGCUAGUAAAGCAAACGAAGGAAACAGAAGAUCGUCAUGAACAUAUAUGCAUACAGAGAGAAGUGAUAUCGACCACCUCUCCUUCUCCGAGAGAUUGGUCGAACAACAAGUUCUCGUAUAUCUAUCUGACAGUACCGGCUACAUAUAUACAGUAAUUAUCUCUUACAAAUAUAAUCAUACGGACUCAGGUUUAACAUAGAAUUCUCCGUCUUCAGGGAUCACGUGGUCAAAAAAGAAUGCCGCCAAUUCCUCUUGAAUUGCUCGCAUGCGAGCUGGUGCUAGGAGUUCAUCCCGCUUCCGAAACAUCUAAUUUGAAGAAGGGGGUCAAUACAUAUAUAUAUAUAUAUGAAUGAAUGAAACUCAACACAAAUGAUGGUAAUAAAAUAAAAUUGUGAAUAUUGUUAUUUACGUACUUCAUAUUGUUCGUUAGAGUACCCGCCCCGCUCACACGUCGUGUGACGGAUGGACUCGCAGAUGUAGUAUCCACAGAAAUCAUUCCCUUGUUCCUGCCACAACCACUUUACAAGAAAUAGAGGUCAAUCAAACUGAUAAGCAAGAAUGCUAAAUGGUAUUGAUGAAACUAGCGCUUGAAUCACUAGGAGAUGCGCGGAACAUGCUACUAUAGUACUUACUUUCGGGUGUCUAAAUUCUAGCUCCUUCGGCAGUCCCGGAACUUUUUUGGUGAAUUUUCUCCAAACCAUGCCGGACAAAGAAAACAAUUACUUGAUAUCAGGAAAUGAACAAAGUUGCUGAUAUGGUGGAUAAUGAUCGAUUUAACUUACUUCUUGAGGAUUUCAGUCAUGUCUGCAUAGUCCUGCGGAUCUUUUCGUUUUGAGUCUAAGAAGGUUACUAGUCCCUGCUCAAGCUUAAUCUCUAGGAGAAUAUAGUGGAAACUGCACACGCAUGCAUAACUUAUGAAUUACAUUACUAUAACCUUGAGUAAUAUAUAAGGGAAACCGAAUACGCACAAGACAGUAGCACUCACUUGAAGUUGUAAGGAAAGAGUAUUAUAUCUUUGUUUUGAUUUAUUACGAACGAUUGUAGAAAGUUGGCCUCGGUAGCUGUGACAUGAAGUUUAACCUGAAUUGCAUCUAUGAGAUAUGUGUUAAUGAACCCAAUAUCACCGACUUGUCUUUUCUUCAAUUCGACGAUCUUCAAUCUGCAUAAUAUAGUGAGGAUGAUUAUAAAUACAUGCAAUGAAAGAGCUAAGCUAUAUAGAGAAACUUAAUGACAGAAGUAGUACUACUUACAGACAGUAGCAGGCGACCGUUGUUUUAUCGAGGGCCAAUUGAUUGAAAAACUGAUAGAACUCCUCAAAUGGAACAGGCAACAGAUCAAUUCCAACGAGGUCAUGCUCCUUUUUAACUCUCACAUACAAAGUACUCCUCCCCCAGAGUCUCUGCAGAUUUUCAAGUACCAAUCAUGCAAUCUUCGCAUCAUCGUUGAUAGAGAUCUUUCAUCUUUGACGAGAGGCUUCCCGUACUCGUAUCUUUGCAUCUGCAUGUCCAUGGGUUCAUAAUGUACUUCGUCGGGUAGGUAAUCUGCAAGAUUAUUAUAACCGGGCACCAUCCUCGGAUCAUUAGCGACUUUGUGGCUAGGCACCUUGAGCGAGGGGCAUGAUUGCUUCGCUUGUUUGCCGAGCUGGGCAAUUUGUUUCCCAGCUCGUCGUUUUUUCAGCCUUUCAUCACUGACAGUAGUUCCCGACCGCUCCGCUUCGGCAAAUUCCUUUCCAAUAAUGCGGUCAUAGUUUCCUUUCGGCGGAUCAGACUUUGGUGGUUUUGUCAGGGCAGCCAGAGUGCGCUUCACUUUCACCCCAUCUACCUUCUCCUCUGGAGGUGGAUGUUUCUUUGCUUUCACCCCUUCAAAGAAUUUCCUCACUUCUUCUCACGCGAUCUCGGCGUUCUCCUCCUGGGUCCUCUCGUAUGGUAACUUCUCUGGAGUCUUCAGAGAAGGACCGAAUCUGUAUGUCCUCCCGCCUCUGGUUGUACUGCUAGACGCCGACCGAGCAAACGAAGCGGUUGUCUUCUUUACUUGCUUAAGAGGCGGAGGAGAAGGACUACGACCCGCCGGAGCAGCUGGAGCGGCGGCAGGUCUCUUCUGCCCUUGCUGACGAGGCGGAGAAGGAGGAGGUUGGCUGCUCGGGCGCGUCGGCGCAGGCGGAGACGGAGGCGGAGUGCCGCCACGCGCCGGAGAAGGAGCCGGCCGAGGGCCCUGAUCCUCACUCGCCGGAGGAGGAGGUGGUGGAGGAGGCGGAGUGCCCUGACUCGCCGGAGGAGGAGGAGGAGGCGGAGGCGUCCAGUUCGGAAGGUUGAUGAGGUCCUUCCGCCAUAGGCAUGGAGUCUUCAGAGCAGACCCCAGCCGAGUCUCCCCUUCACCGGUAGGGUGGUCAAGCUGGAGGUCCUCAAAUCCCUCCGUUAUCUCAUCCACCAUCACCCUAGCAUAUCCUUCUGGAAUCGGCAUGCAGUGAAAAGUUGCGCCGGGUUCAGUAGGAUAAACAGAGCCAACAGCCGCCUUGACCUUCAAAUUCAUCCAUUGCGUCAUAAGGUGGCAAUUUUGAGACUCCGUUAUAGCAUCCACAGGAUAGCUGGCAGGAGCCGUCAAGGCAUGCUGCAGCUGAAGCUGCUCGGUGGAAGCCACGCUGCUUCUGCGCUGAGAUGGCGGGGUAGCUUCGGGGGAGGCUUCGGCAGUACGUUUGUUGCGAUUUGCUUCUCGUUCCUCUAUCGCUUGUACCCUUGCGUGCAGCGCCUGCAGUUCGGUCUGCUGCACUUUUUUCCUCCUCUCAUGGGAUUUGUAACCGCCUGCGUCCGGAAACCCAACCUUCCACGGAACGGAGCCUGGCGUGCCUCGUGUCCGUCCAGGGUGCUCAGGAUUCCCGAGGGCCAUUGUGAGCUCGUUGUGCUCUCUGUCUGGAAAGAACGUCCCUUCCUGCGCUGCGUCGAUAUAGUGCUUAAGCUUACUGACUGGUAUGUCCAUUUGUUCGUUCGUCCAAAUGCAGUUCCCUAUUUCAGGGUCCAAGGUUCCGCCACCCCCGAAGAACCAAGUCCGGCAACGGUCUGGCCAGUUAUUUGUCUCUGGUCCGAUCCCUUUAUGAACCAGAUCAUUCUCAACCAUGGACCACUUAGGCCGGGCUACGAGGUAGCCACCUGACCCCGUGCGAUGGUGAAGCUUCUUCUUCGCGGCAUUCUGCUUGUUUGUCGCCGACAUCUUCUUACUCUUUUCCGAUGUCUUGUAGGCCACAAAUGCGGGCCAGUGAUCUCUGAUCUUCUCAUAUCUUCCCUUGAAUUCUGGUGUCUCUUUUUUAUCGACAAACCUAUUCAGCUCUUUCUUCCACCUCCUGAAUAGAUCUGCCAUCCUCUUCAGAGAAAAAGACUUGAUUAAUUUCUCUUUAAUUGGGUUCUCUGGAUUAUCCUCUGGCGGUAGGGUGAAAUUUGACUUCAGCUCAGUCCAAAGAUCAUUUUUCUGCAUAUCAUUGACAUAAGACACCUCAGGGUCUUCUGUAGCCGGCUUAAACCAUUGCUGGAUGCUUAUCGGGAUCUUGUCCCUAACCAGAACCCCGCACUGAGCAACAAAUGCCCUCUUUGUCCGGAGGGGUUCAAUAGGUUGGCCGUCGGGCGCGAUUGCUGUGAUCUCAAGCUUUUCAUCCGAGCUCAACUUUUUCUUCGGGCCUCGUCUCUUUACCGAAGUUGUGCUCGAUCCGGAGGGCUAGAAAAAAGAACAAAGACUUAAUUAAUAUGUGUACAUACCAAAACAAUGAAUGCAUCAAUCAGCUAGUCAGCAUAGGCUUAACUAAUAUAUAUACCUGGCCGGACUCGGUUCGGUCACCGGAGCCGUCAUCACGGUCUCCUUCUUGCACCGGCAUUGGGUCACCGGCGCCGUCCUCAUGUUCUUCUUCUUGCACCGGCAUUAGGUCACCGUAGCCAGCUUGUUCACCCUCUCCUUCCGGACCAUCGAUGAUAUCGUUGAGAUAGUACGAGACGGCAUCACUUCCUUGUGCGAUUAUCUCCCUCAACAACGCUUCUUUUGUUGCUUCGUCUAGGGCGGUGUCCAUAGUUUCUACAAAUAUUUACAACAUGGCAAUUAUUAUUCAAACAUGACAGAUGGAUAUAUUAGUGCCAAACGUAGAACUACCUACCUAAUCAUAGUAAGCUAUCGGGAGGGGGUAUAUAUCGACAACGACGACACUACAUCUAUAUAUGUCCCUCGAUGACCCUCGUUCCUGAUAAAAAAAGAGGAAGAAGAAGAAAAAAAAGAGGAGAAGAAAGAAUAGAGGAGAAGAACUCCUCUAUUCUUUCUUCUCCUCUUUUUUCUUCUUCUUCCUCUUCUUUUUUUAUCCUCUUCUUCCUCUCAUGUUCGAGAGGAUCGCCUUGGGGUCGGGAGGUUGCCUAGUGUCAAAGGAUUCAACAAAACCAUGUCUUCAUCAUUAGGCGAAAGUAACAUGUGCAUGAUGGUAGGAAGCUCUUCAAAGUUGUUCUGGAACGGAGUCCCAGAUAGGAUAAUUCGCUUUUUGGUACAAAGUUCAGCAAGAGCCUUCCGAAUAUCGCUAUUUGGAAGGCCUUUGCUGAAUUCGUACCAAAAGGCGGAUUAUUCUAUCCGGGACUCCAUUCCAGAACAACUUUGCAGAACUUCAUACCAACAUGCCCUGGUUACUUCCGGCUAAUGAUGAAGGCAUGGAUUUCUUCAAUACUUUGACACUAGGAAACCUCUCUCGACCCCUCGGCGAUUCUUGACCCCUCGAACCCUCAACGACCCUGAAACCCUCGACGCUUGACCCCUUAACGACCCUCGACCCUCUACCCUAGUUCCCGACCCUCGACCAAUAGAGGAGAAGAAGAAAGGAAUAGCUAGAGGAGAAGAUCGAAGAAAAAAAAGAAGAAACAAAAGAGGAGAAGAAGAAAGGAAUAGUGGAGAAGAAGAGAAAAUAGAAUAUAUAUUCUAUUUUCUCUUCUUCUCCACUAUUCCUUUCUUCUUCUCCUCUUCUUUUUCUUCUGUUUUCUUCUUCUUAUUUAUUUCUCCUCUUCUUUUCGGUAGAGGAAACCCUAAAUAGCUAGCAAGUAUCGUGGGUGUGAGAUACAUGUGGCCUUCGGUGUCGGACACUACAUCCACGUCCCACAAGUGACGUGGGCGUCGAAACCCGCGCCACUUGUGGGAUGUGGAUGUAGUGUCCGACACCGACGGUACAUGUAUCUCACACCGACGAUACUUUCUAUUUAGGGUUUCUCCUCUACCACUCGGCGGCCCUCUCGACGACCCUCGUUCCCGAUAAUAUAAAGAGGAAGAAGAAGAAGAAAAAAGAAGAGAAGAAAGAAUAGAGGAGACGAACCCUCGAACCCUCGAACCCUAGACGACCCUCUUCUUCCUCUCAUGUUCGAGAGGAUCGCCGAGGGGUCGGGAGGUUGCCUAGUGUCAAAGGAAACCCUAAAUAGCUAGCAAGUGUCAUGGGUGUGAGAUACAUGUGGCCUUCGGUGUCGGACACUACAUCCACGUCCCACAAGUGACGUGGGCGUCGAAGCCCGCGCCACUUGUGGGAUGUGGAUGUAAUGUCCGACACCGACGGUACAUGUAUCUCACACCGACGAUACUUUCUAUUUAGGGUUUCUCCUCUACCACUCGGCGGCCCUCUCGACGACCCUCGUUCCCGAUAAAAUAAAGAGGAAGAAGAAGAAGAAAAAAGAAGAGAAGAAAGAAUAGAGGAGAAGUCUCCUCUAUUCUUUCCUCGCCUCUCUCAUGAAUGUCCGGCGUUCUCGACCCCCCCCCCUCCCCACGUGUCGAAGAAAAAAAAGAAGAAAAAAAAGAGGAGAAGAAGAAAGGAAUAGAGGAGAAAAGAGAAAAAUAGAAUAUUCNNNNNNNNNNNNNNNNNNNNNNNNNNNNNNNNNNNNNNNNNNNNNNNNNNNNNNNNNNNNNNNNNNNNNNNNNNNNNNNNNNNNNNNNNNNNNNNNNNNNNNNNNNNNNNNNNNNNNNNNNNNNNNNNNNNNNNNNNNNNNNNNNNNNNNNNNNNNNNNNNNNNNNNNNNNNNNNNNNNNNNNNNNNNNNNNNNNNNNNNNNNNNNNNNNNNNNNNNNNNNNNNNNNNNNNNNNNNNNNNNNNNNNNNNNNNNNNNNNNNNNNNNNNNNNNNNNNNNNNNNNNNNNNNNNNNNNNNNNNNNNNNNNNNNNNNNNNNNNNNNNNNNNNNNNNNNNNNNNNNNNNNNNNNNNNNNNNNNNNNNNNNNNNNNNNNNNNNNNNNNNNNNNNNNNNNNNNNNNNNNNNNNNNNNNNNNNNNNNNNNNNNNNNNNNNNNNNNNNNNNNNNNNNNNNNNNNNNNNNNNNNNNNNNNNNNNNNNNNNNNNNNNNNNNNNNNNNNNNNNNNNNNNNNNNNNNNNNNNNNNNNNNNNNNNNNNNNNNNNNNNNNNNNNNNNNNNNNNNNNNNNNNNNNNNNNNNNNNNNNNNNNNNNNNNNNNNNNNNNNNNNNNNNNNNNNNNNNNNNNNNNNNNNNNNNNNNNNNNNNNNNNNNNNNNNNNNNNNNNNNNNNNNNNNNNNNNNNNNNNNNNNNNNNNNNNNNNNNGGGACUAAAGGGGGGCAAUGGUCACGGUUGGUGCCACGAACCGUGACCAAUGCCACCUUUAGUCCCGGUUGGUGCCACCAACCGGGACCAAUGCCCUUGUGCGCCCCGCGCCCAGAAGUUUAGUCCCACAUCGCUAGCUGAAGGGCGCCGAUACUGGUUUAUAAGCGCUGCUCUGCCUCCCCUUUCGAGCUCCUCUCAAAUGCAGGCUUUCGGGCCUAAACUGCUACUGCCUGUGGGCCUAUUGGGCCUCUGCGGGCCUGAAUCCUGGCCCAUGUAGGGUUUCUAGUCGUAUUCAGGCCGUGGAGGCCCAGUAGGAGGCAUUUUUUUUGGUUUUUUCUUUUUUGUUUCUAUAUUUUUUUGGUUUUUUAUUUUUUUUAUUUCUACUUACAACUAAAUACUUACAGUUUUUUAGUGAUUUCUUUUUGCUUUUAGGUCACAAAAAUUAUAAACUUUCUAUUAGUGCCAUUAGUUUUAAAUUUUAAAUAGUUUAAAUUUGAAUUUUUAAAAAUUUGUGUGAAUCACUAGUUUAUGAAUAACUUUACUAUAAAGUUAGAAUUUGUUUUCUAUUUAUUUUUUAUUUCUACUUACAACUAAAUACUUACAGUUUUUUAGUGAUUUGUUUUUGCUUUUAGGUCACAAAAAUUAUAAACUUUCUGUUAGUGCCUUUAGUUUUAAAUUUUAAAUAGUUUAAAUUUGAAUUUUUAAAAAUUUGUGUGAAUCACUAGUUUAUGAAUUUUUUUCUUCUUUGCUAUUUAUUUUUGAUUUAUACUUACAAUUAAAUACUUAUAGUUUGCUUUUAGGUCACACAAAUUAUAUUCUUUUUGCUAUUGAAGAAUAUUAUAGUUUUAUUUUAGUUGAUCAUAACAUAAUAUUUUAAUUGAUUGUUUUUAUUUUCAUAAAAGUUUUGUAGUUCAUUCUGUUUGCUAUUAAUUCAUUCUUUGAGCUAAAUGACUCUGAAAUUGGAAAGCAUUUCAAAAUGAACUCUGAAAAGGUUGAAAGUUGGCAUGGUAUCAUCAUUUCACCCACAUAGCAUGUUCCAAAAAGUAGAGAGGGUUACGACAAAAACUUGAUGCACUUCGUGUACAAAAUGGACAAUCACUUUCGAAGUAUCAAAGUUUCAAACCAUAAGACAUGAAAGCAUUUCGAAUGAACUCUGAAAAAGUUGAAAGUUGGGAUGCAUGGUAUCAUAAUUUCACCCACAUAGCAUUUUCUUAUUGCGGGAGAAAGUCUUCACUUUUUCUUCGCUUGUGUCAUUUGCUUAUUGCGCCGUAACCAUGGAUAAUCUUCAUUGUUUUUAAGGAUGCUUGGGUCAGCCUUGACAUUGAAGGGAGGAAUUUCAUGAAACUUUUCAUAAUCUUCAGACAUGUCUGUCUUGCCGUCCACUCCCAGGAUGUCCCUUUUUCCUGAAAGAACUAUGUGGCGCUUUGGCUCAUCGUAUGAUGUAUUCGCUUCCUUAUCUUUUCUUUUUCUCGGUUUAGUAGACAUGUCCUUCACAUAGAUAACCUGUGCCACAUCAUUGGCUAGGACGAACGGUUCGUCAGUGUACCCAAGAUUUUUCAGAUCCACUGUUGUCAUUCCGUACUGUGGGUCUACUUGUACCCCACCGCCAAACAGAAUGACCCAUUUGCACUUAAACAAAGGGACCUUAAAAUCAGGUCCGUAGUCAAGUUCCCAUAUGUCCACUAUGUAACCAUAAUAUGUGUCCUUUCCUCUCUCGGUUGCUGCAUCAAAGCGGACACCGCUGUUUUGGUUGGUGCUCUUUUGAUCUUGGGCGAUCGUGUAAAAUGUAUUCCCAUUUAUCUCGUAUCCUUUGUAAGUCAAUACAGUCAAAGAUGGUCCCCUGGACAACAAGUACAACUCAUCACAAACAGUGUUGUCACCUCUGAGACGUGUUUCCAACCAACUCCUGAAAGUCCUGAUGUGUUCACAUGUAAUCCAGUCGUCGCAUUGCUCCGGGUGUUUGGAGCGCAGACUGUUCUUGUGUUCAUCGACAUACGGGGUCCCCAAGGUAGAGUUCUGUAGAACUGUGUAGUGUGCUUGAGACCAAGAAUAUCCGUCCCUGCAUAUUAUUGAGUCUCUUCCAAGAGUGCCUUUUCCAGUCAGUCUCCCCUCAUACCGCGAUUUAGGGAGACCUAUCUUGUUAAGGCCAGGAAUGAAGUCAACACAAAACCCGAUAACAUCCUCUGUUUGAUGGCCCAUGGAGAUGCUUCCUUCUGGCCUAGCGCGGUUACGGACAUAUUUCUUUAGGACUCCCAUGAACCUCUCAAAGGGGAACAUAUUGUGUAGAAAUACGGGCCCCAGGAUGACAAUCUCGUCGACUAGAUGAACUAGGACGUGCGUCAUGAUAUUGAAGAAGGAUUGUGGGAACACCAGCUCGAAACUGACAAGACAUUGCGCCACAUCACUCCUUAGCCUUGGUACCAUUUCUGGAUCGAUCACCUUCUAAGAGAUUGCAUUGAGGAAUGCACAUAGCUUCACAAUGGCUAAUCGGACGUUUUCCGGUAAAAGCCCCCUCAAUGCAACCAGAAGCAGUUGCGUCAUAAUCACGUGGCAGUCAUGAGACUUUAGGUUCUGAAACUUUUUCUCUGGCAUAUUUAUUAUUCCCUUUAUAUUCGAUGAGAAGCCAGUCAUGACCUUCAUACUAAGCAGGCAUUCAAAGAAGAUUUCUUUCUCUUCUUUCGUAAGAGUGUAGCUGGCAGGACCUUUAUACUGCUUCGGAGGCAUGUCAUCUUUUUUGUGCAAACGUUGCAGGUCCUCCCAUGCCUCCGGCGUAUCUUUUGUCUUCCCAUACACGCCCAAGAAGCCUAGCAGGUUCACGCAAAGGUUCUUCGUCACGUGCAUCACGUUGAUUGAGGAGCGGACCUCUAGGUCUUUCCAGUAGGGUAGGUCCCAAAAUAUAGAUUUCUUCUUCCACAUGGGUGUGUGUCCCUCAGCGUCAUUCGGAACAGCUAGUCCACCGGGACCCUUUCCAAAGAUGACGUAGGGUAAAUCAUUGACCAUAGCAAGCACGUGAUCACCGGUGCGCAUGGCGGGCUUCUUUCGGUGAUCUGCCUCGCCUUUGAAAUGCUUGCCUUUCUUUCGACAUUGAUGGUUGGUCGGAAGAAAUCGACGAUGGCCCAGGUGCACAUUCUUCCUGCAUUUGUCCAGGUAUAUACUUUCAGUGUCAUCUAAACAGUGCGUGCAUGCGUGGUAUCCUUUGUUUGUCUGUCCUGAAAGGUUACUGAGAGCGGGCCAAUCGUUGAUGGUCACGAACAGCAACGCCUUAAGGUUAAAUUCCUCCUGUCUGUGCUCAUCCCACGUACGUACACCAUUUUCAUUCCACAGCUGUAAAAGUUCUUCAACUAAUGGACUUAGGUACACAUCAAUUUCGUUGCCGGGUUGCUUAGGGCCUUGGAUGAGAACUGGCAUCAUAAUGAACUUCCGCUUCAUGCACAUCCAAGGAGGAAGGUUAUACAUACAUAGAGUCGCGGGCCAGGUGCUGUGAUUACUGCUCUGCUCCCCGAAAGGAUUAAUGCCAUCCGCGCUUAAAGCAAACCAUACAUUCCUAGGGUCCUUUGCAAACUCAUCCCAGUACUUUCUCUCGAUUUUUCUCCACUGCGACCCGUCAGCGGGUGCUCUCAACUUCCCAUCUUUCUUUCGUUUCUCACUGUGCCAUCGCAUCAACUUGGCAUGCUCUUCGUUUCUGAACAGACGUUUCAACCGUGGUAUUAUAGGAGCAUACCACAUCACCUUUGCAGGGACCCUCUUCCUGAGGGGCUCGCCGUCAACAUCACCGGGGUCAUCUCGUCUGAUCUUAUACCGCAACGCACCGCAUACCGGGCAUGCGUUCAGAUCCUUGUAUGCACCGCGGUAGAGGAUGCAGUCAUUAGGGCAUGCAUGUAUCUUCUCCACCUCCAAUCCUAGAGGGCAUACGACCUUCUUUGCUGCGUAUGUACUGUCGGGCAAUUCGUUAUCCUUUGGAAGCUUCUUCUUCAAUAUUUUCAGUAGCUUCUCAAAUCCUUUGUCAGCCACAGCAUUCUCUGCCUUCCACUGCAGCAAUUCUAGUACGGUACUGAGCUUUGUGUUGCCAUCUUCGCAAUUGGGGUAUAACCCUUUUUUGUGAUCCUCUAACAUGCGAUCGAACUUCAGCUUCUCCUUUUGACUAAUGCAUUGCGUCCUUGCAUCGACAAUGACCCGGCGGAGAUCAUCAUCAUCGGGCACAUCGUCUGGUUCCUCUUGAUCUUCAGCAGCUUCACCUGUGGCAGCAUCAUUGGGCACAUCAUCAUCUGGUUCCUCUUGAUCUUCACCAGCUCCCCCCGUUGCAGCAUCACCGUAUUCAGGGGGCACAUAGUUGUCAUCGUACUCUUCUUCUUCGCCGUCUUCCAUCAUAACCCCUAUUUCUCCGUGCCUCGUCCAAACAUUAUAGUGUGGCAUGAAACCCUUGUAAAGCAGGUGGGAGUGAAGGAUUUUCCGGUUAGAGUAAGACCUCGUAUUCCCACAUUCAGUGCAUGGACAACACAUAAAACCAUUCUGCUUGUUUUCCUCAGCCGCAUCGAGAAACUCAUGCACACCCUUAAUGUACUCGCGGGUGUGUCUGUCACCGUACAUCCAUUGCCGGUUCAUCUGCGUGCAUUAUAUAUAAUUAAGUGUCCAAAUUAAUAGAAGUUCAUCAUCACAUUAAAACCAAAGUGCAUACAUAGUUCUCAUCUAACAACAUAUAGCUCUCCAGAGCAUCUAAUUAAUUAAACCAUACAUUGAAACUAUGUAAAACAUUUCAAUGCGAAAACAAAUGCGAUCAUAAUCGCAACCAAGGUAACAAUUGAUCCAACGGCAUAAUGAUACCAAGCCUCGGUAUGAAUGGCAUAUUUUCUAAUCUUUCUAAUCUUCAAGCGCAUUGCAUCCAUCUUGAUCUUGUGAUCAUCGACGACAUCCGCAACAUGCAACUCCAAUAUCAUCUUCUCCUCCUCAAUUUUUUUUAUUUUUUCCUUCAACAAAUUGUUUUCUUCUUCAACUAAAUUUAACCUCUCGACAAUAGGGUCGGUUGGCAUUUCCGAUUCACAUACAUCCUAGAUAAAUAAAAUCUAUGUCACGUUGGUCAGCAUAAUUUUCAUAAACAAUAAAUGAACCAAUAGUUAUAAAGAUAAUAUACAUACCACAUCCGAAUCAUAGACAGGACGAGGGCCGACGGGGGCGGAUACCAAAACCAUCGCACUAUAUAAGAUGCAAUAAUAAAUGUAAGAAAAUGAUACAAGUAUCUAUCUAAACAUACAAGUAAGAAUAUUUUUCCUUUCAGAAAGAAGAUAAGAACAAGAGGCUCACCACGGUGGUGUCGGUGAUGAGAUCGGCGCGGGUGAUCGACGGCAGUGAAGACGGGGACGGGGCGUGACGGACCGCUAAAUCUAGACAAAUCUCGAGGAAAAUGGAGCUUGGAGGUCGAGCUUCGAGAGGAGAAAGCUUAAGUAGUGUGGCUCGGGCAUUCCAUCGAACACCUCAUGUGCAUAGGAGGUGAGCUAGAGCACCACAAAGCCCUCUCCCCCUCGGCCAGAGAAAACAGAGCACUGGGGUGCUCUGCUCACGAGCGAGGGGUAUAUAUAGGCACCUCAUUGGUCCCGGUUGGUGGCAUGAGCCGGGACUAAAGGGAAGCCUUUGGUCCCGGUUCGGGCCACCAACCGGGACCAAUGAUGGUGGGCCAGGAGGGAGGCCCAUUGGUCCCGGUUCGUCCCACCAACCGGGACCAAAAGGUCCAUACGAACCAGGACCAAUGGCCCACGUGGCCCGGCCGGCCCCCUGGGCUCACGAACCGGGACCAAUUCCCACAUUGGUCCCGGUUCAAGACUGAACCGGGACUAAUGGGCUGAGGCGGCCUGGACCAUAGCCCCUUUUUCUACUAGUGCUUAUGGAAAUUAUAAUAAGAUGCCCUCUAAUUUUGAGAAUAGUGUUAAAUAAUUUAUGAGUUCGCAAAAGAAUUUCAAUGCUUUGAUUGAAGAAAAAUUGCUUAAGAUUGGUGAUUUGGCUAGGAACGUGGAUAGAACUACCCUUGAUGUCGAUUCUUUGAAACUUAGAUCUAUUUCACAUAAGCAUGAUAUCAAUGAGUCUCUCAAGGCUAUGAGAAUUCCCAUUGAUGAGUGCAAGGAAAGAACCGCUAAGAUGCGUGCUAAAAAAGAUUGGUUUAUAAAAGCGUGUUCUUCUAGCUAGUUUCCGUGAAAAUAAUGAUGAAGAUCUUAAAGUGAUUGAUGUGACUCCUAUUGAAUUUUUGUUUUCCAAUAUAAAUCUUGAGAAAGAUGGGACUGGAUAUGAGUCAACUUUAGUUAGAAGGCGUCCCAAUGAUUCGGAGUUUUUAGAUAUUAAUGCAAAAAUUGAUAAAAGUGGGAUUGGAGAGGUUAAAACUUUAGGUAGUAAUGAACCCACUCUUUUGGAUUUCAAGGAAUUUAAUUAUAAUAAUUUCUCUUUAAUAGAUUGUAUUUCCUUGUUGCAAUCCAUGUUGAAUUUUCCUCAUGCUUAUAAUCAAAACAAAGCUUUUACUAAACAUAUCAUUGAUGCUAUGAUGCAAUCCUUUGAAGAAAAGCUUGAAUUGGAAGUUUCUAUUCCUACACUAGUAGACAAAGGGUCAAACAUGAAGCACAUUAGUGCCGGUUUGAAUUUGAGCCGGCACUAAUGUGUGCAUUAGUGCCGGUUCCAACGGCUAGCCGGCCGCUCUCAUUAGUACCGGUUCAUGGCGAACCUUUAGCACCGGUUCGUGCCACGAACCGGUACUAAAGUGAGUGGUGGCAGGAUGUUGUCACUCCGGGGCCCCUCCAGCACCUUUAGUACCGGGUCGUAUCACGAACCGGUCCUAAAGGCCGUCCUACAUAGACCCUUCGUCCACCCGAGCUCGCUCUGUUCUUCCCCUUUCCCCUCUCCUCUUUGUACUUUUCCCUCUUCCUCUCAAUCUCAUCACACAUUUUGCCCAAAAUUUGUCAAGAUUUGAAGGCCCCCAUCCAUUCAAAUGAUCACAAAGGUUAGCAACUUUUUCCUUUCAUCUCUCAUUGCUAGAUUAGCUCGUGCAAUGCUUUAUAUAGUGAUUGAUUUUUGAGUUUAGUAAUUUGGGAGGAAUUAUAUAUAUGUGCUAGUAUUUGAUUUAUAUGCAAUUUUAGGUCAAAAAUAACACUUAGUUUGCAUAUGUAGGUGUGGUUUACGUAGUACCUUCUAAAUCUCCGUCGUAACCACCGUCGAUCGCUCGCAACGUCCCGUCACCAGCACCACCUUUUGGUGAGCCUCUUGUUCAUGAAGUUUUAUAUAAAAAAUUGAUGUUUGUGUGAUUUGGAUAUAUAGUUACUCGUAUAAUUAUCUUACCCAUACGUUGUUUGUUAUACAUAGUGCCAUGGUUUUGAUAUCCGUCCCCGUUGGCCCUCGUCCGGGUUAUGAUUCGGAUGUGGUAUAUUCUAUUUUAAAACUAUUCAUUGCAUUUCGUGUUUAUGACAAAUUAUGCCCAUCAAGUUGACAUAGAUAUUUGUAUGUAGGAGGUAGUUGAAACGGAAAUUCCAACCGACCCUAUUGUCGAGAGGUUAAAUUUAGUUGAAAGAGAAAACGAGGAUUUGAAGGAAAAAUUGAAAAGAAUUGAGGGGGAGAAGAUGGAAUUGGAGUUGCAUGUUGCCGAUGUCGUCGAUGAUCACAAGAUUAAGAUGGAGAAAAUGCGCUUGAAGAUUAGAAAGAUUAGAAAAUAUGCCAUUCAUAGUGAGGCUUGGUAGCAUUAUGCUGUUGGAUCAAUUGUUACCUUAGUUGCGAUCUUGAUCGCAUUUGUUGUUGCAUUUAAAUUCUUUAGCUAGGGACUUAUUUGUUUGUUGCAUUUAAGUGUUGUAUGAUCUUUAUGUAUGAACCUUAUGUAUUGUAUUAAUUUGAUGUUUUCGGUGUUGUGUAUUGAAGAUGAGCCGGCAAUGGAUGUACGAUGACUGAUGCUCUCCCAAGUUCAUUAAUGGCGUGCGUACUUUUCUGCUUGCGGCUGAGGCAAACAAGCGAGCGGAUGGUUGUAUGCCUUGUCCAUGUGCUGGCUGUAAGAAUGGUCACAGUUACUCUACGUCAAGAACCAUUCACGUCCACCUGUUUGAGUCUGGUUUCAUGCCCCACUAUAAUGUUUGGACCAAGCAUGGAGAAAGAGGGGUUAUGAUGGAAGACAAUGAAGAAGAAGAGGACGACGAAAGCUAUCCUGGCCAUGGGUUCCCUGAAUACGGUGAUACAACAAUGAGGGAAGAAGCUGAGCCGGUAAUGCGGGAAGAAGCUGAGCCGGCAAUGCGGGAAGAAGCUGAACAAGAGGCACGGAUGAGCCCGUUGAUGAUCUAGGUCGGGCCAUUGCCGAUGCAAAGAGAAACCGCGCUAGUGAUUUGGAGAAGAAGAAGUUGCAGCGCAUGUUAGAGGAUCACAAAAAUUGUUGUACCCGAAUUGCGUAGGUGACAAGAAAAAGCUAGGCACCACACUGGAAUUGCUGCAAUGGAAGGCAAAGAAUGGUGUAUCUGACAUGGGAUUUGGAAAGUUGCUGGUAAUGAUAAAGGAUAUGCUUCCAAAGGACAACAAAUUGCUCGAGAGUACGUACGAAGCAAAGAAGAUUGUCUGCCCUCUAGGGUUAGAGGUGCAGAUGAUACAUGCAUGCCCUAAUGAUUGCAUCCCCUACCACGGUGAGUAUGAGGAUUUGAAAGCUUGCCCGGUAUGAGGUGCAUUGCGCUAUAAGAUCAGCCACGAUGACCAUGGUGAUGUCGAGGGCGAGCGCCCCAGGAAGAAGAUACCUGCCAAGGUGAUGUGGUAUGCUCCUAUAAUACCAUGGCUGAAACGUUUGUUCCAAAACAAUGAGCAUGCCAAGGCGAUGUGAUGGCACAGAGAAGACCGUAAGAAAGACGGAAAGUUGAGAGUACCCGCUGACGGGUCGCAGUGGAGAAAAAUCGAAAGAAAGUACGGGAAGGAGUUUGCAGAUGACGCAAGGAACGUAUGGUUUGGUCUAAGCGCAGAUGGCAUUAAUCCUUUUGGGGAGCAGAGCAGCAACCAUAGCACCUGGCCUGUGACUCUAUGUUUGUAUAACCUUCCUCCUUGGUUGUGCAUGAAGCGGAAGUUCAUUAUGAUGCCAGUGCUCAUCCAAGGCCCUAAGUGUCAGGACCCCGAUUCCAAGUCACAUCGUUCUAGCCGGUAACACCUCAUAUCACUUUGCGGCCUCAUGCACGGUAUCCCACAGGUGUCGCCUUACCAUGGCCCGGGACCGUUUGCGCCUUUUGGCUCACGUAUAUGAUAGUGUCGCUAGCAUCCAUAUGACAGAGAACCCGGGCCGACAUGGCUAGUCGUGAACCCAAAGCGGCACAGACCUAUGGAGACAGGCAUACAUGAAUCACAUCAAGCAUGUCAGUCAUCAGUGAGUGAAUCCGGGCUGUAGCACUGGGCUAACAGGACUCCGGGGAACCCGGGCUGUAGCAGGCUAGGCAGGACUCCGGAUGUCACCGCGUGACAUUUCCCCGAAGGGACAGACAUAGGAACGACGUGAAACACAUGCCGGCCAGUCAAGUGUCCUGAGCAGUAGUGCUGGGCUAGCAGGACUCCGGUGAACCGGGCUGUAGCGGACUACUAUGGCUCGAGGAACACUAGACUACGUUUCCCCAUAAGAAAGGCUGCCAAGGAUAAACAACUAGAUUGUCGGAUCCCACUCAUACCAAGCAUUUCAAUCAUACACACAAUAUGCCCGAUAUGAGUACAUACAACAUGGCAUCACAAGAAAACUCUACAACUCAAAUACUUUAUUUAAAGGCUCCAGAGAGCCAUACAUAACAUGUUCAUACAGAUAGGGGUCACAUGACCCGACACUCAAGUCAUACAAUCAUACAAGCACAAGCGGAAGCAACUAGUCUGAGUACAGACACUAGAAAGAAAGAAGGCUUCUCGAAGCCUGUCUAUCUACAUAGGUCUCUCCAUGGCCAGGAUCACCACCUGGGUGGCUAGUCACUCGUCGACGUCAAGGUCUACGUAGAACCCAUCGGAGGGGCGGUGUUGUCAUCUGAAAACCGUAAUUAAGCAAACAUGAGUACAAAGGUACUCAGCAAGUCUUACAACAUAACCUACUAUAAAUGCUCAUUCUCAAGAAGGUGGUGGGGUUAUUGCAGCAAGCCAGCUUUGACUCUUGGCUAAGCUAUCCUACGGAACUCCACUAGUAAAAUAGUUUUCGCACACGAGUCCACUACUCACCAACAUAAUACUCCACCGGGGAUCCUCUCUCGUCAUCCUACGAGAGGGCCAUCCUCGGUACUCACACUUAUCUUGAGUCUUUUAGUAAUAACCAUUAACUUGUCUAUGAACUGUAUAGGCAACCAGGUAGUCCUUUACCGCGGACGCGGCUAUUCGAAUAGUUUUAUACCCUGCAGGGGUGUACUUCCUCAUACACGCUUUCACCACUUACCGCCGUUUACACGACAUGUACUCGGCAACCUUCAAGCCUUGGCCCAACGAGGGUGUCGGCCACGGCCUACCUAAACACUCAAAUCUCUAGUCCAGGUGCAUCGCCUAUCCAAGUUCCAUCCGCAGGGAGUCCGGCCGAGGUUUCCACAUACGGCCCCGAACGAUGUGAACAGGGUUCCCGAGACACCAAACAGGUGACUCGGUACACCGUGCCACGGUGUAUCUACCGCAACAUAGCCCACCCCUAGGGUCAGUGCUACGCACGGCCGCCAACACAUAACCUACAAACACCAGAAACUAUUUGCAACUCCUGGACAGAGUACUAGGGUAUUUAAGAAGCCGAGAGGGUCAAUUAAGGAUCCCAAUGCAUGGUAGUAGCUGAAUCUUAAAAUCACACAUACAGAUCUCAGUUCUUAGGGACGGCCUCAAUAAAACAACCCACCAUGUACUCCUACAUGGCCUCUCAUCGAUACCUUUACCAAAUCAUGUUCAUCACAUCCCUCACAUUACCGAUAUAACCAUUUCACUCUAGCCCAUCACCCAGAUGGACCAGACCUGACACAACUCUAAGCAUAGCAGGCAUAGCAAGGUAGGAAACACAUACCUGGCUCAAUCAACUCCUACACAUGCUAGUGGGUUUCAUCUAGUUACUGUGGCAAUGACAGGUCAUGCAGAGGAAAAGGGUUCAACUACCGUAGCACACAACAAUUUGAAUCGCGUUGUCUUAAUGCAGUAAACAAGAGCAGAAGCGAGAACAUGGGUUUGUAUCAGAAUGAUCAAUGGUUGUUUGCCUGUUGUAGUGGUAGUAGGGUACUGCCCUUCAGACGGAUACUCGGGGUUAUCCUCGGAGGCAGAACCUACCACGAAAGAUACACCGAACAUAAUCAACACAUGACAAUAUGCAACGGUAUGAUGCAUGCUAUGACAUGGCAAAAUGAAUGUGUCUUGGCCUAAUGCAAGCUGAAACAGGAUGGAAUGAACUCAUUUGAAUCAAAGAUUCAAAUGUUAGCUCAUUUAACAUGGCCUUAUUAGUGCAUUAUCUUAUUCUGCUUAAAUAGCAAGGUUAACUUGUUUUGUCAUGCAUGAAACCAUUACAGAUGGACAGAUUGAAUUUUUUUGAUCAUUUUUCAUAUAUAAAUCUUUGCAUUUGGAGCUAUGGUUGAUUUUCUAAGAUUUUUAGAAGUUUUGGCUAUUUACUGGAAUUUCCUAUUAAAGAAUAAAUCCAGUAAUUGAAUUAAUGCGUCAGCAUGACAUAGGUGUGAUGUCAGCGGGUCAACUGGGUUGGCCAGGUCAAACCUGACUGGCGGGCCCUGUCUGUCAGUGACUCAGCUAAUUAACAGAGUUAAAUUAACUCUAAUUAACUAAAAGUGGGGCCUGGGCCCACAUGUCAGUGACUGAACUAAUUAAAUUUAGUUAAAACAAAUCCUAAACUAAUCAGCAGGCCGGCCCCACCUGUCAUAGACUAACCUGGGCCCACACGGGGGUCAAACAGGGUAAACUCGCCGGCGUCUAGCCGCCGGCGAGGCCAGACGCGGCGGAGCAGUGCGGGAUUUGCACUCUGGCGACCAAAUGGGCGGCGGAGACUAUCUACGUGAUGCGGGGAGGAAGCCGCCUUUGGAAAUAUGCCCUAGAGGCAAUAAUAAAUUGAUUAUUACUAUAUUUCCUUGUUCAUGAUAAUCGUUUAUUAUCCAUGCUAGAAUUGUAUUGAUAGGAAACUCAGAUACAUGUGUGGAUACAUAGACAACACCAUGUCCCUAGUAAGCCUCUAGUUGACUAGCUCGUUGAUCAAUAGAUGGUUACAGUUUCCUGACCAUGGACAUUGGAUGUCAUUGAUAACGGGAUCACAUCAUUAGGAGAAUGAUGUGAUGGACAAGAACCAAUCCUAAGCCUAGCACAAGAUCAUGUAGUUCGUAUGCUAAAGCUUUUCUAAUGUCAAGUAUCAUUUCCUUAGACCAUGAGAUUGUGCAACUCCCGGAUACCGUGGGAGUGCUUUGAGUGUGCGAAACGUCACAACGUAACUGGGUGGCUAUAAAGGUACACUACAGGUAUCUCCAAAAGUGUCUAUUGGGUUGGCACGAAUCGAGACUGGGAUUUGUCACUCCGUGUAAACGGAGAGGUAUCUCUGGGCCCACUCGGUAGGACAUCAUCAUAAUGUGCACAAUGUGACCAAGGAGUUGAUCACGGGAUGAUGUGUUACGGAACGAGUAAAGAGACUUGCCGGUAACAAGAUUGAACAAGGUAUCGGCAUACCGACGAUCGAAUCUCGGGCAAGUAUCGUACCGAUGGACAAAGGGAAUUGCAUACGGGGUUGAUUAAGUCCUUGACAUCGUGGUUCAUCCGAUGAGAUCAUCGUGGAACAUGUGGGAGCCAACAUGGGUAUCCAGAUCCCGCUGUUGGUUAUUGAUCGGAGAGUCAUCUCGGUCAUGUCUGCAUGUCUCCUGAACCCGUAGGGUCUACACACUUAAGGUUCGAUGACGCUAGGGUUAUAAAGGAAGUUUGUAUGUGGUUACCGAAUGUUGUUCGGAGUCCCGGAUGAGAUCCCGAACGUCAUGAAGAGUUCCGGAAUGGUCCGGAGGUAAAGAUUUAUAUAUGGGAAGUCCUGUUUUGGUCACCGGAAAAGUUUCGGGUUUUAUCGGUAACGUACCGGGACCACCGGGAGGGUCCCGGGGGUCCACCAAGUGGGGCCACAAGCCCCGGAGGGCUGCAUGGGCCAAGUGUGGGAGGGGACCAGCCCCAGGUGGGCUGGUGCGGCCCCCCACCAAGGCCCAAGGCGCAAGGAAGAGGGGAAGGGGGCAAACCCUAGGGCAGAUGGGCCCUAAGGCCCACCCUGGUGCGCCUCCCCCUCUCCCCUCCCCUUGGCCGCCCCUAGAUGGGAUCUAGGGGGCUGCCGCCACCCCUAGGGAGGGAACCCUAGGUGGGGGCGCAACCCAUCCCCUCCCCCUAUAUAUAGUUGAGGUUUGGGCUGCCCAAUACACAUGAGUUCCUCUCUUUCUUGGCACAGCCCUAUCCCUCUCUUUCUCCUCAUAUCUCGCAGUGCUUGGUGAAGCCCUGCUGGAUCACCAUGCUCCGCCAUCACUACCACGCCGUUGUGCUGCUGUUGGAUGGAGUCUUCCUCAACCUCUCCCUCUCUCCUUGCUGGAUCAAGGCAUGGGAGACAUCGUCGGGCUGUACGUGUGUUGAACGCGGAGGUGCCGUCCGUUCGGCACUAGGAUCUCCGGUGAUUUGGAUCACAACGAGUACGACUCCUUCAACCCCGUUCUCUUGAACGCUUCCACUUAGCGAUCUACAAGGGUAUGUAGAUGCACUCUCCUUCCCCUCGUUGCUGGUUUCUCCAUAGAUAGAUCUUGGUGACACGUAGGAAACUUUUGAAUUUCUGCUACGUUCCCCAAUAGUGGCAUCAUGAGCUAGGUCUAUUGCGUAGAUUCUAUGCACGAGUAGAACACAAAGUAGUUGUGGGCGUUGAUUUUGUUCAAUAUGCUUACCGUUACUAGUCCAAUCUUGUUUCGACGGUAUUGUGGGAUGAAGCGGCCCGGACCGACCUUACACGUACUCUUACGUGAGACAGGUUCCACCGACUGACAUGCACUAGUUGCAUAAGGUGACUAGCGGGUGCCAGUCUCUCCCACUUUAGUCAGAACGGAUUCGAUGAAAAGGGUCGUUAUGAAGGGUAAAUAGCAAUUGGCAUAUCACGUUGUAUUUUUGCGUAGGUAAGAAACGUUCUUGCUAGAAACCCAUAGCAGCCACGUAAAACAUGCAAACAACAAUUAGAGGACGUCUAACUUGUUUUUGCAGGGUAUGCUAUGUGAUGUGAUAUGGCCAAGAAGAAUGUGAUGAAUGAUAUGUGAUGUAUGAGAUUGACCAUGUUCUUGUAAUAGGAAUCAUGACUUGCAUGUCGAUGAGUAUGACAACCGGCAGGAGCCAUAGGAGUUGUCUUUAUUUAUUGUAUGACCUACGUGUCAUUGAACAACGCCAUGUAAUUACUUUACUUUAUUGCUAACUGGUAGCCAUAGUGGUAGAAGUAAUAAGUUGGCGAGACAACUUCAUGGAGACACAAUGAUGGAGAUCAUGGUGUCAUGCCGGUGACGAUGAUGAUCAUGGAGCCCCGAAGAUGGAGAUCAAAAGGAGCAAUAUGAUAUUGGCCAUAUCAUGUCACUAUUUGAUUGCAUGUGAUGUUUAUAAUGUUUAUACAUCUUAUUUGCUUAGAAUGACGGUAGUAAAUAAGAUGAUCCCUCAUUAAAAUUUCAAGAAAGUGUUCCCCCUAACUGUGCACCGUUGCGAAAGUUCGUCCUUUUGAAGCACCACGUGAUGAUCGGGUGUGAUAGAUUCUUACGUUCGAAUACAACGGGUGUUGACGAGCCUAGCAUGUACAGACAUGGCCUCGGAACACAUGCAAAACACUUAGGUUGACUUGACGAGCCUAGCAUGUACAGACAUGGCCUCGGAACACAAGAGACCGAAAGGUCGAGCAUGAGUCGUAUGGUAGAUACGAUCAACAUGAAGAUGUUCACCGAUGUUGACUAGUCCGUCUCACGUGAUGAUCGGACACGGCCUAGUUGACUCGGAUCAUGUAAUCACUUAGAUGACUAGAGGGAUGUCUAUCUGAGUGGGAGUUCAUAAGAUGAACUUAAUUAUCCUGAACAUAGUCAAAAGGACUUUGCAAAUUAUGUCGUAGCUCACGCUAUAGUUCUACUGUUUAGAUAUGUUCCUAGAGAAAAUUUAGUUGAAAGUUGAUAGUAGCAAUUAUGCGGACUAGGUCCGUAAACUGAGGAUUGUCCUCAUUGCUUCAUAGAAGGUUUAUGUCCUUAAUGCACCGCUCAGUGUGCUGAACCUCGAACGUCGUCUGUGGAUGUUGCGAACAUCUGACAUACACAUUUUGAUAACUACGUGAUAGUUCAGUUAAACGGUUUAGAGUUGAGGCACCGAAGACGUUUUGAAACGUCACGAAACAUAUGAGAUGUUUCGAGGGCUGAAAUUGGGAUUUCAGGAUCGUGCCCACAUCAAGAGGUAUAAGACCUCCGACGAUUUUUCUUAGCCUGCAAACUAAGGGAGAAAAGCUCAACUGUUGAGCUUGUGCUCAGAUUGUCUGAGUACAACAAUCAUUUGAAUCGAGUGGGAGUUGAUCUUCCAGAUGAGAUAGUGAUGUUUCUCCGAAGUCAUUACCACCAAGCUGCUAGAGCUUCGUGAUGAACUAUAAUAUAUCAGGGACAUAUAUGAUGAUCCUUGAGAUAUUCGCGAUGUUUGACACCACAAAAGUAGAAAUCAAGAAGGAGCAUCAAUUGUUGAUGGUUGGUGAAACCACUAGUUUCAAGAAGGGCAAGGGCAAGAAGGGAUACUUCAUGAAAUGGCAAUUCAGCUGCUGCUCUAGUGAAGAAACCCAAGGUUGAACCCAAACCCGAGACUAAGUGCUUCUGUAAUAAGGGAAACAACCACUGGAGCAGAAUUACCCUAGAUACUUGGUAGAUGAGAAGGCUGGCAAAGUCGAUAGAAGUAUAUUGGAUAUACAUUGUGUUAAUGUGUACUUUACUAGUACUCCUAGUAGCACCAUGGUAUUAGAUACCGGUUCGGAUGCUAAAUGUUAGUAAACUCGAAAUAAAAGGCUGCAGAGUAAACGGAGACUAGCCAAAGGUGAGCUGGCAAAAUGUGUUGGAAGUUUUUCCAAGCUUGAUGUCAUCAAGCAUCGCACGCUCCCUCUACCAUCGAGAUCGGUGUUUGCGUUGAGCAUAGACAUGAUUGGAUUAUGUCUAUCGCAAUACGGUUAUUCAUUUAAGGAGAAUAAUGGUUACUCUGUUUAUUUGAAUAAUACCUUCAAUGGUCUUGCACCUAAAAUGAAUGGUUUAUUGAAUCUCGAUCGUAGUGAUACACAUGUUCAUGCCAGAAGAUAUAAGAUAGUAAUGAUAGUACCACCUACUUGUGGCACUGCCAUGUAAGUCAUAUCGGUAUAAAACGCAUGAAGAAGCUCCAUGUUGAUGGAUCUUUGGGCUCACUCGUUUUUGAAAAGUUUGAGACAUGCGAACCAUGUCUAUUGGUGUAUAUGCAUGAAGAAACUCCAUGCAAAUGGACCGUUUGGACUCACUCGAUUUUGAAUCACUUGAGACAUGCAAAUCAUACCACAUGGGCAAGAUGACUGAAAGCCUCGUUUUCAGUAAAAUGGAACUAGAAAGAAACUUGUUGGAAGUAAUACAUUUUGAUGUGUGCAGUCCAAUGAGUGCUGAGGCAUGUAGUGGAUUUCAUUAUGUUCUUACUUCACAGAUGAUUUGAGUAGAUACUGAGUAUAUUUACUUGAUGAAACAUAAGUCUGAAUUAUUGAAAGGUUCAAGUAAUUUCAGAGUGAAGUUGAACAUCGUCGUGACAAGAGGAUAAAAUGUCUAUGAUAUGAUCGUAGAGAUGAAUAUCUGAAUUACGAGUUUGGCACAAAAUUAAGACAUUAUGGAAAUUGUUUCACAACUAAUACAGUCUGGAACACCACAGUGUGAUGGUGUGUCCGAAUAUCAUAACUGCACCCUAUUGGAUAUGAUGCAUACCAUGAUGUCUCUUAUCAAAUUACCACGAUAGUUUAUGGGUUAGGCAUUAGAGACAACCACAUUCACUUUAAAUAGGGCACCACGUAAUUCCGAUGAGAUGACACCGUAUGAACUAUGGUUUAGAGAAACCUAAGCUGUCAUUUCUUAAAAGUUUGGGGCUGCGACGCUUAUGUGAAAAAGUUUUAGGCUGAUAAGCUCGAACCCAAAGCGGAUAAAUGCAUCUUCAUAGGACACCCAAAAUAGUUGGGUAUACCUCCUGUCUCAGAUCCGAAAGCAAUAAGGGAUUGUUUCUAGAAUCGAGUCCUUUCUCGAGGAAAGGUUUCUCUCGAAAGAAUUGAGUGUGAUGAUGGUGGAGAUUUGAUGAGGUUAUUGAACUGUCUCUUCAACUAGUGUGUGGCAGGGCACAGGGAGUUGUUCCUGUGGCACCUACACCAAUUGAAGUGGAAGCUUAUGAUAGUGAUCAUGAAACUUCAGAUCAAGUCACUACCAAACCUCGUGGGAUGACAAGGAUGCGUACUACUUCAGAGUGGUACGUAAUCCUAUCUUGGAAGUCAUGUUGCUAGACAACAAUGAACCUACAAGCUAUGGAGAAGCAAUGGUGGGCCUGGAUUCCAAAAUGGCUCGAAGCCAUAUAAUCCGAGAGAGGAUCCAUCUAUGAAAACAAAGUGUAGACUUUGGAAGAACUACUUGAUGGUCGUAAGGCUGUUAGGUACAUAGGGAUUUUAAAAGGAAGACGGACAAUGAUAGUAAGUAUCACCAUUAAGAAAGCUUGACUUGUCGUUAAGAUGUUUUCCGACAAGUUCAAGGAGUUGACUACGAUGAGACUUUCUCACUCGUAGCGAUGCUAAGAGUCUGUUGGAAUUAUAUUAGCGAUUACUGCAUUAUUUAUGAAAUCUUGCAGAUAGGAUAUCAAAACAUUGUUUCCUCGAUGUUUUUUUGAGGAAAGGUUGUAUGUGAUACAACCAGAAGGUUUUGUCAAUCCUGAAAGAUGCUAACAAGUAUGCAAAGCUCCAGCAAUCCUUCUAAGGACUGGAGUAAGCAUCUCGGAGUUGGAAUGUAUGCUUUGAUGAGAUGAUCAAAGUUUUGGGUGUAUACAAAGUUUAUGAGAAACUUGUAUUUCCAAAGAAGUGAGUGGGAGCACUAUAGAAUUUCUGAUGAGUAUAUGUUGUUAACAUAUUGUUGAUCGGAAAUGAUGUAGAAUUUCUGGAAAGCAUGCAGAGUUAUUUGAAAAGUGUUUUUCAAUGGAAAGCCUGGAUUAAGCUACUUGAACAUUGAGCAUGAAGAUCUAUAAGGAUAGAUCAAAACGCUUAAUGGUAAUUUCAAAUGAGCACAUACCUUGACAUGAUCUUGAAGGUGUUCAAGAUGGAUCAGUCAAAGAAGGAGUUCUUGCCUGAGUUGUAAGGUAUGAAGUUAAGACUUAAAGCUCGACCACGGAAGAAGAAAGAGGAAGGACGAAGGUCGUCCCCUAUGCUUUUGUCAUAGGCUCUCUACAGUAUGCUAUGUUGUGUGCCGCACUUGAAGUGUGCCUUGCCAUGAGUCAGUCAAGGGGUACAAGAGUGAUCCAAGAAUGGAUCACAAGACAACGGUCAAAGUUAUCCUUAGUAACUAGUGGACUAAGGAAUUUUCUCGAUUAUGGAGGUGGUAAAAGAGUUCGUCGUAAAGGGUUACGCCGAUGCAAACUUUGACACUAAUCUAGAUUAUUCUGAGUAGUAGACUGGAUUCGUAUAGUAGAACAGUUAUUUGGAAUAGCUCCAAAUAGAACGUGGUAGCUGCAUCUAGGAGAUGACAUAGAGAUUUGUAAAGCACACACGGAUCUGAAAGAUUCAGACCCGUUGACUAUAACAUCUCUCACAAGCAUAACAUGAUCAAACCCAGAACUCAUCGAGUGUUAAUCACAUGGUAAUGUGAACUAGAUUAUUGACUCUAGUAAACUCUUUGGGUGUUAGUCACAUGGGGAUGUGACCUUGAGUGUUUAUCACAUAUCGAUGUGAACUGGAUUAUUGACUCUAGUGCAAGUGGGAGACUGUUGGAAAUAUGCCCUAGAGGAAAUAAUAAAUUUAUUAUUAUUAUAUUUCCUUGUUCAUGAUAAUCGUUUAUUAUCCAUGCUAGAAUUGUAUUGAUAGGAAACUCAGAUACAUGUGUGGAUACAUAGACAACACCAUGUCCCUAGUAAGCCUCUAGUUGACUAGCUCGUUGAUCAAUAGAUGGUUACAGUUUCCUAACCAUGGACAUUGGAUGUCAUUGAUAACGGGAUCACAUCAUUAGGAGAAUGAUGUGAUGGACAAGACCCAAUCCUAAGCCUAGCACAAGAUCAUGUAGUUCGUAUGCUAAAGCUUUUCUAAUGUCAAGUAUCAUUUCCUUAGACCAUGAGAUUGUGCAACUCUCGGAUACCGUAGGAGUGCUUUGGGUGUGCCAAAUGUCACAACGUAACUGGGUGGCUAUGAAGGUACACUACAAGUAUCUCCAAAAGUGUCUGUUGGGUUGGCACGAAUCGAGACUGGGAUUUGUCACUCCGUGUAAACGGAGAGGUAUCUCUGGGCCCACUCGAUAGGACAUCAUCAUAAUGUGCACAAUGUGACCAAGGAGUUGAUCACGGGAUGAUGUGUUACGGAACGAGUAAAGAGACUUGCCGGUAACGAGAUUGAACAAGGUAUCGGCAUACCGACGAUCGAAUCUCGGGCAAGUAUCGUACCGAUGGACAAAGGGAAUUGCAUACGGGAUUAAUUAAGUCCUUGACAUCGUGGUUCAUCCGAUGAGAUCAUCGUGGAACAUGUGGGAGCCAACAUGGGUAUCCAGAUCCCGCUGUUGGUUAUUGACCGGAGAGUCAUCUCGGUCAUGUUUGCAUGUCUCCCGAACCCGUAGGGUCUACACACUUAAGGUUCGAUGACGCUAGGGUUAUAAAGGAAGUUUGUAUGUGGUUACCGAAUGUUGUUCGGAGUCCCGGAUGAGAUCCCGGACGUCAUGAGGAGUUCCGGAAUGGUCCGGAGGUAAAGAUUUAUAUAUAGGAAGUCCUGUUUUGGUCACCGGAAAAGUUUCGGGUUUUAUUGGUAACGUACCGGGACCACCGACAGGGUCCCGGGGGUCCACCAAGUGGGGCCACAAGCCCCGGAGGGCUGCAUGGGCCAAGUGUGGGAGGGGACCAGCCCCAGGUGGGCUGGUGCGCCCCCCCACCAAGGCCCAAGGCGCAAGGAAGAGGGGAAGGGGGCAAACCCUAGGGCAGAUGGGCCCUAAGGCCCACCCUAGUGCGCCUCCCCCUCUCCCCUCCCCUUGGCCGCCCCUAGAUGGGAUCUAGGGGGCUGCCGCCACCCCUAGGGAGGGAACCCUAGGUGGGGGCGCAGCCCCUCCCCUCCCCCUAUAUAUAGUUGAGGUUUGGGCUGCCCAAUACACAUGAGUUCCUCUCUUUCUUGGCGCAGCCCUAUCCCUCUCUUUCUCCUCAUAUCUCGUAGUGCUUGGCGAAGCCCUGCUGGAUCACCAUGCUCCUCCAUCACCACCACGCCAUUGUGCUACUGCUGGAUGGAGUCUUCCUCAACCUCUCCCUCUCUCCUUGCUGGAUCAAGGCAUGGGAGACGUCAUCGGGCUGUACGUGUGUUGAACGCGGAGGUGCCGUCCGUUCGGCACUAGGAUCUCCGGUGAUUUGGAUCACGAUGAGUACGACUCCUUCAACCCCGCACUACUAGGAAAAGGCCUACUAAUGGCGCACCAGUUUUGCCUACUAAUGGCGCAUCACUGGUGCGCCAUUACUAGCACGCCAUUAGUAAUUUUUACUAAUGGCGCACCACUGGUGCGCCAUUAGUAUCUGGUAUACUAAUGGCGCACCACUGGUGCGCCAUUAGUAUAGGCCACAGGUGCACCAUUAGUAUACCAGAUACUAAUGGCGCACCGCGUGGUGCGCCAUUAGUAUACCAUUCGGUGCUCCACUGGUAUUCCCUCCAGGUGCGCCACUAAUAACCUUAUAGGUGCGCCACUAGUAAUAAAGGAAGGUGCGCCACUAAUAAGGGCUUAAAUGCGCCACUACUAAUGUAUUUGGAAAACAAAAAAAAAUCUAAAUUUACAGAAAAAAACCUAUAAGGAAAAAUAAUUUAAAAACAAAAAAUGAAAUAGAAUCAUAAUUUUUAUUAUAGUAAGAAUAUUACAAUGUCUUUACAAGUUUCCAAUAAAAGGGAAAUUGCAAGGAAAUAAAAAAAAUCCUAAAGCUAAUCUUCUAGUAAUCUUCUCUUCUUUUUCUUCACUUUAUCCCUGCAAAAUGUAACAAAAUAAACACAAACACAAACAAACUAUUUAUAACAUGUCAAUACUGUCAUUUUUUCAGACCAAGUAACUAACAACUUCAGUGAGACAGGCACAGUGCAGUGUGAAUUUCAAUUGGCUAAAUCAUAUAUAGAAAUCAGUAUCUUCUCUAUGAACCUGAAACUGAGAUGACUGGACUAAUUUUGCACAUUUGAUUUAUGAAUUUAUUCUUCUUCGACAACCAACUAAACUUCGGAUCACCUACUAAGCAUCUGUACAUACUACAUAGGCUGAUUAAUCCAACAGCCACAAUGCAAAUAUUGACUAUUUCCAUUCAACUUCUUCACUUACUCAUUAUUAUCUAAUGAAACCAUUCGUAACUAAUGAAGCAGAUUGGCUAAAGUUAUUAUCAAGUCCUAAGUCCUAAUUGAAGCAGAUCUGCUAGGGUUCUUCUCGCUAGCCCCUCAUGGCCAACCGUUUCGGAACAGGCAGGCAGAGCUGCUUGGCCGGUGGCUAGGGAGUCGCUGGUGAUGUUGGGCAUCUCACACGAGCACCUGGCUAUUUGAGGAAACCGAAAUAGUAGCAUAAACAAGAUUGAUUCCGAGGAAAUGAUAGAACCUAUUCUAUCAAAGUGCUACUCCCCCCGUUCCAUAAUUCCAGUCGUGGUUUUUUAACUAAAACCAUGAAGAGAACUAUGGAAUGGAGGGAGUAGAAAACAAUAGCAUGCUUAAAAUUCUACCAUACACAGCAGCAACAGACAUUACACAAGCAUUUAUUUAUUUAUUGCAUUUGGCACAAGUUAAAAAUUCUCACAAGCAGAGGCGGUCCUAUCAGACAAAAAGAACAUGGACCGCUCAUUACAAAGCACUUCUACUGCAGUAUCAUGGAGUAGGAAAAGGGGCUUAAGCAGCAAAGAAGUAUAAUAAGAGAAAAAAACACUAUGGCGGCUGGAACUAGAAGAGCACCAUCACAGGUUCGAAACAUCACCAUGGAGUCGAUGGCCGGCAUAGCCCAUGGCAGGGCUGGAUGGGCAGCAUAAUAACACAAUAAAAGUUUGAUGUAUACUUAUUCGUUUGAAAAGAUGCAAGCUUAUUUACACCCUAGGACUGUUGAUUAGGGUCUGGAUGGUAUUUUUGUUCCUUGCGUAAGUAAGAGAAGGACUAGCAUCCAUAGUAGAAAGAAGGGUAAACAUACAUAAAGGAAAGUUUUUAUAGCGUCACGACCGAAAGAGGCUACGUGCGGCUGGGUGAAAUGGACAAGGUUUCAUGUAUGCAAUAUAUUAUAGAAAAAUAAGUGUUGACAGAAAAUGAAAGAUUUCCUGUCAAACAAACAGAGCUUCAUUUUGUAACAUUUCUGACCCACAUGAUAAUUGUACAACAUAGUAGAGGAGACCACUGUACAUACAUGUGUUGAAUGAAGCAGACUAAGAAAUAUUGGGUGGGUAUAAAGAAUACAAUAGUACGGUAGCUGAUGUAAACAAGUGCAGAGUUGCAUCCACAGAAUAGGUAACAAAUUAAAUAGCCCUGGUGCCAACAGUAGAGUUCGUGUAUCCAAUCCAUCCUUUGUUUAACACAGCAGCUCCAACUCUUGUGUAACAAAUUAAGUUUGGCAUGGGCACACAUAAAGCACUGACAUUUUCAUGGCUCGAUGGCCGUGGGCUAAGGGAGCAGAGGAGGAGGUGCGGCUCACCUCACAUGGCGGCGGAACCGAGGGAUGAAGGUGCGGCGCACCGGAGCAGGCAGAGGUGCCUUGUGUUGGCCAAACACGUGGCCAGCAGCAGAGAAGCGCUUCUCUUGCUCGACGGAUGUUGGGUGUGUGUGAGGCGUGCUCCUGCCUGCCUGCCUGCGUGAGGAACGGGAGGACCAUUAGAGAAGAGAAGGGAAGGGAAGAAGAGCAGGUAGAGGAUGGCAAGGGGAGAGGAGGGAAUCAAAAUCAAAGAUGAGAAGAUGACCUUGAGGAGGAGCAGGGGAAGAGCGGAGCAGCAGAAACAGAGGCCUUCCUCUCCCGGUGGUGAGGACCGAGGCGACCUCCGUCACGGCCUAGCCAGGUCGACGACUCUGGCGACCGUGGCUGCCAGAUCCGGUGUCACCAUGGCCGGCCUCCUCCUGUGGUGCCUGCUAGGUCGCCAUGGCCGCGGGCUCCUUGUCCGUGGCGGCUGGAUCUGGGGCCUUGGGGUGGCGGGGAGCUCCUCCUCCUGCAGCUCGGCGGCCUCCACACCCCGGAGCAACGCCGUCGCCGGAGGACGUGGUCACCUGCUCUCCUCUGGAUCCGGUGAGGAGGGUUGGGGAAGGAGCUCACCACGGCUCCAUGCCCUGGAUCUGGUGUGAGGGAGGGGGAAGGGAGCUCGCCGUGGUCAGGAGGGAGAGGAAGAGGCGGGCGGCCGGGGCUUCCCGAUCUAAAUCAAAGUCGAGGGAGGUGGGUGGGUGUGUCAGGAGGAAGGUGAGGGGGAGAGAACGUGACAAGAUGGAGGGGAUAAGGGGUGAUAGCAAUGGCGCACUGGUAGGGGUGCGCCAUACGUAUAGAUAGCAAUGGCGCAUCUCUUACUGGUGCGCCAUUACUAGUUUAAACUAGUAAUGGUGCACGGUGGAACAGUGCGCUAUUAGUAGUUUUGCAAAAAAAAGUAAUAAAAAUAUAAUAAAAAAACAACAUUAGUGGCGCACUUUUCGACAGGUGCGCCAUUACUAGUUACAACUAGUAAUGGCGCACUGUGUCUGGAUGCGCCAUUAGUAUGUUUGGACAGGCGCACUAGUUCAAAAAAAAUUGAUACUAAUGGCGCACCCUGGGCCAGGUGCGCCAUUAGUAGUUUCAACUCUAAUGGCGUAUCAGAAGGUGGUGCGCCAUUAGUAUAUACCCUUGUAGAGGACUUAGGACUUGAUAAUAACUUUAGCCAAUCUGCUUCAUUAGUUACGAAUGGUUUCAUUAGAUAAUAAUGAGUAAGUGAAGAAGUUGAAUGGAAAUAGUCAAUAUUUGCAUUGUGGCUGUUGGAUUAAUCAGCCUAUGUAGUAUGUACAGAUGCUUAGAAGGUGAUCCGAAGUUGGAGAGGUCGGGGAUGAGCUGAUGCGGCGGGGGUGGUGAAGGGGAUCUCUGGUGGCCGGAGUUGAGGACGAGCUCGGUGCAGCGUCUCCGAGGCGAGCAAGCGCUCGGGCGCGGCCUACUCGAUGUAGUCGAUGGCGGCGGAGCUCGUGGACACGAUGGCGCGGCGCGAGGACGACGGAAGGCACGGCUACGACGACGGUGCGGCGACAGAAGUGUCGGCCAUGGUGGGGAACGGCGAAGGGAUAGAGACAGGGGGGAAAUGGCGUGUCCAGGGGCUUCGGGGUGCGACGUGGAGGCGUCCAGGCGUCUAGGGGCGCGGGCGGCAAGCAGGUGACGCCGUGGUGAGCUCGGGCACGCCGGAGUCACCUCCCUGCCUGCGUGGCGGGGAAGAAGCAGCUGGCUGGCGCGAGCCAGCACAGUGCUGGGCCGCCUGGUGGGCCGGCGGGUGAGAUAGCUGGGCCGCGCCAGGUAAGCUUCUCUCUCUCUCUCUCUUUCUUAUUUGUUUUCUUUUUCUAUUUUUCUGCAACUGUUGGGCUUUAUUAAAAAUACCUAGACAUCUUUAAAAAUCCUGAAAAUAAUCAGGGGCUCUGUUUAGAUUAUUCCCAACAGCCCACACUUAUUUCUAGAAUUAUUUGAGCAUUUAAAUUAUUUUAUAGCAUUUAAAUGCCCAAAUUCAAAUACUUAUGAUUUAAUUCAAGAAAAUCCAGAAUGUCCUAGAAAAGAGUGCACCAUUUUUGCCAGGGGUUUUAGCCCAAUCCAGAAAUGAUGAACAUUUUGUGAAAGGCAUUUUGGGUUCAUUGAAAAUAAUUUUAGUAAACCCUAGUUGUUUCCAGGGGGUGCUGGGGGUUCUGUCAUCCCCAUUUCAAAUUUAAAAGGAAUUUAAACAUGAUGCACACUCUAAUGCUUGAACUAGCUAGGGUGUGACACUAAGCAACCCGGCAACGACAUAGAUGUGUACCUAAGGCCAUUAGUUGAAGAACUCUUACAACUGUGGAAUGGAACAGGUGUACGUGCGUGGGAUGAGCACAUGGGGAAAGAAUUUGACCUAAAGGCGUUGUUGUUCGUGACCAUCAAUGAUUGGCCUGCUCUCACUAACCUUUUAGGACAGACAAACAAGGGAUACCGCGCAUGCACGCACUGUUUGGACGAUGCCGACAGUAUAUAUUUGGCUAAAUGUAAGAAGAAUGUGUACCUGGGACAUCAUCGAUUUCUUCCGAGCAGGCAUCCCGUAAGAAAGAAAGGCAAGCAUUUCAAAGGUGAGGCGGAUCACCGGACGAAGCCUCGCCACCGUACUGGUGCUGAUGUACAUGAUAUGGUCAACGAUUUGAAGGUGGUCUUUGGAAAGGGUCCUGGUGGACAACCUAUUCCGAAUGACGCUGACGGACGCGCACCCAUGUGGAAGAAGAAAUCUAUAUUUUGGGACCUGCCCUAUUGGAAAGACCUAGAGGUCCGCUCCGCAAUCGACGUGAUGCACGUGACGAAAAUCUUUGUGUGACCCUGCUUGGCUUCUUGGGCGUGUAUGGGAAGACAAAAGAUACACCUGAGGCACGGGAGGACCAACAAUGUAUGCACGGAAAAGAUGGCAUACAUCAGGGUCAUGCAAGCUACGCUCUUACCAAAGAAGAGAAGGAAAUCUUCUUUGAAUGCCUGCUCAGUAUUAAGGUACCGUCUGGCUUCUCGUCUAAUAUAAAGGGAAUAAUAAACAUGGCAGACAAAAGUUCCAGAACCUAAAGUCUCAUGACUGCCACGUGAUUAUGGCGCAACUGCUUCCGGUUGCAUUGAGGGGGCUUCUACCAGAAAACGUUCGAUUAGCCAUUGUGAAGCUAUGUGCAUUUCUCAAUGCAAUCUCUCAGAAGGUAAUCGAUCCAGAAAUAAUACCAAGGUUAGAGAAUUAUUUGGUGCAAUGUCUUGUCAGUUUCGAGUUGGUGUUCCCACCAUCCUUCUUCAACAUCAUGACGCACGUCCUAGUUCACCUAUGCGAAGAGAUUAACGUUUUGGGUCAUGUAUUUCUACACAAUAUGUUCCCCUUUGAGAGGUUCAUGGGAGUCUUAAAGAAAUAUGUUCAUAACCGUGCUAGGCCAGAAGGAAGCAUCUCCAAGGCCAUGAAAAUGAGGAGGUCAUUGAGUUUUGUAUUGACUUUAUUCCUGACCUUAAGCCGAUUGGUGUUCCUGAAUCGCGGCAUAAGGGCAGACUGGAUGGAAAAGGCACGCUAGGAGGGGAACAAAUAAUAUGUAUGUACGGACAUUCUCUCACUGAAGCACACUACACAGUUCUACAGAAUUCCGCCUUGGUGGCUCCAUAUAUGGAUGAACACAAGAAUUUGCUACGCUCCAAACACCCGGAGCGGUCUGAUGACUGGAUUACACGUGAACAAACCAGAAGUUUCGCCAGCUGGUUGCAGACACGUACCAUGCAUGACACCUCUAUUGAAGAUGACCUGUACUUGCUGUCCCAGUUACCAUCUUCGAAUAUAAUGACUUUCAAAGGGUACCAGAUAAAUGGUAAUACAUUUUACACGAUCGCCCAAGAUAAGAAGAGCACCAACCAAAACAGUGGUGUCUACUUUGAUGCAGAAACCAAGACGGGAAAGGAAACAUAUUAUGGUUAUAUACCGGACAUAUGGGAACUUGACUAUCGACGUGGUUUAAAGGUCCCUUUGUUUCGGUGCAAAUGGGUCAAUAUGACACGAGGCGGGGUAACGGAAGACCCGCAGUACGGAAUGACAACAGUGGAUCUCAACAAUCUUGCGUAUGCAGACGAACCAUUCGUCCUAGCCAAUGAUGUGGCACAGGUUUUCUAUGUGAAGGACAUGUCUACCAAGCCAAGAAAAAGAAAAGAUAAGGAAGCGAAUGCAUCGUACGAUGAGCCAAAGCGGCACAUAGUUCUUUCUAGGAAGAGAAACAUCGUGGGAGUGGAUGACAAGACAGACAUGUCAGAAGAUUAUGAAAAGUUUGAUGAAAUUGCUCCAUUCACAGUGAAUAUUGACCCGAGCAUCCCGUUAAAUGAUGAAGAUUUUCCAUGGUUACGGCGCAAAGGGACGCACGCGAAGAAAAAGUUUCACACCCAAAGAUCUGGGAUGUGAUCGGCUUCACUAUCAUCACUUUCUUCUGUGUUUCACACCCAGGAGGGAAUCUCUGUAAUAGUUAGGGUAGUUAUGUGUUUUGGCAUUUGAAACGCGAAGAAAUUUUAUGUGCAAACAAAUUCUUUCAUGCCUUUACUGAUUUUUAAAGUUAAGUUAUUCACAAACUAGUGAUUCACACUAAUUUCAAAUAAUUCAAAAUUUAAACUAUUCAAAUUUGAAAACUACAGGCACUAACAGAAAGUUUGUAAUUUUUUGUACCUAAAGCAAAAAUUGAAGGAAAUAUGCCCUAGAGGCAAUAAUAAAGUUAUUAUUUAUUUCCUUAUAUCAUGAUAAAUGUUUAUUAUUCAUGCUAGAAUUGUAUUAACCGGAAACAUAAUACAUGUGUGAAUACAUAGACAAACAGAGUGUCACUAGUAUGCCUCUACUUGACUAGCUCGUUAAUCAAAGAUGGUUAUGUUUCCUAACCAUGGACAAAGAGUUGUUAUUUGAUUAACGGGAUCACAUCAUUAGGUGAAUGAUCUGAUUGACAUGACCCAUUCCAUUAGCUUAGCACCCGAUCGUUUAGUAUGUUGCUAUUGCUUUCUUCAUGACUUAUACAUGUUCCUAUGACUAUGAGAUUAUGCAACUCCCGUUUGCCGGAGGAACACUUUGUGUGCUACCAAACGUCACAACAUAACUGGGUGAUUAUAAAGGUGCUCUACAGGUGUCUCCAAAGGUACAUGUUGGGUUGGCGUAUUUCGAGAUUAGGAUUUGUCACUCCGAUCGUCGGAGAGGUAUCUCUGGGCCCUCUAAUGCACAUCACUUAAGCCUUGCAAGCAUUGCAGCUAAUGAGUUAGUUGCGGGAUGAUGUAUUACGGAACGAGUAAAGAGACUUGCCGGUAAUGAGAUUGAACUAGGUAUUGGAUACCGACGAUCGAAUCUCGGGCAAGUAACAUACCGAUGACAAAGGGAACAACGUAUGUUGUUAUGCGGUCUGACCGAUAAAAGAUCUUCGUAGAAUAUGUAGGAACCAAUAUGGGCAUCAAGGUCCCGCUAUUGGUUAUUGACCGGAGACGUGUCUCGGUCAUGUCUACAUUGUUCUCGAACCCGUAGGGUCCGCACGCUUAAGGUUUCGAUGACAGUUAUAUUAUGAGUUUAUGAGUUUUGAUGUACCAAAGGAGUUCGGAGUCCCGGCUGAGAUUGGGGACAUGACGAGGAGUCUCGAAAUGGUCGAGACGUAAAAAUCGAUAUAUUGGACGACUAUAUUCGGACAUCGGAAAGGUUCCGAGUGAUUCGAGUAUUUUUCGGAGUACCGGAGAGUUACGGGAAUUCGCCGGGAGAAGUAUUGGGCCUUAUUGGGCCAUACGGGAAAGAGAGAGGGGCUGCCUAGGGUAGGCCGCGCGCCCCCCAAGGCCUAGUCCGAAUUGGACUAGGGGGAGGGGCUGCGCCCCUUCCUUGUUUCCUACUCCUACUACAUGGAAGGACUCCUACUUGGACUAGGAAAGGGGGAAUCCUACUCCCGGUGAGAGUAGGACUUCUCUAGGCGCGCCAUAGAGAGGGCCGGCCCUCCCCUCCUGCACUCCUUGAUAUACGGGGGCAGGGGGCACCCCAUAGACACACAAGUUGAUCCACGUGAUCAUAUUCUUAGCCGUGUGCGGUGCCCCCUUCCACUAUAGUCCUCGAUAAUAUUGUAGCAGUGCUUAGGCGAAGCCCUGCGACAGUAGUACAUCAAGAUCGUCACCACGCCGUCGUGCUGACGGAACUCUUGCCCGACACUUUGCUGGAUCGGAGUCCGGGGAUCGUCAUCGAGCUGAACGUGUGCUAGAACUCGGAGGUGCCGUAGUUUCAGUGCUUGAUCGUCGGGCCGUGAAGACGUACGACUACAUCAACCGCGUUGUCAUAACGCUUUUGCUAUCGGUCUACAAGGGUACGUAGAUCACACUCUCCCCUCUCGUUGCUAUGCAUCACCAUGAUCUUGCGUGUGCGUAGGAAAUUUUUUGAAAUUACUACGUUCCCCAACAGUGGCAUCCGAGCCUAGGUUUUAUGCGUUGAUGUAAUAUGCACGAGUAGAACACAAGUGAGUUGUGGGCGAUAUAAGUCAUACUGCUUACCAGCAUGUCACAGUUUGGUUCGGCGGUAUUGUUGGAUGAAGCGGCCCGGACCGACAUUACGCGUACGCUUAUGCGAGACUGGUUCUACCGACGUGCUUUGCACACAGGUGGCUGGCGGGUGUCAGUUUCUCCAACUUUAGUUGAACCGAGUGUGGCUACGCCCGGUCCUUGCGAAGGUUAAAACAACACCAACUUGACAAACUAUCGUUGUGGUUUUUGAUGCGUAGGUAAGAACGGUUCUUGCUAAGCCCGUAGCAGCCACGUAAAACUUGCAACAACAAAGUAGAGGAUGUCUAACUUGUUUUUGCAGGGCAUGUUGUGAUGUGAUCUGGUCAAGACAUGAUGCUAAAUUUUAUUGUAUGAGAUGAUCAUCUUUUGUAACCGAGUUAUCGGCAACUGGCAGGAGCCAUAUAGUUAUCGCUUUAUUGUAUGCAAUGCAAUCGCACUGUAAUGCUUUACUUUAUCACUAAGAGGUAGCGAUAGUCGUGGAAGCAUAAAAGUGGCGAGACGACAACGAUGCUGCGAUGGAGAUCAAGGUGUCACGCCGGUGACGAUGGUGAUCAUGACGGUGCUUCGGAGAUGGAGAUCACAGGCACAAGAUGAUGAUGGCCAUAUCAUAUCACUUAUAUUGAUUGCAUGUGAUGUUUAUCUUCUAUGCAUCUUAUCUUGCUUUGAUUGACGGUAGCAUUAUAAGAUGAUCUCUCACUGAAUUAUCCAGAAGUGUUCUCCCUGAGUAUGCACCGUUGCGAAAGUUCUUCGUGCCGAGACACCACAUGAUGAUCGGGUGUGAUAGGCUCUACGUUCAAAUACAACAGGUGCAAAACAGUUGCACACGCGGAAUACUCAGGUUAUACUUGACGAGCCAAGCAUAUGCAGAUAUGGCCUCGGAACACGGAGACCGAAAGGUCGAGCGUGAAUCAUAUAGUAGAUAUGAUCAACAUAGUGAUGUUCACCAAUGAAACUACAUCUCACGUGAUGAUCGGACAUGGUUUAGUUGAUUGGGAUCAUGUGAUCGCUUAGAGGAUUAGAGGGAUGUCUAUCUAAGUGGGAGUUCUUAAGUAAUAUGAUUAAUUGAACUUAAAUUUAUCAUGAACUUAGUCCUUAUAGUAUUUUGCAAAUUAUGUUGUAGAUUAAUAGCUCGUGUUGUUGCUUCCUUGUGUUUUUUAUAUGUUCCUAGAGAAAAUUGUGUUGAAAGAUGUUAGUAGCAAUGAUGCGGAUUGGAUCCGUCAUCUGAGGUUUAUCCUCAUUGCUGCACAGAGGAAUUAUGUCCUUGAUGCACCGCUAGGUGACAGACCUAUUGCAGGAUCAGAUACUAACGUUAUGAACGUUUGGCUAGCUAAAUAUGAUGACUACUUGAUAGUUUAGUGCACCAUGCUUAACGGCUUAGAAUCGGGACUUCAAAGACGUUUUGAACGUCAUGGACCAUAUGAGAUGUUCCAGGAGUUGAAGUUAAUAUUUCAAGCAAAUACCCGAGUUGAGAGAUAUGAAGUCUCCAACAAGUUCUAUAGCUAAAAGAUGGAGGAGAAUCGCUCAACUAGUGAGCAUGUGCCCAAAUUGUCUGAGUACUACAAUCACUUGAAUCAAGUGGGAGUUAAUCUUCUAGAUAAGAUAGUGAUUGACAGAAUUCUCUAGUCACCAUCACCAAGUUAGUAGAACUUCGUGAUGAACUAUGAUAUGCAAGGGAUAACGGAAACGAUUCCCAUGCUCUUCGUAAUGCGGAAAUUGAUGAAGGUAGAAAUCGAGAAAAACAUCAAGUGUUGAUGGUAGACAAGACCACUACUUUCAAGAAAAAGGAAGAGGGAAGAAGGGGAACUUCAAGAAAAACAGCAAGCAAGUUGCUGCUCAUGUGAAGAAGCCCAAGUCUGGUCCUAAGCCUAUGACUAAGUGCUUCUACUGCAAAGGGACUAGUCACUGGAAGCGGAACUACCCCAAGUGAUUGGCGGAUAAGAAGGAUGGCAAAGUGAACAUAAGUAUAUUUGAUAUACAUGUUAUUGAUGUGUACUUUACUAGUGUUUAUAGCAACCCCUCAGUAUUUGAUGCUAGUUCAGUUGCUAAGAGUAGUAACUCGAAACGGGAGUUGCAGAAUGAACAGAGACUAGUUAAGGGUGAAGUGACGAUGUGUUUUGGAAGUGGUUCCAAGAUUGAUAUGAUCAUCAUCGCACACUCCCUAUACUUUCGGGAUUAGUGUUGAACCUAAAUAAGUGUUAUUUGGUGUUUGCGUUGAGCAUGAAUAUGAUUUGAUCAUGUUUAUUGUAAUACGGUUAUUCAUUUAAGUAAAAGAAUAAAUUGUUGUUCUGUUUACAUGAAUAAAACCUUAUUUGGUUACACACCCAAUGAAAAUAGUUCAUUGGAUGUCGAUCGUAGUGAUACACAUAUUCAUAAUAUUGAAACCAAAAGAUGCGAAGUUAAUAAUGAUAGUGCAACUUAUUUGUGGCACUGCCAUUUAGGUCAUAUUGGUGUAAAGCUCAUGAAGAAACUCCAUGCUGAUGGGAUUUUGGAAUCACUUGGUGCUUGCGAACCAUGCCUUAUGGAUAAAAUGACUAAAGACUCCGUUCUCCGGAACAAUGGAGCGAGCAACUGACUUAUUGGAAAUAAUACAUACUGAUGUAUGCGAUCUGAUGAGUGUUGAAGCUCGCGGCGGGUAUCGUUAUUUUCUGACCUUCACAUAUGAUUUGAGCAGAUAUGGUAUAUCUGCUUGAUGAAACAUAAGUCUGAAACAUUUGAAAAGUUCAAAGAAUUUCAGAGUGAAAUGGAAAAUCAUCGUAACAAGAAAAAUAAGGUUUCUACGAUCUGAUCGCGGAGACAAAUAUUUGAGUUACGAGUUUGGUCUUCAAUUAAAACUAUGUGGAAUAGUUUCACAAAUUCAUGCCACCUGGAACACCACAGCAUAAUAGUGUGUUCGAACAUCAUAACCGUACUUUAUUGGAUAUAGUGCAAUCUAUGAUGUUUCUUACCGAUUUACCACUAUAGUUUUGGGGUUAUGCAUUAGAGACAGCUGCAUUCACGUUAAAAGGGCACCAUCUAAAUCUGUUGAGACGACACCGUAUGAACUGUGGUUUGGCAAGAAACCAAAGUUGUCGUUUCUCAAAGUUUGGGGUUGCAAUGCUUAUGUGAAAAAGUUUCAUCCUGAUAAGCUCAAACCCAAAUCGGAAAAGUGUGUCUUCAUAGGAUACCCAAAAAGUUACUGUUGGGUACACCUUCUAUCACAGAUCCGAAGGCAAGACUUUUGUUGCUAAAUUCAGAAACUUUCUGGAGAAGGAGUUUCUCUCGAAAGAAGUGAGUGGGAGGAAAGUAGAACUUGAUGAGGUAACUGUACCUACUCCCUUAUUGGAAAGUAGUACAUCACAGAAAACUGUUUCUGCGACACCUACCCCAAUUAGUGAGGAAGCUAAUGAUACUGAUCAUGAAACUUCAGGACAAGAUACUAUUGAACCUCAUAGAUCAACCAGAGUGAGAUCCGCGCCAUAGUGGUACGGUAAUCCUAUUCUGGAAAUCAUGCUGCUAGAUCAUGAUGAACCUACGAACUAUGAGGAAGCGAUGAUGAGCCCAGAUUCCGAUAAAUGGCUUGAGGCCAUGAAAUCUGAGAUAGGAUCCAUGUAUGAGAACAAAGUGUGGACUUUGGUGGACUUGCCCGAGGAUCGGCAAGCCAUUGAUAAUAAAUGGAUCUUCAAGAGGAAGACGGACACGGAUAGUAGUGUUACUAUCUACAAAGCUAGAAUUUUCGCAAAAGGUUUUCGACAAGUUCAAGGUGUUGACUACGAUGAGAUUUUCUCACUCGUAUCUAUGCUUAAGUCUGUCCGAAUCAUGUUAGCAAUUGCCGCAUUUUAUGAAAUCUGGCAAAUGGAUAAACAAAACUGCAUUCCUUAAUGGAUUUAUUAAAGAAGAGUUGUAUAUGAUGCAACCAGAAGGUUUUGUCAAUCCUAAAGGUACUAACAAAAUAUGCAAGCUCCAACGAUCCAUCUAUGGACUGGUGCAAACAUCUCGGAGUUGGAAUACACGCUUUGAUAAGUUGAUCAAAGCAUAUAGUUUUAUACAGACUUGUGGUGAAGCCUGUAUUUACAAGAAAGUGAGUGGGAGCACUACAACAUUUCUGAUAAGUAUAUGUGAAAGACAUAUUAUUGAUCGGAGAUAAUGUAGUAUUAUUCUGCAAAUCAUAAAGGAAUAUUUGAAAGGAGUUUUUCAAAGAAAGACCUCGGUGAAGCUGCUUACAUAUUGAGCAUCAAUAUCUAUAGAGAUAGAUCAAGACGCUUGAUAAGUUUUUCAAUGAGGAUAUACCUUGACAAGAUUUUGAAGUAGUUCAAAAUGGAAUAGUCAAAGAAGGAGUCCUUGCCUGUGUUACAUAGGUGUGAAGUUGAGUAAGACUCAAAACCCGACCACGGCAGAAGAUAGAGAGAGAAUGAAAGUCAUUCCCUAUGCCUCAGCCAUAGGUUCUAUAAAGUAUGCCAUGCUGUGUACCAGACCUAUUGUAUACCCUGCCCUGAGUUUGGCAAGGGAGUACAAUAGUGAUCUAGGAGUAGAUCACUGGACAUUGUUCAAAAUUAUCCUUAGUGGAAUAAGGAUAUGUUUCUCGAUUAUGGAGGUGACAAAAGGUUCGUCGUAAAGGGUUACGUCGAUGCAAGUUUUGACACUGAUCCAGAUGACUCUAAGUCUCAAUCUGGAUACAUAUUGAAAGUGUGAGCAAUUAGCUAGAGUAGCUCCAUGCAGAGCAUUGUUGACAUAGAAAUUUGCAAAAUACUUACAGAUCUGAAUGUGGCAGACCCGUUGACUAAACUUCUCUCACAAGAAAAACAUGAUCACACCUCAGUACUCUUUGGGUGUUAAUCACAUAGCGAUGUGAACUAGAUUAUUGACUCUAGUAAACCCUUUGGGUGUUGGUCACAAGUUGAUGUGAACUAUGGGUGUUAAUCACAUGGUGAUGUGAACUAUUGAUGUUAAAUCACAUGGCGAUGUGAACUAGAUUAUUGACUCUAGUGCAAGUGGGAAACUAAAGGAAAUAUGCCCUAGAGGCAAUAAUAAAGUUAUUAUUUAUUUCCUUAUACCAUGAUAAAUGUUUAUUAUUCAUGCUAGAAUUGUAUUAACCGGAAACAUUAUACCUGUGUGAAUACAUAGACAAACAGAGUGUCACUAGUAUGCCUCUACUUGACUAGCUCGUUAAUCAAAGAUGGUUAUGUUUCCUAACCAUGGACAAAGAGUUGUUAUUUGAUUAACGGGAUCACAUCAUUAGGUGAAUGAUCUGAUUGACAUGACCCAUUCCAUUAGCUUAGCACCAGAUCGUUUAGUAUGUUGCUAUUGCUUUCUUCAUGACUUAUACAUGUUCCUAUGACUAUGAGAUUAUGCAACUCCCGUUUGCCGGAGGAACACUUUGUGUGCUACCAAACGUCACAACGUAACUGGGUGAUUAUAAAGGAGCUCUACAGGUGUCUCCAAAGGUACAUGUUGGGUUGGCGUAUUUCGAGAUUAGGAUUUGUCACUUCGAUCAUCGGAGAGGUAUCUCUGGGCCCUCUCGGUAAUGCACAUCACUUAAGCCUUGCAAGCAUUGCAGCUAAUGAGUUAGUUGCGGGAUGAUGUAUUACGGAACGAGUAAAGAGACUUGCCGGUAACGAGAUUGAACUAGGUAUUGGAUACCGACGAUCGAAUCUCGGGCAAGUAACAUACCGAUGACAAAGGGAACAACGUAUGUUGUUAUGCGGUCUGACCGAUAAAAGAUCUUUGUAGAAUAUGUAGGAACCAAUAUGGGCAUCCAGGUCCCGCUAUUGGUUAUUGACCGGAGACGUGUCUCGGUCAUGUCUACAUUGUUCUCGAACCCGUAGGGUCUGCACGCUUAAGGUUUCGAUGACAGUUAUAUUAUGAGUUUAUGAGUUUUAAUGUACCGAAGGAGUUCAGAGUCCCGGAUGAGAUCGGGGACAUGACGAGGAGUCUCAAAAUGGCCGAGACAUAAAAAUCGAUAUAUUGGACGACUAUAUUCGGACAUCGGAAAGGUUCCGAGUGAUUCGAGUAUUUUUCGGAGUACCGGAGAGUUACGGGAAUUCGCCGAGAGAAGUAUUGGGCCUUAUUGGGCCAUACGGGAAAGAGAGAGGGGCUGCCUAGGGCAGGCCGCGCGCCCCCAAGGCUUAGUCCGAAUUGGACUAGGGGGAGGGGCUGCGCCCCUUCCUUGUUUCCUACUCCUACUACAUGGAAGGACUCCUACUUGGACUAGGAAAGGGGGAAUCCUACUCCCGGUGAGAGUAGGACUUCUCUAGGCGCGCCAUAGAGAGGGCCGGCCCUCCCCUCCUGCACUCCUUGAUAUACGGGGGCAGGGGGCACCCCAUAGACACACAAGUUGAUCCACGUGAUUAUAUUCUUAGCCGUGUGCGGUGCCCCCUUCCACCAUAGUCCUCGAUAAUAUUGUAGUAGUGCUUAGGCGAAGCCCUGCGACAGUAGUACAUCAAGAUCGUCACCACGCCGUCGUGCUGACGGAACUCUUCCCCGACACUUUGCUGGAUCGGAGUCCGGGGAUCGUCAUCGAGCUGAACGUGUGCUAGAACUCGGAGGUGCCGUAGUUUCGGUACUUGAUCGAUCGGGCCGUGAAGACGUACGACUACAUCAACCGCGUUGUCAUAACGCUUCCGCUAUCAGUCUACAAGGAUACGUACAUCACACUCUCCUCUCUCGUUGCUAUGCAUCAUCAUGAUCUUGCGUGUGCGUAGGAAAUUUUUUGAAAUUACUAUGUUCCCCAACAAAAAUAUUCACAAAGAAACUCUAAAUACACAAAAAAAACAACUCAAAAAUAAAUAAAGCAAAAAAAAUAAAAAAAGCCCGCCUACUGGGCCAGAGCGGCCUGCAUACGACUAGAAACUCAACCUGUUGUUGGGCCAGGAUGCAGGCCCGCAAAGGUCGAGUAGGCCCACAGGGCAGCACAGAACAUGUAGGCCCAGUAGGCCUGCUUUGGAGAGGAGCUCGAGACAGCUACCGCACGGGGGGUUAUAAACCAGUGCAGACGCCCUUCGGCUAGCGAGGUGGGACUAAACUUGCUGCACCGCACCUGCGCCAAUGCACCCCCUUUAGUACCGGGUGGUGGCACCAACCGGUACUAAAGGCGGGGGUGCCUUUAGUACCGGUUGGAGCCACCACCCGGUACUAAAGGGGGUGCGCUUCCCGCCGCUUGGACUGGCCAAAACAGGCCUUUAGUACCGGUUGGUGGCUCCAACCGGUACUAAAGGUCCAUCCUAUAUAUCCAAACACUUCAAAAAUUUCAGUUUUUCAUCUGCUUCUUCUCCUCUGCCCCGUCGCCCGCCGCCCCCGUCUCCAUAUCCCUCGUCGCCGCCCCCGUCGCCGCCCCGUCCCCGUCGUCGNNNNNNNNNNNNNNNNNNNNNNNNNNNNNNNNNNNNNNNNNNNNNNNNNNNNNNNNNNNNNNNNNNNNNNNNNNNNNNNNNNNNNNNNNNNNNNNNNNNNNNNNNNNNNNNNNNNNNNNNNNNNNNNNNNNNNNNNNNNNNNNNNNNNNNNNNNNNNNNNNNNNNNNNNNNNNNNNNNNNNNNNNNNNNNNNNNNNNNNNNNNNNNNNNNNNNNNNNNNNNNNNNNNNNNNNNNNNNNNNNNNNNNNNNNNNNNNNNNNNNNNNNNNNNNNNNNNNNNNNNNNNNNNNNNNNNNNNNNNNNNNNNNNNNNNNNNNNNNNNNNNNNNNNNNNNNNNNNNNNNNNNNNNNNNNNNNNNNNNNNNNNNNNNNNCUCGCCGAUGAGCACACACGCACAUACAUUUUUUUAGUUUUUUAGUUAUAGAAAUAGUUAUAAAAAUGUUAGAAAAUUUUCUUUUCUUAGUUAUAGAAAUAGUUACUUAUAUAUCAUUAUUAGAAAUGUUAGAAUUGUUAGAAAUUUUUUCUGUUUUUUAGUUAUAGAAAUAGUUAUAAAAAAGUUAGAAUUGUUAGAAAUUUUUCUGUUUUUUAGUUAUAGAAAUAGUUAUAAAAAAGUUAGAAAUUUUUCUUUUUUUAGUUAUAGAAAUAUUAGAAAUGUUAUACAAAUGUUAGUUAUACAGAUAGAAAUGUUAUAAUUUUUUUUGUUUUUUAGUUAUAGAAAUAUUAGAAAUGUUAUAGAAAUGUUAGUUAUAUAGCAUUGUUAGAAAUGUUAUAGGAAUGUUAGUUAUAUAGAAAUGUUAGAACUUUGAGUUAUCAAAAUCCAAUUAUUAAAAAAAUGUUACUUUUUGCGGGCAUAUAGCUAGUACUUGUUCUCGACGAUGCCCGGCCCGCAUCCUCGCCGUCGACCCGUCCGCGACGACGUCCGGCUGACCCAUGUCCGAGACUGGGCUCCGCCGGGCUGGCACUGGGGGGGCGCGCCGCUUGAUGAGGAACAUGGCCCCGGGUCCCGUCGUCGACCCUGAUCUAGUUUGGAGGCGUUCGCGUCGGCCAGUUUCGGUGCGGAGGGAGCCGGCCCCGCCGGAGGUGGUACGUCGCCGUGUUAGGGAGGAGGACGAGCACGUCCAUCGCUACAUGGUUGCGUUAGAGGGCGGCAGGUUCUCCAAUACCUGGCAGUUUCUUCAGGGAUCUCACUUCAGCUAUGAUCCUGUGAGGGUUCCUUCUCUUUGGGUGUCCACCGCCCGCGCCGCAGGAACUGCGAGUGUCCUAGAUUCUUCUGUAGUCAGUGAUGUAUUCGAUAUAUAAUAUUCGAGACGAUGUAUUCGAGAUUAUAUAUUAUUCGAGACGAUGUAUUCGAGAUUAUAUCUAUUAUUCGAGACGAUGUAUUCGAGAUUAUAUCUAUUAUUCAAGACGAUGUAUUCGAGAUUAUAUCUAUUAUUUGAGACGAUGUAUUCGAGAUUAUAUCUAUUAUUCGAGACGACGUAUUCGAGAUUAUAUUUGAUGAUGCUUAUAUGUACUAUGAUUGAUUCAGUUUUUCCUUAUUAAUUGAUUGCAUCCAUGCAUUGUAAUUUGAAUAUAUUUCUUUUGGAUUAGUUAAACAAAACCUAUGGCGGACAAUACCGGUAGAGAGGGAGAAGAGGCCCUGUUCAAUAUCAUAUGCAAUCCUCGCGGGCCAGAUGAUGAUCAGAAUGAAGAAGAUUAUGACGGCUCCGAAUAUGUAAACAACACCGGGGAGGGUGAUAUGAUAUUCGAUCGCGACGACUGAAUUGAUGAAGUCAUGAACUAUGAACAUGACAAAGAAAAUGUUGAUCUUGAAACAACAAAGACCGGCGAGGUAUAUAUAUUUAUAUAAGCAGGCAUCUGGUGAUCAUCACAUGUUUUAAAUGACUCGAAGAUAUAUUAACGAAUCGAUCUUUCUUCUUUCAGCUAUCUGGAUCGAGCAAAUCUUCAGGCAACAGGAUGAAAUGAGGCCCAAACAAAAAGUUGAAGGAGGGCGUAAAGUACAAUAUCGAGGCAAUCAGACCUAAUGGCGAACCAUUAGCGCCUAAGAAGAUUGCGGACAAGUUCGUUCGUCAGUGCGGAGUUCUUGUGAAGGACCUACUCCCGAUCUCCCUUCAAGAAUGGAGAGAGCCAGCAAACCAACGUCCAGAUCUUACUUUUGUCGAUGACAGACAAAAAGGUCUGCUUUGGGAUACUCUCAUGGAACAUUUCACCCUACCAGAUCAUUUCACAGAAGCAGAUGUGCAGAAAGUAAAGGACGCUGCUCUUAGGAAGAUGGCGGUUGCAUUCAAGAACCAUAAGAAUCAUGAAUGGGACAAGUACAUCAAGGGAGGAAGGAAGACUCCAGUAUUCGAGGGAACACUAGAGAAGCAAAGUGCUCAUUGGGACGAUUGCGUGAAAUUCAAGGAUUCGGAAUUAGCUAAGGAGCGGUCGAGAAUAAACAAGAAGAAUGUCGAAAAAAGGAUAAGUUCCAUAAGCUGGGGCCAGGUGGCUACGCGAUGGCAAUGCCUAAGUGGGAUAAGUUUGAGAAAGAGAUGGAGGAUGCAAGUGUCACUCCGGUUACUAGGAGCUGGCCCCCCAGGUGCAGGACUUGGUUCUAUGCGCAUGGGGGGAGUUGGACCCGAAGACAGGCAAAGUUUCGACGAAGGCAUGUCUGAACGGAGCCAACGAUGCGCUAAUUGUUGCAAUAGAAGAGGCUCGAACGGGGGUAUUCCAGCCCAACAGAGAGAACGACGAGCUUACGCGUGCCCUGGGAAAUCCUGAACACCCGGGAAUAACACGAGGCAAGGGCGCUAUUCCGUGGUAUGAGUGGUUUUCGGACUGGAACCGACUACAGAAACCGUGUGAGAAGGAAGAUUGCGGAGGAGAAGAAGAGGAAGAUGGAGGAGGAGCAGAGGAAGUUGGACUAUGAACGCCUUCAAGGCCUAGAAUCAAAGCACGCAGACUUGGCAGUCAAAUUCCAGCGGCAGCAGGAGCAGAUCGACUCACUUAGCCAGCAAAGGGGGUCUCAGCAGCUGCAGCGGCAAGCGGAUGAUCCAGCAUUGGAUAGCACCGCCCUAUCCAUGCCGAGAAGCAGCGUGGGUUCCGCCCCGGGCGACGCAAUGCUGGAUAGAUACCCCGUGGAUGACGUCACGGAGAACACUAACUGCGAGCUACACUUCAAAAUGAAGAACAUAUCCAUGAAGGUGGCGGAUGCCGUUGCUUUUACAAAUCCCCCCGAGGCAACCUUCCAUUGCAACCCGAUUCCAGCAGGCUAUGCUCGUGUCUUGGUUGAUGAGGUGGUGGACCCAUAUUCGGGGCUACAUCUUGACAUUCCUGGAGGUGAUGACGAGCACACAUUGGGAGAGGCCAUACAUCGUGUCAUCCUAUGGAGAAAGGAUUGCAUCGUCUUUCGAAGGCCACCGGCACCGCGUCACCCGACUCCUCGUCGAAGUCCGCCACCGAGUCAGCAAACUCCUGCUCCUCCAAGUCCACCAAUGUGUGAGGCCAUUACUCCUCCUCCAAGUCUGGCAAAGUGUCAGGCCACUCCUCCUCCAAGUCCGACACAGCGUCAGACGUCCACUCCUCCUCCAUGUCCGGCACAACUUCAGGCCACUCCUCCUCCAAGUCCGGCACAGCUUCAGGCCACUCCUCCUCAUCCAACUCAGCCCCGUCAGCCUUCUCCGCCGCCUCAGCAAUCGCAGAAGAGACACCCCGCAGCUAUGGUGCAUAGCGGUACGAGUCGAGGUAGUACAGGAAGUACAGGCGGAGGCAAGCUAUAUAAAUAUGGUCCAAGCCUCACUACUCCUCUUCCUCAGAGGGCUUAUGACAUGACCGAGGAGCAAACCAAUGCCAUAGAGCAGGCAGAAGUGGACGCCCAUUUUGGACCGAAACCGCCACCGCCGCCAAGGGAGAAACUGCCUGUGGAAAAGAUUGACCACUUCAUUCGUAUGGCCCAACCACCAGCUCCCAAGCCCGAUGACACAGACUAUGAGCGCCACAUCAGGAAGUUAAAUCGAGCACGUCUACAGAAGGAGGCGAGCUCGAGCUCGAGCAAACAACAAGCAGCUGUCAAAAAAUGCAGGAAAACCGUUCCCCAGCAGGGAGAACAGGCGACGCAAUCGAUCCCCUCGCUUGUUGUGCCAACAACACGUGAUAGUACGCGCGCCCAAUAUUAUUGUGGCCAAACAGUUUAUGUUCCCGAGGUGGGCAAUGUGGUAAUAACCGAGGAGCAUAUAAUGCAGGCUAAAAUUCUCAACAUCACUGUUGGACAACUCCUCAAGAUCGAGCCCAUGCCUGUGCUUACAGAGGAGGAAAUAAAAUGGAAAUAUGUCCGGGGCGAACCUUUGGUCAAGCCAGACGAGGUCAAGAAGCUCCUAACGCGAAUGUAUGAAUUGCAUCAAUGGUACAUGGACAUUACCAAGAGUUCCAAUCGAGAGUCCCUCAUGGUGGAAGUCAAGAAGGAUCAUUACUACCAUCAGAAAGCUGUGGCCGUUGAGUAUAAUGAACUGUUUGAGUUAUACAAUCAAGAUGCACUCGACAAAUCUAUCGUCAGUUGCUAUUGUCUGUAAGUGAUUUCUUUCUGUAAUUUAAGUCUCAAGCUAGCUGUAGUGAUCCUUUUGAUCAAUCAUUACCUGUAAUUAUCCUCACUAUAUUCUUUUCUGUGGUAUUAUGCAUGAUGAAGAUGUAUGUAAUGAAAAAAAGUGGACGCUACGGCAUUGGGUUCAUUGACCCAAACACCGUUAAUGAAUACACAUGGAAAAUAGAUCCAUAUCAUGAAAAGCAUGUAGAGGACAGCAUGCUAGAGUUCUUGAAGCGCCUCAAAUACAAUGAAGAUAUACUACUUCCUUACAACUUCCAGUGAGUCACACUGUCUUGUACUAUACAAAUUCUCUGUUUUUGCCUACUAGCUAGCUACAUGUUUUUGCUUAUGUAUGCCCGCUUAAUUAAGACAUGCAAACGUGUGUGCAUGCAGAUUUCACUGGAUCUUGUGUAUCAUUAAAGUUGACGCUGGAACAAUUGAAAUACUGGACUCACUACUCAAAGCAAAUAGUGACUAUAACAUCUUGUUUGGGAUAGUCAACAGGUAAUUUCAAUCAUUAUUAACUAUAUAUCUCGACCUAUUUAGUUCGUCAUUUCAUGAUAUGAACUAUUUAAUAACCCAUUUAUUCAUUUUCUUUGUCAGCGGGCAGGGCUUGGGCAAGGUUCAUCAGCGUCACUCCAGGCGAAUGGAAACAAAAGCUGAAAUGGUUUCGACCCAAGGUAAGUAAUUAAGUAGUACUAGCUAGCUAGCUAGCUGCCAUCUCUUUAAUUAUCAUGCUUGCUUAAUUAUUAUCUGAUCAACUUCCAUUCUCGUAAAGGCCCUGAAGGAGGCGCAGGGGACUGAUCUGUGUGCAUACUGCGUUUGCGAGAACAUUCACAUGAUGGCAUCCGAAAGGAGCAGAUCUCAAAGACAGGAAUGGCACUAGUAGAAAAAGGGUCCAAUCGUGAAGCACAUUAGUGCCGGUUUGAAUUUGAGCUGGCACUAAUGUGUGCAUUAGUGCCGGUUCCAACGGCUAGCCGGCCGCUCUCAUUAGUACCGGUCCGUGGUGAACCUUUAGCACCGGUUCGUGCCAUGAACCGGUACUAAAGUGAGUGGUGGCAGGAUGUUGUCAGUCCGGGGCCCCUCCAGCACCUUUAGUACCGGGUCGUUUCAUGAACCGGUACUAAAGGUCGUCCUACAUAGACCCUUCGUCCACCCGAGCUCGCUUUGUUCUUCCCCUUUCCCCUCUCCUCUCUGUUCUUUUCCCUCUUCCUCUCAAGCUCAUCACACAUUUUGCCCAAAAUUUGUCAAGAUUUGAAGGCCCCCAUCCAUUCAAAUGAUCACAAAGGUUAACAACUUUUUCCUUUCAUCUCUCAUUGCUAGAUUAGCUUGUGCAAUGCUUUAUAUAGUGAUUGAUUUUUGAGUUUAGUAAUUUGGGAGGAAUUAUAUAGAUGUGCUAGUAUUUGAUUUAUAUGCAAUUUGAGGUCAAAAAUAACACUUAGUUUGCAUAUGUAGGUGUGGUUUACGUAGUACCUUCUAAAUCUCCGUCGUAACCACCGUCGAUCGCUCGCAACGUCCCGUCGCCAGCACCACCUUGUGGUGAGCCUCUUGUUCUUGAACUUUUAUAUAAAAAAUUGAUGUUUGUGUGAUUUGGAUAUAUAGUUACUCGUAUAAUUAUCUUACCCAUACGUUGUUUGUUAUACAUAGUGCCAUGGUUUUGAUAUCCGUCCCCGUUGGCCCUCGUCCGGGUUAUGAUUCGGAUGUGGUAUAUUCUCUUUUAAAACUAUUCAUUGCAUUUCGUGUUUAUGACAAAUUAUGCCCAUCAAGUUGACAUAGAUAUUUGUAUGUAGGAGGUAGUUGAACCGGAAAUUCCAACCGACCCUAUUGUCGAGAGGUUAAAUUUAGUUGAAAGAGAAAACGAGGAUUUGAAGGAAAAAUUGAAAAGAAUUGAGGGGGAGAAGAUGGAAUUGGAGUUGCAUGUUGCCGAUGUCGUCGAUAAUCACAAGAUUAAGAUGGAGAAAAUGCGCUUGAAGAUUAGAAAGAUUAGAAAAUAUGCUAUUCAUAGUGAGGCUUGGUAUCAUUAUGCUGUUGGAUCAAUUGUUACCUUAGUUGCGAUCUUGAUCGCAUUUGUUGUUGCAUUUAAAUUCUUUAGCUAGAGAGUUAUUUGUUUGUUGCAUUUAAGUGUUGUAUGAUCUUUAUGUAUGAACUUUAUGUAUUGUAUUAAUUUGACGUUUUCGGUGCUGUCUAUUGAAGAUGAGCCGGCAAUGGAUGUACGAUGACCGAUGCUCUCCCGAAUUCAUUAAUGGUGUGCGUACUUUUCUGCUUGCGGCUGAGGCAAACAAGCGAGCGGAUGGUUUUAUGCCUUGUCCAUGUGCUGGCUGUAAGAAUGGUCACAAUUACUCUACGUCAAGAACCAUUCACGUCCACCUGUUUGAGUCCGGUUUCAUGCCCCACUAUAAUGUUUGGACCAAGCAUGGAGAAAGAGGGGUUAUGAUGGAAGACAAUGAAGAAGAAGAGGACGACGACAGCUAUCCUGGCCAUGGGUUCCCUGAAUACGAUGAUACAACAAUGAGGGAAGAAGCUGAGCCGGUAAUGCGGGAAGAAGCUAAAGAAGAGGCAUCGGAUGAGCCCGUUGAUGAUCUAGGUCAGGCCAUUGCCGAUGCAAAGAGAAACUGCGCAAGUGAUUUGGAGAAGAAGAAGUUGCAGCGCAUGUUAGAGGAUCACAAAAAAUUGUUGUACCCGAAUUGCGUAGGUGACAAGAAAAAGCUGGGCACCACACUGGAAUUGCUGCAAUGGAAGGCAGAGAAUGGUGUAUCUGACAAGGGAUUUGGAAAGUUGCUGGUAAUGAUAAAGGAUAUGCUUCCACAGGACAACGAAUUGCCCGAGAGUACGUACGAAGCAAAGAAGGUUGUCUGCCCUCUAGGGUUAGAGGUGCAGAAGAUACAUGCAUGCCCUAAUGGUUGCAUCCUCUACCGCGAUGAGUACGAGGAUUUGAACGCUUGCCUGGUAUGCGGUGCAUUGCGCUAUAAGAUCAGCCGCGAUGACCCUGGUGAUGUUGAGGGCGAGCGCCCCAGGAAGAAGAUUCCUGCCAAGGUGAUGUGGUAUGCUCCUAUAAUACCCCGGUUGAAACGUUUGUUCCAAAACAAAGAGCAUGCCAAUGCGAUGCGAUGGCACAGAGAAGACCGUAAGAAAGACGGAAAGUUGAGAGUACCCGCUGAUGGGUCGCAGUGGAGAAAAAUCGAAAGAAAGUACGGAAAGGAGUUUGUAGAUGACGCAAGGAACGUAUGGUUUGGUCUAAGCGCAGAUGGCAUUAAUCCUUUUGGGGAGCAGAGCAGCAACCAUAGAACCUGGCAUGUGACUCUAUGUUUGUAUAAUCUUCCUCAUUGGUUGUGCAUGAAGCGGAAGUUCAUUAUGAUGACAGUGCUCAUCCAAGGCCCUAAGCAACCCGGCAACGACAUUGAUGUGUACCUAAGGCCAUUAGUUGAAGAACUCUUACAACUGUGGAAUGGAACAGGUGUACGUGCGUGGGAUGAGCACAUGGGGAAGAAUUUGACCUAAAGGCGUUGCUGUUCGUGACCAUCAAUGAAUGGCUGUUCUCAGUAACCUUUCAGGACAGACAAACAAGGGAUACCGCGCAUGAACGCACUGUUUGGAUGAUACGGACAGUAUAUAUUUGGCUAAUUGUAAGAAGAAUGUGUACCUGGGACAUCGUCGAUUUCUUCCGAGCAGGCAUCCCGUAAGAAAGAAAGGCAAGCAUUUCAAAGGUGAGGCGGAUCACCGGACGAAGCCUCGCCACUGUACUGGUGUUGAUGUACAUGAUAUGGUCAAGGAUUUGAAGGUGGUCUUUGGAAAGGGUCCUGGUGGACAACCUGUUCCGAAUGACGCUGACGGACGCGCACCCAUGUGGAAGAAGAAAUCUAUAUUUUGGGACCUGCCCUAUUGGAAAGACCUAGAGGUCUGCUCCGCAAUCGACGUGAUGCAUGUGACGAAGAAUCUUUGUGUGACCCUGCUUGGCUUCUUGGGCGUGUAUGGGAAGACAAAAGAUACACCUGAGGCACGGGAGGACCAGCAAUGUAUGCACGGAAAAGACGGCAUACAUUAGGGUCAUGCAAGCUAUGCUCUUACAAAAGAAGAGAAGGAAAUCUUCUUUGAAUGCAUGCUCAGUAUUAAGGUACCGUCUGGCUUCUCGACGAAUAUAAAGGGAAUAAUAAACAUGGCAGAGAAAAAGUUCCAGAACCUAAAGUCUCAUGACUGCCACAUGAUUAUGACGCAACUUCUUCCGGUUGCAUUGAGGGUGCUUCUACCAGAAAAUGUUCGAUUAGCCAUUGUGAAGCUAUGUGCAUUUCUCAAUGUAAUCCCUCAGAAGGUAAUCGAUCCAGAAAUCAUACCAAGGUUAGAGAAUGAUUUGGUGCAAUGGCUUGUCAGUUUCGAGUUGGUGUUCCCACCAUCCUUCUUCAACAUCAUGACGCACGUCCUAGUUCACUUAUGCGAAGAGAUUAACGUUUUUGGUCCUGUAUUUCUACACAAUAUGUUCCCCUUUGAGAGGUUCAUGGGAGUCUUAAAGAAAUAUGUUCAUAACCAUGCUAGGCCAGAAGGAAGCAUCUCCAAGGGCCAUGAAAAUGAGGAGGUCAUUGAGUUUUGUAUUGACUUUAUUCCUGACCUUAAGCCGAUUGGUGUUCCUAAAUCGCGGCAUAAGGGCAGACUGGAUGGAAAAGGCAUGCUAGGAGGGGAACAAAUAAUAUGUAUGGACGAACAUUCUCUCACUGAAGCACACUACACAGUUUUACAGAAUUCCGCCUUGGUGGCUCCGUAUAUGUAUGAACACAAGAAUUUGCUACGCUCCAAACACCCGAGCGGUCUGAUGACUGGAUUACACGUGAACUAACUAGGAGUUUCGCCAGCUGGUUGCAGACACGUACCAUGCAUGACACCUCUAUUGAAGAUGACAUGUACUUGCUGUCCCAGUUACCAUCUUCGAAUAUAAUGACUUUCAAAGGGGACGAGAUAAAUGGUAAUACAUUUUACACGAUCGCCCAAGAUAAGAAGAGCACCAACCAAAACAGUGGUGUCUGCUUUGAUGCAGAAACCAAGACGGGAAAGGAAACAUAUUAUGGUUAUAUACAGGACAUAUGGGAACUUGACUAUCGACGUGGUUUGAAGGUCCCUUUGUUUCGGUGCAAAUGGGUCAAUAUGACACGAGGCGGGGUAACGGAAGACCCGCAGUACGGAAUGACAACAGUGGAUCUCAACAAUCUUGCGUAUGCAGACGAACCAUUCGUCCUAGACAAUGAUGUGGCACAGGUUUUCUAUGUGAAAGACAUGUCUACCAAGCCAAGAAAAAGAAAAGAUAAGGAAGCGAAUGCAUUGUACGAUGAGCCAAAGCGGCACAUAGUUCUUUCUGGGAAGAGAAACAUCGUGGGAGUGGAUGACAAGACAGACAUGUCAGAAGAUUAUGAAAAGUUUGAUGAAAUUGCUCCAUUCACGGUGAAUAUUGACCCGAGCAUCCCGUUAAAUGAUGAAGAUUUUCCAUGGUUACGGCGCAAAGGGACACACGCGAAGAAAAAGUUUCACACCCAAAGAUCUGGGAUGUGAUCGGCUUCACUAUCAUCACUUUGUUCUGUGUUUCACACCCAGGAGGGAAUCUCUCUAAUAGUUAGGGUAGUUAUGUGUUUUGGCAUUUGAAAUGCGCAGAAAUUUUAUGUGCAAACAAAUUCUUUCAUGCCUUUACUGAUUUUUAAAGUUAAGUUAUUCACAAACUAGUGAUUCACACUAAUUUCAAAUAAUUCAAAAUUUAAACUAUUAAAAUUUGAAAACUACGGGCACUAAAGAAAGUUUGUAAUUUUUUGUACCUAAAGAAAAAUAUUCACAAAGAAACUCUAAAUACACAAAAAAACAACUCAAAAAUAAAUAAAGCAAAAAAAAUAAAAAUAAAGCCCGCCUACUGGUCCAGAGCGGCCUGCAUACGACUAGAAACCCAACAUGUUGUUGGGCCAGGAUGCAGGCCCGCAAAGGCACAGUAGGCCCACAGGGCAGCACAAAACAUGUAGGCCCAGUAGGCCUGCUUUGGAGAGGAGCUCGAGAGAGCUACCGCACGGGGGGAUAUAAACCAGUGCGGACGCCCCUCGGCUAGCGAGGUGGGACUAAACUUGCCACACCGCACAUGCGCCAGCGCACCCCCUUUAGUACCGGGUGGUGGCACCAACCGGUACUAAAGGGGGGCCUUUAGUACCGGUUGGAGCCACCACCCGGUACUAAAGGGGGUGCGCUUCCCGCCGCUUGGCCUGGCCAAAACAAGCCUUUAGUACCGGUUGGUGGCUCCAACCGGUACUAAAGGUCCAUCCUAUAUAACUAAACACUUCAAAAAUUUCAGUUUCUCAUCUGCUUCUUCUCCUCUGCCCCGUCGCCCGUCGCCCCCGUCUCCAUAUCCCUCGUCGANNNNNNNNNNNNNNNNNNNNNNNNNNNNNNNNNNNNNNNNNNNNNNNNNNNNNNNNNNNNNNNNNNNNNNNNNNNNNNNNNNNNNNNNNNUUUUUCUGUUUUUCAGAAAUAGUUAGAAAUGUUAGAAUUGUUAAAAUAGUUAGAAAUGUUAGAAUUGUUAGAAUUGUUAGAAAUGUUAGAAUUGUAAGAAAUUUUUCUGUUUUUUAGUUAUAGAAAUAGUUAUAAAAAAGUUAGAAUUGUUAGAAAUUUUUCUGUCUUUUAGUUAUAGAAAUAGUUAUAAAAAUGUUAGUUAUAUAUAUAGUAAUGUUAUAAUUUUUUCUGUUUUUUAUUUAUAGAAAUAUUAGAAAUGUUAUAGAAAUGUUAGUUAUAUAUAGCAUUGUUAGAAAUGUUAUAGAAAUGUUAGUUAUAUAGAAAUGUUAGAAAUUUUAGUUAUCAAAAUCCAAUCAUUAAAAAAAUGUUACUUUUUGCGGGCAUAUAGCUAGUAUUUGUUCUCGACGAUGCCCGACCCGCAUCCUCGNNNNNNNNNNNNNNNNNNNNNNNNNNNNNNNNNNNNNNNNNNNNNNNNNNNNNNNNNNNNNNNNNNNNNNNNNNNNNNNNNNNNNNNNNNNNNNNNNNNNNNNNNNNNNNNNNNNNNNNNNNNNNNNNNNNNNNNNNNNNNNNNNNNNNNNNNNNNNNNNNNNNNNNNNNNNNNNNNNNNNNNNNNNNNNNNNNNNNNNNNNNNNNNNNNNNNNNNNNNNNNNNNNNNNNNNNNNNNNNNNNNNNNNNNNNNNNNNNNNNNNNNNNNNNNNNNNNNNNNNNNNNNNNNNNNNNNNNNNNNNNNNNNNNNNNNNNNNNNNNNNNNNUAUAUUAGAAAUGUUAUAGAAAUGUUAGUUAUAUAGCAUUGUUAGAAAUGUUAUAGGAAUGUUAGUUAUAUAGAAAUGAUAGAAAUUUUAGUUAUCAAAAUCCAAUCAUUAAAAAAAUGUUACUUUUUGCGGGCAUAUAGCUAGUAUUUGUUCUCGACGAUGCCCGGCCCGCAUCCUCGCCGUCGACCCGUCCGCGACGACGUCCGACUGACCCAUGUCCGGGACUGGGCUCCACCGGGCUGGCACUGGGAGGUGCUGCCUAGAGGGACGCACCGCUUGAUGAGGAACCCGGCCCCGGGUCACGUCGUCGACCCUGAUCUCGUUUGGUGGCGUUCGCGUGGGCCAGUUUCGGUGUGGAGGGAGCCGGCCCCGCCGGAGGUGGUACGUCGCCGUGUCAGGGAGGAGGACGAGCACGUCCAUUGCUACAUGGUUGCGUUAGAGGGCGGCAGGUUCUCCAAUACCUGGCAGUUUCUUCAGGGAUCUCACUUCAGCUAUGAUCCUGUGAGGGUUCCUUCUCUUUGGGUGUCCACCGCCCGCGUCGCAGGAACUGCGAGUGUCCUAGAUUCUUCGGUAGUCAGUGAUGUAUUCGAUAUAUAAUAUUCGAGACGAUGUAUUCGGAUUAUAUAUUAUUCGAGAUGAUGUAUUCGAGAUUAUAUCUAUUAUUCGAGACAAUGUAUUCGAGAUUAUAUCUAUUAUUCAAGACGAUGUAUUCGAGAUUAUAUCUAUUAUUCGAGACGAUGUAUUCGAGAUUAUAUCUAUUAUUCAAGACGACGUAUUUGAGAUUAUAUUCGAUGAUGCUUAUUAUGUACUAUGAUUGAUUCAGUUUUUCCUUAUUAAUUGAUUGCAUCCAUGCAUUGUAAUUUGAAUAUAUUUCUUUUGGAUUAGUUAAACAAAACCUAUGGCGGACAAUACCGGCAGAGAGGGAGAAGAGGCCCUGUUCAAUAUCAUACGCAAUCCUCGCGGGCCAGAUGAUGAUCAGAAUGAAGAAGAUUAUGACGGCUCCGAAUAUGUAAACAACACCGGGGAGGGUGAUAUGAUAUUCGAUCGCGACGACCGAAUUGAUGAAGUCAUGAACUAUGAACAUGACGAAGAAAAUGUUGAUCUUGAAACAACAAAGACCGGUGAGGUAUAUAUAUUUAUAUAAGCAGGCAUCUGGUGAUCAUCACAUGUUUUAAAUGACUUGAAGAUAUAUUAACGAAACGAUCUUUCUUCUUUCAGCCAUCCAGAUCGAGCAAAUCUUCAGGCAACAGGAUGAAACGAGGCCCAAACAAAAAGUUGAAGGAGGGCAUAAAGUACAAUAUCGAGGCAAUCAGACCUAAUGGCGAACCAUUAGCGCCUAAGAAGAUUGCGGACAAGUUCGUUCGUCAGUGCGGAGUUCUUGUGAAGGACCUACUCCCGAUCUCCCUUCAAGAAUGGAGAGAGCCAGCAAAGCCACGUCCAGGUCUUACUUUUGCCGACGACAGACAAAAAGGUCUGCUUUGGGAUACUCUCAUGGAACAUUUCACCCUACCAGAUCAUUUCACAGAAGCAGAUGUGCAGAAAGUCAAGGACGCUGCUCUUAGGAAGAUGGCGGUUGCAUUCAAGAACCACAAGAAUCAUGAAUGGGACAAGUACGUCAAGGAAGGAAGGAAGACUCCUGUAUUCGAGGGAACACUAGAGAAGCGAAUUGCUCAUUGGGACGAUUUCGUGAAAUUCAAGGAUUCGGAAUUAGCUAAGGAACGGUCGAGAAUAAACAAGAAGAAUGUCGAAAAAAGGAUAAGUUCCAUAAGCUGGGGCCAGGUGGCUAAGCGGUGGCAAUGCCUAAGUGGGAUAAGUUUGAGAAAGAGAUGGAUGAUGCAGGUAUCAUUCCGGUUACUAGGAGCUGGCCCACCAGGUGCAGGACUUGGUUCUAUGCGCAUGGGGGGAGUUGGACCCGAAGACAGGCAAAGUUUUGACGAAGGCAUGUCUGAACGGAGCCGACGAUGCGCUAAUUGUUGCAAUAGAAGAGGCUCGAAUGGGGGUAUUCUAGCCCAACAGAGAGAACGACAAGCUUACGUGUGCCCUAGGAAAUCCUGAACACCUGGGAAGAACACGAGGCAAGGGCGCUAUUCCGUGGUAUGAGGGGUUUUCGGACUGGAACGCCGACUACAGAACCCGUGCGAGAAGGAAGCUUGCGGAGGAGAAGAAGAGGAAGAUGGAGGGGGAGCAGAGGAAGCUGGACUAUGAACGCCUUCAAGGCCUAGAAUCAAAGCACGCGGACUUGGCAGUCAAAUUCUAGCGGCAGCAGGAGCAGAUCGACUCACUUAGCCAGCAAAGGGGGUCUCAGCAGCUGCAGCGGCAAGCGGAUGAUCCCGCAUUGGAUAGCACCACCCCAUCCAUGCCGAGAAGCAGCGUGGGUUCCGCCCCGGGCGACGCAAUGCUGGAUAGAUACCCCAUGGAUGACGUCACGGAGAACACUAACUGUGAGCUACACUUCAAAAUGAAGAACAUAUCCAUGAAGGUGGCGGACGCCGUUGCUUUUACAAAUCCCCCCGAGGCAACCUUCCAUUGCAACCCGAUUCCAGCAGGCUAUGCUCGUGUCUUGGUUGAUGAGGUGGUGGACCCAUAUUCGGGGCUACAUCUUGACAUUCCUGGAGGUGACGACGAGCACACAUUGGGAGAGGCCAUACAUCGUGUCAUCCUAUAGAGAAAGGAUUGCAUCGUCUUUCGAAGGCCACCGGCACCGCGUCACCCGACUCCUCGUCGAAGUCCGCCACCGAGUCAGCAGACUCCCGCUCCUCCAAGUCCACCAAUGCGUGAGGCCACUCCUCCUCCUCCAAGUCCGGCAAAGUGUCAGGCCACUCCUCCUCCAAGUCCGACACAGCGUCAGACGUCCACUCCUCCUCCAAGUCCGGCACAAGUUCAGGCCACUCCUCCUCCAAGUCCGGCACAGCUUCAGGCCACUCCUCCUCGUCCAACUCAGCCCCGUCAGUCGUCUCCGCCGCCUCAGCAAUCGCAGAAGAGACACCCCGCAGCUAUGGUGCGUAGCGGUACGAGUCGAGGUAGUACAGGAAGUACAGGCGGAGGCAAGCGAUAUAAAUAUGGUCCAAGCCUCACUACUCCUCUUCCUCAGAGGGCUUACGAUAGGACCGAGGAGCAAACCAAUGACAUAGUGCGGGCAGAAGUGGACGCCCAUUUUGGACCGAAACCGCCACCGCCGCCAAGGGAGAAAGUGCCUGCGGAAAAGAUUGACCACUUCAUUCGUAUGGCUCAACCACCAGCUCCCAAGCCUGUUGACACAGACUAUGAGCGCCACAUCAGGAAGUUAAAUCGAGCACGUCUACAGAAGGAGGCGAGCUCGAGCAAACAAUAAGCAGCUGCCAAAAAUGCAGGAAAACCGUUCCCCAGCUGGGAGAACAGGCGGCGCAAUCGAUCCCCUCGCUUGUUGUGCCAACAACACGUGACAAUACGCGCGCCCAAUAUUAUUGUGGGCAAACUGUUUACGUUCCCGAGGUGGGCAAUGUGGUAAUAACCGAGGAGCAUAUAAUGCAGGCUGAAAUUCUCAACAUCACUGUUGGACAACUCCUCAAGAUCGAGCCCAUGCCUGUGCUUACAGAGGAGGAAAUAAAACGGAAAUAUGUCCGGGGCGAACCUUUGGUCAAGCCAGACGAGGUCAAGAAGCUCCCAACGAGAAUGUAUGAAUUGCAUCAAUGGUACAUGGACAUUACCAAGAGUUCCAAUCUAGAGUCCCUCAUGGUGGAAGUCAAGAAGUAUCAUUACUACCAUCAGAAAGCUGUGGCCGUUGAGUAUAAUGAACUGUUUCAGUUAUACAAUCAAGACGCACUCGACAAAUCUAUCGUUAGUUGCUAUUGUUUGUAAGUGAUUUCUUUCUGUAAUUUGAGUCUCAAGCUAGCUGUAGUGAUCCUUUUGAUCAAUCAUUACCUGUAAUUAUCCUCACUAUAUUCUUUUCUGUGGUAUUAUGCGGGAUGAAGAUGUAUGAAAUGAAAAAAGGUGGACGCUAUGGCAUUGGGUUCAUUGACCCAAACACCGUUAAUGAAUGCACAUGGAAAAUAGAUCCAUAUCAUGAAAAUCAUGUAGAGGACAGCAUGCUAGAGUUCUUGAAGCGCCUCAAAUACAAUGAAGAUAUACUACUUCCUUACAACUUCCAGUGAGUCACACUGUCUUGUACUAUACAAAUUCUCUAUUUUUGCCUACUAGCUAGCUACAUGUUUUUGCUUACGUAUGCCCAUUUAAUUAAGACAUGCAAAUGUGUGUGCAUGUAGAUUUCACUAGAUCUUGUGUAUCAUUAAAGUUGACGCCGGAACAGUUGAAAUACUGGACUCACUACUCAAAGCAAAUAAUGACUAUAACAUCUUGUUUGGGAUAGUCAACAGGUAAUUUCAAUCAUUAUUAACUAUAUAUCUCGGCCUAUUUAGUUCGUCAUUUCAUGAUAUGAACUAUUUAAUAACCCCUUUAUUCAUUUUCUUUGUUGGCGGGUAGGGCUUGGGCAAGGUUCAUCAGCGUCUCUCCAGGCGAAUGGAAACAAAAGCUGAAAUGGUUUCGACCCAAGGUAAGUAAUUAAGUAGUACUAGCUAGCUAGCUAGCUGCCAUCUCUUUAAUUAUCAUGCUUGAUUAAUUAUUAUCUGACCAAAUUCCAUUCUCGUAAAGGCCCUGAAGCAGGCGUAGGGGACUGAUAUGUGUGCAUACUGCGUUUGCGAGAACAUUUGCAUGAUGGCGUCCGAAAGGAGCAGAUCUCAAAGACAGGAAUGGCACUAGUAGAAAAAGGGUCAAACGUGAAGCACAUUAGUGCCGGUUUGAAUUUGAGCCGGCACUAAUGUGUGCAUUAGUGCCGGUUCCAACGGCUAGCCGGCCGCUCUCAUUAGUACCGGUUCGUGGAGAACCUUUAGCACCGGUUCGUGCCACGAACCGGUACUAAAGUGAGUGGUGGCAGGAUGUUGUCAGUCCGGGGCCCCUCCAGCACCUUUAGUACCGGGUCGUAUCACGAACCGGUCCUAAAGGUCGUCCUACAUAGACCCUUCGUCCACCCGAGCUCGCUCUGUUCUUCCCCUUUCCCCUCUCCUCUUUGUACUUUUCCCUCUUCCUCUCAAUCUCAUCACACAUUUUGCCCAAAAUUUGUUAAGAUUUGAAGGCCCCCAUCCAUUCAAAUGAUCACAAAGGUUAGCAACUUUUUCCUUUCAUCUCUCAUUGCUAGAUUAGCUCGUGCAAUGCUUUAUAUAGUGAUUGAUUUUUGAGUUUAGUAAUUUGGGAGGAAUUAUAUAUAUGUGCUACUAUUUGAUUUAUAUGCAAUUUGAGGUCAAAAAUAACACUUAGAACCAUUCACGUCCACCUGUUUGAGUCCGGUUUCAUGCCCCACUAUAAUGUUUGGACCAAGCAUGGAGAAAGAGGGGUUAUUGUGGAAGACAAUGAAGAAGAAGAGGACGACGACAGCUAUCCUGGCCAGGGGUUCCCUGAAUACGAUGAUACAACAAUGAGGGAAGAAGCUGAGCCGGUAAUGCGGAAAGAAGCUGAGCCGGCAAUGCAGGAAGAAGCUGAAGAAGAGGCAUCGGAUGAGCCGUUGAUGAUCUAGGUCGGGCCAUUGCCGAUGCAAAGAGAAACUGCGCUAGUGAUUUGGAGAAGAAGAAGUUGCAGCGCAUGUUAGAGGAUCACAAAAAAAUGUUGUACCCGAAUUGCGUAGGUGACAAGAAAAAGCUGGGCACCACACUGGAAUUGCUGCAAUGGAAGGCAGAGAAUGGUGUAUCUGACAAGGGAUUUGGAAAGUUGCUGGUAAUGAUAAAGGAUAUGCUUCCAAAGGACAACGAAUUGCCCGAGAGUACGUACGAAGCAAAGAAGGCUGUCUGCCCUCUAGGGUUAGAGGUGCAGAAGAUACAUGCAUGCCCUAAUGAUUGCAUCCUCUACCGCGGUGAGUACGAGGAUUUGAACGCUUGCCCGGUAUGCGGUGCAUUGCGCUAUAAGAUCAGCCGCGAUGACCCUGGUGAUGUCGAGGGCGAGCGCCCCAGGAAAAAGAUUCCUGCCAAGGUGAUGUGGUAUGCUCCUAUAAUACCACGGUUGAAACGUUUGUUCCAAAACAAAGAGCAUGCCAAGGCGAUGCGAUGGCACAGAGAAGACCGUAAGAAAGACGGAAAGUUGAGAGUACCCGCUGACGGGUCGUAGUGGAGAAAAAUCGAAAGAAAGUACGGGAAGGAGUUUGCAGAUGACGCAAGGAACGUAUGGUUUGGUCUAAGCGCAGAUGGCAUUAAUCCUUUUGGGGAGCACAGCAGCAACCAUAGCACCUGUCCUAUGACUCUAUGUUUGUAUAACCUUCCUCUUUGGUUGUGCAUGAAGCAGAAGUUCAUUAUGAUGCCAGUGCUCAUCCAAGGCGCUAUGAAAAAAAUUCUUAUUUUUAACAGAAGCGCGAUAAAAUACUGAUUAUUUUUGCAGAAGAUUAAUAAAUAAAUUGUUUAGGUCGUCCUAAAUAUUCAGAAUUUUUGAAGUUAAAGAAGUAUUCAUAAUAUCCAGAUUGCUACAGACUGUUCUGUUUUUGACAAAUUCUGUUUUCUAUGUGUUGUUUGCUUAUUUUGAUGAAUCUAUGGCUCGUAUCGGGGCGGGGGGUAUGAACCAUGGAAGAGUUAAAAUACAGUAGAUAUUACACCAAUAUAAAUAAAAAAUGAGUUCACAACAGUAUCAAAAGUGGUGAUUUAUUUUCUUAUAACGGGGCUUAUGAUAUUUUCUGUCGAGUUUUGUGUUGUGAAGUUUUCAAGUUUUGGGUAAGGAAUUGAUGGACUAUGGAAUAAAGAGUGGCAAGAGCCUAAGCUUGGGGAUGCCCAAGGCACCCCAAGGUAAUAUUCAGGGAUAACCAAGAGCCUAAGCUUCCGGGGCAUCCCCUCUUUCGUCUUCAUUUAUCGGUAACUUUACUUGAGGCUAUAUUUUUAUUCACCACAUGAUAUGUGUUUUGCUUGGAGCAUCGUGUAUGAUUUGAGUCUUUGCUUUUCAGUUUGCCACAAUCAUCCUUGUUGUACACACCUUUUGAGAGAGACACACAUGAAUCAUGAUUUAUUAGAAUACUCUAUAUGCUUCACUUAUAUCUUUUGAGGUAGGCAAUUUUGCUCUAGUGCUUCACUUAUAUCUUUUUAGAGCACAGCGGUGGUUUUAUUUUAUAUAAAUUGAUGAACUCUCAUACUUCACUUAUAUUAUUUUGAGUGUCUCUAAACAGCAUGGUAAUUAGCUUUGGUUAUAAAUUUAGUUCUAAUAUGAUAGGCAUCCAAGAGAGAUAUAAUAAAAACUUUCAUAUAAAGUGCAUUGAAUACUAUGAGAAGUUUGAUUCCUUAUGAUUGUUUUGAGAUAUGAAGAUGGCGAUAUUAGAGUCAUGCUAGUGAAGUAGUUGUGAAUUUGAGAAAUACUUGUGUUAAGGUUUGAGAGUCCCGUAGCAUGCACGUAUGGUGAAUCGUUAUGUAACGAAGUUGGAGCAUGAGAUAUUUUUGAUUGUCUUCCUUAUGAGUGGCAUCUGGGGACGAGCGAUGGUUUUUUCCUACCAAUCUACCCCCUAAGAGCAUGCGCGUAGUACUUUUGAUGACUAGUAGGUUUUUGCAAUAAGUAUGUGAGUUCUUUAUGACUAAUGUUGAGUCCAUGGAUUAUAUGCAGUCUCACCCUUCCGCCAUUGCUAGCCUCUCUUGUACAGCACAACUUUCACCGCUAUCAUAAACCCACCAUAUACCUUCCUCAAAACAGCCACCAUACCUACCUAUUAUGGCAUUUCCAUAGCCAUUCCGAGAUAUAUUGCCAUGCAACUUUCCACCGUUCUGCUUAUUAUGAAAUGCAUCAUCAUUGUCAUAUUGCUUUGCAUGAUCAUGUAGUUGACAUUGUAUUUGUCGCAAAGCCACCGUUCAUUAGUUUUUUAUACAUGUCGCUCUUAAUUCAUUGCACAUCCCGGUACACCGUCGGGGGCAUUCAUAUAGAGUCAUAUCUUGUUCUAGUAUCGAAUUGUAAUUUUUGAGUUGUAAGUAAAUAGAAGUAUGAUGAUCUUCCUUUUUAGAACAUUGUCCCAUGUGAGGAAAUAAAAUAAAAAAGAGGAAAAGAAAAAAAGAGCAAAAAAAGAAAAAAAGAGAAGAAGAAAAAAAAAGGAGGGAAAGAAAGAAAAAACGAGAGAAAAAGAGAGAAGGGGCAAUGUUAUUGUCCUUUUCCAUACUUGUGCUUCAAAGUAGGACCUUGAUCUUCAUGAUAGAGAGUCUCCUAUGUUCUUACUUUCAUAUACUAGUGGGAAUUUUUCAUUAUAGAACUUGGCUUGUAUAUUCCAACGAUGGGAUUCCUCAAAAUGCCCUAGGUCUUCAUGAGCAAGCAAGUUGGAUGCACACUCACUUAGUUUUCUUUUCGAACUUUCAUAAACUUAUAGCUCUAGUGCAUCUGUUGCAUGGCAAUUCCUACUCACUCACAUUGAUAUCUAUUAAUGGGCCUCUCCAUAGCCCGUUAAUACCCCUAGUUGAUGUGAGACUAUCUCCCUCUUUUUGUCUUCUCCACAACCACCGUCUAUUCCACCUAUAGUGCUAUGUCCAUGGCUCAUGCUCAUGUAUUGCGUGAAAGUUGAAAAGGUUUGAGAACAUCAAAAGUAUGAAACAAUUGCUUGGCUUGUCAUCUGGGUUGUGCAUGAUUUGAAUAUUUGUGUGAUAAAGAUGGAGCAUAGCCAGACUAUAUGAUUUUGUUAGGAUGAGAUUUCUUUGGCCAUGUUAUUUUGAGAAGACAUAAUUAUCUUGUUAGUAUGCUUGAAGUAUUAUUGGUUUAUGUCAAUAUUAAACUUUUGUUUUGAAUCAUACGGAUCUGAACAUUCAUGCCACAAUAGAGAAAAUUACAUGGAUAAAUAUGUUAGGUAGCAUUCCACAUCAAAAAUUAUGUUUCUAUCAUUUACCUACUCGAGGACGAGCAGGAAUUUUCCGGAGUACCGGGGGCUACCGGAACCCCCCGGGAGUUAAUGAGCCUUCAUGGGCCCUAGUGGAGAGAGGAGGCGGCAGCCAGGUGGUGGCGCACGCCCCCCCAAGCCUGAACCGAAUUGGACUAGGGUUGGGGGGCCGGCCCCCCUUUCCUUCUCUCCUUCUCCUCCUUCCCUCCUUCUCCUAGUGGGAAUAGGAAGGGGGGCGAAUCCUACUUGGACUGGGAGUCCAAGUAGGACUCCUCCCAUGGCGCAUCCCCCCUUGGGCCGGCCACCUCUCCCUUCCCCUUUGUAUACGUGGGAGGGGGGCACCCCAAAGGCACACCAAGCCUUCUCUUAGCCGUGUGCGGUGCCCCCCUCCACAGUUUCACACCUCGGUCAUAUCGUCGUAGUGCUUAGGCGAAGCUCUGGGCCGGUAGCUUCAUCAUCACCGUCGACACGCCGUCGUGCUGACGAAACUCUCCCUCAUCCUCAAUUGGAUAAAGAGAUCGAGGGACGUCAUCGAGCUGAACCGCUAGGGGUACGAAGGAGGAGGAGACCGGAUGCGUUAAGCUAGUUGGUAAGAGUUCUUGUCAUUAUUGAUAGUGGCCCUAGAGAAAGAGAUUACGCUGAUUGUUCUAACUUCAUUCAUAUUUGAUUCCGCAACUGAGACCUUUUCCCACAUCUGUGCCAGGAGGGCAAGUGGUCAAAGCAGAAAGGGUUCUCGCUUCUCCUUCUGGAAGGGUGUGCUGAACACGGAGGUCCCGUAUGUUCGGUGCUUGGAUCGGUUGGAUCGCGAAAACGUUCGACUACAUCAACCACGUUACUAAACGCUUCCGCUUUCGGUCUACGAGGGUACGUAGACAAACUCUCCGCUCUCGUUGCUAUGCAUCUCCUAGAUAGAUCUUGCGUGAUCAUAGGUAAAAAUUUUGAAAUACUGCGUUCCCCAACAUGCUUGCGUUUAUUUCACUACAUCAUGUCAUCUUACUUAAUGCGUUACUCUGUUCUUAUGAACUUAAUACUCUAGAUGCAGGCAAGAGUCGGUCGAUGUGUGGAGUAAUAGUAGUAGAUGCAGGCAGGAGUCGGUCUACUUGAUACGGACGUGAUGCCUAUGUUCAUGAUCAGUGCCUUAGAUAUCGUCAUAACUUUGCGCUUUUCUAUCAAUUGUUAGGCAGUAAUUUGUUCACCCACCGUAAUAUUUUCUAUCUUGAGAGAAGCCUCUAGUGAAACCUAUGACCUCUAGGUCUACUUUCCAUCAUAUAAGUUUCCAAUCUACAAUUUUAGUUUCCUAUUUACUUCCUUUGCAACCUUUUACUUUCCGUUUCAUAAACCAAAAAUAUCAAAAAUAUUACUUUACCGAUUAUCCAUCUCUAUCAUAUCUCACUUUGCAAAUAAUCCCAAAGGGAUUGACAACCCGUUUAGCGCCUUGGGUGCAAGUAGGUGUUUGUUUGUGCAGGUACUCAAUGACUUGUGUGUCGUCUCCUACUGAAUUGAUACCUUAGUUCUCAAAACUGAGGGAAAUACUUACUCUACUUUGCUUCAUCACCAUUUCCUCUUCAAGGGAAAAACCAACGCAAGCUCAAAAGGUAGCAGACCUCCAGUCGUAGCCGCCAUGAUUUUCUUCACGUCUAUCAAUGCCUUGAGAAUUUUGACUUGGACAUGUCCUAUGGCAUGAAUAAGAAAUCGAAGCUUCGCGCCGCGUCCUCUUGAGGCCGUGUUGGCUGAUAAUAUUAGUGCGCAUGACCAGAGCCUUUCUGAUCAAGAUAUCCAAGGACGACAUACACCAAUUCAUAUAGAUCUCCGCUCGGAAAGACCGAAACUCAUCAACGGCCAGAUCCAAGUUGUCGACAUCUGACAGAAAGACGACUUGGCGGAAGAAAAGCAUCAGGGCCAAACCACCAUUAUUAGUCCAAAGCUAAUAGCCUCCACGCCGCCCUCCUCUCGAUCCAGACAGGAAGAAAAAGAUCAACGACGUCGCAUCAUGCCACUCGCAUUCGUGGAGGCUUGAACAUGGCAAGACGCCAACCAUGGCUAGAGACGGGGACCAGCCACUCUGGCCAGAUCCGGCGACUCCUAGUCCCACCGCUCCCGCUACGGCGGCACCGCAUGUAGCCUACAAGCCCAUCCACGAUGAUGUCUGAUUAGAAGGAUAUAUGGAUAUACAGAUGAAAAGGCCCUUGUUAUCCCUCCAACAAUAUAUAUAAAGCUUAUUGGGACAUGAGAAAGCUUGCACAAGGCUAUGGAAAUGUAUUGCCAGACAGAGAUAUACGAUUUUCGUUCGGCAUCCAAACCGCUUGUGUCACGCUUAAUCGAUGGUCACUCUAAUUUUUCCGGCGGGCCUUCCCUGUGGUACUGCAGCCUUACAUGUGUAUUAGUGGUUAGGGCGUCAUCCGUGGCGCCGCUUAAGAGGAAGUUGUUUGCACGCUUUUAUUUUUUUUAAAUCAUGUACUCCUCAUCUCUAUCUAAAAAAAUAUUUAUAGAAAAUCCUCAUCUCCAUCUAGAAAAAGAAGUAAAAAAGAAAAAAAAAAUCACCAACGCAACCUUACAGCGAGCGCCACUUAGCGUAGUCCUCCAUUUAAAAAAAUAUGAAGUCAUCACCUUCAUAUAAAAAGAAAAAAACAUUUUAAAAACGUUUUCAUCUCCAUCUAAAAAUAAUAUCCCAAAAGCUUUUUCACUACGGCCAACCAGCUUGUACCAUGUGCCAUAACUGAUUGGCCGCUCUUCAUGCAUAGCUUAAUGGGUUUAAUGAGUUUCAUAUAGCUAUUCAUUAAGAAGAAAACCAAAAUUACUUGGAGUUAAUAACUAAUACGUUUCCUUUAACUAACACGUGCACGGCGAGGAUUUACGUGCAUGAUGUUUUUUCCUCUCCCCACGUCGUAUUGGGCCGGCCCAUUCGUGCACAUCUCUAUUUCUAAUGCAGCAGUUGGUAGUCUCAUUUUCAGGGUUUUUUUGUCCCACCUUUCAUGGUUUUUUUAUACCUCCUUCCACCUUCGCUGGUUUUUUUCAUAAAUUUUUUGUCCCCUCCCCCUAUUUCAUCGGUUUAUUUUCGCGUCACCCUCUCACACAAUGAAAGAAAUCUGAACAGAUUAGAACUUUCCAUGCUGGCGCAAGUUAUUUAGUAAUGUAGAAUCAAUCACGAACAAUCGCUAAAGAUCAAAUCCAAGUUAAUUAACCUUACCUUAAAUCACUCAAUCACAUUAAUUAGAAAACAAAUAAUUGAUUUUCAGAAAAAUUGCUCAAUCACAUUAACCUUACCUUAACUCACGGAUGGUAAUCAAUCUUCAAACAAAGGAAACAAUACAUCAAGGGAGCAGUAAAUAAACUCCCUUUCUUAUGACAUGUAUAUGAUCUUUCCUUCCCUCUCCGUUGUCGAGCGUUCUUGAUUCUCAAGGCCGAUUCUUGGGCUGCGUCACUGGGUCGCGACGGUGCCGAAGGACGAGGAUGGCGAGGCCGGGUGUCGCGGCACCGCGUUGGCCGUGGCUGAUGAAGGGGGUGAAGAAGGGCGGCUUCCCUGGCCGUGGCCCUGGGAGUUGGUGCGGUGGAAACGUCACUUGAAGGACCCGACGUGGGUGGCCGACGCGCAGACGCACUUGGAAGCGGGCCCAUGGCCCGCGCCGGACGGCGCCGACGCCGACCUGGACCACCUCCUCCGUGUAUCCUUGGAGCUAUGGCUGGCCAAUUUAUAUGAAAUUAAUUCCCUCAGUUGUGGUGGCAAAUAUAAUACACAUAAUCCAUAUUGUUAUGCACUAGUGUGUGUGUGUGUGAAAUAGAUGGAUUAUGGUCCCGUACCAAUAAGAUGGAUAUAUGUGUGUGUUAGAGAGAGAGAGAGAGAGAGAGACAGAGAGGGAGAGGGGGAGAGAGAGUGAGGAAAAGGGAGGGAGAGUGUGUGUAUGAGGAUUUGAUGGUAAAAAAAGUCGCCAAUGUCAUUUGAUAUGUAUGAAAAUAUUAAUAUUAAACUUUUAAAGUUAAUGUGGCCCCGUUAAAAUACACAAGCGUUCUUAUAGUAUAGUUAGAGAAAGACAUGAGGAAAAGGAAGAACCGGGAUCGAUUCCUAGUCUUCUCAAGGUGGCCGCGUGGGUUUGUCUCAAAAAAAAAAGGUGACAGCGUGGGUGCUACUACCGGUCCGCCCAAGUCCGGUUCGUGAUAAGUUGUAGGUGCGCGUCGUACUUGAGGCGAUUGAGGCCUGUUUUAUUUGAGUUUUUCCUCUCUUUUUUCUUCUUCAUUUUUUUCAUUCUUUUUUGCACUCCGUUUCUUUGUUUUGUCAUUCUUUUUUUCUUUUGUUUAUUUUCUUUUUUUCCGGUUUUCUUUGUUCUAUUGGUUAUUAUUGUACAUUUUUUGUAUACGUCUACAACAUUUUUUUCUAAUACACAUCUAACAUUUUUCAAAUACAAACCAACCAUUUUUGUAAUACAUUGUCAAGAUUUUUUUGUACACAUUUUUAAAUGCUUGUUUGUCAUUUUUCAAAUACAAGAUUAACAUUUUUUCAAUACAUGGUCAACAAUUGUUUUUGCCAUUUUUACAAAAAAAUUAAAUGCUUGAUUAACAUUUUCUUAAUGCAUGGUCAUUUAUUUUUCUAUACACAUUUAACAUUGUCCAAAUGCUUAAUUAACAUUUUCAAACCCUUGUUCAACAUCUCUUUUAAAAUGCUUGAUUCACAUUUCUGUAUACAUGAUCAAACAUUUUUAUCAUUUUUAAUACAUGGUCGACGGUAUUACCCAUACACAUUUAACAAUUUCCCAAUUCUUGAUUAACAUUGUUUAAGUACUCGUUCAACAUUUUCUCAAAUGCAUAACGUUGACAUUGUUGAAAAGUGGCAUCACAAGUUCCAGGGAGUAGAAAAGAGAUUAAUCAACGAAACCGCGCGAACUUUGUGGUGCUAUUGUGUUAUAUCAACUACUCCUUUCGUUCCGAAUUACUUGUCACAAGUAUGUAUGUAUAUCUAGAUAUAUUUUAAUUUUAGAUACAUCCAUUUAUGCGACGAGUAAUUUGGAACGGAGGGAGUAUGUGUCUGUUAUGUCACCAAAUUCAGUAUAUAUAGAACAUGGAAAUACAGUAAUAGUGAGCUCACUCGGUGGGAGCCCGUCACGGCCAUGGGAAUAGGAUCCUCCUCGUACUGCUCCUCUCCUGCCCUGCCCUGAGGAGCAGUAUCGUCCGUCGUCGCCGAGCGGCGCAGCAGCCGGUGGCCGAGGGGAGACCGAGAUUUAUUCUCCGGAGGCGCCGAAUCCGGCUCGUAAGUCGAAAUCCCUCUCUGUCCCGCCUCUCGGAUCCUCCCACCGAUCUCCUACUUCCCUGCCGCCAAUGCCCGCCUUUUCUUUGGACUCCGAGCGAGGAAUCGGAGGGAAAGCUGUGUACUUCCUGUGGCUUCAUACCCCGGUAAUGGCGGCCCUGCUUGCCGUUGCCGCUUGGUCCACUCUCUGCGUGCCCGUCUGCAAGGUGUUCGAUGGAUUGUGCGCAGGGUGUCGGCCCGGCUGGCCUCGUUUCACUUCUUCCAGGUUUCAGUCCGUUUACCGCCGGUUGCUGAAAAUGUGCACGAGAAGCAUAAGAAUGCUGGGAUAUGCGCUCUUUGUUUACCGUUUACUGUCAUUUGUUUGGUUGCAGGAAGCACCCGGCCUUAAGCAUAGUACUACAUAUAAAGUUGUAUGUUCUGUUCCGUUUGUUUGUUUGCUGUCUGAUGAUUGAGACAAGUGCAUAAUCUAAAGUUUGGCACCUGCACUUGCACCUGCUCCUGCACAUUUAUGUGUUGGAAACUGGAAUCUGUUCAGUGUAGUAUGGCCAUGCCACAUGUUUUGGCUUUAGCCUAAGGACCAAUUGCUUCUUGACUUUCUUGGAUGCUUGCUGGCCCAACCUUGGAUCUGUAUCUUUCUAAUAGUCUUCUAAAUCAGAAACAUAACGAUUUUUUGUGCUGCUUACUAGAUUCGGUGUGUUUACUUAGCGUGUUUAGUCGAAUCAUCUGUCAUUGUUCUCUCAAGUUACUUUUCCUUGCGAUAUUCAACCCAGCGGUUUAAAAUUCCUGCAAUUGCUUCAUUCAGAUUGAUUUUUCGCUUCUUUGUUGCUGAUUUCCUUUCAACGUUUGGGCUGAGGCUCCAAAUGUUGGUACUCUUUUAACCGGAGUAUGUUACUUUGGAGAAUAGAAGAAUUAUGCAUUGGUAUCAUGAUAACAUAUGCCUAAUGGUUUUUCUUACAGGAGGGCGUUUCCAACACAUAAAUAGUUUGCUAGCAUGCAGACAGUGUCCAGUAGCCUUUGCGCCAUUUGAGGCAUAAUGGACAUAGCUUUUAUCAUGUUGUUGGUUCUUUCUCUGCUCCUGUUCCCUAAUGGCAUCUGCAAGAGUUUAGCUACAGGACCUCCUGUUGUGAAUAUUGGGUCUAUUCUUCAGUUUGACUCCACCACCGGGGGUGUUGCGGCAGUUGCCAUCCAUACAGCCGUGGAAGAUAUCAACUCUGAUCCAACAGUUCUAAAUGGAACUACACUAAAGGUUCAAAUCAAGGAUACAAAUUGCUUUGAUGGUUUCCUUGGCAUGGUUCAAGGUAGGCUAGCUUUAAUGCCACUCAUUCAUUUCACAACCUUCAAAUAGUUAUUACUUCUGUUGUGGAGUUGUGGCAAUGAUGCCGUGUUCCUUGUAUCAGCUUUGCAGUUCAUGGAGACUGAUGUUAUUGCACUCAUUGGCCCUCAGUGCUCCACAAUUUCUCAUAUCAUUUCAUAUGUAGCAAAUGAGCUUCGAGUCCCUUUGAUGUCCUUUGCUUCUGAUGCAACUCUUUCAUCAAUACAGUUCCCGUUCUUUGUCAGGACGGGUCCCAGUGAUCUCUAUCAAAUGGCGGCUGUGGCAGAAGUUGUUGACUACAACCACUGGAAGAUAGUGACUGCCAUAUACAUUGAUAAUGUUUAUGGUAGAAAUGGCAUUGCUGCUUUGGAUGAUGCACUCACUUUAAAGCGCUGCAAAAUAUCCUACAAGGUUGGGUUUCCUUCCAACGCUAAAAGGAGUGACCUCAUAAAUUUGUUGGUUAGUGUCAGUUCUAUGGAGUCUCGUGUUAUCAUUCUCCAUACUGGAACUGAACCUGGACUCAAGCUUUUCUCUAUGGCACACCAACUGAACAUGAUGGGCAACGGCUAUGUGUGGAUUGCAACUGACUGGCUGUCUGCAUAUCUUGAUGCUAAUUCAUCAGUUCCUGUUGAGACUAUAUCUGGCCUGCAAGGUGUUCUUACUUUACGGCCACAUAUUCCCAACUCAAAGAUGAAGAGUAAUUUGGUCUCCAAAUGGAGCACGCAAAGUAAAAAGUACAACUACAGUGAUGUUUGUAUAAAUACUUAUGGUUUUUAUGUUUAUGAUAGUGUCUGGGCAGUAGCUCAUGCUCUGGAUGCCUUCUUUGAUGAUGGUGGUAGGAUUUCCUUUUCAAAUGACUUGCAUGAUGGAACUGGAGGAACUCUUCACCUUGAAGCAAUGAGCAUUUUUGACAUGGGAAAUAAAUUACUGGAGAAGAUUAGAAAGGUAAACUUCAGUGGGUUAUCUGGGCAAGUGCAAUUCGAUGCUGUAGGCAACCUCCUUCACCCUGCGUAUGACAUCAUAAAUGUCAUCGGAAAUGGCAUGCGGACCAUUGGUUUUUGGUCAAACUAUUCUGGCUUGUUGUCGACUGUCUCUCCAGAGGCUCUAGAUUCAAAGCCUCCUAAUACUUCUCUAGCCAAUCAGCAUCUCUAUGAUGUUAUUUGGCCUGGGGAGACUGCACAGAGGCCUCGAGGAUGGGUUUUUCCUUCUAAUGCCAAGCAGUUGAAAAUUGGUGUUCCCAACAGAUUUAGCUUCAAAGAGAUCGUCACGGUAGACAAUGCUACUGGGUCAAUGAAGGGUUAUUGCAUCGAUGUCUUUACUCAGGCAUUGGCUUUGCUUCCUUAUCCUGUUAGUUACAAGUUUGUACCUUUUGGGAAUGGUACUGAAAAUCCUAAUUAUGACAAACUCGUACAGAUGAUUGAAUCAAAUGUAAGUACGGAAUGCCUCUUUUUUCUUCCUCGAACCAUUUCAUCAUAUACCAUGCUGACCAGGGGCAUCUUAUCCUGCAGGAGUUUGAUGCAGCUAUAGGGGAUAUUGCAAUUACAAUGAGGCGGACAGUAACUUUUGAUUUCACCCAGCCAUUCAUUGAAACAGGCUUGGUUAUCUUGGCUCCGGUUAAAGAGCAUAUAACAUCGUCCUGGGCAUUCUUGCAGCCAUUUAGUUUGGAGAUGUGGUGUGUUACAGGGCUAUUCUUUCUUAUUGUGGGUGUGGUUAUUUGGAUUCUUGAACAUCGGAUCAAUGACGAUUUCCGUGGUUCAGUAUGUCAACAAAUAAUAACUAUUUUCUGGUAAGGAGCUGACCUGCACCUUUUGUACCGUCUUCUUGUAUAUCAUUCCUGUUUUCGAAGUGUUGAUGUUUUAACAAGUCUUGUGCAAUAUGUUGCAUACAGCGAGUACCUUAGAGCAGUGGCCAGUUAACAUACCUAAAUGAAGCAUCUAGUGAUUACCAAUGAACUACUCCCUCCGCCCCAUAAUAUAAGGGCGUUUUUGACACUACACUAGUGUCAAAACGCUCUUAUAUUAUGGGACGGAGGGAGUAUUAUCUUAAUAAUCUUGUGAGACAUAUAUACAUGCACAGCAUAUAUAUUCGCUUAAUGAUAUUUAUGAUGCAUUGCUCUAUUUUUCCUGUUUUCACAUACUUCUCUUCUCCACAUGUAUUUGCCAAAUGCUCUUAUAAUGGCGUGAUUCCUUGCUGUGAUUAUAAUUUCAAUUUUUAUUGCCUGCAGGUUCAGCUUUUCGACUUUGUUCUUCGCACACAGUAAGUAAACCAACCUUCUCUCUUAUGUGUUUUUUUUUUUGGCUAUAACAUUUUGUUCUGAGGCAUGAGGCAUGACUCGUGAUUUCAUAUGUAUCUGCGCGCAGGAGAAAAUACUAUGAGCACCUUAGGGCGUGGUGUCCUGAUCAUAUGGCUGUUUGUUGUUUUGAUAAUUGUAUCCAGCUAUACCGCGAGUCUUACUUCCAUCCUGACCGUGCAACAACUCGAUACUUCUAUAAAAGGAAUCGAGGACCUGAAAAAUAGCAAUGAUCCUAUUGGUUUCCAAGUUGGUUCUUUUGCACAAGACUACAUGGUCAAGGAGCUCAACAUCUCACGGUCAAGGCUAAGAGCUCUUGGUUCACCACAAGAAUACGCUGAAGCCCUCAAGAUAGGCCCUAAGGAAGGAGGUGUUAUGGCCAUUGUCGACGAGCGCCCCUAUGUUGAACUGUUUUUGUCAUCCUACUGCAAGAUUGCGGUAGCUGGCACAGAUUUCACCAGCAGAGGAUGGGGCUUUGUAAGUACAGUUCAACCAUAUUCUUUUAUAUAAAUUAGAAUAUAAGAACAAAAAUUGCUGUUAAUGUCCUGGAAUAGAGGUUUUAACUUUGAAUAGUUGUGUCUAGUCUUUAGUUUAUGCAACUUUUAUUGCACUUACCUGCGGCUACUUUGUUUCACAAAUCGAAAUGUAGCACCUUACAAAUUCAUUCUGCCAGGCAUUUCCAAGGGACUCCCCUUUGCAAGUAGACCUCUCCACCGCAAUCCUGUCUCUGUCAGAGAAUGGGGAGCUGCAGCGGAUCCAUGCCAAAUGGCUCAAUACAGGGGAGUGCACAACUGACAACAGUGAGCUUGUCGACUCGAACCAGCUCCGCCUUGAGAGCUUCCUUGGUCUGUUCCUAAUCUGUGGUGUGGCAUGUGUUCUCGCGCUGCUACUCUACUUUGGUAUCAUGCUAUGCAAAUAUCUGAGGCAUGAACCGUGGAAGAGCCUCAGAAGAUUCAUCUCGUUCGUCCAUGGGAAGGAGCCGCCGAAGAACAAGGAGAGGCGGUCCAUGAGCCUGCCUGGAAGCUCAACGCCAACAACGCCGAUGAGCAGCCAUAGUUCCCUUGACAUGGAAAGGCCGGCCAGGCCAGUCAGAAACGGUAGCAUUAUUGACAUGGAAAGCUAAUUCAUGUGUAGAAAGCUAGUUAACAAUGCGGUCGACUAACCUAGGUUCUGGUAGUCGGACAGCAGGGCUGUAUAGGAGGAUUCGAAAUACUUCUUAAGUACUCCCUCCGAUUCAACUUAAUUAACUUUGACUUGGUACAACCUUAGUACAAAGUUGUACUAAGUCGGCGCAAUUAAUUUUGAUCUGAGGGAGUACUAAAGUUUAUGAAAUAACAGAAGGAAGGAUUAAUAAGAAAUAGAAAUAUUGAAAUGCUCCUCCUGUCCUACAUAUAUUGUUUUUACCUUUGCAUGUGUUUGAUAGGGCGUAGUAGUAGUGUGUGGGUACUUCAGUUAGAAGGUAUGCAGUGGACCAGUCUAUCGACCGUGUGGCAAUGCCUGUAGUUUGUAGCACUAAACUUUGAUGCCCAUUCAUAAACUAAUUUAGAUGGAGCCGCACAAAAAUUGUGUUUUUUUUUUUGCUCACACACUCUGUUUUGUCUCAGUUUUAGUCCAGCGCAACUUUGAAGCUUAUCCAGGGCAACUUUGAAGCUUAUCCAGGGCAACUUUAACUAUUUACAGGAGAAAUUGUUAAAGACCUUAUUAAGUGAAGAAGAAUAGACGUCUCCAGUUUUUGUUUCUCCAACUCUAUGCCUACACUGUAAAUUAUUUAUGAAUUAGCUCCAGUUGAUGCAACUGUACUCUUUCUGGUAGGUCUGAGAUGGACUGAGCAUCCUAAGCUAGCUACUUGUCUCCCUUAGGUUUUACAGCAAGACAAAUGCACUGGACUACAAAGAGGAAAAUUCUUGCAGGUUCGUAAUGAAUCUGUUUUGGUUCUGGCAUUCACACCAAUCAUAAAGCAGUGUUUGUUAGUAGCGGAGUGGUAGGCAGACGCAAAUCAAACCAUCAUUUUUCUUCUAAAUACACUUGUAAAAGCAUCGAUGCAUCUCCGUCGCUUAAUUUUAUUUGUCAUUCUGUUCAGUACCUGGUUUGGUUUAGGAAGAGCUCUUUUUCCUAUGCAAAAUGUAUAACGUGUAUGUUUCUAAUUCCGAUUGCAGGCAUAUUCAUCGCGCUUGUGUUUUGACGUGUUGCGGGCAACCAAGAGUCGUUCAACAGUGUGUUGCUGGGGUACGCCACCGGUCUGACAGUAAAAGGUAGCGCUGAUGAACUGGUUUCAAGCCGAGCUGAUCAGUUCUGCUGUUACUAAUAUAUCAUGGCAUCUUGCGGCUCUCGGUCGAUGUUCUGUCAUCUAUGAGGAGAGAGUUUCCAUUUAAUCUAGUUGCUAAUGCUUUGUAUACAAAAUUAUAGAUGCCUACACAAUACAAAAUCAAAAGUUAUUUUCUUAGUCAAACUGGAAAAUUCAUAGAUUUGCAGGAACAUCUGUACAUAAAGCCUUUUCCAUCAAAGUAUGUACAUACAUUGUCUAUUUUAACAUAAGAAUGUAGGACUCGUUCAAAACUAUUUGACUAUUCAUACAAAAAAAAUAGAAUUUCUUAAAAUAAGGGAGCACAUCUUCUCUGGUUUGAUCACUGAAGUCAUCAAUUGAGCAGUCCAGGUUCACCUAGUUAUCUAUUUCAAAACUUAGGGAGAACAAUUUGGGUGAUACUUUUUCAAAGUACAAGGCACAUAUUUAUAGUUCAUUGAAAUGCACCUAUAUUUUGACCUCAUUAAUAUCUCAUCCUUCAUAAUAAAGUAUGGCCAAACAAACAGAGAAACCGCUAGUUUCUUUCAUGUUCCCCAGACAAUAACACCAUAGCUAUUACUGUCAUUCCCCUUCUCUCUUAAUACCUUCCAUCCUUUCCAUUAUAAUUAAUGAAACUGAAACAUAUCAUUCUCUUGGUUGUAUUUUUUUCCUAAAAUGUUUAAGGUGUAUGUGUCAUUGAGUGAAUAUAUUAUGUUGCAAAGUUUCACGAAAUUUAGUAUGCAACCAGUAUGCAAGAGAAAUAAAGAUUAAAGUAAAUUUAGUUAUUUUUAUUAGCCAUUAUUGUUUUUAGAGAAAACAAUAGGCAAGUCACUUUUUCAUGAAAGCUGGAGACAAAUAGUGUAUUCUAACAUAAAAAUGGUCAAUUUUCCUCACACACACACACACACACAUACACAUAAACUUAGAAUUUUUGGAAAUAAUGGGAGCAAUGGCCAUGUGAAAAUAUGAGGUUUAUAUCUUGUGGAUUUCCUUUCAGUGUACAAGGCCUGCAUGUAGAAUGGAUAUUUUUUUUUCUAUAUUUGCUUCCCUAAUUUAAAUCUUAUCCUUCAUCAUCAAUUAUGACUAAACAUAAAUAGUAACUGCUAGUUUCUCUUAUGCUUAUGAGGAGAUAAGACCAUGGAUAUUUUAGUCAUUCCACUUUGCUAUUGAUUGUUUCUGUUCUUUUGCGCUAAAUAGUAGUCAAACAUGUUAUUCAUGUAUUUCGUAAGGAUAAGGUCAAGCCUCAUGAUAAGGAUAGGGUCGCGCUAUUCGUCACCCUGGGUGAGGCAUUGUUAUUUUUCACCCACUUCUAUUUUAUCAUCAAUGCACCGUAAAUUUACGUUUCAUAAGUUUUGUCUUAUUUCCGACGCAAAAAGGGACCGUAAGAAAAUAUAUAAUCGCCAUAAAAAAUAUUUUAUGUUAUAUAAAAUUACAAACAUAAAAACAUAGUCUAAAAUACACACAAACUGCAAAUUUUCUUGUCUUAUAACCUAUAUUUUUAUUUUUUUAUGUCAAAUUUUACGUAGUGAAUCAAUAGAAAUAUAACUAUUUGAAUUCGAAAUGUAAUUUAAUUAUGAAAUGAUCGUAAGAUUACCUCGGGUGAAGAAUAACUUAUUCUGCACCCUGAUUGAUGAAUAAUAAAUUUAAUUAUAUUAUAUACAUAUAGGAUAACACUAUUCUAAUCCUAGAAUUAGAAUAGCUAUUUGGAUCACAGCCAGCCCGACCACAUCUUAGUGAGAUCGCGCGAGCAAAAGAAAAAACCCAAAACGCCCCGCCCCGUUUAUCCCCUUGUCGCUCCACCACCACCCCCCGACCUCUGGCCGCCGCCCACCCUGCUCCGGCGCGCCUCCCACCCUCGCCUCCUUCCGAGCGCUCCGCCGGCCCCGCCUUCUUCCAGGCGCGCCGCCGGCCCCGCCUCCUCCUGGCGUGCUGCCACCCCCACCUCUUGCAGCGCGAGGUCGCCGCCACCGCCUACUUCCCGGCGUGCCGCCAGCCCCGCCCCCUUCGGCGCGAGGCCGCCGCCCCCACCUCCUCCUGGCGCGCCGUCGUCCCCUGUACCUGACGCGCCCCCCGGUGCCGCCGGCCCGCAACCCGCCGCCCAGCACCUUCCCGUCGCGCGCCUCCCAACACCGAGGCGCCGCCGCCCACAGGUUCUGUAGAUGCUGACCUGCCACUGCACCGCCGCUGCAACCUGCUGCUCACUCUUCCUCGCACAUGUGUCAGCAACACAAAAGUGGGUCGCUGCAGUCCACCUCCUGCUACAGCAGCAGGACGACUCCUUCAGGACGCAUCUCACACUCAUGGAGGCGGUGCUAUCUCUGGCGAGCUCCUCCAUCCCCGAGCGCGAUGCUUCCACUACUGCGUCCUCCUCACGUUCCCUUCCCCAUCCUUGUGUAUGCUUAUUUCGAUGUGGAAAACUCCAUCAACUAGUUCGCAUCACGUAUCAGGGCACGGCCAUAACAUGCUAGCAAUAUUAUGCUUUGGCUGCUAGUAAUGUGUUUGUGCUAAUGUCUAGUAGGAACUCUAGUUGUACUGAUAAAAGAGAACCAAACCAUCAUAUAAGGGAAAAGUCGCAUCUCUCUAUCUUUGAUCUCUCUAUGAUACAGAUAUGGACGUAUAUGGAAUUAGUAAAAUUCCUCUUUUAUAUUGCUUGUUCAUUAAUCAUUCAUGCAUCGUGUCCUAAAAGAAAUAUAGUGUGCUCUGUUUGAAAAAGCAUGUGGUCAGCACAUGUUUGUUAUUAUAUGGAUCUAAAGGUUUAACAAACAAACACAUUCAGAUUUCUCUUUAUUCGUAUAAAGGUUGGAGUGAGGUAGCGCUUAUUUCCUAUAUAGCUGCUCAUUUUGGAUGCAGUUUGAACAAUCAGGCUAGGGAGCGGUGAGCGUGGGUAGGCUGGCCAAACCUUCCCUCCACUGGGUCAACCGGCAGCGUCGCCCACCACCGUACUGUCCUACGGCAACGGCCCCAACCUGGGCAGGCGUGCUUUCUGCGACAUGCUCCUGCUCAUGGAUGUCUUGGUGAGGUAAAAACUUCUGUUAACUUAACUUAGCUACCUCAACUGAUUGAACUGCAGGGGUUGUGUGCAGUCUGAUGUGGUUCUAGUGUUUGAUUAAUGCAAUUUGGAAGAACUUGCGUCUCUAAAAUUCAAACUCUGCAUUUUGGUGUAUUUUUAUUUAGAAGUUCAGGUCAUCAUAAGUUGCUUCGGUUUAGCUAGUUACUGUUGUGAAAAAGUUCAGCUCGUCAUAUUUGAACAUCGGAAGAAGAGCUGCUAUAGUCUCCUGCUAUAUGCUUGUUAUAUUCCUAAAUAGUACAGGCUCAACCAAAGCAAGUAGUUAUAGUCUCCUGCUAUAUGCUUAAAUAGUACAUUUUUUCUGUAUUCUUGUUCGGAAGUUCAGGUCAUUCAAAGAGACCAAAUAGUACAGGCUCAACCAAAUAGUGAAAAGUCUACUAGAGUCGAAAAAAUAUAAUGAUACAAAAAUGCAACUCUGCACUUUCCUCAAAAUGGUCAUCAUAUUCUUAAGAAGAUUGGGAUUGCACUAUUUGUUUGAGCUAGUACUACCAGACUGAACAAAUUGCAGAGUUGGAUUUUAGAGCCUGGACAUUUUCAGACAUUUUCAAAAGUGGUCAAUUGAACCUGAACCAAAAAGAUUGACCUGAAAUUCGUUUGGGCUAGUUACUACCAGACUGAAAAAAUUGUAAUAGGUGGAUAAGUGGUAUUGUACUAUUUUCUAUUGUGUGGUAAUGCUCGUACCCCAUGGCCAUGGAAGGUUCAGAUGUUGUGCUCUUCUUUUCUAGCUGAUUCAUGUUCUAUUUGGUAGCUUUAAUGAUAUUCUAUACACUGAUGGCGAGAGUUCAACCAUGGCUAUACGCCAAGUUCUACUAUGGCUAUAUGUCGGCCAUCGUGAAGUCCUACUAUAGCUAUAUGCCAAGUUUAAUUAUGGCUGUAUGCUUGUGCUUCCAGGCUACUAUUGAACGUGUCUUGGCCUUCAUUUUUACGGGUUAUAGUCUCCUGCUAUAUGCUUGCUUUUGCUAUCAGCAUGUUCAUGCAAGUGCCUCUGAAUAAUCUGAAAUUUAAACUUGUACCUAAAACUGAACUUCUACCUCUUUGCUACAGGUGCGGUCGUCGGAGUCCUUUAAGUGCUUGCACUAGUGCUUCUAACUUGUCCAUGAAGGCACUGCAUGGUGUGCCACCUCCCGUCUGCCGCCGCAGCUGCCAUGUGUCCUUGCGACCUCUGCGGCCAGUCACCAACGCCCUAUGAGUGCGCCCUAAGUGUGGCAUGGGGAACAUGCUAAUGUGUGUGUUUCUGCACUGGUGUGUGCGUGCAUGCUCACGUUUAUGCGUGACUGAGUGUGCUGCUUGUGUGCUGUGAUGUAUGUUGUAUAGAUUUUUAUGAAGUUCAUGUUGUGAACCCAACUUAAUUAGAACACAAAAGUUUAGAUCGCAGCUGCUUUGAAUUAUGUAGUGUUUCUAAAUAGCUUCUUGUCUGAAGUUCAGUCGUACAUGUGGGUGCAAGAAAGUUAGUGUCGGAGCCAGAAAAACUGACUUUGAGCAACUGUUGGGUAUUUAUAUAAAAACAUUGUGUGUAGCAAUUCGUUGUGUUUAUUGAAAAAUGAAAAGACAGAAGUUCACCAUGCAAAACUUUCACAGUCCAAUUGGUAUUAAGAAGGCAGAAAUAUAAAACAACAGUGAAGUUCACUAAAAAUGCAACUUUUCACAUUGCGAAGAAACAAUAAUUAACUUCUCAGUGUACAAUUUAGUUUUUGUUUCUCUUUUCCAAAAAAUAAGAAUAGAAGUAAUAUGUGGAAGCUAUUUGUGUUUAUGUCUCAAAUUAGAAUAAUUAUAAGAAUUGCCUCUAUAUGUGCUAUGUGUUACACACCUUUCCGAAUCAAAAGAGAUUAGAUUCAUCCAUGAGUAAGGUAGGUACAAUUAUUUUUAAACAGUUCAAUUGCUCGAUAGAUGUAUGUCCAGAAAAAUAAAAGAUAGUUCAACACAAUAUAAACCCAUGAGAUUGCAAAAAAUCUUUGGAUUAAGUGGAUGAGAACCAAUAAGUUCAUAUAUGAAACCUUGGGGAGUUCAAAAAAAGUUAAAAAGGUUCGAUGUUUGUUGCGAAGCUAGGAUUUUCUUCAUUACUAAUGAAUAAAUCAAGAAGUUCAAAUUAAAAAAGGAUGAGCGGUUCGAUGUUUAUUACGAACCUAGAAUUUUUUCCGUUACUAAAAGAAAUAAUACCAACAAGUUCAAAUUAAAAAAAUCGAGUAGUUUGAUAUUUCUUUGAAAACUCAAAUUUUUCCGGUUAGUAAAUAAUAAAACCAAUAAGUUCAAUUCAAAAUAACGAAGAAGUUCAACUUUUAAAAGCAAAGCAAUUUGAUAUUCAUUUAAAAACUCAAUUUUUUCGGUUACUAAAGAAUAAGACCAACAAGUUCAAUUCAAAGUAACGAAGAAGUUCGAUGUUUCUAACAAAACUCCAAUUUUCACAUUUCUAAAAACUCCAAUUUUAGGUGAGCCCAAUUUUUGUGUGGAUGUGUUGUGCAUGUGCUUGUGCGUAGUACAUUUAAUAGAACAAAAACACUAUUAUGGGUGCCCUCUAAAUGUUUGUCCUAUUGCUUAUGAGAAUUGACCCGAAUUUUCCUAUUGUUUUUGCACAUGUUGGAUUCAAGGGAAAAUGUGUAUAAAACAGGUGUGAUUUCAGAAGUUCAGGUGUAACGAACAUCGAAGUCCAAACCAAAAGAAUGUAAACAAAAAAAUCAUGGAAUUCAAAAGAAUAAAUACUAUCGAGUUUCAUGAAAGAAAAUAGCAUGCGAAGUUCAUGUUUCAGAAAGUUUGAAGUUCACGUGUACCACAUACAGAAGAAAAAUGAUCAAAUGAAAAAAGGGACCGCCUAGGCCAUUUCACCGAAAAGCAAAAAAUGCAUAAAAUGUCACGACAAAAUUCUAUAAGAAGUUCCAAUUUAAAAGCCGAAGUAGGUCAACGUUAAAGAAAAUGAAGUUUUUAAUAUCUAAAAGAAAAUUUUGGAAGCUCAACAAAUUUGUGCAAGGAGUUAAAAAAAUUAGUUGAAAAAUAUUUAUAACGGAUUUUCCCCGUGUAUAAAAAAAUCAGAGAAGUUCAAAUUAAAAAGAGGAGCAUUUCAAAAGAUUGUAUAAAAACUGAUUUACUCAAAAUAGAUAAAGGUGAAGUUCAAAUUGAAAUAACGGAGAUGUUCGGAGUUUAUUAAAACCUAGAAUUUACCUGUUCGAAAAAUAAAAAACACAACACCAUUUUUUUGCACUUUUAGAGACAACUCAUAAACGAAAAAAUGGUUGCUGGAAGUUCAAGUGCUCGGUGAGGAAAAGUUCAAAAAAUUCUUGUAAGAGAGGUUCACCGUGUAUUUAGAUGUCCAAAAUACAUAAAAAAUAUGUUGUUUUUUGUGUUUUAAAAUAAUUCUCUCAAACCAGAGAGAAGUUCAAAGUGAUAAUAGCCGGAAGUUCACGUACUACAUGGUGUGUAUUUCAUAUAAGAAAAAUAGAAUAAAGUGAAACAGAGUAAAGUUCAAACGGACAUGCCCUAGAAGUUCAACUACUUCACGUAGUGCAAAAAAAUAUCACAUCAAAAAUAGAGUGAGGACAGACAUGCCUGAGAAGUUCAACUACUUCACACAGUGUGUUUCCAUUCGCAAUGAAGGCAGAAAUCAUGAUCUCGUCAUUUCUCUAAUUUACUUCAAAACGAUAGGAAUAUCAUUUGUGUAAGUUCAAGUCCUCGGUCGGAGAAAGUUAAAAAAAUAUUGUGAGAGAGGUUUGUACAAAAAGAAUAUCAUUUGUGUAACACUGACGAAAUGGAUGAGAAAAUUACAAACAAAAAACGUCACAGAAGUUCAACGUGAAAACAACAGGAAGUUCGACUACUAUAGUGAAUGAAUUUGAGAUGAAAAACUUUUAAAAUCAUCGCGAGUAUGAAAAAACGAUCAACACGGGAAAGUUAUGUGCUUACAGCAGCUUUCCACCGGUAUAUCACUUUCUCAAUUCCGGUGAGUGGAUGGAGAGUUACGAGCAGUGGAUGGAGACCUACGAGCAAAAAAAUCACGUGAAAAACAGAGUGAAGUUCAGGUACACGCGCCGAGAAGUUCAGGUUCUUCACGCGGUGCAUUUUCGAAGAAUCUGUUUGACGAUAAAGGCAGAACGCAUGAUCUCGCCAUUUUCGAAAUUACUUGAAAAUGGCUAGGAAUCAGAGAAAACCAUCAACAUGAAAAAGUUUUGCAAUUUCCGUAGCUUUUCAGCGGUAUAUUAUUUGCCCCAUUCCGAUAAAGUUUGUAGAAAUUACGGCGAAAAUACGUUUUUCGCCAUUUUCGAAACUGACUUAAAACUGUAAAGAAUUGGGAGAAACAAUACAUACCAAAAAGUUUCACAUUUGUUCAAGAUUUCCAAAGCCAUAACAUUUGCUGCAUUCGGACAGACGGUUAAAAAAUUAGAUCAAAAAUACGAACUCGGUAGGACUAGGACCAUUUUCUAAAUUACUCUUAAACCAUUCAAAAUUAGAAAAAAACUUUCAAGAUGAAAAAGUAGCGCAUUUUCAUAAGCUUUACAAUGCCGUAUCAUAUGCCUCUAUUGGAUUAGCCGUUUAGAAAUGACAUCGAAAAUACGAACUCAGCUGUUCGAUUUACGAAAUUUUACGUUUUUUCAAAUUACUCUUUAACUAUAGGGAAUUAAAGAAAACUUUCAACAUGUGGAAGGAGCGGUUUUGCAGCAGCUUUCCAACGCCAUAUUAUAUGCCUCAUUAAGAUAAACGGUUUAGAAAUGCGGUCGAAAAUACGAUUCACGUUUUUUGUGCGAAGAAAAAACGGUUUUCAAAACUGCUCUUAAACCGCUUAUAUUUUGCCAAAAAUUUAAGUUGGAUAAUGAUACUGAUGUUCAAAACUUUCCAACGGUAUAUAGCAAGCCUCAUUUGGGCAAUGUUGGCGGAAGUUCAACCUAGUUCAUAGGGAAGUUCAGCGUACUACUAGCGGGGCAGGUCAGGUUGUGAUCAGAAUAUUAUUCUGAUCCCGUGAUUAGAAUAGUGUUUAUAUAUAUAUAUAUAUAUAUAUAUAUAUAUAUAUAUUAUAUUUGCCACAUUAACUUUAAGAGUUCAAUAUUAAUAUUUUCAUACAUAUCAAGUGAUAUUGGCGACCUUUUUUACCAUCAAAUCCUCGCGCACACACGCUAGUGCAUAACAAUAUGAAUUAUAUGUAUUAUAUUUGCCACCACAGCUGUGGGUAUUAAUUUCAUGUAAAUCGGUCAAUCACAGCUCCCAGAAUAUGCGAAGGAGGUGGCCUGAAUCGGCGUCGACGCCGUCCAGUGCGGGCCACGGGCCCGCUUCACUAGUAGAAAAAGGGCCUAUUGUCCCGGUUCGUAAGGGCCUUUUGUCCCGGUUCCUGAACCGGGACUAAAGGAUCGGUACUAAUUCCCUGUCCCUUUAGUCCUAGUUCAAUCCAGAACCGGGACAAAUGGGCCUCCACGUGGCCUGUGCGCGGAGCCCAGGCAGGAGGGCCUUUGGUCCUGGUUGGUGGCACCAACCGGGACCAAUAGGCAUCCACGCAUCAGCAUUUCUGUGGCUGGGGUUUNNNNNNNNNNNNNNNNNNNNNNNNNNNNNNNNNNNNNNNNNNNNNNNNNNNNNNNNNNNNNNNNNNNNNNNNNNNNNNNNNNNNNNNNNNNNNNNNNNNNNNNNNNNNNNNNNNNNNNNNNNNNNNNNNNNNNNNNNNNNNNNNNNNNNNNNNNNNNNNNNNNNNNNNNNNNNNNNNNNNNNNNNNNNNNNNNNNNNNNNNNNNNNNNNNNNNNNNNNNNNNNNNNNNNNNNNNNNNNNNNNNNNNNNNNNNNNNNNNNNNNNNNNNNUAGGUGUUUCAUAUAUUGUGUUAGCUAGCUAUAAUUAAUAGAGAGAAGUGUCCUCUCUUAUGUCCAUGCUUGGUCGGCGCUACGUACUAUACAUACGUAUAGAGAGGACUAGACAGGCUAGCUAGCUAGUUAGAAAACGAAGGAAACAGAAGAUCGUCAUGAACAUAUAUGCAUAGAGAGAGAAGUGAUAUCGACCACCUCUCCUUCUCCGAGAGAUUGGUCGAACAACAAGUUCUCGUAUAUCUAUCCGACACUACCGGCUACAUAUAUACAAUAAUUAUCUCUUACAAAUAUAAUCUCCUAACAUACGGACUCAUGGUCCACAUAGUAUUCUCCGUCUUCAGCGAUCACGUGGUCAAGAAAGAAUGCCGACAAUUCCUUUUGAAUUGCUCGCAUGCGAGCUGGUGCUAGGAGUUCAUCUCGCUUCCGAAACAUCUAAUUUGAAGAAGGGGCCGGGGUCAAUACAUAUAUAUAUGAAUGAAUGAAACUAAACACAAAUGAUGGUAAUAAAAUAAAAUUGUGAAUGUUGUUAUUUGCGCACUUCAUAUUGUUCAUCAGAGUAGCCCCGCUCACAGGCCGUGUGGUAGAUGGACUCGCAAACGUAGUAUCCACAGAAAUCAUUCCCUUGUAACUGCCACAACCCCUUUACAAGAAAUAGAGGUCAAUCAAACUGAUAAGCAAGAAUGCCAAAUGGUAUUGAUGAAACUAGCGCUUGAAUCAAUAGGAGAUGCGCGGAACAUGCUACUAUAGUACUUACUUUGGGGUGUCUAAAUUGCAGCUUCUCCGGGAGUCCCGGAGCUUUUUUGGUGAAUUUUUUCCAAACCCUGCCAGACAAAGAAAACAGUUACUUGAUAUAUCAGGAAAUGAACAAAGUUGCUGAUAUGGUGGAUAAUGAUCGAUUUAACUUACUUCUCGAGCAUUUGAGUCAUGUCCGCAUAGUCCUGGGGAUCUUUUCGUCUUGAGUCUAAGACGGUUACUAGUCCCUGCUCAAGCUUAAUCUCUAGGAGAAUAUAGUGGAAACUGCACACGCAUGCAUAACUCAUCAAUUACAUUACUAUAACCUUGACUAAUAUAUAAGGGAAACCGAAUAUGCACAAGACAGUAACACUCACUUGAAGUUGUAAGGAAAAAGUAUUAUAUCUUUGUUUUCAUUUAUUACCAACGAUCGUAGCAAGUUGGCCUCGGUAUCCGCGACAUGAAAUUUAACCUCAGUUGCAUCUAUGAUAUUUGUGUUAAUGAACCCAAUAUCACCGAUUUGUCUUUUCUUCAAUUCGACGAUCUUCAAUCUGCAUAAUAUAGUGAGGAUAAUUAUAAAUACAUGCAAUGAAAGAGCUGAGCUAUAUAGAGAGACUUAAUGACAGAAGUAGUACUACUUACAGACAGUAGCAGGUGACCGUUGCUUUAUCGAGGGCCAAUUGAUUGAAAAACUGAAAGAACUCCUCAAAUGGAACAGGUAACAAACACUAGUAGAAAAAGGGUCAAACGUGAAGCACAUUAGUGCCGGUUUGUAAAAAGACCGGCACUAAUGUGAUCAAUAGUGCCGGUUCGAAUGGCUAUGCAUUAGUGCCGGUUCGUAAUGAACCUUUAGUACCGGUUCAUGCCACGAACCGGUACUAAAGGGGUGGUGGCAGGCUGGCGUCAGGCCAGGCCCCACGAGCCCCUUUAGUGACGGUUUGUGACACAAACCGGUACUAAAGGUCUAACCUAUAGUACCGGUUUGUGUCACCAACCGGCACUACAAAGUCUUAACCUAUAGUCCCGGUUGAAGACACAAACCGACACUAUAGGGCAAUUUUCAAACUCUACCCCCCCCCCCGUGUAUCGCCAUUUCAGUUUUGAAAAAAUCAAAAGAAAAUGAUAAAAACUUCAAAAAAUAAAAUCCUUCGAGAGGUAGUUAUAUUACUACAUCUACUAGUUAGGAAAAUUUGAAAACUUAAAUUUGGACAUGUUUUGCAAAAAGUGUAGGGAAAAUGUAAAACGGCUAUAACUUUUGCAUAUGAUGUCGGAAAAAACGUAUAAUAUAUCAAAAAAUUCAGCACGAAAAUCCUCAAAUUCCAAAAGGAAAAAAAGAUAUGGUCAAAUUUAAGUUUUUUUUAAAAAAAAUUGGUUAAAUCUGGUCAAACUACUUAUUCAAGAAGUGUUAAUGUUACUACAUAAUUAUUCAAGAAUAUUAGUGUUACUAAAUAAUUAUUUCAAUUUUUUGAAUUUUGGUCAAAUCUGGUCAAACUAUGGUCAAACUGUGGUCAAACUAUGGUCAAACUUAUUCAAGAAAUAUUAGCGUUACUAAAUAAUUACUGUUUUUUUAGAAUAAUAGUUUCAAACUCAAACGGUGAAAUGUGUGACUUCAUGCUCAAGCUAAACUCCUGAGGGUUAAUAGGAUUAACAUCUUACUAUCAUCACGAAAACAACAAGUGCAGACAUGGAAACGAAGGAGAAUAGAACCCGAAAGUUAAGCGUGCUCGGGCUGGAGUAGUGAGAGGGAUGGGUGACCGGUCGAGAAGUUAGAUGAUUUGGAAUGAGUGAUCCACACUUGAGCAGUUAAGAGAGGUGAUUAGAGACUAAAUCAUCAAAUAAUUUAGAAAAAUUAAAAAAAUCAAAUUAAUUUUCAAAAAAAAUAUUCAAAAAAAAAACCAUUAGUACCGGUUGGUAACACCAACCGGUACUAAAGGUCCCCCAUACCAGGGCGUGAACUCACGCCACGUGGUGGCACUUUAGCGCCGGUUCGUGCCGAACCGGUACUAAAGGGGGGGGGGGCUUUAGUGCCGGUUCCAUAACCGGCACUAAAGGCACUUACAAACCGGUUUUAAAGCUCCGUUUUCUACUAGUGAAAUCAAUUCCAACGAGGUCAUGCUCCUUUUUAACUCUCACAUACAAAGUACUCCUCCCCUAGACUCUCUGCAGAUUUUCAAGUACCAAUCAUGCAAUCUUUGCAUCAUCGUUGAUAGAGAUCUUUCAUCUUUGACGAGAGGCUUCCCGUACUCGUAUCUUUGUAUCUGCACCUCCAUGAAAUCAUAAUGUACAUCGUCGGGCAGGUAAUCUCCAAGAUUGCUAUAACCGGGCACCAUCCUCGGAUCAUUAGCGACGAUGUCGCUAGGUACCUUGAGCGGGGGGGGGGGGGCACGAUUGCUUCCCUUGUUCGCCAAGCUGGGAAAUUUGUUUCCCAACUCGUCGUUCUUUCAGCCUUUGAUCACUGACAGUACUUCCCGACCGCUCCGCUUCGGCAAAUUCCUUUCCAAUAAUGCGCUCAUAGUUUCCUUUCGGUGGAGACUUGGGUGGUUUUGUUAGGGCAGCCAGAGUGCGCUUCGCUUUCACCGGAUCUACCUUCUCCUCCAGAGGUGGAUGUUUCUUUGCUUUCACCCCUUCAAAGAAGUUCCUGACUUCUUCUCGCACGAUCUCGGCGUUCUCCUCCGGGGUCCUCUCGUAUGGUAACUUCUCUGGAGUCUUUAGAGAAGGACCGAAUCUGUAUGUCCUCCCGCCUCUGGCUGUACUGCUAGACGCCGGCAGAGCAGACGGAGCGGUUGUCUUCUUUACUUGCUUACGAGGCAGAGGAGAAGGACUACGACGCACCAGAGCAGCCGGAGCGGCCGCAGGUCUCUUCCGCCCUUGCUGACGAGGCGGAGAAGGAGGAGGCUGGCUGCUCGGGCGCGCCGGCGCAGGCGGAGAAGGAGGCGGAGUGCCGCCACGCGCCGGAGAAGGAGCCGGCCGAGUGCCCUGAUAGUCACUCGCCAGAGGAGGAGGCGGUGGAGGGGGCGGAGUGCCCUGACUCGCCGAAGGAGGAGGAGGAGGCGGAGGCAUCCAAUUCGGAAGGUUCAUGACCUCCUUCCGCCAUAGGCAUGGAGUCUUCAGAGCAGAACCCAGCCGAGUCUCCCCUUCACCGGUAGGGUGGUCAAGCUGGAGGUCCUCAAAUCCCUCCGUUAUUUCAUCCACCAUCACCCUAGCAUAUCAUUCUGUAAUCGGCCGGCAGUGAAAAGUUGCGCUGGGUUCAGUAGGAAAAACAGAGCCAAUAGCCGCCUUGACCUUCAUAUUAACCCAUUGCGUCAUAAGGUGGCAAUUAUGAGACUCCGUGAUAGCAUCCACGGGAUAGCUGGCAGGAGCCGUCAAGACAUGCUCCUGCUGAAGCAGCUCGGUGGAAGCCAUGCUGCUUCUCCGCUGAGAUGGCGGGGUAGCUUCGGCAGUUCGUUUUGUGCGAUUUGCUUCUCGUUCCUCUAUUGCUUGUACCCUAGCGUGCAGCGCCUGCAGUUGGGUCUGCUCCACUUUCUUCCUCCUCUCGUGGCAUUUGUAACCGCCUGCGUCCGGAAACCCAGCCUUACACGGAAUGGAGCCUGGCGUGCCUCAUGUCCGUCCAGGGUGUUCAGGAUUCCCGAGGGCCAUUGUGAGCUCGUCGUUCUCUCUGUCUGGAACAAACAUACCUUGCUGCGCUGCUUCGAUAUAGUGCUUAAGCCUCUUGACUGGUAUUUCCAUUUGCUCGUCCGUCCAAAUGCACUUUCCUGAUACAGGGUCCAAGGUUUCACCAGCCCCGAAGAACCAAGUCCGGUAACGGUCUGUCCAGUUAAUUGUCUCUGGUUCGAUCCCUUUAUCAACCAGAUCAUUCUCAAUCUUGGCCCACUUAGGCCGAGCUGCCAGGUAGCCACCUGACCCCGUGCGAUGGUGAUGCUUCUUCUUCACAGCAUUUUGCUUGUUUGUCGACGACAUCUUCUUACUCUUUUCCGAUGUCUUGUGGGCCACAAAUGCGGGUCAGUGAUCUCUGAUCUUCUCAUAUCUGCCCUUGAAUUCCGGUGUCUCUUUAUUUUCGACAAACUUAUUCAGCUCUUUCUUCCACCUCCUGAAUAGUUCUGCCAUCCUCUUAAGAGCAAAAGACUUGAUUAAUUGCUCUUUAACUGGCUUCUCCGGAUCAUCCUCUGGCUGUAGGGUGAAAUUUGACUUCAGCUCAGUCCAAAGAUCAUUUUUCUGCAUAUCAUUGACAUAAGACACCUCAGGGUCUUCUGUAGCCGGCUUUAACCAUUGCUGCAUGCUGAUCGGGAUCUUGUCCCUAACCAAAACCCCGCACUGAGCAACAAAUGCGCUCUUUGUCCGGAUAGGUUCAUUCGGUUGGCCCUCGGGCGCGAUUGCUAUGAUCUCAAACUUUUCAUCCGAGCUCAACUUUUUCUUCGGGCCUCGUCUCUUUACCGAAGUUGUGCUCGAUCCGGAGGGCUAGAAAAAAGAACAAAGACUUAAUUAAUAUGUGUACAUACCAAAACAAUGAAUGCAUCAAUUAGCUAGUCAGCAGAAGCUUAACUAAUACUAGAUCAUUGAUGGUGCGUGUUGUUGCGCCCAUCUAUUUUGGAUCUUGGUUGUUAAGGAUAUAACAUUGCUAGUAUACAUUUCUUGCAUUGUUUUAAAAUAUUAUGCUUUCUAUAGCAUGUACUUCUCUUUAUUUUCAAAAUAAUGGUAUGUAAAUCAUCUUCAUUGGGGCAACAUUACAACUUCCAUAUCAACAUAAGCUUAGAUAUAAAUAGGGCAGUGCCAUAAGCCAACCUAUCCAUAUCCACGUUAUAAUAAUGGAUGGCUAUGUACAUUUUUGUUCAAGCAUAGUACAAGCUUGUUGCAGUUGCAUAGGAACAUAGACUUAAACAUAAUAUAAACUUGAAAUGUAUAAUGAUGGAAGAAGGCGGCAUGACAGUAUAUUAUACUUGGAAAACAAAUUGUACGAUGGAGUAGAGCGAACUGGAGAAGAUGUAGACCUCAAAUAGGCACCAGAAACACUGCACCAAAAUUUCUAUGAUUAUGGAUACAUCCAACAUGGCGGACGGUCAGAGGGCAUGAGAAGUAUAAUCAUAUACUAUCUAAGAAAAUCAAGACUCUUGAUUAUUACAUCAAAAGCAAGGCACAGAACAAGCUUACAUAUCGUAUUGUUCGUGCUAACACAAAUAAUAAUAUCUUCUAACACACGAAUGUAAUUUGGCCAAAAGAUAAUUUCUUCAUACGAAUUCCAACGUCACUACAUUUUUUUUCAUUGGGGCUUAAAAAUUGUUUGACCGUUUUACAUGAGAUAGAAAGAACUGACUGAACCGAGCAACAAAAGGCAACAAAAACACAAAUCAGUUUCCUCUCAUUCUCUGCCUACAUCAUAUUUUUUUUCCUGUAAAUAUAUCUUGUGAUUCAUCAUUGUUUCAGACCGUAAGGGCCGGAAGCUCUACCUAAGGCGGCUGCCAUACAAGGAUACACACAGCUUCGCCUUAAACACCCUCCUUGUGGCGAUGCUUAGAAAGGGAAUAACCUCAUGUAUUACCUUGCUCGGAAUAGCCAUGUUUUCAAAUCCCAACUAAUCCACCUUAAUCCUAACAUCAAAUGAACACAACAUUAACUUGAGAUCAGACGCUAUGGAGUCAGAGUGAUUGCAUGACUCGAGGCACAAGGCAACAGGCUGGGGUGAAGGCGUGGCAGCUGCAUGCCACCACGAAACACCGGCGAGCAGAGAACCGGAAGAUACAUAAUCGUUUAUGUCUUAUGAGUUAAUUUCUCCACUCAUUGCACGCUACAAAACAUUAGCGAGUAUACAUAGGAUGUCCCUUUCUGAACAACUACAUAAUAUAUAAAUUCCAAUUGCAUUAGGGAUUUCAUCUAGAGUAUAUUCCCUGAAUUAUUUGAAAUGAAGUAAUGGUUUUUCUAAUCCUACUUUGACCUGGAGCAUCACUCUGAAACAUCAGGGAACACACACAUCUUCAGAAGUAGCAGCAGUAGCUAAUGUGAAAAGUUCACUGGAAUGCUAGGAUACUAAAAAAGCUAGUACAUCCCAAUAGCCAAAGAACAUAACAAAAUUUGGCAUCAUGUGUCAAGUAGCUCACAGUGGGCAUAAAUUUGUACAUUAUAUGUCCCUUUAUUAACUCACUUGUCUCUGAUUUUUAACUAUUAGGAAAUAAUAGUGGUCAUCAAAAUUAGAAUAUAUUGUAAUGCUCUAGAAUAGGAUCUAAUUGUUGGGAGUUGUUACCUGAGGGAAUCCUUGCGGGGAGCUGAGCAUAGGAACCAAUGCUGUUCCGCACUGUCCACGUGACUGACCACCGUGCUGCCUCCAUGAGCCGAUGUGGAACUUCUACCAACAAGUGAUUUGUACAUGACUGCUCAAGCAAACUAAACCACUAAAUCCAAAGGGGAUUCGUUCCAGAAAGGUGCAACACCUUGAGAAAUCUACGUGUAGAAUUGAAGAGGGGAGAGUAUCAGGAGGUAAACCUAGAGAACCUGCAUAGUUUGUGAGUACAAAGAACAGUAUGAGUAAAAUAAAUUUCAAAAAUUGGAUUAGAUGAAGAAUCAGGUGAAGAGGAGAUAAAGGAAAGAACCAUCACCCAUUGCUGCACGAGAGUGGUUUUCAGAAGUAAGGGGAGUAGGGAAGGAGCAACAGCACUUUGGAUCGUAUAUUCGUAUAUGCGCGCGAGUGAAUUGAAGUAAAAAGCAUGAAUCAUCAGACCUGCAAUAAUCUUCAGUUUAGCCGGUUCAUCAAUUGCCAUUAAUCGAUCCUGAUUAAAACCUCAACGAAUCGAUGGCUAGUGAAUUUCAAUCGACAGCGGCUGUUCGCGGCCCUGACCAUCUCCCUAUUGCGUCACCGACCAGGACGCCGUUCGGUCGCUCGGCGAGGAGCGCCGUGUCAGUCGGACCUGAAGCACAGUGGCCAUGAGACACCAUCGGUCGCGUCGAUCCGACCCCAACACGGCCGCCAUCACUACUGCCCAGAUUCUGCUGCCAGCCGACAGCAGCAACCGUGCGAAACUGCGAACCAAAGGAUCUGGCGACGACGCGCCUGAGAACUCUAGAUAUGGCUUGAAAACCAGAAAUAUGCUUCACGGAUGUAGAGCGUGUUUGGUUGAGUUCCAGGAGCAAAAUUGCCUGGCCUGAGACCUUCCUGGGUUGUGCCUGCUUGUUGUUUGGAUAGUAGCCUCAAAUCACAGGCAUGUUCCUGGCCUGGAGUUGACAUGCACCUGAUUAGCCUGGGUAGAUCACAGGCAGCUUGAUUAGCCUGGAUGAGGCCAACGGAACCAGACGCCUGGCCUCCAGGCAGAUGCGUUUUGCGUCAAUUAGCAAGUUGUAUACUGUACUUUUUGUCAACUCAGCCGUCCCAUCUAAUUAUUUAAUAUUUAAGUACGUGUCCCAGGCCAGGUUUGCAACCAAACAUCACAUGCACACAGCAGCCUGGCCAGGCAAAAAUCCUCCUUCUCCCAGGCUACUAUCAGGCAUCAACUUUUGCUAGGCAUCACACCCAGGACAUGAACCAAACAUGCCCGUAGUGCGUCACUGACCUGGGGAUGAGCUCGUCGCCGGCUCGAGAAAAAGUCGCUCCCUGCUGCGCUUUUGGGGAAGAUAGGAAAUGUAGAAGAAUGAGCCAAUCUAGUGAAUCCCGUGGAACUUAAUGGAACCUGCACUCAUUUGGGAGCACAAAGAACAACAUCAAUUGAAAAAAAUUCAUGCAGAAUUUGGGGGAGAGUAGAGGUACCAACGAGGGAACACUUGUAAAAGGCCAGUAGCGGAGACUAAUUAUCGUCCUGUCAACCAUGGCAGCCUGCAAGUAAAAGGAGGAGAAUGAGGAAGGAGAAGCUCCACGAUGGAGAUUAAAUGGACGCAAUUGAAUGGAUGUUGUAACUGAGCCCAGUUAUUGGCCACCGGUGAGUGCGCCUCAUCGAUUGCAAAUUUGCCAUUAUAAUGGUCCGCUGCAACUAUGAAUUGAGUCCCGAAUCGCGGGCAACUGGAGGCAACCGACAGGGGACGAUCCGUUGCCCCGGAUACCUCCUGCUGGCGUCGCCCAGCGAGGCAACCCGGCCGGUCGCGUAGGUCGAGGCACAUCCGGUCGGUCCAAUCGACCUCGCAUCGGCACUGUUUUUUUUUCUCGCAUCAGGACUGGAUGAACGCUCAUCGGUCGCUCGUGUGUAACCCUAGUCGAUGGAACCGCACAAGUGGACCUUCUUCAGCGAAGCCCGUGGGCUGGAAUGGGCUGGCCGACGGCCCAGUUAACCACAGGGCUACGUUUUGGCCUGCGGAGCAGAAGCCCCAGGACAGCCGGCCCAGUUUUUAUCAGAUGUGGGACAGAUUGCUUUAAACAGGAGAUCCGACGACCAAAAACGUCUAGAUCGUGCAAACGGAUGGUCAGAAACGCGAAGCGCUGAGAGAGCUCGCUUUAGGUGCAGUUGUAUUGUACUUAAUAUAUACCUGGCCGGACUCGGUUCGGUCACCAGAGACGUCAUCACGGUCUCCUUCUUGCACCGGCAUUGUGUCACCGGAGCCGUCCUCACGGUCUCCUUCUUGCACCGGCAUUAGGUCACCGGAGCCAUCAUAAUCAUAGCCAGCUGCUUCCAUACCAUCGGUGUCGUUGAGAAACAACGAGCAGACGGCAUCCCUUCCUCGUGCGAUUAUGUCCCCCAACAACUCUUCUUGUACUUCGUCUCGGGCGGUGUCCAUAGUUUCUACAAAUAUUUAUAACAUGGCAAUUAUUAUUCAAACAUGACAGAUGGAUAUAUUAGUGGCAAACGUAGAACUAAUAUUAAUUAGUGGCCUCGACGCUACUUCUCUAGGGUUUGGGGUGGCCUCGACGCUGCUUCUCCAGGGUUUGAAGUGGCCUCGACAACGCUUCAAGGAUAAAAAAAGAAGAGGAAGAAGAAAAAAAGGGGAGAAGAAAGAAUAGAUCCUCUUUUUUUUUCUUCUUCUUCCUCUUUUUUUUUAUCGGGAACGAGGGUCGUCGACGCCCACGUCACUUGUGGGACGUGGAUGUAGUGUCCGACACCGAUGGCCACAUGUAUCUCACACCCACGAUACUUACUAUUUAGGGUUUCCUCUACCGCUCGGCGACCCUGACCCUCGACGACCCUCGUUUCNNNNNNNNNNNNNNNNNNNNNNNNNNNNNNNNNNNNNNNNNNNNNNNNNNNNNNNNNNNNNNNNNNNNNNNNNNNNNNNNNNNNNNNNNNNNNNNNNNNNNNNNNNNNNNNNNNNNNNNNNNNNNNNNNNNNNNNNNNNNNNNNNNNNNNNNNNNNNNNNNNNNNNNNNNNNNNNNNNNNNNNNNNNNNNNNNNNNNNNNNNNNNNNNNNNNNNNNNNNNNNNNNNNNNNNNNNNNNNNNNNNNNNNNNNNNNNNNNNNNNNNNNNNNNNNNNNNNNNNNNNNNNNNNNNNNNNNNNNNNNNNNNNNNNNNNNNNNNNNNNNNNNNNNNNNNNNNNNNNNNNNNNNNNNNNNNNNNNNNNNNNNNNNNNNNNNNNNNNNNNNNNNNNNNNNNNNNNNNNNNNNNNNNNNNNNNNNNNNNNNNNNNNNNNNNNNNNNNNNNNNNNNNNNNNNNNNNNNNNNNNNNNNNNNNNNNNNNNNNNNNNNNNNNNNNNNNNNNNNNNNNNNNNNNNNNNNNNNNNNNNNNNNNNNNNNNNNNNNNNNNNNNNNNNNNNNNNNNNNNNNNNNNNNNNNNNNNNNNNNNNNNNNNNNNNNNNNNNNNNNNNNNNNNNNNNNNNNNNNNNNNNNNNNNNNNNNNNNNNNNNNNNNNNNNNNNNNNNNNNNNNNNNNNNNNNNNNNNNNNNNNNNNNNNNNNNNNNNNNNNNNNNNNNNNNNNNNNNNNNNNNNNNNNNNNNNNNNNNNNNNNNNNNNNNNNNNNNNNNNNNNNNNNNNNNNNNNNNNNNNNNNNNNNNNNNNNNNNNNNNNNNNNNNNNNNNNNNNNNNNNNNNNNNNNNNNNNNNNNNNNNNNNNNNNNNNNNNNNNNNNNNNNNNNNNNNNNNNNNNNNNNNNNNNNNNNNNNNNNNNNNNNNNNNNNNNNNNNNNNNNNNNNNNNNNNNNNNNNNNNNNNNNNNNNNNNNNNNNNNNNNNNNNNNNNNNNNNNNNNNNNNNNNNNNNNNNNNNNNNNNNNNNNNNNNNNNNNNNNNNNNNNNNNNNNNNNNNNNNNNNNNNNNNNNNNNNNNNNNNNNNNNNNNNNNNNNNNNNNNNNNNNNNNNNNNNNNNNNNNNNNNNNNNNNNNNNNNNNNNNNNNNNNNNNNNNNNNNNNNNNNNNNNNNNNNNNNNNNNNNNNNNNNNNNNNNNNNNNNNNNNNNNNNNNNNNNNNNNNNNNNNNNNNNNNNNNNNNNNNNNNNNNNNNNNNNNNNNNNNNNNNNNNNNNNNNNNNNNNNNNNNNNNNNNNCGGGACUAAAGGGGGGCAUUGGUCACGGUUUGUGCCACGAACCGUGACCAAUGCCCCCUUUAGUCCCGGUUGGUGCCAUCAACCGGGACCAAAGGCCUGCGCCUGCCAAAGCCGUGGUGCGGUAGGAUGUUUAGUCCCACCUCGCUAGCUGAGGAGCGGCCGCACCUGUUUAUAAGCGCUGCACCUGUUUGGGCCUAAUCUCACAACGCUAUGCCUGCUGGGCCUUCUGCGGGCCUGAAUCCUGGCCCAUGGAUGGGCUUCUAGUCGUAUUCAGGCCGUGGUGGCCCAGUAGGUGGCAUUUUUUAUUACUAUUUGAUUUUUCAUUUCUACUUAGAACUAAAUACUUGUAGUUUUUUAGUGAUUUUUUUCUUUUAGGUCACAAAAAUUAUAAACUUUCUAUUAUUGCCAUUAGUUUUAAAAUUUGAAUAGUUUAAUUUUGAAUUUUUUAAAAUUUGUGUGAAUCACUAGUUUAUGAAUAACUUUACCGUAAAAAUUGAUUUUUGAGUCAUUUUUUUCCUGCUAUUUAAUAUUACUGUGUUUUAUCAUUAUACUCAAUUUGGUAAUUUUAGUUAGUCAUAACAAAUAUUAUAGGCAUUUUUUUCUUUUUUGCUAUUUUUUUUCAUUUCUACUUAGAACAAAAUACUUAUAGUUCUUUAGUGAUUUCUUUUUUCUUUUAGGUCACAAAAAUUAUAAACUUUCUGGUAGUUCCAUUAGUUUUCANNNNNNNNNNNNNNNNNNNNNNNNNNNNNNNNNNNNNNNNNNNNNNNNNNNNNNNNNNNNNNNNNNNNNNNNNNNNNNNNNNNNNNNNNNNNNNNNNNNNNNNNNNNNNNNNNNNNNNNNNNNNNNNNNNNNNNNNNNNNNNNNNNNNNNNNNNNNNNNNNNNNNNNNNNNNNNNNNNNNNNNNNNNNNNNNNNNNNNNNNNNNNNNNNNNNNNNNNNNNNNNNNNNNNNNNNNNNNNNNNNNUUAAUUCUUUUUGCUUUUCGUUUUAGAAAAAUUAUAAACUUUCUGUUAGUGCCAUUAGUUUUCAAAUUUGAAAACACUUUUUUAGUUUUUUUGCUUUCUUUGUUGCUUUAUUUAUUUUAUUUUGUUUCUACUUACAAAAAAAUACUUAUUGUUGCUAUUUUUUUUCAGUUUUUGUUUUGUUUUCUUUAUUAUUUAUUUUCUUUUGUUUUUUGCUUUAAUUUUUAAUUCUUUUUGCUUUUAGGUCAGCAAAAUUAUAAACUUUCUGUUAGUGCCACUAGUUUUAGAAAAAUUAUAAACUUUCUGUUAGUGCCAUUAGUUUUCAAAUUUGAAUAGUUAAAAUUUGAAUUCUUUAAAAUUUGUAUGAACCACAAGUUUGUGAUUAACUUUACUAAAAAAAUGAACAUAGAUGCACCUAUAGAGAAAAUUCGACCUAAAUUCAUAGUUUUCAAAUGAACUCUCAAAAAGUUGGCAUAGCAUACUCGUGUGUUACAAAGUUGGCAUGGUAUCAUCAUAAUAGUUGCUUGAGAAAGUCUUCACUUUUUCUUCGCUUGUGUCAUUUGCUUAUUGCGCCGUAACCAUGGAUAAUCUUCAUCGUUUAUCAGGAUGCUUGGGUCAGCCUUGACAUUGAAGGGAGGAAUUUCAUGAAACUUUUCAUAAUCUUCAGACAUGUCUGUCUUGCCCUCCACUCCCAGGAUAUCCCUUUUUCCUGAAAGAACUAUAUGGCGCUUUGGCUCAUCGUAUGAUGUAUUCGCUUCCUUAUCUUUUCUUUUUCUCGGUUUGGUAGACAUGUCCUUCACAUAGAUAACCUGUGCCACAUCAUUGGCUAGGACGAACGGUUCGUCAGUAUACCCAAGAUUUUUCAGAUCCACUGUUGUCAUUCCGUACUGUGGGUCUACCUGUACCCCGCCGCCUGACAGAUUGACCCAUUUGCACUUAAACAAAGGGACCUUAAAAUCAUGUCCGUAGUCAAGUUCCCAUAUGUCCAUUAUGUAACCAUAAUAUGCAUCCUUUCCGCUCUCGGUUGCUGCAUCAAAGCGGACACCGCUGUUUUGGUUGGUGCUCUUUUGAUCUUGGGCGAUCAUGUAAAAUGUAUUCCCAUUUAUCUCGUAUCCUUUGUAAGUCAAUACAGUCAAAGAUGGUCCCCUGGACAACAAGUGCAACUCAUCACAAACAGUGUUGUCACCUCUGAGACGUGUUUCCAACCAACUGUUGAAAGUCCUGAUGUGUUCACAUGUAAUCUAGUCGUCGCACUGCUCCGGAUGUUUGGAGCGCAGACUGUUUUUGUGUUCAUCGAUAUACGGGGCCACCAUGGUAGAGUUCUGUAGAACUGUGUAGUGUGCUUGAGACCAAGAAUAUCCGUCCCUGCAUAUUAUUGAGUCACUUCCAAGAGUGCCUUUUCCAGUCAGUCUCCCCUCAUACCGCGAUUUAGGGAGACCUAUCUUCUUAAGGCCAGGAAUGAAGUCAACACAAAAUUCGAUAACAUCCUCUGUUUGAUGGCCCAUGGAGAUGCUUCCUUCUGACCUAGCGCGGUUACGGACAUAUUUCUUUAGGACUCCCAUGAACCUCUCAAAGGGGAACAUAUUGUGUAGAAAUACGGGCCCCAGGAUGACAAUCUCGUCGACUAGAUGAACUAGGACGUGCGUCAUGAUAUUGAAGAAGGAUGGUGGGAACACCAGCUCGAAACUGACAAGACAUUGCGCCACAUCACUCCUUAGCCUUGGUACAAUUUCUGGAUCGAUCACCUUCUGAGAGAUUGCAUUGAGGAAUGCACAUAGCUUCACAAUGGCUAAUCGGACGUUUUCUGGUAGAAGCCCCCUCAAUGCAGCCGGAAGCAGUUGCGUCAUAAUCACAUGGCAGUCAUGAGACUUUAGGUUCUGAAACUUUUUCUCUGGCAUAUUUAUUAUUCCCUUUAUAUUCGAUGAGAAGCCAGUCGUGACCUUCAUACUGAGCAGGCAUUCAAAGAAGAUUUCUUUCUCUUCUUUCGUAAGAGCAUAGCUGGCAGGACCUUUAUACUGCUUCGGAGGCAUGCCGUCUUUUUCAUGCAAAUGUUGCAGGUCCUCCCAUGCCUCGGAUGUAUCUUUUGUCUUCCCAUACAAGAAGCCUACCAGGUUCACACAAAGGUUCUUCAUCACGUGCAUCACGUCGAUUGAAGAGCAGACCUCUAGGUCUUUCCAGUAGGGUAGGUCCCAAAAUAUAGAUUUCUUCUUCCACAUGGGUGCGUGUCCCUCAGCGUCAUUCGGAACAGCUAGUCCGCCGGGACACUUUCCAAAGAUUACAUGUAAAUCAUUGACCAUAGCAAGUACGUGAUCACCGGUACGCAUGGCGGGCUUCUUCUGGUGAUCUGCCUCGCCUUUGAAAUGCUUGCCUUUCUUUCGACAUUGAUGGUUGGUCGGAAGAAAUCAACGAUGGCCCAGGUACACAUUUUUCCUGCAUUUGUCCAGGUAUAUACUUUCAGUGUCAUCUAAACAGUGCGUGCAUGCGUGGUAUCCUUUGUUUGUCUAUCCUGAAAGGUUACUGAGAGCGGGCCAAUCAUUGACGGUCACGAACAGCAAAGCCUUUAGGUUAAAUUCCUCCUGUCUAUGGUCAUCCCACGUACGUACACUGUUUCCAUUCCACAGCUGUAAAAGUUCUUCAACUAAUGGCCUUAGGUACACAUCAAUGUCCUUGCCGGGUUGCUUAGUGUAGGGGAACAUAGUAAUUUCAAAAUUUUCCUACGCACACGCAAGAUCAUGGUGAUGCAUAGCAACGAGAGGGGAGAGUGUUGUCUAUGUACCCUCGUAGACCGAAGCGGAAGCGCUGACACAACGUAGAGGAAGUAGUCGUACGUCUUCCCGAUCCUACCGAUCCAAGCACCGUUACUCCGGCACCUCCGAGUUCUUAGCACACGUACAGCUCGAUGACGCUCCCCAGGCUUCGAUCCAACAAAGCUUCGGGGAUGAGUUCCAUCAGCACAACGGCGUGGUGACGAUGAUGAUGUUCUACCGACGCAGGGCUUCGCCUAAGCACUACAAUGAUAUGACCGAGGUGGAAUAUGGUGGAAGGGGGCACCGCACACGGCUAAGGAACGAUCACGUUGAUCAAUUGUGUGUUCUAGGGUGUCCCCUUGCCUCCGUAUAUAAAGGAUCCAAGGGGGAGGGGUUCGGCCGGCCCUAUGGAGGCGCAGGAGGAGUCCUACUCCUACCGGGAGUAGGACUCCCCCCUUUCCUAGUCCAAGUAGGAUUGGUGGAGAAGAAAGGGAAAGAGGGGGGUGCAGCCCCUCCCUCCUUGUCCAAUUCGGACUAGGGGGAGAGGGGGCGCGCGGCCUGCCCUGGCAGCCCCUUCCUAUUCUCCACUUUAGGCCCAUGAGGCCCAUUAACACCCCGGGGGGUUCCGGUAACCCCCCGGUGCUCCGGUUUUAUCCGAAACUUCAUCGGAACCCUUCCGGUGUCUGAAUAUAGUCAUCCAAUAUAUCAAUCUUUAUGUCUCGACCAUUUCGAGACUCCUCGUCAUGCCCGUGAUCACAUCCGGGACACCGAACUAACUUCGGUACAUCAAAAUGUAUAAACUCAUAAUAACUAUCAUCGUAACGUUAAGCGUGCGGACCCUAUGGUUCGAGAACAAUGUAGACAUGACCGAGACACGUCUCCGGUCAAUAACCAAUAGCGGGACCUGGAUGCCCAUAUUGGCUCCUACAUAUUCUACGAAGAUCUUUAUCGGUCAGACCGCAUAACAACAUACGUUGUUCCCUUUGUCAUCGGUAUGUUACUUGCCCGAGAUUCGAUCGUCGGUAUCCAAUACCUAGUUCAAUCUCGUUACCGGCAAAUCUCUUUACUCGUUCCGUAAUACAUCAUCUCACAACUAACUCAUUAGUUGUAAUGCUUGCAAGGCUUAUGUGAUGUGCAUUACCGAGAGGGCCCAGAGAUACCUCUCCGACAAUCGGAGUGACAAAUCCUAAUCUCGAAAUACGCCAACCCAACAUCUACCUUUGGAGACACCUGUAGAGCACCUUUAUAAUCACCCAGUUACGUUGUGACGUUUGGUAGCACACAAAGUGUUCCUCCGGCAAACGGGAGUUGCAUAAUCUCAUAGUCAUAGGAACAUGUAUAAGUCAUGAAGAAAGCAAUAGCAACAUACUAAACGAUCGGGUGCUAAGCUAAUGGAAUGGGUCAUGUCAAUCAGAUCAUUCAACUAAUGAUGUGAUCUCGUUAAUCAAAUAACAACUCUUUGUUCAUGGUUAGGAAACAUAACCAUCUUUGAUUAACGAGCUAGUCAAGUAGAGGCAUACUAGUGACACUCUGUUUGUCUAUGUAUUCACACAUGUAUUAUGUUUCCGGUUAAUACAAUUCUAGCAUGAAUAAUAAACAUUUAUCAUGAUGUAAGGAAAUAAAUAAUAACUUUAUUAUUGCCUCUAGGGCAUAUUUCCUUCAGUCUCCCACUUGCACUAGAGUCAAUAAUCUAGAUUACACAGUAAUGAUUCUAACACCCAUGGAGCCUUGGUGCUGAUCAUGUUUUGCUCGUGGAAGAGGCUUAGUCAACGGGUCUGCAACAUUCAGAUCCGUAUGUAUCUUGCAAAUCUCUAUGUCUCCCACCUGGACUAGAUCCCGGAUGGAAUUGAAGCGUCUCUUGAUGUGCUUGGUUCUCUUGUGAAAUAUGGAUUCCUUUGCCAAGGCAAUUGCACCAGUAUUGUCACAAAAGAUUUUCAUUAGACCCGAUGCACUAGGUAUGACACCUAGAUCGGAUAUGAACUCCUUCAUCCAGACUCCUUCGUUUGCUACUUCCGAAGCAGCUAUGUACUCCGCUUCACAUGUAGAUCCCGCCACAAUGCUUUGUUCAGAACUGCACCAACUGACAGCUCAACCGUUUAAUGUAAACAUGUAUCCGGUUUGUGAUUUAGAAUCGUCCGGAUCAGUGUCAAAGCUUGCAUCAACGUAACCGUUUACGAUGAGCUCUUUGUCACCUCCAUAUACGAGAAACAUAUCCUUAGUCCUUUUCAGGUACUUCAGGAUGUUCUUGACCGUUGUCCAGUGAUCCACUCCUGGAUUACUUUGGUACCUCCCUGCUAAACUUAUAGCAGGGCACACAUCAGGUCUGGUACACAGCAUUGCAUACAUGAUAGAGCCUAUGGCUGAAGCAUAGGGAACAUCUUUCAUUUUCUCUCUAUCUUCUGAAGUGGUCGGGCAUUGAGUCUGACUCAACUUCACACCUUGUAACACAGGCAAGAACCCUUUCUUUGCUUGAUCCAUUUUGAACUUCUUCAAAAUCUUGUCAAGGUAUGUGCUUUGUGAAAGUCCAAUUAAGCGUCUUGAUCUAUCUCUAUAGAUCUUUAUGCCUAAUAUGUAAGCAGCUUCACCGAGGUCUUUCAUUGAAAAACUCUUAUUCAAGUAUCCCUUUAUGCUAUCCAGAAAUUCUAUAUCAUUUCCAAUCAGUAAUAUGUCAUCCACAUAUAAUAUCAGAAAUGCUAUAGAGCUCCCACUCACUUUCUUGUCAAUACAGGCUUCUCCAAAAGUCUGUACAAAACCAAAUGCUUUGAUCACACUAUCAAAGCGUUUAUUCCAACUCCGAGAGGCUUGCACCAGUCCAUAAAUGGAUCGCUGGAGCUUGCACACUUUGUUAGAUCCUUUCGGAUCGACAAAACCUUCCGGUUGCAUCAUAUACAACUCUUCUUCCAGAAAUCCAUUCAGGAAUGCAGUUUUGACAUCCAUCUGCCAAAUUUCGUAAUCAUAAAAUGCGGCAAUUGCUAACAUGAUUCGAACGGACUUAAGCAUCGCUACGGGUGAGAAGGUCUCAUCAUAGUCAACCCCUUGAACUUGUCCAAAACCUUUUGCGACAAGUCGAGCUUUGUAGACAGUAACAUUACCGUCAGCGUCAGUCUUUUUCUUGAAGAUCCAUUUAUUCUCAAUUGCUUGCCGACCAUCGGGCAAGUUAACCAAAGUCCAUACUUUGUUCUCAUACAUGGAUCCCAUUUCAGAUUUCAUGGCUUCAAGCCAUUUUGCGGAAUCUGGGCUCACCAUCGCUUCUUCAUAGUUAGUAGGUUCAUCAUGAUCUAGCAGCAUGAUUUCUAGAACAGGAUUACCGUACCACUCUGGCGCGGAUCUCACUCUGGUUGAUCUACGAGGUUCAGUAGUAUCUUGUCCUGAAGUUUCAUGAUCAUUAUCAUUAGCUUCCUCACUUAUGGGUGUAGGUGUCGCAGAAACAGUUUUCUGUGAUGUACUUCUUUCCAAUAAGGGGGCAGGUACAGUUACCUCGUCAAGUUCUACUUUCCUCCCACUCACUUCUUUCGAGAGAAACUCCUUCUCUAGAAAGGAUCCAUUCUUAGCAACGAAUGUCUUGCCUUCGGAUCUGUGAUAGAAGGUGUACCCAACAGUCUCCUUUGGGUAACCUAUGAAGACACAUUUCUCCGAUUUGGGUUCAAGCUUAUCAGGUUGAAGCUUUUUCACAUAAGCAUCGCAGCCCCAGACUUUAAGAAACGACAACUUUGGUUUCUUGCCAAACCAUAGUUCAUAAGGCGUCGUCUCAACGGAUUUUGAUGCUGCCCUAUUUAACGUGAAUGCGGCCGUCUCUAAAGCAUAACCCCAAAACGAUAGCGGUAAAUCAGUAAGAGACAUCAUAGAUCGCACCAUAUCUAGUAAAGUACGAUUACGACGUUCGGACACACCAUUACGCUGUGGUGUUCCGGGUGGCGUGAGUUGCGAAACUAUUCCGCAUUGUUUCAAAUGUACACCAAACUCGUAACUCAAAUAUUCUCCUCCAUGAUCAGAUCGUAGAAACUUUAUUUUCUCGUUACGAUGAUUUUCAACUUCACUCUGAAAUUCUUUGAACUUUUCAAAUGUUUCAGACUUGUGUUUCAUUAAGUAGAUAUACCCAUAUCUGCUUAAAUCAUUUGUGAAGUUGAGAAAAUAACGAUAUCCGCCACGAGCCUCAAUAUUCAUCGGACCACAUACAUCGGUAUGUAUGAUUUCCAACAAAUCUGUUGCUCUCUCCAUAGUACCGGAGAACGGUGUUUUAGUCAUCUUGCCCAUGAGGCACGGUUCGCAAGUACCAAGUGAUUCAUAAUCAAGUAGUUCCAAAAGUCCAUCAGUAUGGAGUUUCUUCAUGCGCUUUACACCGAUAUGACCUAAACGGCAGUGCCACAAAUAAGUUGCACUAUCAUUAUCAACUCUGCAUCUUUUGGUUUCAACAUUAUGAAUAUGUGUAUCACUACUAUCGAGAUUCAUCAGAAAUAGACCACUCUUCAAGGGUUCAUGACCAUAAAAGAUAUUACUCAUAUAAAUAGAACAACCAUUAUUCUCUGAUUUAAAUGAAUAACCGUCUCGCAUCAAACAAGAUCCAGAUAUAAUGUUCAUGCUUAACGCUGGCACCAAAUGACAAUUAUUUAGGUCUAAUACUAAUCCCGAAGGUAGAUGUAGAGGUAGCGUGCCGACCGCGAUCACAUCGACUUUGGAACCGUUUCCCACGCGCAUCGUCACCUCGUCCUUUGCCAGUGUUCGCCUAAUCCGUAGUCCCUGUUUCGAGUUGCAAAUAUUAGCAAUAUAACCAGUAUCAAAUACCCAGGUGCUACUGCGAGCUCUAGUAAGGUACACAUCAAUAACAUGUAUAUCACUUAUACCUUUAUUCACCUUGCCAUCCUUCUUAUCCGCCAAAUACUUGGGGCAGUUCCGCUUCCAGUGACCAGUCUGCUUGUAGUAGAAGCACUCAGUUUCAGGCUUAGGUCCAGACUUGGGUUUCUUCUCCUGAGCAGCAACUUGCUUGCCGUUCUUCUUGAAGUUCCCCUUCUUCUUCCCUUUGCCCCUUUUCUUGAAACUAGUGGUCUUGUUGACCAUCAACACUUCAUGCUCCUUCUUGAUUUCUACCUCCGCAGCUUUCAGCAUUGCGAAGAGCUCGAGAAUAGUCUUAUUCAUCCAUUGCAUAUUAUAGUUCAUCACAAAGCUCUUGUAGCUUGGUGGCAGUGAUUGGAGAAUUCUGUCAAUGACGCAAUCAUCUGGAAAAUUAACUCCCAUCUAAAUCAAGUGAUUAUUAUACCCAGACAUUUUGAGUAUAUGCUCACUGACAGAACUAUUCUCCUCCAUCUUGCAGCUAUAGAACUUAUUGGAGACUUCAUAUCUCUCAAUCCGGGCAUUUGCUUGAAAUAUUAGCUUCAACUCCUGGAACAUCUCAUAUGCUCCAUGACGUUCAAAACGUCGUUGAAGUCCCAAUUCUAAGCCGUAAAGCAUGGCACACUGAACUAUCGAGUGGUCAUCAGCUUUGCUCCGCCAGACGUUCAUAACAUCUGGUGUUGCUCCAGCAGCAGGCCUGGCACCCAGCGGUGCUUCCAGGACGUAAUUCUUCUGUGCAGCAAUGAGGAUAAUCCUCAAGUUACGGACCCAGUCCGUGUAAUUGCUACCAUCAUCUUUCAACUUUGCUUUUGUUGGGGAACGUAGUAAUUUCAAAAAUUUCCUACGCACACGCAAGAUCAUGGUGAUGCAUAGCAACGAGGGGGAGAGUCUGAUCUACGUACCCUUGUAGAUCGCAACGGAAGCGUUGACACAACGUAGAGGAAGUAGUCGUACGUCUUCUUCCCGAUCCGACCGAUCCAAGCACUGUUACUCCGGCACCUCCGAGUUCUUAGCACACGUUCAGCUCGAUGACGAUCCUCGGGCUCCGAUCCAGCAAAGCGUCGAGGAAGAGUUCCGUCAGCACGACGGCGUGGUGACGAUCUUGACGUACUACCGACGUAGGGCUUCGCCUAAGCACUACAACGGUAUGAUCGAGGUGGAAUUUGGUGGCAGGGGGCACCGCACACGGCUAAGGAACGAUUUCAAGGAUCAACUUGUGUGUCUAUGGGGAGCCCCCCGCCCCUGUAUAUAAAGGAUGGAGGAGGAGGAGGCCGGCCAAGGCAAAGGUGCGGCCAGGAUAGGGAGUCCUACUAGGACUCCAAGUCCUAGUAGGAGUCCACCAAAAGGGGAGGAAGGGAGAAGGAAUAGGAGGAGAAGGAGAGGUGGCCGGCCCCCUUUUCCCUAGUCCAAUUCGGACCAAAGGGGAGGGGGGGCGCAGCAGCCUUUUCCUCUUCCCACUAAAGCCCAUCAAGGCCCAUUACUUCUCCCGUAACUACCCGGUACUCCGAAAAAUACCCGAAUCACUCGGAACCUUUCCGAUGUCCGAAUAUAGUCGUCCAAUAUAUCGAUCUUUACGUCUCGACCAUUUCGAGACUCCUCGUCAUGUCCCCGAUUUCAUCCGGGACUCCGAACUCCUUCGGUACAUCAAUACUCAUAAACUCAUAAUAUAACUGUCAUCGAAACCUAAAGCGUGCGGACCCUAUGGUUCGAGAACAAUGUAGACAUGACCGAGACACGUCUUCGGUCAAUAACCAAUAGCGGGACCUGGAUGCCCAUAUUGGCUCCUACAUAUUCUACGAAGAUCUUUAUCGGUCAGACCGCAUAACAACAUACGUUGUUCCCUUUGUCAUCGGUAUGUUACUUGCCCGAGAUUCGAUCGUCGGUAUCCAAUACCUAGUUCAAUCUCGUUACCGGCAAGUCUCUUUACUCAUUCUAUAAUACAUCAUCCCACAACUAACUCAUUAGUUGCAAUGCUUGCAAGGCUUAAGUGAUGUGCAUUACCGAGAGGGCCCAGAGAUACCUCUCCGAUAAUCGGAGUGACAAAUCCUAAUCUCGAAAUACGCCAACCCAACAUCUUCCUUUGGAGACACCUGUAAUGCUCCUUUAUAAUCACCCAGUUACGUUGUGACGUUUUGUAGCACCCAAAGUGAUCCUCCGGCAAACGGGAGUUGCAUAAUCUCAUAGUCAUAGGAACAUGUAUAAGUCAUGAAGAAAGCAAUAGCAACAUACUAAACGAUCGGGUGCUAAGCUAAUGGAAUGGGUCAUGUCAAUCAGAUCAUUCAACUAAUGAUGUGACCUCGUUAAUCAAAUAACAACUCUUUUGUCCAUGGUUAGGAAACAUAACCAUCUUUGAUUAACGAGCUAGUCAAGUAGAGGCAUACUAGUGACACUCUGUUUGUCUAUGUAUUCACACAUGUAUUAUGUUUCCGGUUAAUACAAUUCUAGCAUGAAUAAUAAACAUUUAUCAUGAUAUAAGGAAAUAAAUAAUAACUUCAUUAUUGCCUCUAGGGCAUAUUUCCUUCAGUCUCCCACUUGCACUAGAGUCAAUAAUCUAGUUCACAUCGCCAUGUGAUUUAACAGCAAUAGUUCACAUCACCAUGUGAUUAACACCCAUAGUUCACAUCGUCAUGUGACCAACACUCAAAGGGUUUACUAGAGUCAGUAAUCUAGUUCACAUAUCUAUGUGAUUAACACCCAAAGAGUACUAAGGUGUGAUCAUGUUUUGCUUGUGAGAUAAUUUUAGUCAACGGGUCUGUCACAUUCAGAUCUGUAAGUAUUUUGCAAGUUCUAUGUCUACAAUGCUCUACACGGAGCUACUCUAGCUAAUUGCUCCCACUUUCAAUAUGUAUCCAGAUUGAGACUUUAGAUUCAUCUGGAUCAGUGUCAAAAACUUGCAUCGACGUAACCCUUUACGACGAACCUUUUUGUCACGUCCAUAAUCGAGAAACAUAUCCUUAUUUCACUAAGGAUAAUUCUGACCGCUGUCCAGUGAUCUACUCCUAGAUCACUAUUAUACUCCCUUGCCAAAUCAAUGCAGGGUAUACAAUAGAUCUGGUAUACAGCAUGACAUACUUUAUAGAACCUAUGGCCAAGGCAUAGGGAAUGACUUUCAUUCUCUUUCUAUCUUCUGCCGUGGUCGGGCUUUGAGUCUUACUCAACUUCACACCUUGUAAUACAGGCAAGAACUCUUUCUUUGACUGCUCCAUUUUGAGCUACUUCAAAAUCUUGUCAAGGUAUGUACUUAUUGAAAAAACUUAUCAAGCGUCUUGAUCUAUCUCUAUAGAUCUUGAAGCUCAAUAUGUAAGCAGCUUCACCGAAGUCUUUCUUUGAAAAACUCCUUUCAAACACUCCUUUAUGCUUUACAGAAUAAUUCUACAUUAUUUCCGAUCAACAAUAUGUCAAUCACAUAUACUUAUCAGAAAUGCUGUAGUGUCCCACUCACUUUCUUGUAAAUACAGGCUUCACCGCAAGUCUGUAUAAAACUAUAUGCUUUGAUCAACUCAUCAAAGCGUAUAUUCCAACUCCGAGAUGCUUGCACCAGUCCACAGAUGGAUCGCUGGAGCUUGCACAUUUUGUUAGCACCUUUCGGAUUGACAAAACCUUCUGUUGCAUCAUAUACAACUCUUCUUUAAUAAAUCCAUUAAGGAAUGCAGUUUUGUUUAUCCAUUUGCCAGAUUUCAUAAAAUGCGGCAAUUACUAACAUGAUUCGGACAGACUCAAGCAUAGAUACGAGUGAGAAGCUCUCAUCGUAGUCAACACCUUGAACUUGUCGAAAACCUUUUUGCGACAAUUCUAGCUUUGUAGAUAGUAACACUACUAUCAGCGUCCGUCUUCCUCUUGAAGAUCCAUUUAUUCUCAAUUGCUUGCCGAUCAUUGGGCAAGUCAACCAAAGUCCAAACUUUGUUCUCAUACAUGGAUCAUAUCUCAGAUUUCAUGGCCUCAAACCAUUUCGCGGAAUCUGGGCUCAUCAUUGCUUCCUCAUAGUUCGUAGGUUCAUCAUGAUCUAGUAGCAUGACUUCCAGGAUUGGAUUACCGUACCACACUGGUGCGGAUCUCACUCUGGUUGAUCUACGUGGUUCAGUAGUAUCUUGUCCUGAAGUUUCAUGAUCAUCAUCAUUAGCUUCCUCACUAAUUGGUAUAGGUGUCGCAGAAACAGUUUUCUGUGAUGUACUAUUUUCCAAUAAGGGAGCAGGUACAGUUACCUCGUCAAGUUCUACUUUCCUCCCACUCACUUCUUUUGAGAGAAACUCCUUCUCUAGAAAGGAUCCAUUAUAAGCAACGAAUGUCUUGCCUUAGGAUCUGUGAUAGAAGGUGUACCCAACAGUCUCCUUUGGGUAUCCUAUGAAGACAUAUUUCUCCGAUUUGGGUUUGAGCUUAUCAGGAUGAAACUUUUUCUCAUAAGCAUCGCAACCCCAAACUUCAAGAAACGACAACUUUGGUUUCUUGCCUAACCAUAGUUCAUACGGUGUCGUCUCAACGGAUUUAGAUGGUGCCCUAUUUAACGUGAAUGCAGCUUUCUCUAAUGCAUGAUCCCAAAACGAUAUUGGUAAAUCGGUAAGAAACAUCAUAGAUUGUACUAUAUCCAAUAAAGUACGGUUAUGACGUUCGGACACACCAUUAUGCUGUGGUGUUCCAGGUGGCGUGAGUAGUGAAACUAUUUCACAUUGUUUUAACUGAAGACCAAACUCGUAACUCAAAUACUCUUUUCCACGAUCAGAUCGUAGAAACUUUAUUUUCUUGUUACGAUGAUUUUCCACUUCACUCUGAAAUUAUAUGAACUUUUCAAAUGUAUCAGACUUCUAUUUCAUUAAGUAGAUAUACCCAUAUCUGCUCAAAUCAUCUGUGAAGGUUUAGAAAAUAAUGAUACCCGCUGCAAGCCUUAAAUAUUCAUCGGACCACAUACAUUUGUAUGUAUGAUUUCCAACAAAUCUGUUGCUUGCUCCAUUGUUCCGGAGAACGGCGUUUUAGUCAUCUUGCCCAAAAGGCAUGGUUCGCAAGCAUCAAGUGAUUCCGAAAGCCCAUCAGCAUGGAGUUUCUUCAUGUGCUUUAUACCAAUAUGACCUAAACGGCAGUGCCACAAAUAAGUUGCACUAUCAUUAUUAACUUUGCAUCUUUUGGUUUCAAUAUUAUGAAUAUGUGUAUCACUACGAUCGAGAUCCAACGAACUUGUUUCAUUGGGUGUAUGACCAUCGAAGGUUUUAUUCAUGUAAACAGAACAACAAUUAUUCUCUGACUUUAAUGAAUAACCGUAUUGCAAUAAACAUGAUCAAAUCAUAUUCAUGCUCAACCAAAUAACACUUAUUUAAGUUCAACACUAAUCCCGAAAGUAUAGGGGAGUGUGUGAUGAUGAUCAUAUCAAUCUUGGAACUACUUCCAACACACAUCGUCACUUCACCCUUAACUAGUCUUUGUUUAUUCUGCAACUCCUGUUUCGAGUUACUACUCUUAGCAACUGAACCAAUAUCAAAUACUGAGGGGUUGCUAUAAACACUAGUAAAGCACACAUCAAUAACAUGUAUAUCAAAUAUACUUUUGUUCACUUUGCCAUCCUUCUUAUCCGCCAAAUACUUGGGGCAGUUCCGCUUCCAGUGACCAGUCCCUUUGCAGUAGAAGCACUUAGUCUCAGGCUUAGGACCAAACUUCGGCUUCUUCACUUGAGCAGCAACUUGCUUGCCGUUCUUCUUGAAGUUCCCCUUCUUCCCUUUGCCCUUUUCUUGAAACUAGUGAUCCUGUCAACCAUCAACACUUGAUGUUUUUCUUGAUUUCGACCUUCGUUGAUUUCAGCAUCACGAAGAGCUUGGGAGUUGUUUCCGUUAUCCCUUGCAUAUUAUAGUUCAUCACGAAGUUCUACUAACUUGGUGAUGGUGACUAGAGAAUUUUGUCAAUCACUAUCUUAUCUGGAAGAUUAACUCCCACUUGAUUCAAGCGAUUGUAGUACUCAGAUAAUCUGGGCACAUGCUCACUAGUUGAGCGAUUCUCCCCCAUCUUUCAGCUAUAGAACUUGUUGGAGACUUCAUAUCUCUCAACUCGGGUAUUUACUUGAAAUAUUAACUUCAGCUUCUGGAACAUCUCAUAUGGUCCAUGACGCUCAGAACGUCUUUGAAGUCCCGAUUCUAAGCCAUUAAGCAUGGUGCACUAAACUAUCAAGUAGUCAUCAUAUUGGGCUAGCCAAACGUUCAUAACGUCGGCAUCUGCUCCUGCAAUAGGUCUGUCACCUAGCGGUGCAUCAAGGACAUAAUUCCUCUAUGCAGCAAUGAGGAUAAAACUCAGAUCACGGAUCCAAUCCGCAUCAUUGCUACUAACAUCUUUCAACACAAUUUUCUCUAGGGACAUGUCAAAAUAAACACAGGGAAGCAACAACGCGAGCUAUUGAUCUACAACAUAAUUUGCAAAAUACUACCAGGACUAAGUUCAUGAUAAAUUUAAGUUCAAUUAAUCAUAUUACUUAAGAACUCCCACUUAGAUAGAUAUCCCUCUAAUCCUCUAAGUGAUCACGUGAUCCAAAUCAACUAAACCAUAACCGAUCAUCACGUGAGAUGGAGUAGUUUUCAAUGGUGAACAUCGUCAUGUUGAUCAUAUCUACUAUAUGAUUCACGCUCGACCUUUCGGUCUCUGUGUUCCGAGGCCAUAUCUGCAUAUGCUAGGCUCGUCAAGUUUAACCUGAGUAUUCUGCGUGUGCAAAACUGGCUUGCACCCGUUGUAGAUGGACGUAGAGCUUAUCACACCCGAUCAUCACGUGGUGUCUGGGCACGACGAACUUUGGCAACGGUGCAUACUCAGGGAGAACACUUCUUGAUAAUUCAGUGAGAGAUCAUCUUAUAAUGCUACCGUCAAUCAAAGCAAGAUAAGAUGCAUAAAAAGAUAAACAUCAUAUGUAAUCAAAAUAUGUGACAUGAUAUGGCCAUCAUCAUCUUGCUUCUUUGAUCUCCAUCUCCAAAGUACUGUCAUGAUCUAUAUCGUCACCGGCAUGACACCAUGAUCUCCAUCAUCUUGAUCUAUAUCAAUGUGUCGUCGUGUGGUCGUCUCACCAACAAUUGCUCUUGCAACUAUUGCUAUCGCAUAGCGAUAAAGUAAAGCAAUUACUGGACGCUUGCAUCUCAUGAAAUAGAGAGACAACCAUAAGGAUUUUGUCAGUUGCUGAUAACUUCAACAAAACAUGAUCAUCUUAUACAACAACUUAUAACUCAUCACGUUUUGACCAUAUCACAUCACAACAUGCCCUGCAAAAACAAGUUAGACGUCCUCUACUUUGUUGUUGCAAAUUUUACGUGGCUGCUACGGGCUUAGCAAGAACCAAUCUUACCUACGCAUCAAAACCACAACGAUAGUUUGUCAAAUAGACUCCGUUUUAACCUUCGCAAGGACCGGGCGUAGCCACACUCGGUUCAACUAAAGUUGGAGAAACAGUCACCCGCAAGUCACCUAUGUGCAAAGCACGUCGGGGAAACCGGUCUCGCGUAAGCGUACGCGUAAUGUCGGUCCGGGCCGCUUCAUCCAACAAUACCGCGGAACCAAAGUAUGACAUGCUGGUAGGCAGUAUGACUUAUAUCGCCCACAACUCACUUGUGUUCUACUCGUGCAUAUAACAUCAAACCAUAAAACCUAGGCUCGGAUGCCACUGUUGGGGAACGUAGUAAUUUCAAAAAUUUCCUACGCACACGCAAGAUCAUGGUGAUGCAUAGCAACGAGGGGGAGAGUCUGAUCUACGUACCCUUGUAGAUCGCAACGGAAGCGUUGACACAACGUAGAGGAAGUAGUCGUACGUCUUCUUCCUGAUCCGACCGAUCCAAGCACCGUUACUCCGGCACCUCCGAGUUCUUAGCACACGUUCAGCUCGAUGACGAUCCUCGGGCUCCGAUCCAGCAAAGCGUCGAGGAAGAGUUCCGUCAGCAUGACGGCGUGGUGACGAUCUUGAUGUACUACCGAUGUAGGGCUUCGCCUAAGCACUACAACGGUAUGAUCGAGGUGGAAUUUGGUGGCAGGGGGCACCGCACACGGCUAAGGAACGAUCUCAAGGAUCAACUUGUGUGUCUAUGGGGUGCCCCCUGCCCCUGUAUAUAAAGGAUGGAGGAGGAGGAGGCCGGCCAAGGCAAAGGUGCGGCCAGGAUAGGGAGUCCUACUAGGACUCCAAGUCCUAGUAGGAGUCCACCAAAAGGGGAGGAAGGGAGAAGGAAUAGGAGGAGAAGGAGAGGUGGCCGGCCCCCUUUUCCCUAGUCCAAUUCGGACCAAAGGGGAGGGGGGCGCAGCAGCCUUUUCCUCUUCCCACUAAAGCCCAUCAAGGCCCAUUACUUCUCCCGUAACUACCCGGUACUCCGAAAAAUACCCGAAUCACUCCGAACCUUUCCGAUGUCCAAAUAUAGUCGUUCAAUAUAUCGAUCUUUACGUCUCGACCAUUUCAAGACUCCUCGUCAUGUCCCCGAUCUCAUCCGGGACUCCGAACUCCUUCGGUACAUCAAUACUCAUAAACUCAUAAUUUAACUGUCAUGGAAACCUUAAGCGUGCGGACCCUACGGUUCGAGAACAAUGUAGACAUGACCGAGACACGUCUCCGGUCAAUAACCAAUAGCGGGACCUGGAUGCCCAUAUUGGCUCCUACAUAUUCUACGAAGAUCUUUAUCGGUCAGACCGCAUAACAACAUACGUUGUUCCCUUUGUCAUCGGUAUGUUACUUGCCCGAGAUUCGAUCGUUGGUAUCCAAUACCUAGUUCAAUCUCGUUACCGGCAAGUCUCUUUACUCGUUCUAUAAUACAUCAUCCCACAACUAACUCAUUAGUUGCAAUGCUUGCAAGGCUUAAGUGAUGUGCAUUACCGAGAGGGCCCAGAGAUACCUCUCCGACAAUCGGAGUGACAAAUCCUAAUCUCGAAAUACGCCAACCCAACAUCUUCCUUUGGAGACACCUGUAAUGCUCCUUUAUAAUCACCCAGUUACGUUGUGACGUUUGGUAGCACCCAAAGUGUUCCUCCGGCAAACGGGAGUUGCAUAAUCUCAUAGUCAUAGGAACAUGUAUAAGUCAUGAAGAAAGCAAUAGCAACAUACUAAACGAUCGGGUGCUAAGCUAAUGGAAUGGGUCAUGUCAAUCAGAUCAUUCAACUAAUGAUGUGACCUCGUUAAUCAAAUAACAACUCUUUUGUCCAUGGUUAGGAAACAUAACCAUCUUUGAUUAAUGAGCUAGUCAAGUAGAGGCAUACUAGUGACACUUUGUUUGUCUAUGUAUUCACACAUGUAUUAUGUUUCCCGUUAAUACAAUUCUAGCAUGAAUAAUAAACAUUUAUCUUGUGCUUGUGAUCUCCAUCUCCGAAGCACCUUCAUGAUCACCAUCGUCACCGGCGCGACACCUUGAUCUCCAUCGUAGCAUCGUUGUCGUCUCGCCAAUCUUAUGCUUCCACGACUAUCGCUACCGCUUAGUGAUAAAGUAAAGCAUUACAACGCGAUUGCAUUGCAUACAAUAAAGCGACAACCAUAUGGCUCCUGCCAGUUGCCGAUAACUUGGUUACAAAACAUGAUCAUCUCAUACAAUAAAAUUUAGCAUCAUGUCUUGACCAUAUCACAUCACAACAUGCCCUGCAAAAACAAGUUAGACGUCCUCUACUUUGUUGUUGCAUGUUUUACGUGGCUGCUACAGGCUUAAGCAAGAACCAAUCUUACCUAUGCAUCAAAACCACAACGAUAGUUUGUCAAGUUGAUGCCGUUUUAACCUUCGCAAGGACCGGGCGUAGCCACACUCGGUUCAACUAAAGUUGGAGAAACAGUCACCCGCAAGCCACCUUUGUGCAAAGCACGUCGGGAGAACCGGUCUCGCGUAAGCGUACGCGUAAUGUCGGUCUGGGCCGCUUCAUCCAACAAUACCGCCGAACCAAAGUAUGACAUGCUGGUAGGCAGUAUGACUUAUAUCGCCCACAACUCACUUGUGUUCUACUCAUGCAUAUAACAUCAAACCAUAAAACCUAGGCUCUGAUACCACUGUUGGGGAACGUAGCAAUUUCAAAAAAUUUCUACGCACACGCAAGAUCAUGGUGAUGCAUAGCAACAAGAGGGGAGAGUGUUGUCUAGAAGCGUUGACACAACGUAGAGGAAGUAGUCGUACGUCUUCCCGAUCCGACCGAUCCAAGCACCGUUACUCCGGCACCUCCGAGUUCUUAGCACACGUACAACUCGAUGACGCUCCCCGGGCUCCGAUCUAGCAAAGCUUCGGGGAUGAGUUCCGUCAGCACAACGGCGUGGUGACGAUGAUGAUGUUCUACCGACGCAGGGCUUCGCCUAAGCACUACAACGAUAUGACCGAGGUGGAAUAUGGUGGAAGGGGGCACCGCACACGGCUAAGGAACGAUCACGUUGAUCAAUUGUGUGUUCUAGGGUGCCCCCUUGCCUCCGUAUAUAAAGGAUCCAAGGGAGAGGGGUUCGGCCGGCCCUAUGGAGGCGCAGGAGGAGUCCUACUCCUAUCGGGAGUAGGACUCCCCCCCUUUUCCUUGUCCAAGUAGGAUUGGUGGAGAAGAAUGGGAAAGAGGGGGGCGCCGCCCCUCCCUCCUUGUCCAAUUCGGACUAGGGGGAGAGGGGGCGUGCGGCCUGCCCUGGCAGCCCCUUCCUCUUCUCCACUUUAGGCCCAUGAGGCCCAUUAACCCCCCGGGGGGUUCCGGUAACCCCCCGGUGCUCCGAUUUUAUCCGAAACUUCAUCGGAACCCUUCCGGUGUCCGAAUAUAGUCAUCCAAUAUAUCAAUCUUUAUGUCUUGACAAUUUUGAGACUCCUCGUCAUGUCCGUGAUCACAUCCGGGACUCCGAACUAACUUCGGUACAUCAAAAUGUAUAAACUUAUAAUAACUGCCAUCGUAACGUUAAGCGUGCGGACCCUACGGUUCGAGAACAAUGUAGACAUGGCCGAGACACGUCUCCGGUCAAUAACCAAUAGCGGGACCUGGAUGCCCAUAUUGGCUCCUACAUAUUCUACGAAGAUCUUUAUCGGUCAGACCGCAUAACAACAUACGUUGUUCCCUUUGUCAUCGGUAUGUUACUUGCCCGAGAUUCGAUCGUCCGUAUCCAAUACCUAGUUCAAUCUCGUUACCAGCAAGUCUCUUUACUCGUUCCGUAAUACAUCAUCUCGCAACUAACUCAUUAGUUGUAAUGCUUGCAAGGCUUAUGUGAUGUGCAUUACCGAGAGGGCCCAGAGAUACCUCUCCGACAAUCGGAGUGACAAAUCCUAAUCUCGAAAUACGCCAACCCAACAUCUACCUUUGGAUACAUCUUUAGAGCACCUUUAUAAUCACCCAGUUAUGUUGUGACGUUUGGUAGCACACAAAGUGUUCCUCCGGCAAACGGGAGUUGCAUAAUCUCAUAGUCAUAGGAACAUGUAUAAGUCAUGAAGAAAGCAAUAGCAACAUACUAAACGAUCGGGUGCUAAGCUAAUGGAAUGGGUCAUGUCAAUCAGAUCAUUCAACUAAUGAUGUGAUCUCGUUAAUCAAAUAACAACUCUUUGUUCAUGGUUAGGAAACAUAACCAUCUUUGAUUAACGAGCUAGUCAAGUAGAGGCAUACUAGUGACACUUUGUUUGUCUAUGCAUUCACACAUGUAUUAUGUUUCCGGUUAAUACUAUUAUAGCAUGAAUAAUAAACAUUUAUCAUGACAUAAGGAAAUAAAUAAUAACUUUGUUAUUGCCUCUAGGGCAUAUUUCCUUCACUUAGGGCCUUGGAUGAGAACUGGCAUCAUAAUGAACUUCCGCUUCAUGCACAUCCAAGGAGGAAGGUUAUACAUACAUAGAGUCACGGGCCAGGUGCUGUGAUUGCUGCUCUGCUCCCCUAUAGGAUUAAUGCCAUCCAUGCUUAAAGCAAACCAUACAUUCCAUGGGUCGUUUGCAAACUCAUCCCAGUACUUUCUCUCGAUUUUUCUCCACUGCGACCCGUCAGCGGGUGCUCUCAAUUUUCCGUCUUUCUUCCGGUCCUCACUGUGCCAUCGCAUCAACUUGGCAUGCUCUUCGUUUUUGAAUAGACGUUUCAACCGUGGUAUUAUAGGAGCAUACCACAUCACCUUCGCAGGAACCCUCUUCUUGGGGGGCUCACCGUCAACGUCACCAGGGUCAUCUCGUCUGAUCUUAUACCGCAAUGCACCGCAUACCGGGCAUGCAUUCAGAUCCUUGUAUGCACCGCGGUAGAGGAUGCAGUCAUUAGGGCAUGCAUGUAUCUUCUCCACCUCCAAUCCUAGAGGGCAUACGACUUUCUUUGCUGCGUAUGUACUGUCGGGCAAUUCGUUAUCCUUUGGAAGAUUCUUCUUCAAUAUUUUCAGUAGCUUCUCAAAUCCUUUGUCAGCCACAGCAUUCUCUGCCUUCCACUGCAGCAAUUCCAGUACGGUACCGAGCUUUGUGUUGCCAUCUUCGCAAUUGGGCUACAACCCUUUUUUGUGAUCCUCUAACAUGCGAUCGAACUUCAGCUUCUCCUUUUGACUUUCGCAUUGCGUCCUUGCAUCGACAAUGACCCGGCGGAGAUCAUCAUCAUCGGGCAGAUCGUCUGGUUCCUCUUGAUCUUCAGCAGCUUCACCCGUUGCAGCAUCAUUGGGCACAUCGUCUGUUUCCUCUUGAUCUUCACCAGCUCCCUCCAUUGCAGCAUAACCGUAUUCAGGGGGCACAUAGUUGUCAUCGUACUCUUCUUCUUUGCCAUCUUCCAUCAUAACACCUAUUUCUCCGUGCCUCGUCCAAACAUUAUAGUGUGGCAUGAAACCCUUGUAAAGAAGGAGGGGGUGAAGGAUUUUCCGGUUAGAGUAAUACCUCGUAUUCCCACAUUCAGUGCAUGGACAACACAUAAAACCAUUCUGCUUCUUUGCCUCAGCCGCACCGAGAAACUCAUGCACGCCCUUAAUGUACCCGGAGGUGUGUCUGUCACCGUACAUCCAUUGCCAGUUCAUCUACGUGCAUUAUAUAUAAUUAAGUGUCCAAAUUAAUAGAAGUUCAUCAUCACAUUAAAACCAAAGUACAUACAUAGUUCUCAUCUAACAACAUAUAGCUCUCCAGAGCAUCUAAUUAAUUAAACCAUACAUUGAAACUAUGUAAAACAUUUCAAUGCGAAAACAAAUGCGAUCAUAAUUGCAACCAAGGUAACAAUUGAUCCAACGGCAUAAUGAUACCAAGCCUCGGUAUGAACGACAUAUUUUCUAAUCUUUCUAAUCUUCAAGCGCAUUGCAUCCAUCUUGAUCCUGUGAUCAUAGACGACAUCCGCAACAUGCAACUCCAAUAUCAUCUUCUCCUCCUCAAUUUUUUUAUUUUUUCCUCCAACAAAUAGUUUUCUUCUUCAACUAAAUUUAGCCUCUCGGCAAUAGGGUCGGUUGGCAUUUCCGAUUCACAUACAUCCUACAUAAAUAAAAUCUAUGUCACGUUGAUCGGCAUAAUUUUCAUAAACAAUAAAUGAACCAAUAGUUAUAAAGAUAAUAUAUAUACCACAUUCGAAUCAUAGACAGGACGAGGGCGACGGGGGCGGAUACCAAAACCAUCGCACUAUAUAAGAUGCAAUAAUAAAAGUAAGAAAAUAAUACAAGUAUCUAUGUAAACAUACAAGUAAGAAUAUUUUUCCUUUCAGAAAGAAGAUAAGAACAAGAGGCUCACCAUGGUGGUGCCGGCAAGGCCCACCUUGGUCCAUGCGGGGAUGCACAAAAUAAGCUAUGUGCGGCCCAUGCGGGGAAUUUUGGUUACGCAUGGCCCAUACAUAUGGUGAUCCAGCCGUACGUGACCAAAUAGGAUGGACGGACAAACGAAAACGGACAAAAAUUAGGGACCAACCAAUUAGUACCACCUCGCGUAUAUGUUUUAUAUUUAAACUGAAAGCGUAAAUUUUCAUGAAAAGAAAUGUACUGUGACGGUGAACCCGACAAAGUCAAUCCGUGCUUUAUUAUUAGGGAAAGAUAUACUAAUUGGAGGCACCUUUGGAGCGUCUACGUUAAUCCACGUCAUUAAGAUUAAUAUAGCCGUUUGAUAUUAAAUUUAAUGGUUAAGAUAUGCUAGAAGACUAUGCCUUAUUAUAGAAGAAAACAACAUGUACGUAGGGAUGAAAUCCACGCAUACAAAAAAAAACUCAUGUAAAGAAAAAUCAAUUCUCACCACAUAGAUGAAACUCAUUAAACUUGCACAUGCAAAAAAAGUCCUAAGCUCCCACGUCCAUGAAAGAUUAGACAUGCACAUAAAAAAAGAGUCCUAAAUGCCCACGCCCAGGUUCCAAGAAAAAGUACGUGCCUACUCCUUGCAAAAAGAGGACGCGUGGCAAAACUAAAAAAUAUGAAUAUAAUCAUCUCAAUCUCUUUCUAAUAAUAAAAUAUGAAUUGAUUUUGUCAGGUUCGUCGUCACAAUACACUUUUUCCUGUAAAUUUACGCUUUCACUUUGAAUUUAAAACAUAUAGGUGAGGUGGUACUAAAAAACUGUUCAUUGGUCGCGUACGUCAAUUAGUAUAAGUCGCUUUUUUUAGUCCCUCCGGCUCGCUAGACUGGGCCGUGUUGAUCAUUCCCGUGAUGACUGAACUGGGCCUGGUCAAAAAGAAAAAAAACGAUGCAAAAAAUAAUUCCCCAUGAGCUUCGAACCAAGACGAAGGCCCUCAGUCACAAAGGAGAACGCCAACUAGAUUGCUCUAUUUUGUUCUGCCAAAUUGUGUCCCUGUAGAUAUAAUAGUCCCACAUCGCUUCUUUGCACUGUAUCUUAUCGAUUUUUAUACAUCGGCGGACUUGUCCUAGCAGAAGUUAAUUGGAAGAGGAAGCAAGGAAUAAAGAACGAACGCAGGAGGAAUUUGGCCAGAAGAAACAAGGUCGGGGAGCGUGAGGUUUAUGGUGAAUAUUCAGAGAACGGCAGCUGCAUUGUUCGAAUUUAGUCUAUCUUUGGACAUGUCUUUUCCGGGGAUUCGACACCAUGUUUUGUGCGCGAAUGGUUUUAUUAGGGUUUUUGACUGUUCCAAGUUAGAAGAGGCCAGAGUUUUCUCUGGUUCUUCAGUGGCCUGAAGCAACCAUGCUUACGCUUUUUUUUUUCAACCAUUCAUUGCCCAUUUUCAUUAAUUUCUUAAAGAAAAUACAUCAACCGUCCUUGCAGAAAGAACGAGGCAGCUUCACAGCUGGAAAUCAAGAGUGCGGUGUCCAGUUUUACGGGGAAAAGAAUUCUAUGAGACCAGGUCUCACGCGAGACCCAUCCUAAUGAAUGCCACGUGCUAUCCAUCAGAACGGGUCUCACCUGCUAACCGUGAGACUUGGUCUCAUAUAUUUUUUUUCCGUUUUACGGGGAAGCAUCAUCAGAAAUCUAGCAAAUCAUUCGCAUUAUUCUCUCACAUACAGUACAGAUCCUUCGGAUCGCCACAUCACAGCUGGACUUCAUUGCUUUGGGUGUCUAAUUAAGGGCUUGUUCGGUUAAUCCUCUCGCGAAGAGGAUUGGAGGGGAUUGGCAAGGAUUGGUUCGUAUUUUGACUUCUAAGAGGUUUAAGUCCUCCUCAAACCCCUUCAAUCCAUUCGGAUUCACACGCAACCAAACAAGGCCUAAACGGGAUCCGCAUCUGAACUAUUAAGCAGCAAAUGAUAGUGUGCGUGAAACAGGUAGGCAAUGUCAAUGAGGACAAACUGUGAUGAUAUCGUUUGAAAACUCAGCUGUCGUCCGUAGUGUUUGGCAUGUGACAGAUAGAUCCUGUUGAUUGUCUAACGAAAGCCAACGGUGAUGUCAAACUAGACUAUUUUAACAUAGUCGGUAAGACAAAAAUGGGAAACAUAUGUAUAUAUGACUACCGAGAACACGACAUCCAUUGUAUCUCGAUUAAGCAUCUUCAAAUAUUAUUCCUGUCGUGAUAUUGACAACAUUAUUAGUUUGUACUUGAAUGAAUAGUCAAGGAACUUUUGAGUGUUCCAAGUUAAACAUCCAAAUUUGUGUCGCAUUUCAGUAUGGGAGGCGCGUAUGACUCUCAAGUUUUUCCGAAUUUGAGUAAUACGGGUCAACUAUUUGCAAAAAUAAAAUAAAAACAUGUUAUCUAGCAUAUGUUUUUACCGUGUUAACACAUUCACAAUUAUUCCAUUUUGAAAAAAGGUACCUAGGUGGUAAAUGAACUACAAACCUUGCUCGACAUAUAUCGAGAAAUAUGUAUUGACAUACACAACAGAGAAAAUAAAUCAAAAUACAUUGCGCAGAACAUUGACAAUAAAUUAGUUGGUGAAAUUAGACAAUUUAGUUGGUGAACUUAGAAAAUUGUUACAUAAGGCUCCAACUUAAUUUCUCAGCAGUUGGAUCAGUUUUUUUUUUUGAGGACCAUGGAAAUACUGAAACCAUGGUUGAUACAAACUCCCCUCUCACACCUAAACUUUGAGCUAGAUAUUUCCUUUUAGUGAGUUUAGCUACUAAUUUUAAAGGGGUUCGCUAAAUCUCAGUCAAUUGAGAUUUAAUGUAGUCUCAAUCACCUUUCCAAGCCGUUGAAUACAUGCACACUAAGAUUAUGUGCUAGGAAACUUUUCUUUGUUAUUGUGAGGUGGAACGGAAAGAGAUGUGUGUGUGCCUUUCUGGACUAUUCGAAGUGUGCGUGUUUUUCCGAGGAAAGAGCCUACAAUCUACACGAGAAGCUUGUGUUUGGGCCAAGUCCAAACAUAAUAUAAUUUGUCAAACCAAACAACCAACAUUUUCUAAAACCGAAAUCAACAUAGCAAAAACAUGUUUGCUUUCGAAUAUUAAUAAAUAACUGUAUAUAAAUAAUCCCACUUCAAUGCACCACUCCUCUCACACCCGGUGAUAGUGUGAUGUUCGUUGAGGCAACAUCGAAGGACAUGAAUGUAGUUUCAUUAAUCUUUUUCCGAAUUGUGUACACCAAAAAUUGUAUCAUCAUUAACGACGGUGGCAAAAAUGAAAAGUGGCAACAUGAACGAGUCACUGAAAACAUGCGAAGACUUUCUCCUUCCGGUGCAAUGCACGACACAUUAAAUGAUGCAUACAAAGGUUAAAGGGAACCUUCUUUUGAGAAACAAAGACAAACACAGACUCACAAACACGUACAUACAUGAACACCUAGAGAGACUGAGCUGACAAGUCUUGAGAUUGAUGAACACACCACAAGUGUCUCGCUUCGACGCGAACGUCACCAUGCACUGAAAAAAUAUUUCACCUUUGUGAAACAUGAAAUUAAGCGUCAAAGUUAGGUUUUAAUUCUUGCUCUAUUGGGUAUCACCGCCCUGCAAACCAUCCAAUCAGAGAUUGGUUCUCAGGGUUAAAGCGAAACUAACCAAUACAUUUAUUUGAUAUGAAAAAAUGAACCCUUCCAAACCAAGCAAACAACUAUCUCUAAGAAAUCCAACAUAGCAACAAUGCUUUGUAUUCAAAUGUUUUGGAAAUUCUAAAAAAAAACUUUUGGAUUAGUUUUUAAACUCUCGGUUAGUAUAGAACAUUCCAAUGUUUGUAUGUUGCACUAAAAAUAAAUGCACCACUCUUUCACCCGGUGGUAGUGCUAAGCUAAAGGAGUGCCAUCAAAGGACACCACUAUGACUAUCUUAACUCUACUCCAUGAUGCGGACACCAAUAAUCAUUUUUAUUUACCAACACGAAGGCGUUUUUUUAAGAUAGUGAGUGUUUCUAAAUGUUCUUGGUUUCAAAAAAUAUAUUCAUGUUUUAAAUAUGUUUAAACUUUUGAAGAAAUGCUGAAAAUUCCUAAAAAAUGGUUCCAAUUAAAAACCAGCUAUAAUUGUUCAAAAAAUCAUUAAAAAAAAUCAUGAAAUCGCUUGUUUAUAUAAUGUUCGACUUCAAAAAAUAUUCCAAUUCUAGUAAGAAAUUAAAAAAUAGUCGAUUUCUUAAAAAAUAAAGAAAUAUUUGUGUUGUCUUUCAAAAAGCAAAAUAUAUACCGAUUCACAUACUAUUCCAUGCACAACUAUUCUUCCAACAGAUGUGGGAAGUUAGGUUGGUUCUUCAUGUACACACUUCAAGCUCCGAACAAAAAUUAGAGUUUAACAUUAUUACUCUGGUUUAUCAGCCUUUGAUACAAGAAAUGGCACAUGAAGCGCACUUUUAUUUGCCCGUUGCAACGCACGGGCAUUUGUACUAGUAAAUAUCAAUUGAAGGAAUAUCAUUCUGCAAAGGCAGAUUCUUGAAUAGGAUUGUUUCACAACUGCAUCCAUCAAUUUUAAAGUUUACUAUCUAAUAUGAUGCUAGAUAGAUAAAGCCUCAAUUAAGUAUAACAUUGUGUUUGUUGGUUAAGUUAGGAGCACUUACUAAUGUACUAAAAGAGAAAUAUAUAUUAUAUAUGGUUUGAGUACCAUUGUAGUAGUGGUGCAUAUACAUACGCGCACCACCUACUAUAUAUCGAAAUAAUUCAUACUCGCUUUCUCCCUUAUAUAUAUAGUAGGUGGUGUCAAAUUCUUGCUAAUUUGACAUGAAGGCUUCAUUCAGACCAGUGAUGAUACUUUGCGCAACAUAAAUGGGAAAGUAGAGGCACUCUUCCAUAUAAUGAAGUUUAUAAUAUAUGUGUUUAUAUUGUACUAUAAUUGUUUGAAUAACUUACCAUAUGUUCAGAUGUAUGAUAUCUGUAAUUUAAGCGCUUGAAUUUUACAUAUAAAUAUAAUUUUAUUAAUAAAUAUGUACCCAUAUAAUAGCUAGGCCGUGUAGUUGCACGGGUAGAUGACUAGUGAUUACAAUCUUGUUUGUGAGCAAGUCAAGAUUAUCUAGUUUACACGUAACAACUUGUAGAACAUUACAAAAAUUAUGCUUGCUAAUAACUUCUAGAACACUACAACACUUGACAUGUAAAAGGAAUUUGAUGAGUCAUGGCCUACUAAAGCAAGUUACAUUACUACUCUUAUCUAUCUUAACAGACCACACAAGAUUACAAACUAAGUACCGUGACAGCCAUGCUUAUCUAAUUUAUGCGUAACAAUUUGCGGAAAAUUACAAAUUUAGUUUUAGAAAAAUAGGCAAUCUAGAUUAGUGUUUGAGCUGUAAUGUGAAUAAGAUGAGUCGUGCGUCUUGUCACACCUUUUUGGUGGUGGAAUGAUAGUGCAACAACAAGGAACUUUAAUGACCAGUCCAAGAAUACACUUGUAAGUAGUGCCACCAAACAGAACAUACCAAAUUAUGAUUUUGAGAAGAAUCCAAGCACUUUCCACACAAGCAAAUGCCAAUUGUGAAAGAGAUCAUUCCAUGGCAGCUAUAAAUAGCCCCAUAGCAUGACGCUCAUCCUUCCUCAUCCAUCAUUCUCAUAAGUAGAGUGCAUCAUUUAAGCCAAGCAAGCUGUGGUCAAUACAAAUCCACCAUGAAGACCUUUCUCAUCCUUUCCCUCCUUGCUAUCGUGGCAACCACCGCCACAACUGCAUUUAGAAUUCUAGUGCCACAAUUGCAGCCACAAAAUCCAUCUUAGCAACAACCACAAGAGCAAGUUCCAUUGGUACAACAACAGCAAUUUCUAGGGCAGCAACAACCAUUUCCACCACAACAACCAUAUCCACAGCCGCAACCAUUUCCAUCACAACAACCAUAUCUGCAGCUGCAACCAUUUCCGCAGCCGCAACCACCAUAUUCGCAGCCGCAACCAUUUCGACCACAAUAACCAUAUCUCCACAACCGCAACCACAGUAUUCGCAACCACAAUAACCAAUUUCGCAGCAGCAACAACAACAACAACAACAACAACAACAACAAAUCCUUCAACAAAUUUUGCAACAACAACUGAUUCCAUGCAUGGAUGUUGUAUUGCAGCAACACAACAUAGCGCAUGGAAGAUCACAAGUUUUGCAACAAAGUAGUUACCAGCUGUUGCAAGAAUUGUGUUUUCAGCACCUAUGACAGAUCCCUGAGCAGUCGCAGUGCCAAGCCAUCCACAAUGUUGUCCAUGCUAUUAUUCUGCAUCAACAACAAAAACAACAACAACAACAACAACAAAAACAACAACCAUCGAGCCAGGUCUCCUUCCAACAGCCCCAGCAACAAUAUCCAUCAGGCCAGGGCUCCUUCCGGCCAUCUCUGCAAAAUCCACAGGCCCAGGGCUCGGUCCAGCCUCAACAGCUGCCCAGUUCGAGGAAAUAAGGAACCUAGCGCUACAGACGCUACCUGCAAUGUGCAAUCUCUACAUCCCUCCAUAUUGCACCAUCGCGCCAUUUGGCAUCUUCGGUACUAACUGAGAAGAAAAUAACUCUAGUACUAGAUAUAUGAAACACCGUUUUCUUAGUCCAUGGUUUGGUCAUUGUAGCGGUGAAAAAAUAAAGUGACAUGCACUACCAUGUAAGAACUCGAACUAUACUAGUUCAAACUUGGGAAUAAAAGACAAACACAGGUCUUGUCUACAUAUUUAUGUUGCAUUUAUCUAAAGAUAACAAAAUGAGUCUAAAAUUUGAAUUAAAUUGAAGUAUUUUCUUGGACUUUCAAAUUGAGUAUUAUUAACGUAGUAAGGACUAUCCUCAUCCUUGGCCUGCCCCUAAUCAAUUAUUUCCAGAGAAGCAUUCAAUUCAUCAAUCAAUUACAUUGAUUUUUGUGGCUGGUACUUCUCCUCAACAUCAGUAUAUUCACCGUGGCUACUCCAAAUCGGCAAGAAUGAGGUACCGGUGCUCUGGAGCAGUGCCAACUAAUUGCUUCUCAUGUGAAGGGGUGCGGGCGCGGGAGAGGUAUUUCUGGUGGGCCAAGGGAGUAAGAAGCCACCGUGGGAGUGGUACAGACGCCCGUAAAGCCCCAUAGUUUCUUUUUGGUUUACAGGAAAAUGCACAUCCAUACCGGCCUGGGGAGUAUAGGACCGUAUUGGAUGGAAAACCAUGUCCGGAUGGUUGCGAGCGGUUUGAGGGUUAGCUUUUGUAACGCCCGGUUAGUUAUGCUAUAGCAAUUCCCUGCUAAUGAUGUCACGUCACCAAGAUUACUGUUGUUAUCCUCACAAUGAUUCAAUGCCAUUCUAAUUCAAAUUUAAAAUAAAGGCAAGCAUCAAAAGUUUUCAAACAUUAAAACUAAAAUCUUUGAGAGGUAACAAAUAAUGCAUAAGUAAUUAUGGUGGAGAAACCACACUUUAAUAAAAUGUUUAAAUACUCUAAAAUGAAAAAAACAGUGGCUUAAACUAUUAUUUAAAUGCUUUUAAAAUAGUAAAAAUGUUCUAACUAAAUUAAUUGGGUACCAACCUUUUGGUGGCAGUGGUAUAUUUAGUAGAACUAAUUUAGAUGCUAGUUAUAUGAUUUAGAAAAUUAGGGUCAAUUGAAAAAUAGGAUAAAACAGAGAAGGAAAGACAAAACAAAUAAAAGCAAAAGGGGGCAACCCCUCACUGGCCUUGGCCUAGCUGGCCACUGGGCUAGCUAGGUCGGCCCCGCCGCCUCCCUUAACCCCCUGUCGGUGUCGAAACCGGUGGAUGGUACCAUGAGUAGAUCUACCACGAGAUCGGAGAGGCUAAACCCUAGAGGCUAGCCUAUGAUAUGAUUGUAUGUGUCCUACGGACUAAAACCCUCCGGUUUAUAUAGACACCGGAGAGGGUUAGGGUUACACAAGGUCGGUUACAAAGGAGGAGAUAUCCAUAUCCGUAUUGCCUAGCUUGCCUGCCACGCCAAGUAGAGUCCCAUCCGGACACGGGACGAAGUCUUCAAUCUUGUAUCUUCAUAGUGCAACAGUCCGAAAAAGGAUAUAGUCCGGCUGUCCGGAGACCCCCUAAUCCAGGACUCCCUCAGUAGCCCCUGAACCAGGCUUCAAUGACGAUGAGUCUGGCGCGCAGUAUUGUCUUCGACAUUGCAAGGCGGGUUCCUCCUCCGAAUGCAUCACAGAAGAAUUUGAAUACGAGGAUAGUGUCCGACCCUGCAACAUAAGUUCCACAUAAUUCCAUACAGAGAAUAAUAUUUUCGCAAAUCUAAUUUGCUUACUUGUUUUGACAGUACGACAUUAUGUCAUGGCCCGGUGAUUAUUCGAACCGUUUCCUUUAACUAGCCCCGCACAUAACGCGAGGCAGUUUUUCGACAUGUCUUGUCAAAGCAGAGAUCGUGUCCCCUUAUUACUGGAUUCUCAUCAAUACGGGCGUGGGUAACCCAACCGCGCCAUCGAUUGCGGCACUUGGGGGAUGAGCUAUUUUUACCUGGCAAGUGGGGACGCUUAGUUUCGUCCGCCCAUAUAAAGGGAUAAGGAUUCACCUUUCUAUCCAUGCCUUCUUCCUCCUUUGCUCAUCCGUUUUUGCACACUCGAGCUCUAGCGCCCAAGUUCGCACUUCCCACCUCAACCUUCUCCAACCAUGUCCCGAGCGGGAGGCAGGUGGAUGGUAUCCUCCGUCACGGAUGGAGACAUCAAGAAGCUGAGGAGCGCCGGAUACCUGCCUGACGACAUCGCGCACCGGCUCCCAGAUGAGGGGCAGCUCACCCCCACCCCCAGGCCCCAUGAGAGGGUAGUGUUCCUCACCCAUUUCCUCCGCGGACUGGGAUUCCCUCUCCACCCAUUUGUCCCGGGGCUCAUGUUCUAUUACGACCUGGAUUUCCAUGAUCUGGCCCCGAACUUCAUCCUCAACAUCUCGGCGUUUAUCGUUGUGUGCGUGGCCUUCCUCCGCAUCAAGCCCCACUUCGGCUUAUGGUUGAAGACCUUUAAUGUCAAGCCGAAGGUUGUGGGCGACCGCCAGGCGGAGUGCGGAGGCGCCAUGGUGGGCAAGAUGCCCAACGUAACAUGGCUCGAGGGCUCUUUUGUGGAAACCAUAAAGGGGUGGCAAUCGGGUGGUUCUACAUCACCGAGCCGCGUGACCCUGCAUGGGCAGCGGCCCCCCGAGUUCUGAUCUGGCAUCCCCACGCGGCUCACCUCCUGGAAAGAGAAGGGCCUGUCCUGGGGUAGUUUGGAAGAGCUGACCAGACUCCAAACAUGUAUUCAAAACAUGGUGAACAAGAAGCUCAAACUCGUCAACGUGGUCCAGGUCAUGCUCCACCGCCGGAUCCUCCCGUGCCAAUAACGGGAGUUCAACUUGUGGGAGUACAACCCAGCGCAGCACCGAACUCUGAACAGGCUUUUCGACACAACUCACGAAGAUGCCUCGAGGGUGCUGUUCAAAAUCACCAAGGUCCCCCUCCCAUUACUGAGGAUCACGGAUUCAGCGUGAAGCGCCAAGCCAGUGCGGCAGGCUGCUUUACCUUUCACAGGCUACUUAUUUUUUAUAGAUUGACUCCAUGCGGGAUCUAAACUCCCGUACCUUUGACAGGACUGGCAGGAGAUGGCCGGACAGAUCGACUGUCCGGCUCCUAUGCCCGAAGGCCCAGCAGACGCUCUUCUAGCGAAGAUGCUGACUUCGGCUCCUUAUACGGUGCCGGAGAAGACCAAGAAGGACAAGGGAACCCGAAAGAGUUCCCGACGCCAGGCGUCGUCGGACUCACCGUCCGAUGACUCUGCGGCGCACUCCUCCCCCGAAGACGAGGAAGAGGAAGAAGACGCUCCCUCUCUGGCUGGGGGAGAUAAGAAAAGGAAGGCCGCCCCAACUGGGGGGGCGGAAGGGUCCAAGAAGGGAAGGAAUCUCCUUCCGGAUAGUUGCACCGCUGCCGACGAAGGCGAAGACGAGGGGUUGCCCAGGGCCAAGCCCCUGGGGAGAUCGUAAGUAUUCAGAUACCAGAGUAACUCAUAGCAUUCCUUUGUCGCACUGCUUUCCCUAACGUCAAACAUAAUUAUGCAGGUCGCCAUGAGCCAGUAUCGAUGUGUGACGCCCGGAUAAUCAUGCUACAGUAAUCCCACGCUAAUCAUGCCACGUCACCUCGGUUACUGUUGCUAAUCUAUCGUUAGGUCAAAGCUGGUCCAAAAUUCAAAUUCAAAGUUUGGUAAAUAAUAACAGUUUUCAAAAAUUAAAACAAAAAUGUUCGGUGAUUGCCGAAUAAUGCAUAGGUAAUUAUGGUGGAGAAACCACACUUUUAUAAAAUGUUUAAAUAAUCUAAAAUGAAUAAAACAGUAGAAAAACCAAAUCUAAAUGCUUUUAUAAAUAAAUAAAACACUAAACUAAAUUGUUUUGGGAUAAAGCCUUUUGUGGCAGUGGGUUUCGUGGUAUUACAAUUUUAGAGUUCAUUUUAAUACUAAGUAAGAAGUAUAAUUAAGAGAAACUAAAAUAAAGAACAGAAAAAAAAGAAUAAAUAAAAGGAAAAGAAAACACAAAACAGAAAAGAAAACUACCAAAAAAAUAUGGUAAAAGGAGACCCCCCCCACUGGACCCCUUGGCCCAACUGGGCCAUGGCCCAGCCGGCCACCCCCNNNNNNNNNNNNNNNNNNNNNNNNNNNNNNNNNNNNNNNNNNNNNNNNNNNNNNNNNNNNNNNNNNNNNNNNNNNNNNNNNNNNNNNNNNNNNNNNNNNNNNNNNNNNNNNNNNNNNNNNNNNNNNNNNNNNNNNNNNNNNNNNNNNNNNNNNNNNNNNNNNNNNNNNNNNNNNNNNNNNNNNNNNNNNNNNNNNNNNNNNNNNNNNNNNNNNNNNNNNNNNNNNNNNNNNNNNNNNNNNNNNNNNNNNNNNNNNNNNNNNNNNNNNNNNNNNNNNNNNNNNNNNNNNNNNNNNNNNNNNNNNNNNNNNNNNNNNNNNNNNNNNNNNNNNNNNNNNNNNNNNNNNNNNNNNNNNNNNNNNNNNNNNNNNNNNNNNNNNNNNNNNNNNNNNNNNNNNNNNNNNNNNNNNNNNNNNNNNNNNNNNNNNNNNNNNNNNNNNNNNNNNNNNNNNNNNNNNNNNNNNNNNNNNNNNNNNNNNNNNNNNNNNNNNNNNNNNNNNNNNNNNNNNNNNNNNNNNNNNNNNNNNNNNNNNNNNNNNNNNNNNNNNNNNNNNNNNNNNNNNNNNNNNNNNNNNNNNNNNNNNNNNNNNNNNNNNNNNNNNNNNNNNNNNNNNNNNNNNNNNNNNNNNNNNNNNNNNNNNNNNNNNNNNNNNNNNNNNNNNNNNNNNNNNNNNNNNNNNNNNNNNNNNNNNNNNNNNNNNNNNNNNNNNNNNNNNNNNNNNNNNNNNNNNNNNNNNNNNNNNNNNNNNNNNNNNNNNNNNNNNNNNNNNNNNNNNNNNNNNNNNNNNNNNNNNNNNNNNNNNNNNNNNNNNNNNNNNNNNNNNNNNNNNNNNNNNNNNNNNNNNNNNNNNNNNNNNNNNNNNNNNNNNNNNNNNNNNNNNNNNNNNNNNNNNNNNNNNNNNNNNNNNNNNNNNNNNNNNNNNNNNNNNNNNNNNNNNNNNNNNNNNNNNNNNNNNNNNNNNNNNNNNNNNNNNNGCCCCUCGGCGCCCGCUCGGCCCUCUCCUGGGUCGGGCGCCCGUAACGCCCAGCGCCCGUAACCCGCUAUGGCCCCCUGGGCAGUUGACAGAUGGGGCCCACGCCCCUGUCUUGUUAGAAAAAAAAACGAAAAGAAAAUGUAAUUAAAAAAAUGAAAAUAAGUAAUUAGUUAUUUAAUUAAUUAUGUAACUAAUUAAUUAAUUAAAUAAGUAAUUACUUAACUUAAUUAACUCCGUUUAGUACUUAAUUAACUUGAUUAGUUAAUUAAAAUUGUUAAUUAGUUGUUAGACUAUGACGAAUGGGACCCACACGUCAGUUUGACCCAGUCAACGCCCUGUUGACUGCUGACGUCAUGCUGACGUCAGCGUACACUAUUCUGGAUAAUGUUAAUUUAAUUAAUAAUUAAUAAAUUAGAAAAUGAUUUAAAAAUUUAAAAAUUAAUAUAAAUUAAACCGUAGCUCAGAUGAAAAAACUUUGUACAUGAAAGUUGCUCAGAACGACGAGACAAAUCUGGAUACACGGCCUGUUUGUUCGUCACGCAUCCCUAGCAUAGCAAACUCGCAACUUUCCCCUCCGGCUCCUCUGCCCGAAAACGCAAAACACCGGGGAUACUUUCCCGGAUGUCAUCCCCCUUCACCGGUAUCACCUAUUACCGCGUUAGGGCACCUCUAACGCCGUUACUUGUCAUGUCAUGCAUCACUAUGCAUAUGCUUGCUUAAAUAUUUAUUAUUUCUUCCCCCUCUUCUCUCGAUAGACACCGAGACCGACGCCGCUGCUACCCAGUACGACUACGCUGUUGACGACCCUCUUUCUUGCCAGAGCAACCAGGCAAGCGCCCCCCUUGAUCACCAGAUAUCGCCUACUCUCUUCUAUACUGCUUGCAUUAGAGUAGUGUAGCAUGUUACUGCUUUCCGUUAUUCCUAUCCUGAUGCAUAGCCUGUCCUUGCUACUACUGUUGUUACCAUUACCUGCUAUCCUACUGCUUAGUAUAGGAUGCUAGUGUUCCAUCAGUGGCCCUACACUCUUGUCCGUCUGCCAUGCUAUACUACUGGGCCGUGAUCACUUCGGGAGGUGAUCAUGGGCAUAUGCUAUAUACUUUACACAGUUACUUUACCUGUGGUACUGUUCGGAGAUGGGGGCUGAAGGGGCAGGUGGUUCCACCCAGGUAGUGGUGGGCCUGGGUUCCCGACGGCCCCCGACUGUUACUUUGUGGCGGAGCGACAGGGCAGGUUCAGACCACCUAGGAGAGAGGUGGGCCUGGCCCUGGUCGGCGUCCGCGGAUACUUAACACACUUAACGAGAUCUGGGUAUUUGAUCUGAGUCUGGCCAUUUGGUCUAUACGCACUAACCAUCUACGCGGGAGUAGUUAUGGGUAUCCCGACGUCGUGGUAUCAGCCGAAGCCUUCGUGACAUCAGCGACUAAGUGGCGCGUGCCGGAUUGGACCGUAAGCCUGCUCUUGUAUUAAGGGGGCUAGUUCUGCUUCCGGCCGCGUUCGCAACGUGCAGGUGUGCAAAGGGCGAUGGGCCCAGACCCCUGCGCCAUAGGAUUUAGACCAGCGUGCUGACCUCUCUGUUGGGCCUAGGUAGGGCUGCGACGUGUUGAUCUUCCGAGGCCGGGCAUGACCCAGAAAAGUGUGUCCGGCCAAAUGGGAUCGAGCGUGUUGGGGUAUGUGGUGCACCCCUGCAGGGAAGUUUAUCUAUUCGAAUAGCCGUGUCCCUCGGUAAAAGGACGACCCGGAGUUGUACUUUGACCUUAUGAUAACUAGAACCGGAUACUUAAUAAAACACACCCUUCCAAGUGCCAGAUACAACCGGUGAUCGCUCUCUCACAGGGCGACGAGGGGAGGAUCAUCGGUUAGGAUUAUGCUAUGCGAUGCUACUUGGAGGACUUCAGUCUACUCUCUUCUACAUGCUGCAAGACGGAGGUUACCAGAAGCGUAGUCUUCGAAAGGACUAGCUAUCCCCCUCUUAUUCCGGCAUUCUGCAGUUCAGUCCACAUAUGAUAGCCUUAUUCCAAUUGAUACCAAUGCAUACAUAUGUAGUGUAGCUCCUUGCUUGCGAGUACUUUGGAUGAGUACUCACGGUUGCUUUCUCCCUCUUUCCCCCCUAUCCCUUCUACCUGGUUGUCGCGACCAGAUGUUGGAGCUCAGGAGCCAGACGCCACCGUUGACGACGACUCCUACUACACCGGUGGUGCCUACUACUACGUGCUGUCCGCUGACGACGACCAGGAGUAGUUUAGGAGGAUCCCAGGCAAGAGGCCUGCGCCUCUUUCGAUCUAUAGCUCAGUUUGUGCUAGCCUUCUUAAGGCAAACUUGUUUAACUUAUGUCUGUACUCAGAUAUUGUUGCUUCCGCUGACUCGUCUAUGAUCGAGCUCUUGUAUUCGAGCCCUCGAGGUCCCUGGCUUGUAAUAUGAUGCUUGUAUGACUUAUUUUAUUUGUAGAGUUGUGUUGUGAUAUCUUUCUGUGAGUCCCUGAUCUUGAUCGUACACGUUUGCGUGUAUGAUUAGUGUACGGUCAAAUCGGGGGCGUCACACGAUGUAUCAUCGGACGGUUCCCUAGGCUCGUCGGACAUGGAUAGCGAUCCAGUCCCGACCCCCACCUCCCCUCAUCCUGCUGACGACGCCGAGGUGCUGUCUCAAGAGGCAUCGGGUCGAGGGGAGACAGUCCUGGAGGCACCUCAAGGCGACCUUCCGGACUCCGGGAGCCGAGGGGACGGGGCCCCUAAGAGCUUCGAGUUCGGCCCUCAGCCGAACACCGCGCUGGAACCUCCAGUGGUUCCGGGCUCGGUCAGGCGGCCUCCUUCUAAGAGGGGCAAGACACCUGUGCCGGUGACCUCUGUCUAUCCAGAGGCGCCGGACAAUCUGCUGGAAGCGCUUCGCAGCGCUUCCAUCGACGAGGAGCACCGCACUAUCAUGAGUGCGGCGAUCCAGAAAGUUUAGUCCGCCAAGAGCGGAUUGACUGAAGCCUGUGCCAGCCUUCUAACAGGCUUUGAGGUAAGUGUUUUAAAAUAUAGGAAAAAUACUACUGCAUAUAUAGUAGCCCCUGAUGCUUUGUUCGGUGUUCAGAAAGAAAAGCCGAACAGAGGAUCAAAUAAUAUCGCAGGACUCUAAUAUAAGUAUGUCAAUAUGCGUAUGCAAGCCUCACUGCUGGCAUCCGCCACACUGACUGCGGAGGUCGCCCUACUGAAGCAGGACCUCGAGAGGUCUAGGAGAGAGCUCGGCCUUGUCAAGAGGCAGCUCGAGGAGAACAAGGGUAAGUAAUACCUUGUCUUUAGAUAUGUAUAUAUAAAAGAAGAAGCGAUUGCAAAAUGACAGGAUCAUCGUACAUUCGCCAGGGGCCACGACCAAGGUGGCAACCCUCAAGCAAGCGCUAACCAAGGCCGAAGAUAACGCGGCCAAGGAGCGCACCGAGUGAGAGAAGCACGAGGCUCGGGUGGGCGAGGUGCAGCAAGAGCUCUAGGCUAUCAUGGUGAAGCACGAGGCAUUGGAGCUUGACUAAAAGACGCGAGAGUCUGAGCUUUCCGCGGCCCUCGAGAGCGCAAAAAGUGCCAAGGCCGAAGCCCAAAGGGGUCUCCAGGCGGGUAUGGCUUUCUAUAUGCAAAGCAAGCAUGUAAAAGUAAAUUACCGAUUACUUACUCGAAUCCGGAGCUCUCCAGGAGCAUUCGCAGAUUUUCCACGCAGCGUGUCCGAUGCCGCACAAUUUUACCAGGCCGAGGAUGGAAGCUCAAUGGAGAAGCUGUUCUGGUAUCAGUAUGCUGAGGCCGGACACCCGGUGCCAAUGAGCGACCAGCUGAAGCAGGUGGUCGAGCUACAUAAGGCGGCCGAUCAGGCCAUGAAGGGCUUUAUAGUCCGGCUGUGGCCUGGCGACGCCCUUCCGAACAGCUUCCUCGGCCUGGUGAGGCGGCUUGUGGAUGCCUGCCCGCGGCUGGAGGUCGUCAAGCGAUCUGUCUACAUUGAGGGUGCACGCCGGGCUUUCGCCCGUGUGAAAUUGCAGUGGGUCAAGCUAGACGCCGUGAAGCUGAUCAAGGAGGGGCCGCCGGAGGGCAAGGAGCACCGCCACCCCGAGAUGUACUACGAGGGUGUUCUGCUGGGUGCCCGUCUCAUAGCGGACGAGUGUUCAAAAGAUGUAAUAUUUGAGUGAGACUUGCUCGUUUUAUCCUGUAUUUAUGAAAACUUGUUUCAUAUGCACUAUGCAACGCUUGUUUGAAUUUAGAAUAUUACCUUCUGUUUGGCCGUUUAUCAAUCUGAGAGAUGGCUAGUCCUCAGCUUCUGCCCCCAUGCCACGAGUGCUGGGGUCUUCGGGAUAAACCUGAGCACUCUUGUUCCCAUAUUUGGGUCCUUGGAGGGAGGUGCUCAGCACAACGAACAAGGAAACCCGACUAAUAAUGCUUUAUCACUCUCACUUAGCGAUAGAAUUCUAUAAUUUUAAAUUUCGGCGAAGCCCCUGGUAUUCGGAAGGCCGAAUUCGGGGCGCGAUACACGCCUUUAAGCCGGACAGGGCCGGCCCCUCGCCCUAAGCGGCAUAAGUCUUUGGGGACUCGAUAACCUCGCCGAACAGCGAUCAGUCUCUCCCCUUAUCAUGACAGUCAGUUUUAGCUUUCUCUACUUAGGUGCCGAACCCAGCAAAACCGGGGCACAAUCGCAGUAGUUCUCCUAGCGCUACCUUAGCCGAUAGAGUGGAACGUAAGGUACCAAAACAUAGGAGCCGGGCAAACCCAACAUUUGACCAAAGACAUGAUUCGGAGCUGAUGCAUAUAAUGCUAUAAGUUUGGGGUGCCGCACUUGUGAAAGUGUUCGGACUUUUCACACCGUAUUGUGGGGUACGUAAGCCCCUGGUGUAUUGGCCGUACCAAAGUGUACGGUUGCAAGGCAUCAUUAAUGAACAUAUAUAUAUAUAUAUAUAUAUAUAUAUAACAAGAGUGCAAUAAUAGUCGUAAUGUCAUGCAUUGUUUAUUCAAAAAAUUACGUUAAAGUAGGGUGAUACAGAUAGUGUGAUAAGCAAAGAGUAGGACUAUGUCCCUUCCCAAGGCAAGCUAAGGAAUGAUAUUAAAUUGAAUAUUUCGCUCGUUACAGUAAUCCACCUAGGAAUUCCGUGGUGUGACGUAGCUAUCUGCCUCCUUGGUUGCUGCAUCGUGUGUUCGGCAAUAGUGCUGCCGGACAGUGUUUCCAGAGGUUAAUGUCCUGAAAAAAAGAGAAAAAUAACCAAACGGGAAGCCCCUAGUGCGGUUUAAGCCGCGUCUUGGGGCGUGCUGCAGUUGUGCCACCCUCCCCACCUGUGCCCAUGGUAUUUUUAAUGCGUAAUUAUGUACGCGUGGCAUGAGUUUCGUCGUUGGGCUGGGAUUGGGGUGGCCGCCUUAUUGCUACGCGAGCUCAGAUCGCGCAAGGCGGUCUAUUUGCCGAUUGCUCCGAGCGCGCUUGAAGGUGUCCGGGCUUUGAAGCGCCGGACUGGUUGAUUGCCUUGAGAGGCUGCUUUGCGCUUCUGCUGCGAGGGCCGCGGUGUGCUCCUCUGUUCGGAGAGAGCACUCUGUGUUUCCAUUGACUGUAAUAACUCCGCGAGGUCCUGACAUCUUGAGCUUGAGGUAUGCAUAGUGCGGUACCGCAUUGAAUCUAGCAAAUGCGGUUCGCUCGAGCAGCGCGUGGUAACCACUGCGGAAUGGGACUAUAUCGAAGAUUAGCUCUUCGCUUCGGAAGUUAUCCGGGGAUCCGAAGACCACUUCCAGUGUAAUUGAGCCUGUGCAAUGGGCCUCUACACCUGGAAUGAGGCCUUUAAAGGUCGUUUUUGUGGGUUUGAUCCUUGAGGGGUCUAUACCCAUUUUGCGCACUAUAUCCUGAUAAAGUAGGUUCAGGCUGCUGCCGCCAUCCAUAAGGACUCGAGUGAGGUGAAAUCCGUCAAUGAUUGGGUCUAGGACUAGUGCGGAAAAUCUACCAUGAUGGAUACUAGUGGGGUGGUCCCUUCGAUCGAAGGUGAUCGGAUAGGAGGACCAAGGGUUGAACUUUGGGGUGACUGGCUCGAACGCAUAUACGUCCAUGAGCGCACGCUUCCGCUCCCUCUUAGGGAUGUGGGUUGCGUAUAUCAUGUUCACCGUCUGCAGUUGCGGGGGAAACCUCUUCUGUCCUUCGAUGUGCGGCUGCCGGGGCUCCUCCUCGUCAUCGCUAUGCGGCCCCUUGUCCUUCUUUUCGGCAAUUAACUUGCGGGCCUGCUUGAACACCCAACAAUCCCUGUUGGUGUGAUUGGCUGGCUUGUCUAGGGUGCCGUGUAUUUGACACGAGCGAUCGAGUAUACGUUCCAAGCUGGAUGGACCUGGCGUACUUUGUUUGAAUGGCUUUUUCCGCUGACCGGGUUUAGAGCCUUUGAAUCCGGCAUUGACUGCCGUAUCCUCGGUAUUUUCGCUGUUAAUGCGGCGGUUAUGUUUGUUGUGACAUGACCUGCUAUUGCCAUCCUUGGUAUCGGAGGUACCAUGGUUCUUUGAUAUGUUAUUACUACGGGCCAGCCAGCUGUCUUCUCCCGCACAAAAGCGGGUCAUGAGCGUCGUGAGAGCUGCCAUAGAUUUCGGCUUUUCCUGACCAAGGUGCCAGGCUAGCCACUCGUCUCGGAUGUUGUGUCUGAAAGCCGCUAAGGCCUCUGCAUCCGGACAGUCGACGAUUUGAUUUUUCUUUGUGAGGAACCAAGUCCAGAAUUGCCUAGCCGACUCUUCUGGCUGCUGAAUUAUGUGGCUCAAGUCAUCGGCGUCUAGUGGUCGCACAUAAGUGCCCUGAAAGUUGUUGAGGAAUGCGGCUUCCAGAUCUUCCCAACAGCUAAUGGAGUCCGCUGGCAAGCUGUUAAGCCAAUGCCGCGCUGGUCCUUUGAGCUUUAGUGGAAGAUAUUUGAUGGCGUGUAAGUCAUCACCGUGGGCCAUGUGGAUGUGGAGGAGGAAAUCCUCGAUCGAUACUGCAGGAUCUGUUGUGCCGUCGUAUGAUUCAAUAUUUACAGGUUUGAAACCUUCUGGGAAUUGAUGAUCCAUUACUUCGUCUCUGAAGCAUAAGGGGUGUGCGGCGCCUCUGUAGUGGGCUAUAUCGCGACGCAGCUCGAAUGGGUCUUGCCCGCUGUGUUCGGCCCGGCCGGAUUUGCUUUUACUGUAUCCGGCGUGACAUUUAUCGUCUCGCAGAGUUGUGCGCCCUCGUGAUCCGUAGAUCGAUCUUGCAUGCUUUGCUUUGUCCUCCAAUAUAUCUCGCAGGUCUGGCGUAUCUCCCCAUGCCUUUUUAUUUGAAUGGCGUCGGGGUGGAGGCUGAGUUUUUGGCUGGACUGCCUCUCUAUCGCGGCCACGAGGUGGCCGAUCCGGGCAGUAACCUGCACUUUGGGUAAUUCUUGGAGGGGUGCUUGAGUUUAUAUUCCUCGGCCGCGAGGACUUCAGUCCAUCUGUUAGUUAAGAGAUCUUGAUCAGCUUGAAGCUGCUGCUGCUUUUUCUUUAGGCUAUUUUCCGUGGCCAUAAGCCGGUGCUUGAAGCGCUCUUGUUCGAUGGGAUCCUCUGGUACAUCGAAUUCAUCAUCGCCGAGGCUUGCCUCGUCUUCGGAGGCGGGCGUGUAAUUGUCAUCCUCCUCCUCUCCGUCUGCCGCUCUUUCAGGAGGGUUGGCUCCUCCAUCCUCCUGCUCUAAAUCUUGCUGGAGGGGAUUAUUGUUGUCUUCGGCACUAUCCGGAGUGUUAUUAUCUCCUGUGCCGGUAUCACCACUUUUGCUUUGGCGGGACUUAGAGCGGCGCCGCUGACAUCGGCGCUUGGGUUGCUUCUUGGAGAGGUCAUCCUCCGUUAUCUCGUCGCCAUUGCCUUCUUUGGGUGUAUCCACCAUGUAUAUGUCGUAUGAUGAUGUGGCUUUCGAGUGCCCUAUGGGCGCUGGUUCAUGUUCAUCUCCUACAUCGUCGUCCAUACCAUCGAUGUCUUCGGAGUCGAAGUCGAGCAUGUCGGUUAAAUUAUCGACAGUGGCUACGAAGUGGGUGGUGGGUGGGCAUCGAAUUUCUUCGUCGUCCGCCUCCCAAUCCUGUUGGCCAUAGUCCGGCCAGGGCUCUCCUGACAAAGAGAGAGACUUUAGUGAAUUCAGAAUGUCACCGAAGGACGAGUGCUGCAAGAUAUCAGCGGCGGCGAAUUCCAUGAUCGGCGCCCAGUCGGAUUCAAUUGGCAGGGGCGCGGACGGUUCGGAGUCCGGAAAAGAGUCCGGCACCUUGGAGUCACGGGCUUUGCAGAGGAUUAGGCUGGUGUUCAACUCGAUCACCGUUGAGACUGCAGCCCCUGAGGCGGUGUCUAGCCACCCGUCCUCGACUGGCGCAGUUGGCUCCGAGCUAAGGGUCAGAGCUGAUGCGGGCGCGGCCUCUGGGGUACUGUCCGGUGGUAGAGCUAGGUCAUACCCAUCGUGACAGUGCAGCGCGCCCGGCUGUGGCUUGAAUCCGUCGAAGAUCAAGUCUCCGAGGAUGUCGGCCGUGUAGUUCAAACUUCCAAAUCUGACCUGAUGGCCAGGGGUGUAGCUUUCAAUCUGCUCCAGAUGGCCAAGCGAAUUAGCCCGUAGUGCAAAGCCGCCGAACACUGGACCGCAUCGUUGUUCAUGAUCGGAGGAGCCAUCGGGCCUAAAGGUGACGACACCGAGGAAAUCUCAAUGGAAGCACCAAUGUCGGUGUCAAAUCCGGCGGAUCUCGGGUAGGGGGUCCCGAACUGUGCGUCUAGGCCGGAUGGUAACAGGAGGCAGGGGACACAAUGUUUUACCCAGGUUCGGGCCCUCUUGAUGGACGUAAAACCCUAUGUCCUUCUUGAUUAAUAUUGAUGAUAUGUGUAGUACAAGAGUAGAUCUACCACGAGAUCAGAGAGGCUAAACCCUAGAAGCUAGCCUAUGGUAUGAUUGUAUACGUCCUACGGACUAAAACCCUCCAGUUUAUAUAAACACCGGAGAGGGUUAGAGUUACACAAGGUCGGUUGCAAAGGAGGAGAUAUCCAUAUCCGUAUUGCCUAGCUUGCCUUCCACGCCAAGUAGAGUCCCAUCCGGACACGGGACGGAGUCUUCAAUCUUGUAUCUUUAUAGUCCAACAGUCCGGCUGUCCGGAGACCCCCUAAUCCAGGACUCCCUCACCCCCACUCCCUAUCGAACCCUAGCCCAAUCGCCCCACCUCCCCCACACCCCCUCGCCAGCCUCCCCACCUCUUGAUCCCAUCUGGAUCGGGGAGGGGAUCACCCCCAUCGACCCCGUCGCCGUCGCCGGAUCGCCCGUCAGCGUCGCCAGGCCUCCUCCCCGCCGCCCGUCUCCGGCUCGCCUCCCCUCUCGCUCCUCUUUCCCGACCCGAUCAGGAUCGUGAACGAGCAAUGAGCGCGACGCCCCCCCUUCAUCGGCGCCAUCACCGUGCGCCACCACCACCGCCUGAAGACCUCGCCGUCGCUGACCUUGUGUCGUCUCCUGGUAUCCCUUCCCGACUCGCGUCCUCAAGCCAGGCCGACCCCCUUCUCGGCAAUGCUGUGAGACGCCCCCCGUUUCCCUCCUCUUUCCACCGUGUUCACCGCGCCGCCUGACGAAGCUACGUACCUAGGGUAGGGGCAUGGACCUGUCCUAAGAGCCCUACCCAAGGACAUCCCUGGAAGAAGUCACCUUUCAAUCGACUUGAAGGUACCCACUCGACGGGUUUAAGACACUCGACCAAGAAGCUACCACUCGACAUGAAGCCAAUCACUCGACUGCCAGGAGAUCUAAAGUCAUUCCACGGGCAAACGGUCGGCUAUUAAGUAGUCUUUAUGGUCAUUAUAGCACUUUAUUACCAGCAUUACCAGUAACGCCCCGCCUUAAUGUACAUUGAACCCUUGGUAACGUAGGCUGGCCGGGGUCCUGGCGCGCUCUAUAUAAGUCACCCCCUCCUCCGAGACAAGGGUUCGCACCUCUAUUGUUCACAUGCCUAUAAUCCAAUCGACCGCCUCCGGGCACUGAGACGUAGGGCUGUUACUUCCUCCGCGAAGGGCCUGAACUCGUACACCUUGGUGUGUUUACAACUUCCCAAUAGCUGAGAUCUAGCCUCUCCAUACACACCCCCCUACAUCACUGUCAGAGUUAGAACCACAAUAGUUGGCGCCCACCGCGGGGCCAGAAUCUUAGCGCUUACUUGGAGAAGUUGCGAUUCUUCUGAUCCCUUUGAUCAUGGUUUCAUGCGGAGUUUUGGUGGAGGGGCGCGAGAUCCGUCUCGGCGCGCUCACAUUCAUCGCCGACGACUCCGCUUGGUUUCAGGAGGCUCCACUCGACAUCGACGUGCUCCCCGUCCGUGGUGCGACGCACUUCCGCGCAUGCGUUCGUGGCGUCCUCCUGCGGCAGCCGUCGACCCAGUAUCGGUCGGCCCUCGUGUCGUCUCCCCGCUCUGUCUCCCUCCGACGCAAGCGCUUUGGUAGGUCGAGACUUUAGAGGUGGGUGAGGCAUGCCGUGGCUCGCCAGUCGGCCGCCCCACAAGUCGCGGCAAUCGAGCCCGACAAAUCCCUCUGCAGCCUGUUCGACUGGCUCCGCGGAGACUUCAUCCGAGUGUGACAGCAGAGACCCAGCGGCUGAGGUUCUGGCGGUCGAUGGGACACACUGUCCUCCCGGUUUCCCUCGCGCUAAUGGAGGCGCGGGUGGGGGCGACCCGUCGCAUCCCCACGAUGAGUAUCUCCCCGAAUGUCUCACGGCAUCGCAGCGAGAGGAACUUCACCGCCGGAACAUAGACGCACUCCACACUCCUAUCGUCGGAGAAACCCCCGAGGCCCGGGCCUUGGAGGACGCGCGCUUGGCUAACUUGGCUGAGCGCACUCGACUGGAGAAUCUCCAGCUAAUACUCGAUGAGCAAGCGCGCCAGUGAGCUCCCGAGUCCAGUCGACGUCAGCUCUUUCCGCCGAUGCAGGUAUAUUGAACCCUAGUUCAGAAUUUGGCCGCCGCGGCCCGUAUAGCAGAGUCAAUUCAGCCCUCCCAGUCAGAGGCUGGCAGGGGCUUGUUGCAGAUCAGAGCAUUGCUCCGGGCGGCGGGGAACCAGAAUUCCGCUGUUUCUCAGUCGCAGAAUAGGAUCCACAGUCGAUCCGUUGCAACAGAUACAGUCCAGUCGGCUCACAGCCCGAGAUCGCCCCCGAGGCGUGAGGGACAUGGAGACCGGCACGAUCAGUACAGAAGAAAUGAGCAGUAUGAUCACCGAUUCGAUCGUGAGGAUCGACGUCGAGUGCCAACCCCUCCCCCGAGGAGUGGGUCAUAUGCGCCUCGAUAGCGAGAUGACAGGCGCCCUCAUAGUGUUGGGCAGAGGAUUCCAGUCGACCCCAGGGACCCAGGCUUUGAUGCGAGAUCCAUCCUUGAUCAAGGUCUGGUUGACAGGAACGGGGCUCACCGAGAAUGCCAGGACAGAGAUGCGCCUGCCAGCAGCAGAGUGCGUGUUUCAGGGACAGAGUGUUUCAGUCGAGCCAUCAGAGCCACAGUGAUUCCUCCCAACUUCAGGUUGGCGACUGGAGUCAGCUAGUUCACCGGUGAGUCUAAGCCUGACACUUGGCUCGAAGAUUACCGAGUGGCUGUACAGAUUGGCAGUGGCAAUGAUGAGGUGGACAUGAAGCAUUUGCCUCUCAUGUUAGAGGGCUCAGCCAGAGCAUGGCUAAAUCAGUUAGUGCCCAGCAGCAUUUACACUUGGGAGGACCUCUCCCGAGUGUUUGUCACAACCUUUGAGGGAACAUGCAAGCGACCUGCAGGCCUUACAGAGUUGCGGUCUUGCACGCAGAAACCGAAUGAAACGCUGAGGGAUUACAUCCAGAGGUGGAUCACAUUGCAUCACACAGUUGAGAAUGUUCCAGAUCAUCAAGCAGUUUGUGCCUUCAAAGAAGGCGUUAAGUACAGAGAAUUGAAUCUGAAGUUCGGUCGAACUGGAGAGAUGUCUCUGAAUCGGAUGAUGGAGAUUGCCACCAAAUACGCUAAUGGUGAAGACGAAGAUCGCCUCCGGAGUGGCAAGCGCAAGGCAGUCGCCCAAGAAACCGGAGGAAACUCCAGUCAGAAACAGAAGCGGAAGGCUGAGCCAGCCGCCCCUGGGGAGGCCCUGGCCGUAACCCAGGGAAAUUUCAAGGGAAAACCCAAGGGCCCCUGGAAGCCCAAGAAAGUCAAGGAUCAAGAUGGAAAUGAUGUUUUGGAUCUGCCAUGUCACUCCACACCAAGAAAGAUGAAGAGGGUAAUUUUAUUUACCCAAAGCAUACCACUCGACAGUGCCAGCUCCUGAUCCAGCAGUUUCAGGGCAAGCAACCCAAAGAUAAGGAAAAAGAGCCAGACAGAGUUGAGGACAAGGAUGAUAGUGACGAUGGAUACCCCCAAGUCAAUUCCACCCUGAUGAUUUUUGCUGAUGUCGAAAGCAAAAGUCGACUGAAAGUCAUUAAUCGUGAAGUGAAUAUGGUUGCUCCGGCAACACCUAGUUAUCUGAAGUGGUCUCAGGCUGCCAUAACAUUCGACCAGUCUGAUCACCCUACGCACAUUGCCACCCCUGGGAGGCAAGCUUUGGUGGUCGACCCAGUUGUCGAAGGCACUCGACUGACCAAAGUCCUGAUGGAUGGUGGCAGUGGCCUGAACAUACUGUAUGCUAAAACAUUGAAAGGGAUGGGCAUUCCGAUGUCCGGGCUCAGUACCAGCAACAUGAGCUUCCACGGAGUCAUUCCCGGGAAGUAAGCCGAAUCACUCGGCCAGAUUGCUCUUGAUGUGGUUUUCGGUGAUUCAAAGACUUACCGCAAGGAAAAGUUGACAUUCGAGGUUGUGGACUUCCAAAGUGCUUAUCAUGCCAUUUUGGGCAGACCAGCUUAUGCACGCUUCAUGGCCUGACCAUGUUAUGUGUAUCUCAAAUUGAAGAUGCCUGGUCCUAAAGGUGUGAUCACUGUUACAGGCAAUCGGAAGAAGGCAGAAGAGUGUUUUCAGAAAGGCUCAAAGAUUGCUGACGCUCAGAUGGCAGUGGUUGAGCUGCAAGAGUAUCAGAAGACUGCAGAUCCGAGUGAGUUGCUACGAGCUAAGAAGCCCACUUCGGAGUCAGCUUUUCAGUAGUCUGGUGAAAUGAAGGCAGUUCACAUUCACCCGACCAACCCCGAGGCUGCCCCGACUCACAUCUCAAAGACGCUCGACUCCAAAUAGGAAGAAGUGCUCAUCCAGUUCCUCCGUGAGAACUGGGACAUCUUCGCAUGGAAGCCUUCUGACAUGCCUGGAAUAACCAGGGGGCUGGCUGAGCACCGUCUACGAGUCGACCCAAAGUUCAAGCCUAUGAAAGAACAUCUUCGACGGUCCGCCGUCCAAAAGAGGAAAGCUAUUGGCGAGGAGGUGGCUCGGCUCUUAGCAGCAGAGUUCAUCCGAGAGAUGUACCACUCUGAGUGGCUCGCCAAUGUUGUCAUGGUCCCCAAGAAGGACAAGUCGCUUCGCAUAUGCAUCGACUUUAAACAUAUCAAUCGGGCCUGCCCGAAAGAUCAUUUUCCUCUCCCUCGCAUCGACCAAAUAGUCGACUUGACCGCGGGGUGUGAGCGAUUGUCUUUUCUAGACGGCUAUUCCGGGUACCAUCAGAUCCGUCUGUAUGGACCCGAUGAGAUCAAAACAGCUUUCAUCACUCCAUUCGGGUGCUUCCGUUAUGUCACCAUGCCCUUCGGCCUCAAGAACGCUGGAGCCACGUUCAUGAGGAUGAUUCAGAAGUGUUUGCUCACUCAAAUCAGUCGGAACGUGGAAGCAUACAUGGAUGAUAUUGUGGUCAAGUCGCGGAAAGGUUCCGACCUGCUGACUGACCUUGCUGCAACCUUUGCCAACCUUAGGAGGUAUGAUAUCAAGCUUAAUCCAUCAAACUGCACAUUCGGAGUUCCGGGUGGAAAGUUACUCGGUUUUCUCGUUUCCGAAUGAGGAAUCAACGCCAAUCCCGAGAAAGUUGGCACCAUACUCCGGAUGAAGCGCCCUGUGCGUGUGCACGAUGUCCAGAAGCUUAUGGGUUGCUUGGCCGCUCUAAGUCGAUUCAUUUCUCGUCUCAGUGAAAAGGCAUUGCCUCUUUACCGACUGAUGAAGAAGUCUGACAAGUUCGAGUGGACUCCAGAAGCUGAUGCAGCGUUUGCAGACCUCAAAGCUCUGCUCUCCACCCAGCCGGUGCUUGCUGCCCCAAUCAGUAAAGAGCCUUUGCUGCUUUACAUUGCAGCCACAGGACAAGUUGUCAGUACAGUACUUAUGGUCGAGCGGGAAGAUGAAGGAUAGGCCUUCAGAGUUCAACGCCCAGUAUAUUAUGUGUCUGAAGUUUUGACACCUUCAAAACAAAGAUAUCCUCAUUAUCAGAAGCUUGUAUACGGGAUUUAUAUGACCACGAAGAAGGUUGCACAUUACUUCUCUGACCACUCCAUUACAGUCGUCAGCGACGCCCCACUGUCAGAGAUUCUGCAUAACAGAGAUGCAACUGGUCGAGUGGCGAAGUGGGCGAUUGAACUCCUUCCCCUAGAUAUCAAGUUUGAAGCAAAUAAGGCUAUCAAGUCCCAAGCAAUUGCAGAUUUCAUCACCGAGUGGAUCGAACAGCAGCUUCCGACUCAAGUUCACCCGGAGCACUGGACCAUGUUCUUCGAUGGAUCUAAGAUGCUGAAUGGUUCCGGUGCUGGGGUAGUAUUGGUCUCCCCCCGAGGAGAUAAGCUCAGAUAUGUUCUCCAGAUUCACUUUGAUUCCUCCAAUAAUGAAGCAGAAUAUGAAGCACUUUUGUAUGGGUUGCGCAUGGCCAUUUCACUUGGCGUCCGUCGCCUCAUGGUCUAUGGCGACUCAGAUUUGGUGGUUAAUCAGGCGAUGAAGGAGUGAGACGUCAGAAGUCCGGCAAUGACUGGUUAUUGCAAUGUAGUGAGAAAGCUAGAAAAGAAAUUCGAGGGGUUAGAGCUUCAUCACAUCCCCCGACUGAAAAAUCAGGUAGCUGACGAUUUGGCAAAGAUAGGCCCCAAGAGAGAAGCCAUUCCCAGCAACGUGUUCCUGGAACACAUUCAUUCGCCAUCAGUCCAAGAAGAUCCUUUUACAGAAGAAGCCCCGCAGCCGAAAAGUGCCACAGAUCCGACUGAAGUCGAAGUCCCUGCUGUGGUCGACCUAAUCAUGGAAGUCUUCGCAAUCACUCCCGACUGGACGAUACCGUACAUCGCGUAUAUCCUAAGGAAAGAACUCCCGGAGGACGAGGAAGAGGCUCGACAGAUCGUCCGCCGAUCCAAAGCCUUCACAGUCACAAGGGGACAGUUGUAUAGAGAAAGCGCGACUGGGAUCGGUCAGAAGUGCAUAACACUAGAAGAGGUUCAGAUAAUCCUUGACGACAUCCACUCGCGGACCUGUGGUCACCAUGCGUCUUCUCGGACCAUUGUGGCUAAAGCAUACCGAGCGGGAUUUUACUGGCCAAGAGCAAAUGAGAUGGCAAAAGAGAUAGUCGACCAGUGUGGAGGGUGCUAGUUCUACUCCAACAUGUCACACAAGCCUGCGUCAGCCCUGAAGACCAUUCCACUCGUCUGGCCCUUUGCUGUCUGGGGACUGGACAUGGUUGGUCCACUAAGAACAGGCAGGAGCGGUUUCACUCAUGUGCUUGUGGUAGUCGACAAGUUUACCAAAUGGAUUGAGGCUAAGCGCAUCAAGAAUCUUGAUGCUUGCACUACUAUCAGUUUCGUCAGAGGGCUAACAUUCAGAUAUGGAGUCCCGCAUAGCAUCAUCACUGACAAUGGGUCAAACUUUGAUUCGGACAAGUUCAGAGCUUUUUGCGCCUCUCAAGGCACACGAGUCGACUACGCAUCGGUCGCCCAUCCCCAGUCGAAUGGACAAGCAGAGAGAGCAAAUGGUUUGAUUCUCAAAGGACUAAAGCCUCGACUGAUGCGCGAUCUCAAGCACGCGGCAGGUGCUUAGGUCGACGAGCUUCCGUCAGUUCUGUGGGGAUUGAGGACCACCCCGAACCGGUCGACUGGAGGAACUCCAUUCUUUCUGGUUUAUGGAGCCGAGGCAGUUCUGCCGAGUGAUCUUCUUCACAACGCACCCCGAGUCGAACUUUAUACCGAAGAUGAAGCAGAACAAGCCCGGCAAGACGCAGUCGACCUACUAGAAGAAGAGAGGGAGAUGGCCAUGAUCAGAUCGACCAUUUAUCAGCAAGACUUGCGUCGAUUCCACGCUAGGAAUGUGAAGAGUCGAGCCUUCCAAGAAGGAGAUUUGGUCCUCCUAGUGGAUCAACAGAAACCACACAAGCUUGCUCCUACUUGGGAAGGCCCCUUCAUCGUCACCAGAGUCCUCCACAAUGGAGCGUAUCACCUCUACAAUGUUGAUCGCCAGAUCGAUGAGCCGCGAGCUUGGAAUGCGGAACUGCUCCGCCCCUUUUACACUUGAGUUCUCCCUUGGACGAGAUGUAAUAAGAAAAAAUUUCUGCAGUUCAUUUUUAUCAAAGGCAAGAGUGUUCCAAUAAUUGCUGUCACUUUUGUUUGCAUACGAAAUCCCCCAGUGGGUGACUUAGCUGCGAAUCCGUUUCGCCUAAGUUUGAAAAAUCCUACCGAGUGGAGAGCCAGAUUCCCACUCGGGGGCUUAGCUCCAGCCCAGUGCUUGCCUAAGUGUUCAAAAAUCCUACCAAGUGAGAGCAAUCCUCCCACUUGGGGGCUUAGCUGCAGUCCAGUACUCGCCUAAGUUCUCCCACUUAGAGACUUAGCUGCAGUCAGGCACUCGCCUAAGUUUGAAAAAAUCCUACCGAGUGGAGAGCAAUCCUCCCACUCGAGGGCUUAGCUGCAGUCCAGUACUCGCCUAAGUUCUCCCACUUAGAGACUUAGCUACAGUCAGGCACUCGCCUAAGUUUGAAAAAAUCCUACCGAGUGGAGAGCAACCCUCCGACUCGGGGGCUUAGCUGCAGUCCAGUACUCACCAAAGUUCUCCCACUUAGAGACUUAGCUANNNNNNNNNNNNNNNNNNNNNNNNNNNNNNNNNNNNNNNNNNNNNNNNNNNNNNNNNNNNNNNNNNNNNNNNNNNNNNNNNNNNNNNNNNNNNNNNNNNNNNNNNNNNNNNNNNNNNNNNNNNNNNNNNNNNNNNNNNNNNNNNNNNNNNNNNNNNNNNNNNNNNNNNNNNNNNNNNNNNNNNNNNNNNNNNNNNNNNNNNNNNNNNNNNNNNCUCUCCUUCCGAGCUACGCCACAAGUACAACAUGCGCUCUGCAAGGAGGACGAGGUGCAGGUCGACUGCUACCCUCUCCUUCCGAGCUACGCCACCAAUUCAAAAUCCUACUGAGUGGAGAGCAAACCUCCCACUCGGGGGCUUAGCUGCAGCCCAGUGCUCGCCUAAGUAUUUGAAAUCCUACCGAGUGGAGAGCAAACCUCCCACUCAGGGGCUUAGCUGCAGCNNNNNNNNNNNNNNNNNNNNNNNNNNNNNNNNNNNNNNNNNNNNNNNNNNNNNNNNNNNNNNNNNNNNNNNNNNNNNNNNAAAUCCUACCGAGUGGAGAGCAAACCUCCCACUCGGGGGCUUAGCUACAGCCCAGUGCUCGCCUAAGUAUUUAAAAAUCCUACCGAGUGGAGAGGAAACCUCCCACUCGGGGGCUUAGCUGCAGCCCAGUGCUCGCCUAUGUGUUUAGAAAUCCUACCGAGUGGAGAGCAAACCUCCCACUCGGGGGCUUAGCUGCAGCCCAGUGCUCGCCUAAGUGUUUAGAAAUCCUACCGAGUGGAGAGCAAACCUCCCACUCGGGGGCUUAGCUGCAGCCCAGUGCUCGCCUAAGUGUUUAGAAAUCCUACCGAGUGGAGAGCAAACCUCCCACUCGGGGGCUUAGCUGCAGCCCAGUGGUCGCCUAAGUGUUUAAAAAUCCUACCGAGUGGAGAGCCAGACUCCCACUCGGGGGCUUAGCUGCAGCCUAGCGCUCGCCUAAGUGUUUAAAAAUCCUACCGAGUGAGAGCAAACCCCUCACUCGGAGGGCUUAGCUGCAGCCCGGUGCUCACCUAAGUACAGGACACAACCCAAUCCGCAAGAAGUUACGCCACAAAUACAAGGUUAUUCCGAGUGAAGAUCAAGUUGCACUCGACAGAUCAAACCAUGAAGAUAUCCAACGAGAAAUCAAGUUCGGAUAAAGCCUAAAGGUCCCAGACCUCAGAUCAAAGUACUCGAGCCCUCGGCUCGGCAGAGUUUAACGGUUACAAAUCCACUCAGCAUUCCGAGGCAAAUUUAAAGUGAAGCACGACGAACUCGUCCAAGUCGAUCCCGUCUGCAAUACGAGUGGCAGCAGCGAUGAAAGUCUCCAUGAAGUCUUGAAAGCUGUGCUUCCUGGUAUUGGCAACUUGGAUGGCGGCCGGCUUUUCUUCUCGCGCCUCCUUGCAAUGGACGCGGACCAGAGACAGAGCGACAUCAGCACCACAUCUAGCAGAAGAUUUCUUCCAUUCCGCCACUCAACCCGGGACUUCAUUCUGUCGAGCCAUCAGAGACUCGAGGUCGUUCUGAAGCAUCAUCCCAGGCCAGAGUGAUGUGUCAAUCCGCGACAUCGCAACCUUCAGUCGAGCAAGAUAGUCAACAACACUGGUAACACGAGACUCCAGUCGGAGCACGUUCAUAGCAGCUUCAUCCUUCACGAGAGAAUUGGCGGGGUCCAAGCCUGGCUCCACUCGACUGGUUUCCUCUUCGAAGUUCUGGCAGAAUUCUGCAAACACGAUUCAAGAGUCAGACAUUGGCUCUACACAGGCUUGGCAACUGCAAGACAGUCGGGGCAGAGUAAUUACCUUCGAGCAUGACGAACAGCUUCUUGGUGAGUCCACCGAGAUAAGCCUCCAGAUCAUUUACCUUCCCCGCCAGCUUACCCGCCUGGUCGUGUAGAACCAUCUUUUCAUUCUUCAGUCGGCUGACCUCUUGAUUAGCUGUCUCGAGAGCAGUUUUCAGCCUCGAGUUCUCCUGUUCAAGAGUUCCGACCGAAGCCAUUUUCUCUUCUCCAAGCUUCGUUCUGCUCAAGGCCUCCUUCUGUGAUUCUGCAAGAUCUUGAUCCUUCUUCUUCAGAGCUUCUUCCAGUUUAUCUGCGGCACGUCGAGUGAAAUCAACAUCAAGAAUGGACAAGCAAGAAAAAUCACUCGUCAAGAAUGGAGAACCUCACCAGCCAUACCUUUUGCUUCUUCUUGCGCCUUCCUCAAAUUCUCUUGAGCAAGCUUCAAGUUAAGGUUGAGCUGGAUCUGCUUAUUCUCCAACUCAGUAUAGCGAGCUACAAGUUCACAGGAUUUCUGCAAAAAGAAAAAUCAGUGGACAGACGUCCAAGAUAAGUUGCUUCCCAAUAACUAAAAGACAACGAUGGCGUUUCUAAGACUAUAGCCGAAUCUAAAACAUUCGACAGUAGUCUCGGGGACUACACCCAGUGGGUGCACUCUGCGUGCCCCCAUUGUAAAAAAAGUCGACUGCCCGCAGUCGACCGGAUACAGUUCCAUUCGACAUGGCCUGACCAGACCGAAUGAAGAAAUACAGCUACAACAACACAAUAUAAAGACUACAGUCGACUGCCAGCAGUCCACCAUAGUCUCGGGGACUACACCCAGUGGGUGCACUUAGCGUUCCCCCACUCGUCCAAGAAUUGGCAGACACACCCAGUGGGUGUACAGAUAUAAAGAUCUUCAAAAAAAAAGAUUCUUCAAACAGCAUAUCGUAACAGACCAAGUGUUGAGUCGACUGACCUGGACGUUACUCUGAAGAGCCGAACUCGCGUCAUAAGCCGCUUGGCUGGCCUCCCAAGCCGCUUUCACUUGUUCCAUCAUAAUCCCCGCCUGGCGUAUGGCCUCUUUUGCAGCAGCUGCUUGGUCCUCAGGGACGGGGUACGUGGCAAAAAGCGAAGGCGGAUCCGCAGUCGACGUCAAGGGCCGCACCCUCGUCAGAGGAAUGGCGAAAGUCACAGAAGCCCGAGUGGUUUCACCACCGUCUCGGGCUACGGCCUCAGGCGCCGGAGUGGAUUGUGGGGUCUCGCCAGCCGACGCUCCCCUGUUCCUUCUCACUCUCAGCGGCACGUCAUCGUCGUCAUCCGGAAGGUUGAUAACAUGAUAAGGAGCUACAAGAAAAAAUUCAAUCGACCAGAGUUGCAAUAAGUGUCCAGUCGACUGAAGGCAGAACAUCAGUAAUCAUACCAGGGUGGAGGUAACAGCAUCCUCCAUCUCUUGGUCGUCGUCCUUGGCAGAGACCUCCGAAGUAGGAGCACUGCAAAUCUCGAAAGUCAGUCAGUUGGCUCAAUGAAUCGACCAAGGAUCUGUCCACGGUCGACAAAGGAAAACAAGUUUUGUUAUUACCCAGAAAUGGUGGGGACAGCCAUCUUCAUCUUGGGCAGAGCCUUGGGCGGCUUGGACGGCGUCGCGCGUGGGUGCUUGGGAGCCUUUCCAGUCAGCGUAGGAGAAGAGGUUCGAGGGCGUUUCGACAACUGCCCAACAGGAGCAGUCGCCUACCACGUUCCCGCGCUGGAUCAUGUGUGAGCUUGGAUCGCCUCUCCCGGUGGGGGGGGGGGGGGGGUCAACCUCCUCCUCCUCCUCUUCGCUGGAGUUGACGUCGUCGUCUCCCUCUCCUUCGCCAUCGGACUCCCACUCGCCUUGAUCGUCUCCACUCUCACAUCCGCUCGCCUCCCCUUCCUCAGUUGGCUCCUGUGCCCCGUUGGGUGUCGAGUACAUCUCAGUAGUCGCCUGGAAAACAACAGACAAGACAAAAGUUAGUCGACCAAUUCAAAGAAGACCAAUGAAGAAAACAAGAUUUCAAUCGGGAGCGUAAAGUCAGACCUGGUCCACUUCGUAUUGUUGUCGAGUGGAGAAACCCUCCUGGCGCCUCGGGGGUUGUCUUUGUUUCCUGUGAUGCUCGUCAGCCACCCCUCCAACAUCUCAUCAGUGACCUCCUCCGGGUGGAUCCGAGUGGUGUCUUCGAGGCCCGAGUACAGCCACAUCGGGUGGCCGCGAGCCUGGAGCGGUUGGAUGCGCCUCCGAAGAAAGACCUCCAGCAAGUCCAUGCCAGUCACGCCAUCACGGACGAGCUGAACCACUCGACCAACCAGCACUUUGAAUUGGGUCUUUUCUUCUGGCGUCACUUUCAGAGAAGCAGGUUUUUGAGCUCGGUCGAGAGAGAAAUGGGGAAGCCCGGUCGACUGUCCUGGGGUCACCUGGUCUUUGCAGUAAAACCAGGUCGCCUGCCAACCACGGACCGACUCUGGGAAAAUGAUAGAUGGAAAACAACUCUUUCCCCUCGUCUGGAUCGCGAGGCCCCCGCACAGCUGGAUCACUUGCGUCCUUUCCUCACUCGACUUGGCCUUCUUGACCGAUUGGGAGCGGCAAGUAAAGAUGUGCUUAAAGAGCCCCCAAUGGGGGCGGCAACCCAGGAAACCCUCACACAAGGAAAUGAAGGUAGCAAGGUACACGAUAGAGUUGGGAGUGAAGUGGUGGAGCUGCGCUCCGAAGAAAUUUAGAAAACUCCGGAAAAAAGGAUGAGGAGGCAGAGAAAACCCUCGAUCGAUGUGGGUGGUGAGAAGGACACACUCACCAUCACGGGGUUGAGGCUCGACUUCUCCCCCCUGGAGACGCGCAGCCUCGUAAGGAAUGACUCCCCCCUCAACCAUAUCGUCGAGGUCUUCCUGCCGAAUCACCGACGGCAUCCAAUCGCCCUGGAUCCAGCCUCUGGGCAGAGCAGUCCUUGAGGAAGAUCCGCCCCAAGCGGACUUCUUCCCUUUCCCCUGCACCGACGCCUUCUUCGCGCGCUCCAGAGCAGACGUCUUGCCCUUCACCAUCGUCGCCGGCGAAUCUCAAACGGGUCUGCGGCGCUAGGGUGAGAGCGGAGGUGGCGGAGGACUUCGCGAAGGGAGAAAGAAGAGAAAGAAGAGAAAGGAGAGAGCACUGUUCGGGAACCCGAGCAGGCGGCUUAUAAGAGGCCGCUCCUGAGUGGCUGACUGGUAGGCCCAGGCUAUCCCGUCAAAUCCCGCAGUAGACGCGCGCGCAGCUCGUGGCGGAAAAGGUGGCACGGGAAUCGAGGAGCUUCUGCCUUAUCACAUCCGAUUACUGCGGCCGCGCCCGUCCCGCUCGCUCCCCGAUGUUCAAAUCCCGCGAAAUCCGCGGGCUGCGGAACAACUCAUCAAAUAGAAGAUCCCUCUCGUGCCGGCACUCGGUAUUUCACAAGUAAGGAAAUUCACUCGACGGGAGACCAAGAAUGGAUCAAGGCGACCGAAAGAAGUUGACAACGUCAUCCUUGGCGAUAGAUCUAGUACAAGACGUCCAUAUGACGCUAAAAACCAGUCGGAAGGACCCCCAACUCCUUCCCCACUCGAACCUCGAUCCAUUCGGGGGCUAAUGACGAAGCUACGUACCUAGGGUAGGGGGAUGGACCUGUCCUAAGAGCCCUACCCAAGGACAUCCCUGGAAGAAGUCACCUUUCAAUCGACUUGAAGGUACCCACUCGACGGGUUUAAGACACUCGACCAAGAAGCUACCACUCGACACGAAGCCAAUCACUCGACUGCCAGGAGAUCUAAAGUCAUUCCACGGGCAAACGGUCGGCUAUUAAGUAGUCUUUAUGGUCAUUAUAGCACUUUAUUACCAGCGUUACCAGUAACGCCCCGCCUUAAUGUACAUUGAACCCUUGGUAACGUAGGCUGGCCGGGGUCCUGGCGCGCUCUAUAUAAGCCACCCCCUCCUCCGAGACAAGGGUUCGCACCUCUGUUAUUCACACGCCUAUAAUCCAAUCGACCGCCUCCGGGCACCGAGACGUAGGGCUGUUACUUCCUCCGCGAAGGGCCUGAACUCGUACACCUUGUUGUGUUUACAACUUCCCAAUAGCUGAGAUCUAGCCUCUCCAUACACACCCCCAACAUCACUGUCAGAGUUAGAACCACGACACCGCCUGCCGUGCCCCUCGCCGCACGCCCACCACCGCGCCAGCCCCCACUCUGUGGACGACCCUAGCCGCGCCCGCGCCGUGAUCCCCUUUUCCGCCCUACCUUCCCGCACUCGCCGCGGUCCCGAUGCUCCCCCGCGCCCUCUUUCAGGGGCGCCGACUGCCCCUGUCCCAUUACUCGCCGCCGCGCCUCGCCACCGCUCUACUGCUACGUUACUACUGCGCUGCGGCCGCCGCCUCUUCCCGCUGCUCCGCUAGCGCCGAAGCUCCCGGCUGGCUCUGCCACUGGUCACGUUUAACUACCGGUCUAAAUGGCCUAACCUCCCGGCAAAUGAACCCCCAGUAACCCACUGACACCGGGAGCCACAUCCCCUAAUUAACCAUUAAUAAAUUAAAACUCUUAAAUUAACAUUAGUGUAUGACAUGUGCGUCCCCUGUUAAUUAAUAAUUUACAUUAGUGUAUGACAUGUGCGUACCCUGUUAAAUAAACUGAUUUAAUUAAAAUCUAUUAACUUCGAGUCUAUGACAUAUCACUACUUGGGAAAAUCCUAGCAGUAGCGUGGGUAUUUUUCCUAUCAGUUGCGCCGGAUACCGCUCUACUGAUAAGGCACUACAGCUAACAUGUAGCAGUAAUGCGUGUCAUCCAACGCUACUGCUGUACAUGGCUAGCAGUAGCGAGCUUUAGUGCAAAGCGCUGCUGCUAAUAUCUGCAGCGCUUUUCAGCAUGAAGUGAUACUGGUAAGGGACCUCUACUACUAACUUUAUUCCCCUCGCUACUGCUAGUUUUAUUAGUUUCUGUUUUUUUCUGCAUAUUUCUUUUGUAUUUGAACAGGCUUUAUACAAUAAUAUUUAGCGUAUCAUACACAUACAAAUGUAAUCAUAGCAUAUACAUACAAAUAGUCUCGUCAAAUCAUGUCAUCAUCAUAAUCAUCAUCCAUCACAAAGUGGUCUCUCGUCAUCAUCUCUAAAAUAGCGAUACAAGUCUCGAUUACUUGCAACUACAUUGUCAUCCGUCUAAACAAUGAUAUACGCGAGAAGAGCUAUCACUAUGAGUGAGAGCGGAACUAUGCAGUACAUGAGUUUGUAUCCCUCUCUCGCAUUAGCGUGAACCUAAACUAACUACUAGUUGUCGCUCGGAAACCAGAAACCGGUACACCUGGGCCUGACACUCCGUCCACUCAUCUUAUACUCCUGGCGUAGCACUUCUGUGCCAUCGAUGAUCUAUGCACCUGCAUCGUCACAUGAGUCGAUGAUAUGCAACAUAUAUAGUUGAGCAAUAGAAACAGACAGACUUGGCAAAAAUAGAAGCAACAUAUCAUAAGCAUAAAUAACAAAGUUCAUCAUACCCAAAAUGCCCUAACUAGAGUGAUCUUCGCUAGUCGAGGAGGACGGUUUAAUUACAUCACAAAUAAUGUUUCAUCUUGCAUAACUCAAAGUGCCAUCAUACAGAAAGUAUGAACUAAACGGACACAUUGUCAUAUGUCGACAAUCACUCCAACAUGUCGUGCCAUCGAUCCAAGUCAAGGAGAUAGUCCCCGAGCUUAGUGAAAGGCUUCAGGUUGAGACGCUGAGCGGCAACGCGUGUUCGGACGUCUUCCCUCGACAUUUUUCCUUCUUCAUAGAACAUCCCUGUUUUUUCGAUGACCUCCCUCAUGAUGAUUUGGGCAAGUUCGCACUGGAAGUGAUAGAACUCAUCUUGAAGUCGAUGAUCCUCGAUAUCUCCUAAGUUCUUUGCCCAUUGCAGAAUAUGGGCAUCGCCGAAUCUAGGUGUCAUGCAAAGGUUCUGGUGAUCCCGUAUGUACUCCAUCAUGUGGUGUAGGACAUAGAAUCCAUCAUUAAGAGAAUCACUCAGUUGCUGGAUACAGCAGAAGCCGGUCUUAUGGCCGAAGGCGGGCCUGCCGUCCCUUUUCUUCUUGUCCUUGACCUCUCCACCCCGUGCACCGUAGUAAAACAUAGCACCGUCGAGAACAUACUUGAUGUGGGUGUAAUCCUUUUUUUUAAUGUUCUUCGAUGAGUCCAAGUAAAGAGCGUGGGAGUAUCGGGGGUAGAGGAUGAUGAGGAUGGUGCACCCGCCGCUGCGCAAAAUAAGUACACCUCAAAUUAAUUAGCCUCCACCGUGCAAAUGAAUGAUUGAAAUCGUAGGAAGGAUAUCCGCGUGGAUGACUUACAGGGGAUGAUAAGGCACAAGAAUCACCUCCUUGUCCUUAUUGGCACGCAUGAAAUUGACGAUGUAUUCCUCGCGUAUUCACGGUGCUUUGCGUGGACUCACAAGAAGACCUCGUGCAUGAAGUACCGAUCAGUGACACAGAUAUGAGGUAUUUGCUCAACCCCGAUGAGGUAGUUCAUGUGCAAGGCAUAAAGGUGGACGAAUGUAAAAUCCAGCUUCUUUAAGUGAAACAUGUCGAAGAUGUAAUCCAAUCGAAGGAAGAACUUGUUCGAGGGGAAUGUGUCGAUGUACGACAAUUGCAGCGACACGUUAACCACGGAGAGUGGGUAUGCUGGAUUUUUUGAGGCAAUGAGGCCUUUCUCUAUCAGCAACACAUCAUCAUGAAGUCUCCUUAUAUCGCCAAAUCAGGCCCCUAGCGCUGCUUUAGGUAGGAUUGGUUAACCGGGGAUACGCCAUAUUGCCGCACCGAGGAUAUCUAUACGGUCUUGAACCCGAGCCUGCUGAGGUGGCUGGAUCAUAGAAGCACCUUUGUUUCCUUUCCUCGGUGUCUUCCUUGGCUUCUUUGCUACCGGAAAGUCGUCUAUAAUAUGUUCAGCCUCUGGAGGCGGCAAUUCAGGCACCAACUCAUGCGCUCAAACCCUGAGUAGGCGCCAGUAUUGAGGUAUUGUUGAAUGUCAUCGUCGUCCUCAUCUAUGGCGAUGUCACUAGCGACAAAUCGAGCCUCUUCCUCACCCCGUCCGCUAUCACCCAGCACGACAGCCGACGCUAAUUGGGUAGGUGGGGUGUUGAUGUUCGUACCUAACUGCGUGCUCGUGUGUGUGCUCCCGGCCGCCUCCAGACAAAGCAGACUCUUUGACCACAACAGGACCCACCCAUUGCAACCACCAAGCCGCUGCGGGGUCUCGUCGUCAUCCCCUAGUAUCGGAGGAGCCAAAUUCUCGUGGCCCGGUUUGACACUGGCCACGAAAACUUUGAAGACAUACGGGGGGAUUGGUCGGCCAUGGAACAAUGGUUCCUUCGGCUUCAUUACCGUCACCUUCCCCACGUCCACCUUUUGGUCGCCGAUGUUGUACAAUAUGGUGCACGGGGUUACAUCGGCCUGCAAAGACACCGUGAGAUUAUACAUUUAUGGAAGAGGGCCGGUGUGACAGAUACCGUGAGGGCGUCGAGCUCAGCCAAAGACGAAGGACAGCUGAGCACGGCCGGUGUGGGAGCCGGUGUGGGAGCCGGUGCAGGUGCAGGUGCUGGUGCAUCGCUAGUCGUGCUACUCCCGAAGAAGUCAACAAUGGGAAAGUCCGCUGCAUUUUUUCUGGAUUUUGCAUGCUCCAAUUGAAAACGGCUGGAACCAAGACAAUAGACAUAUCUGCAACCACCUGUUUUGCGGCAGCUACCGUUAUCGUGACAGUCUCAGAUGAUUUCUUCUCUACUGCAAUCUCAACCUUCUUGUCGAUGUUUUCUUCAGUUAACCUCCAUCUUUCCUUUCUCUCCUCCGUGGUCUCACGGUAGCACUUCUUCCACGUGGCCCCGUCUCCGACACCGUGAACGCGUCCAUACGACGACCGAGUCUCCACUGGGAGUCCUUUCAAUAUGUUCAAUGCCCGGUUGAAUGGAGUGUCCCACUUGGGCCUCGCCAACGCCUCAGACGGCGAGUCUCUUUCGGUCGCAAUCUUGUGCUGCUCUCUCUACAAAAGGAACAAGGAUCAUUUACAAAUAUGACUAAACGUGCAGUCGAAUUGAUCAGAAACUAAAAUUACCAGCAGUCUCAUGAACUCCGUCGUGAUCGGGUCCGUCUUGAAAACCUUCUUGACCGAGUGCCAAUGGUGCCGUGCCCUGAGGACGUCAUGCUCCUACAGGACGGUGAAGUCCGCCAAGGGGUCUAGGAUGCCAGACUUUCGCGUUUCGUGUCCUCCUUGGCCCAUAUGGACCUCUUCCUGCUGUAACCACGGCUUCCGAGGUGGCGGUGCCCCAUGUUCCUUUGUUGAAACCCCUUCAUGUACUUUGACUUUGUUUUGGCAGUUUCAGCCUCGCAAGCCGCCUUGAAUAUUUCAAAGUGCUCUCCCGUGAUUGUCGGAUUAUCCUUUACAAUCUCGGAGUAGGGUUGAUACGUCUCCAAUGUAUCUAUUAUUUUUGAUUGCUCCAUGCUAUAUUAUCUACUGUUUUGGACAUUAUUGGGCUUUAUUAUCUACUUUUAUAUUAUAAUUUGGACUAACCUAUUAACCGGAGGCCCGAGCCCAGAAUUGCUGUUUUUUUGCCUGUCUUAGGGUUUCAAAGAAAAGGAAUAUCAAACGGAGUCCAAACGGAAUGAAACCUUCGGGAACGUGAUUUUCUCAACGAACAAGACCCAGGAGACUUUGACCCUACAUCAAGACACAAGGCGAAUCAUGUACGUAGCCACUAGUGAAACAUAUUAUCUUUAUUAUAUCUAUCAGAUCUCACUCUCGUAAGUGGCCGUGUUGGGAUUGACAACCCCUAUUCAUGUUGGUUGAGAGGAUUGAUUUGUUUUGUGCAAGUACAAAGGACUCGCGCGUAGCCUCCUAUUGGAUUAAUAGCUUGGUUCUCAAAAAGUGAGGGAAAUACUUACGCUACUUUGUUGCAUCAUCCCUUCCUCUUCGGGGAAAACCAACGCAGUGCUCAAGAGGUAGCAAGAAGGAUUUGCUGNNNNNNNNNNNNNNNNNNNNNNNNNNNNNNNNNNNNNNNNNNNNNNNNNNNNNNNNNNNNNNNNNNNNNNNNNNNNNNNNNNNNNNNNNNNNNNNNNNNNNNNNNNNNNNNNNNNNNNNNNNNNNNNNNNNNNNNNNNNNNNNNNNNNNNNNNNNNNNNNNNNNNNNNNNNNNNNNNNNNNNNNNNNNNNNNNNNNNNNNNNNNNNNNNNNNNNNNNNNNNNNNNNNNNNNNNNNNNNNNNNNNNNNNNNNNNNNNNNCCUCCACCCUCGUGGGCCCCCUGUUGCUCCACCGACGUACUCCUUCCUCCUAUAUAUACCUACGUACCCCCAAACGAUCAUAUACGGAGCCAAAACCCUAAUUCCACCGCCACAACUUUCUGUAUCCACGAGAUCCCAUCUUGGGGCCUGUUCCGGAGCUCCGCCGGAGGGGGCAUCAAUCACGGAGGGCUUCUACAUCAACACCAUAACCUCUCCGAUGAAGUGUGAGUAGUUCACCUCAAACCUACGGUUCCAUAGUUAUUAGCUAGAUGGCUUCUUCUCUCUUUUUGGAUCUAAAUACAAUGUUCUCCCCCUCUCUUGUGGAGAAUUAUUCGAUGUAAUCUUAUUUUUGCGGUGUGUUUAUUGAGACCGAUGAAUUGUGGGUUUAUGAUCAAGUCUCUCUAUGAAUAAUAUUUCAAUCUUCUCUGAAUUAUUUUAUGUAUGAUUGGUUAUCUUUGCAAGUCUCCUCGAAUUAUCAGUUUGGUUUGGCCCACUAGAUUGAUCUUUCUUGCAAUGGGAGAAGUGCUUAGCUUUGGGUUCAAUCUUGCGGUGUCCUUUCCCAGUGACAGUAGGGGCAGCAAGGCACGUAUUGUAUUGUUGCCAUCAUGGACAACAAAAUGGGGUUUUCAUCAUAUUGCAUCAGUCUAGCCCUCUACAUCAUGUUAUCUUGCUUAAGGCGUUAAUUUGUUUUUAACUUAAUACUCUAGAUGCAUGCUGGAUAGCGGUCGAUGAGUGGAGUAAUAGUAGUAGAUGCAGGCAAGAGCGGUCUACUUGUCUCGGACAUGAUGCCUAUAUACAUGAUGAUACCUAGAUAUUCUCAUAACUAUGCUCAAUUCUGUCAAUUGCUGAACAGUAAUUUGUUCACCCACCGUAGAAUACUUAUGCUCUCGAGGGAAGCCACUAGUGAAACCUAUGGCCCCGGGUCUAUCUUUAUCAUAUUAAUCUUCUACUACUUAGUUAUUUCCUUUGCUUUUUACUUUUCCUUUAUUUUACUUUGCAUCUUUAUCACCAAAAUACCAAUAAAAUUAUCUUUAUCAUAUCUAUCAAAUCUCACUCUGGUAAGUGGCCGUGUAGGGAUUGACAACCCCUAUUCGUGUUGGUUGCGAGGAUUUAUUUGUUUUGUGCAGGUACGAGGGACUCGCGCGUAGCCUCCUACUGGAUUGAUACCUUGGUUCUCAAAACCUGAGGGAAAUACUUACGCUACUUUGCUGCAUCAUCCCUUCCUGUUCGGGGAAAACCAACGCAGUGCUCAAGAGGUAGCAAGGGUUCCUUUUUGUCGACGAUCCGAUGUUUCAACCUUGUUUUCCAGGCGGCCAACGCGUCGCUAAACUUGGGCAUGGCGUGUUUGUUUAUCUUCUUCAUUGCCACGUCCUUAUCUGGAUCAUUAUUAUCCUUUUCAUUGCAGUCAGGGAACAAGAAUAUCUGGUGCAGCUUCUUUAGGAGGGAGGGCCUCAUAUUAUCUAUCUUCUGUAGUUUCCCAUCGUUGAUCGUGGCAGUUGUCCGUACGAUGCAACCUAUUUGAUUGCCGUAGCACGAUCGCGCUUCCUCGGGCGCUAUUGUCUCAAAAAUACCGUUGUCCAUCUCCGUGACCACCAGUCUAGUACUCAUGAGCUGGUUUGGGUGCCGUGGCCUCUUUGCUUUCGGUUCUAGACCAGCUCCGCUAGUCUCGGCGCCGGUCUCAGUCUCAUCACCGGUCUGCAUGUCGGUAUCAGUCCCCGAUGCGACAGCACAGUCGCUGCAACAUGGGUAAGGGAGACCACAUCAGUGCUGGGGUGGUCUGAAAAUUGGGACACACUUUCGCGCAUUGCGGGCCGCCUCUCAGACAGCUACUGGGGAGGCGGCGGAGUACCUGGGUGCGCGACGAAUCCCCGGGAACUCGGUGACCAACUUCCUUCCCAUGUAGCGCAUGGAGACGAUGGCGACCCCGCCGAAGAGCAGCUUAGUUGCGAGCUGCACAGCCUCGUCCACCUCCUAAGUUGGGACCUCCGCGCGAGCGUUGCGGGGCCGCCGCUCGGAUGGCUUCUGGAAGGCGCUUGUACAUGGGCACAGGGUGAAUCCCGGCAAGAGCUGGCCAUUGGUGCGCGCAAGUAGACGACGACGUCGCCGACGAAGAGCAGCCCGGCCAGCUCGCCUCACUCUCCUUUGAUUAGAAUUGAAAGAUUGGGAAGAAGCAGACUUGAGCCUGCAGGGAAAGGAUAAGGUGACGAUGCAGUCUCCACUCGUUCGGGGCGACACGCGUACUGAAUGUAUGAGAAACGCGACGUGGCAGGGACCCCAAGAUACUCCCUCCAUUUAUUUUUAGUCUGCAUAUAAAGUUUGGUCAAAGUCAAGAUUUGUAAAUUUUAACUAACUUUAUAAUAAAAAAAAUCAACAUUCACAAUAUGAAAUAAUUAUUACCAGAUGCGUCAUGAAAUGUAUUUCCAUACUAUAUAGGUUUGGUAAUGUAGAUGUUCAUAUUCUUUUAUAUAAAUGGGAAGUAGAGGCACUCUUCCAUAUAAUGAAGUUUAUAAUAUAUGUGCUUAUAUUAUACUAUAAUUGUUUGAAUAACUUAGCAUAUGUUCAGAUGUAUGAUAUCUGUAAUUUAAGCGCUUGAAUUUUACAUAUAAAUAUUUAUUAAUAAAUAUGUACCCCUAUAAUAGCUAGGCCGUGCAGUUGCACGGGUAGAUGACUAGUGAUUACAAUCUUGUUUGUGUGCAAGUCAAGCUUAUCUAGUUUACACGUAACAACUUGUAGAACAUUACAAAAUUUAUGCUUGCUAAUAACUUCUAGAACACUACAACACUUGACAUGUAAAAGGAAUUUGACGAGUCAUGGCCUACUAAAGAAAGUUACAUUACUAGUCUUAUAUCUAUCUUAAUAGACCACACAAGACUACAAAUUAAGUACCGUGACAGCCAUGAUUAUCUAGUUUAUGCGUAACAAUUUGCAGAAAAUUACAAACUUAGUUUUAGAAAAAUAGGCAAUCCAGAUUAGUGUUUGAGCUGUAAAGUGAAUAAGAUGAGUCAUGCGUGUUAUCACACCUUUUUGGUGGUGGAAUGAUAGUGCAAAACAAGGAACUUUAAUGAACAGUCCAAUAAUACACUUGUAAGUAGUGCCACCAAACAGAACAUACCAAAUGAUGAUUUUGAGAAGCAUCCAAGCACUUUCCACACAAACAAAUGCCAAUUGUGAAAGAGAUCAUUCCAUGGCAGCUAUAAAUAGCCCCGUAGCAUGACGAUCAUCCUUCCUCAUCCAUCAUUCUCAUAAGUAGAGCGCAUCAUUUAAGCCAAGCAAGCUGUGGUCAAUACAAAUCCACCAUGAAGACAUUUCUCAUCCUUGCCCUCCUUGCUAUCGUGGCGACCACCGCCACAACUGCAGUUAGAGUUCCAGUGCCACAAUUGCAGCCACAAAAUCCAUCUCAGCAACAGUCACAAGAGCAAGUUCCAUUGGUACAACAACAACAAUUUCUAGGGCAGCAACAACCAUUUCCACCACAACAACCAUAUCCACAGCCGCAACCAUUUCCAUCACAACAACCAUAUCUGCAGCUGCAACCAUUUCCGCAGCCGCAACUACCAUAUUCGCAGCCACAACCAUUUCGACCACAACAACCAUAUCCACAACCGCAACCACAAUAUUCGCAACCACAACAUCCAAUUUCACAGCAGCAGCAGCAGCAACAACAACAACAACAACAAGAACAACAAAUACUUCAACAAAUUUUGCAACAACAACUGAUUCCAUGCAUGGAUGUUGUAUUGCAGCAACACAACAUAGCGCAUGGAAGAUCACAAGUUUUGCAACAAAGUACUUACCAGCUGUUGCAAGAAUUGUGUUGUCAGCACCUAUGGCAGAUCCCUGAGCAGUCGCAGUGCCAGGCCAUCCACAAUGUUGUUCAUGCUAUUAUUCUGCGUCAACAACAAAAACAACAACAACAACCAUCGAGCCAGGUCUCCUUCCAACAGCCUCAGCAACAAUAUCCAUUAGGCCAGGGCUCCUUCCGGCCAUCUCAGCAAAACCCACAGGCCCAGGGCUCUGUCCAGCCUCAACAACUGCCCCAGUUCGAGGAAAUAAGGAACCUAGCGCUACAGACGCUACCUGCAAUGUGCAAUGUCUACAUCCCUCCAUAUUGCACCAUCGCGCCAUUUGGCAUCUUUGGUACUAACUAAGAAGAAAAUAACUCUAGUACUAGAUAUAUGAAACACCGUUUUCUCAGUCCAUGGUUUGGUCGUUGUAGCGGUGAAAAAAUAAAGUGACAUGCACUAUCAUGUAAGAACCCAAACUAUACUAGUUCAAACUUGGGAAUAAAAGACAAACACAGGUCUUGUCUACAUAUUUAUGCUGCAUCUAUUUAUAUAUUAAAAGUAAUAUAAGGUGAACCAGGAGCAAGGUAAAUAUGGUAGAAAAUUGCACGUUAAUUAGAAAUUACUAGCCCUCGAUCUGGUAAAUCUUAACAAAUAUAAUUAUCUUGACCGUUAGAUUUAUGUAACAUAUAUAAUGCUCUAGGCCUCCAACGACUGUACGUGACACAUCUGAACGCAGAUAUGUUAAAGAAAAUAUAUUUGGUAAAUGGUGGGCCUCUUUAAAAAGAGAACUUACGUACAUACACCAACUAAGAAAAACACAUACAUGUAAACGGGAAAAGGAUGAGAUUUUCUCACAUACGUGUGUUGAUGCUUAAAAGUGGCAUGAUCAUAAAGCAGCAUGCCAGGGUGAAAACCUUGCCGGGGUAAAAUCUUGCCGGUGUGAAAGCUUGCCGGUGUGAAGGCUUGCCGGUGUGGAAAGCUUGCCGGCACAGAAAGAUCGCCGGUGCUUGCCGGUGUGAAAUCUUGCCGGGGGAGAAACCUUGUCAGGGAGGAACCCUUGCCGGAGUACAAACCUUGCCGUAGUGAAACCUUGCCGGUGUGAAAGCUUGCCGGGUAGAAACAUUGCCGGUGUGGAAAGCUUACUCGGAUGGAAAACUUGCCGGGUUGGAGGCUGUGAUAGUCAAUCGAACGAGAAGUUGAAGAUGGGCUCAAAAGGUUAUUCAGAUGAUCUCGGAUGGAAAAAUGAUCUACAGGGGUUGUCUUCGUCUCGUCGAAACGAUCGAUUUUGAUAUAAAAAUCAUUCAAAUCCGAGUUCGUAUGCAAAAUUUAGAGCAAUCGGAGUGCAGCCCUGUCACGAGGCGAGAUGUGGCGCGCCCCACCAAACACAUGUCUGACGGGUAGCGCGAGGAAAUAGCCUGUGUUGCGAGACCGAUCUGACCCUCAAGAUGAUCUCUGAUCCAAAAACCUUCAACAUGAAAGUUGUUCGUCUCAUCGAAACGGUCAAGAUUGCUUUUGGGCUUGUUUUCAUCCGGGAUCGUUUACCACCGCAAAAAAGACCCGCAAGGUGCAGCCAGUUUAAACCGAACAGUUUUGGAAAGUUUGGAUAAACCAGUCCGAAUUUGACUAGGGUUUUGGACGUGAAUUGAUGUAAUUUUCUUGUAAGGAAAGCCUAGAUAAAUUCUUUGCUUGUACGGGAAGUCCAGCUGCCUCUUAUAUAUGUUGGGGGUGACGGGCGAUUGAAACAACACACAAUCGAACAAACACAUCUACUACUUUUUCGUGUUCAUCUACUUUUUAUCUCUCCCUUGUAUCUUUCUUCUCGUUCUUCGCUAGUUCUUCUUGCUGGAGGCUGCGGAUCCACGAGGCUCUAGGGGCGAGCGAAUCGACCUAGGGCAGCCCUGACGGGGUCCCUCCCGGGUGCGCGGGGUUUCGGGUCUGCAAAAGCGCCCGCCGACUGUCUUGCGUAUCACGCUAUCGGUCGGGUCUCCUUCGACGUGAGCUGCGGUGCAUCACCCCCGGCAUCGAGGGUACACGUGACGUGUUCGUGUGCGAACACACUUUUUCGCGACUCCACUGGGGACGAAGCUUUGAAUAGUCUCCAGCCUGUUCUUGCUACGAGGAGAGCGUCAUCAAGCGACUGCAUUCUACAACGGUAACAUGUAUCAUCAAUCUCCUUGCGUAGAUGCAAAUAGCCAUUAUGUUGAUGUUGCUAGAUCUUUCAAUGGACAUGUGAUGUCGGCCAGCCCUAAUGAGGAAAGGCCGACUAGUUAUUCCAUUGGAGAAACUUGGAAUUUACAGAAUCGUGACAUGCAACUUAUGAAUCUGAACUUUCGUGCAUCGGCAACAACUUUCAAUAUGCCGGUGAACAACACGAUUUGUUCGAGUGAUCAAUAUAGGACACCUCAUGUAAAAGUUUUAUCCAUCGGCAGCCGACUCGCAAUAUGCUGGUUCAUCCCCAAACAUGCCGAUGAAUGGGGGAAUCAGCCAUGCUUCUGUUAGCUAUUUGGCCGGUUAUCCUCAAACAUCAUAUACUACACCUCAUCCGAUUAAUUGUUCAGUGGCAUAUGAAACUAAAAAUAUUAAUAACACGGCUCACGUUCACGGUCAUGGACGAGUGAAUGGGGAUACUAUAGGAGCAUAUGUGUGUGACGCCCCCAAUUUAAUCGUACACUAAUCAUACACGCAAACAUGUACGAUCAAGAUCAGGGACUCACGGGAAGAUAUCACAACACAACUCUACAAAUAAAAUAAGUCAUGCAAGCAUCAUAUUACAAGCCAGGGGCCUCGAAGGCUCGAAUACAAGAGCUCGAUCAUAGACGAGUCAGCGGAAGCAACAAUAUCUGAGUACAGACAUAAGUUAAACAAGUUUGCCUUAAGAAGGCUAGCACAAACUGGGAUACAGAUUGAAAGAGGCACAGGCCUCCUGCCUGGGAACCUCCUAACUACUCCUGGUCGUCGUUCUGAGGGCAGCACGUAGUAGUAGGCACCUCCAGCGUAGUAGGAGUCGUCGUCGACGAUGGCGUCUGGAUCCUGGGCUCCAGCAUCUGGUUGCGACAACCAGGUAGAAGGGAUAGAGGGAAAAGAAGGAGAAAGCAACCGUGAGUACUCAUCCAAAGUACUCGCAAGCAAGGAGCUACACUACAUAUGUAUGCGUUGGUAUCAACUGGAAUAAGGCUAUUAUAUGUGGACUGAACUGCAGAAAGCCGGAAUACGAGGGAGAUAGCUAGUCCUUUCGAAGACUACGCUUUUGGUAACCUCCAUCUUGCAGCAUGUAGAAGAGAGUAGACGGAAGUCCUCCAAGUAGCAUCGCAUAGCAUAAACCUAACCGAUGAUCCUCCCCUCGUCGCCCUGUGCGAGAGCGAUCACCGGUUGUAUCUGGCUCUUGGAAGGGUGUGUUUUAUUAAGUAUCCGGUUCUAGUUGUCAUAAGGUCAAGGUACAACUCCGGGUCGUCCUUUUAUCGAGGGACACGGCUAUUCGAAUAGAUAAACUUCCCUGCAGGGGUGCACCACAUAACCCAACACGCUCGAUCCCAUUUGGCCGGACACACUUUUCUGGGUCAUGCCCGGCCUCGGAAGAUCAACACGUCGUAGCCCUACCUAGGCACAACAGAGAGGUCAGCACGCCGGUCUAAAUCCUAUGGCGCAGGGGUCUGGGCCCAUCGCCCUUUGCACACCUGCACGUUGCGAACGCGGCCGGAAGCAGACCUAGCCUAGUGGCGUUCCAGUCCAAUCCGGCGCGCGCCACUCAGUCACUGAUGUCACGAAGGCUUCGGCUGAUACCACGACGUCGAGUGGCCAUAACUGUCCCCGCAUAGAUGGUUAGUGCGUAUAAGCCAGAUGGCCAGACUCAGAUCAAAUACCCAGAUCUCGUUAAGCGUGUUAUGUAUCCGCGAACACCGACCAGGGCCAGGACCACCUCUCUCCUACGUGGUCUGAACCUGCCCUGUCGCUCCGCCACAAAGUAACAGUCGGGGGCCGUCGGGAACCCAGGCCCACCUCUACCGGGAUGGAGCCACCUACCCCUUCAGCCCCAACUACGAACAGUACCACAGGUAAUGUAACAGUGUAAAGUAUAUAGUAAAUGCCCGUGAUCACCUCCCGAAGUGAUCACGGCCCAGUAGUAUAGCAUGGCAGACGGACAAGAGAGUAGGGCCACUGAUGGAACACUAGCAUCCUAUACUAAGCAGUAGGAUAGCAGGUAAUGGUAACAAUAGUAGUAGCAAGGACAGGCUAUGCAUCAGGAUAGGAAUAACGGAAAGCAGUAACAUGCUACACUACUUUAAUGCAAGCAGUAUAGAGAAGAGUAGGCGAUAUCUGGUGAUCAAAGGGGGGGCUUGCCUGGUUGCUAUGGCAAGAGAGAGCGGUCGUCAACACCGUAGUCGUACUGUGUAGCAGCGCCGUCAGUCUCGGUGUCUAGCGAGAGAAGAGGGGGAGGAAACAAUAAAUAUAAUGCAAACAAAUGCAUGAUGAUGCAUGACACGACAAAGCGUGAUGCUAGGUGUGCCCUAACGCGGUACGAGGUGGUACCGGUGAAGGGGGGAAACAUCCGGGAAAGUAUUCCCGGUGUUUCGCGUUUUCGGACAGAGGAGUCAGAGGGGGAAAGUUGCGUGUUCGGUAUGCUAGGGAGGCGUGGUGGACGAACGGGUUGUCUAUCCGAGUUCGUCUCGUCGUUCUGAGCAACUUUCAUGUUGAAAAUAAUUUAAUCCGAGUUACGUAUUAAAAGAUAUGGUUUUCUAAAGAUUUUACUAAUUUCUGGAAUUUAAUUAAUUAUUUAAUUUAAUUUGAAAUUUGGAUUUAUGACAUCAGCAUGAUGUCAUGCUGACAUCAGCAGUCAACAUGGGUUGACUAGGUCAACUGAUGCGUGGGUCCAGUGGGACCCACCUGUCAUACUAUAUUAGGUUAAUUAGGGUUUAGUUAAUUGAUUAGGCUAAUCUAAUCAGGAUUACUUUGUUUAAUUAAUUCUUUAAUUAAUUAAUUAUCAUUUUAACUAAUUUUAAUUAUUAUUUAUUAAUUCAUUCAUUUUUUUAAAUUAUUAUUUUUAUUUCGUUCUCGUUUCAGGGGGGCGUGGGGCCCCGCACACAGGGCCACCGCGAGGCUGUUGCCAGCGGGCGCUGGGGCGAUGGGUGCGGGCGCACCCGAGCGGGCACUCGCCCGCAGGGCGGGAUGAGCCGCCGGCGGGCAGCGACAGGCGCGUGCCAACCGGGCGGUGGCCGCGGCUGAUAGGGCGCAGGAAGGGGAGAGGCGAGAACGCGACGCACGGGGAAGCAGCAUCAGGGGCGAGGAGCACCACGGGACGAAGCGCAGCGGGCGCCGGUCNNNNNNNNNNNNNNNNNNNNNNNNNNNNNNNNNNNNNNNNNNNNNNNNNNNNNNNNNNNNNNNNNNNNNNNNNNNNNNNNNNNNNNNNNNNNNNNNNNNNNNNNNNNNNNNNNNNNNNNNNNNNNNNNNNNNNNNNNNNNNNNNNNNNNNNNNNNNNNNNNNNNNNNNNNNNNNNNNNNNNNNNNNNNNNNNNNNNNNNNNNNNNNNNNNNNNNNNNNNNNNNNNNNNNNNNNNNNNNNNNNNNNNNNNNNNNNNNNNNNNNNNNNNNNNNNNNNNNNNNNNNNNNNNNNNNNNNNNNNNNNNNNNNNNNNNNNNNNNNNNNNNNNNNNNNNNNNNNNNNNNNNNNNNNNNNNNNNNNNNNNNNNNNNNNNNNNNNNNNNNNNNNNNNNNNNNNNNNNNNNNNNNNNNNNNNNNNNNNNNNNNNNNNNNNNNNNNNNNNNNNNNNNNNNNNNNNNNNNNNNNNNNNNNNNNNNNNNNNNNNNNNNNNNNNNNNNNNNNNNNNNNNNNNNNNNNNNNNNNNNNNNNNNNNNNNNNNNNNNNNNNNNNNNNNNNNNNNNNNNNNNNNNNNNNNNNNNNNNNNNNNNNNNNNNNNNNNNNNNNNNNNNNNNNNNNNNNNNNNNNNNGGCCUGGGGUUUGUCCUAGCUAGCAGCUGGGCCGAGUGGCCCAGUGGGGGGGGGGUUGUUUUAUUCCUUUCCCUUUUAUACCUUUUCACACUUUUCUUCUUUUGUUUUAUUUUAGUUACACAUUAAUUUUAAUUUUUGACAAAUAUAUCUAUAGCCCCUAAAAUAAUGUUUCAGAACAAUCCACUACUAUAGAAAGUUUUACCCUGAUAAAAUAGUCUAGUAUUUUAUAAAAUACCAAACUCGUUUAAAUAGUUGUUUAGCUACUAUUUAAAUCAUUUUAGUGCUUUAAAUCUUUUUACUAAAAUGUGGUUCCUCCACCAUUUGGACUUAGGAUUUAUUUGUCCCAUUUUGAACAUUUUAGUCUUAACGUUUGAAGAAUUUACCGUUUGACUCGAUUUUGAAUUUGAAUUUGAAUCGGUGUCGAACUAACACGAGAUUAGCAACAGUAACCAUCGUGACGUGGCAUCAUUAACAGAGGUUUACUGUAUAUCAAAUACCCGGGCGUCACAAUUCUCCUCCACUACAAGAAAUCUCGUCCCGAGAUUUAAGAGGGGAGUAUGGGGGAAAGAUCUGGUUACGAAAUUCUAACGAGUCUUCUCGGUCUUGCUUGCUCUUGUCGAAAUGGUCGAUCCAUUAUGUUGAUGUUUUCAUUUCUCUGCUUCAGGUCAUCAUGGUGAAGUCGUCCUUUUCUUCGGGAACUCCAACGUGCUUACGAAUAGGUAAGGGGCAGCUUGGCUACGACAGAAUGCUUAUGAGGGAAACAAUCUGGUGAUAACCCAUGAAUGAACAUAAGAUUAUCUCUCGAGUUGAACAUAUAAAAUACAUCAAGAGUAAGGUACGAAGGUACCAUGAGAAGUUUCAAACGGAUAGGCAAUCGUUCGAUGUCUGAAACAACACGCGAAAGGGGUCCAGAGCAACGAGAUUGAGUAUUGCGUCUGUUACCAGAAUAGAUCACUAGGACGGUGGUCUGUGAAUUACAUACAAGGUCACGCACGAGGAAUAACUUUAGGAACAGGGGGUGUACAGGAGAGUCAGGUUCGAUCCUGUGGAACUGUGGGUUAUGGGCCCACCAUGUGGGUUAAAGUAGGAAGGGCAGUGACGUCUUGCAAGAUCAUGUAAGCAAGGCAUGUCAGAGGAUAGCCUGUCAGCUAUGUCGACGACAACAUCGAUACCAAGGGCGAGGGACGAAGAGAACCAUUUUCCUGCUCGUUGAACGAGGCGGACCAAUAAGAAAAGUUCUCGUCCAUCAGUGGUUACCAGAAUGUCAUCAACAAAGGUAAUAGGGUCUUUCUGACAGAGUGGUACAACGAGGUGACUGCUUAUAUAAUAUAGAUUACAAGAAGGUUUAAACAGAACAAUGGAAAGGAAAAUGUGUGUAAACACACAUUUCAAGGGUAUAUCCUUCCCAAGGACAAGCAAAGCAAGAUAUCCAUGAAAGGAUAUAAUGUAGAAAACUCUUUAGGUAAGGUGAGAGAAAUUUCAUGACAUUACCCAUACAAUGGUGUUUGGAUAAAUGAGCGAGAAACAUUUAGCAUUGGGCUUCAAAUGUUCUUUGUGGAAAAUUGGAGUACCACAGACAUGCUUCGAGAUAGCGUUGGCGUGGUAUUCAAGCAAAGGUCAGACUUAGGAUGCACAAAGGAUUCAUCAGGAACAACUUAUAGAAUAAGUCUUACCAUUUCUCAAGGAAGAAUAGAUAACCUUGCUAAAAAGAAAAACUAUAACAUUAGGUCCUCCGACCAGGUGGGCUAGGCAUGCUAUCACCUUACUGGGUUAUAUUGAUAACAAUGUUAUAACUCUUGGAAAUAUGUCUCAACCAUCAUAUCUGACCGAGAUUCAGAUCCGAUUGGUGUCAGGAUACAUCAGACAUCAGGAUGCCUGAGAAGAGAAGGUGCAACACAAUUUAACGAGAUGACACUGCGAGAAUCUCAGAAAUGAUCUAUGGAAGCGAGUUCCGAAGCAAGAGUUCAUCAUUAAACCAAGGAGAGGAUGAGGGGUGGCUGAUGAACUAACGGCAAUUCAUCGAGAUUUCCAAAAGAUGGAUUUCCACAAUCAUGUGAACAAAGAGUUAACAUUUGUCAGAUCAAACAAUAUAAUGAGGUGUGCUCGAGGAAAACAUACUCAAUUAAACAUUGGUGGAAAGCUGCACCCAAAAUAUGGGCUUAGGUAGCCUGAUCAAUGUUGGAACGGUGAUUCGAUAACCAAUAUUCUAAGAAUGAAAGGUCGACCAUUAACUUCAAAGCAAUAUGGUUGCUAGAAGUACAGAAUCCAAGCAACAACGUUCACCUGUUGGUAUCCCGGUUAGAAUCAACACGGGAACCAAGAAAGAAUGAUGAUGGUGAGGAGUAUCGCUAUACCAAGAAUUCUCAAGAGGUGGAGCAAUCCUCACAACAUACAUGUCAUCAAGGACAUUGAUACUUCAAGGUAGAAUAUCAUAAAAGCUAGAUAGCAAGUUGCAUCCAUAACAUGGACAAGUUUGUGUUGGGGGAAGGCAAGAAAGUGAUCGAUGAUAACACAAAUCAUCGAGGGCAAGGAUGGUACUUUUCAUUAUGAAUUCGAUUGAUAUCCUGCAAGAGCUCAAGAUGUGGGUGCUGAUGACGACACAUUUGUCGAGAGAUUUCAUGAAGAUGUAGUCUAUCGGCGAUGACAUCAAGUCAAAGGAAUUAUGAAGCAAAAGGUUAUCGGAACCAUGGGUACGACACAAACUCAAAAUCAAGCUUGUUGUUCAAGGUGAAAGAUAUGACGAGAAAGAUCAACGUAAGCUUAGCUCAUCGUUGAAAGUUGUGUUCCGGGAAGAAGGACCAGGUAGCACAGUUAAAAUUUAGCACGGUAAUGAUAUAGCCAACCGGGCUAGGAAUGACUUGAAGGAUUAUUAAACUCAUAAGCAGUAAAAAUUACUUAUAGUUAUUGAAUCGAAGUACAGACUCGAUUCACUGUCGGUGUCCUUGAGUGUCUAACAACUCAGAACCCGGGGAAAAUUUUGGAACCAGUGAGAAAUAAUACUUGAAGAAUAACUCAUAAGAAGUUAUGCAGUUCCAUGAUAAUCUCGAGAUACCAGGGGGUAAUACUCGACGACAGAUCAAAGUAGAGGUUGGACUAGGGAUUGCUCUGUAGAAGACAAGUGCUCAAACUUGCACGAGAAAUGGAAUCAAGGAGAAACAUGGUCGAAACCUCGUCCACAGGUACAAGAUGAACUUAUAACAAGUGGACAAUUAUUUUAAGAGAAGCUUCCAUGAUAAGGUAUACAUCGUGUCCAUGGGCAUGAACACAGGGUUCAAGGUCGACUCCCACUUAUUCAACACAUAACCUUUCAUGCACCUCUCGUAUUUCAAAAAUGACAUUAGUUCUUGAAAGUUUUUACCUGGUGCAAUACCAGAUACAUAUUACCCGUGAAAUCUUUCGGGUUCACACGGAUUAGGCAAGGCGUAGGUUCAACCCAUCAGGGCAUCUUAGGAACAUAUACCACAAACUUCGGAGUAAAUAAUACAAGCUUGAAAGUAGAGCAUGGUUGACAAAAGGGGAGGAUACAAUUUACCACAGGCAUUAUGUAUCGGAGAAAGAACUCACAAGGUGAUUAAUUUUGAAGGACACUGUCGGAUAAUAAUCCAACAGUGGAAUUGGCGAUCCACAAUGGAGCUGAUGUGAGUAUCGAUACCCAAUCAGAGGAAGAAAGAAUGCAAAUGCAUCGGUUUAUAGAACAUCUGAAUAAUUCAACGUUUAAAUAGCAAAGGAAUUAUGAUUUUCAAAUCAAGGGAUCGGGAGCAAAUGCUCUGAUUAGGGAUGGGUAAGUAGAAUAGCCUUAGGGGUACAUGCGACGACAUUUGGAUUUGUUGAGAACCAGCUCAUGUUUAAAAUGACGUCUGAGCCGGAAUGAUAAUUUAAAAGGAUCAACUGAUGAUUGCGUGCAUUCGCACUCAUGUUGAGUCAAUAGGAUCAAAAAGACGAUGCCUAAGGAUACUAACGAAUAUUUCCAGACAUAUGGAAAGCAUCCAUAAUGCAAGCAGGCAAGUAUUGCAGAGCAAUAAGCUACUAAGGAUUUUUGGAGGAUCGAAUAGUAUUUUGAAGACCAUUGUGAAACACAUGAACAACUGGGGAUGAGUGGAUACUCGACAAGUGCGAGGAUUUAAUUGAAGGGGUAUUCAUGUGGCAAGGAACUGCUAGGCAGUAGGCACAAAGUAUUCUCGGAACAAUAGAGAGAAUUUUGGGGCAUCUUGUAAUAACAAGAUCAAUGAGGAAUGAUUAUAUGAAUAGCACAUGUAGGUGGUUAUCCAUAGAGGUCUAUCGAUAGAAGGGAAUUGCAAAAGCAACAGGCACAAGGUCUCGACAGAAUAUCGGAGAGUAUCUUCGAAAUCUUCUAGUGUAGUCGGCGAUCAUCUGGAUUGAAAGGGCUCUCCGGGAGAAAGUAUUUUCGAGAACCUAAGUUAGAUUUUUAGUAAAUUCAUUAAACCCGAAUAGGAGGGAGUUCAGAGUCCCAGAGCAUAGACGAGGAAUAAAAGAUCCUAAUACCACCCAAUGGCGACGUGGGCCCAUAGGCCACACAGCCAUGUUAGUAAAGGUUUUGCAAUGACUAGACUCAACUUCGGCCAAGGAGGUGGAAAGGGGAUUCCUACAGGCAGUCGGCUCUGAUACCAACUUGUGACACCCCCGAUUUAAUCGUACACUAAUCAUACACGCAAACGUGUACGAUCAAGAUCAGGGACUCACGGGAAGAUAUCACAACACAACUCUACAAAUAAAAUAAGUCAUACAAGCAUCAUAUUACAAGCCAGGCGCCUCGAAGGCUCGAAUACAAGAGCUCGAUCAUAGACGAGUCAGCGGAAGCAACAAUAUCUGAGUACAGACAUAAGUUAAACAAGUUUGCCUUAAGAAGGCUAGCACAAACUGGGAUACAGAUCGAAAGAGGCGCAUGCCUCCUGCCUGGGAUCCUCCUAACUACUCCUGGUCGUCGUUCUGAGGGCAGCACAUAGUAGUAGGCACCUCCAGUGUAGUAGGAGUCGUCGUCGACGAUGGCGUCUGGAUCCUGGGCUCCAGCAUCUGGUUGCGACAACCAGGUAGAAGGGAUAGAGGGAAAAGAAGGAGAAAGCAACCGUCAGUACUCAUCCAAAGUACUCGCAAGCAAGGAGCUACACUACAUAUGUAUGCGUUGGUAUCAACUGGAAUAAGGCUAUUAUAUGUGGAUUGAACUGCAGAAAGCCGGAAUACGAGGGGGAUAGCUAGUCCUUUCGAAGACUACGCUUCCGGUAACCUCCAGCUUGCAGCAUGUAGAAGAGAGUAGACGGAAGUCCUCCAAGUAGCAUCGCAUAGCAUAAACCUAACCGAUGAUCCUCCCCUCGUCGCCCUAUGAGAGAGCGAUCACCGGUUUUAUCUGGCUCUUGGAAGGGUGUGUUUUAUUACGGUUCUAGUUGUCAUAAGGUCAAGGUACAACUCCGGGUCGUCCUUUUACCGAGGGACACGGCUAUUCGAAUAGAUAAACUUCCCUGCAGGGGUGCACCACAUAACCCAACACGCUCGAUCCCAUUUGGCCGAACACACUUUUCUAGGUCAUGCCCGUCCUCGGAAGAUCAACACGUCGCAGCCCUACCUAGGCACAACAGAGAGGUCAGCACGCCGGUCUAAAUCCUAUGGCGCAGGGGUCUGGCCCCAUCGCCCUUUGCACACCUGCAUGUUGCGGACGCGGCCGGAAGCAGACCUAGCCUAGUGGCGUUCUAGUCCAAUCCGGCGCGCGCCACUCAGUCGCUGACGUCACGAAGGCUUCGGCUGAUACCACGACGUUGAGUGCCCAUAACUGUCCCCACGUAGAUGGUUAGUGCGUAUAAGCCAGAUGGCCAGACUCAGAUCAAAUACCCAGAUCUCGUUAAGCGUGUUAAGUAUCUGCGAACGCCGACCAGGGCCAGGCCCACCUCUCUCCUAGGUGGUCUGAACCUGCCCGGUCGCUUCGCCACAAAGUAACAGUCGGGGGCCGUCGGGAACCCAGGCCCACCUCUACCGGGAUGGAGCCACCUGCCCCUUUAGCCCCCAACUCCGAACAGUACCAUAGGUAAUGUAACAGUGUAAAGUAUAUAGUAAAUGCCCGUGAUCACCUCCCGAAGUGAUCACGGCCCAGUAGUAUAGCAUGGCAGACGGACAAGAGUGUAGGGCCACUAAUGGAACACUAGCAUCCUAUACUAAGCAGUAGGAUAGCAGGUAAUGGUAAUAAUAUUAGUAGCAAGGACAGGCUAUGCAUCAGGAUAGGAAUAACGGAAAGCAGUAACAUGCUACACUACUCUAAUGCAAGCAGUAUAGAGAAGAGUAGGCGAUAUCUGGUGAUCAAAGGGGGGGCUUGCCUGGUUGCUCUGGCAAGAGAGAGGGGUCGUCAACACCGUAGUCGUACUGUGUAGCAGCAACGUCGGUCUCGGUGUCUAGCGAGAGAAGAGGGGGAGGAAACAAUAAAUAUAAUGCAAACAAAUGCAUGACGAUGCAUGACACGACAAAGCGUGAUGCUAGGUGUGCCCUAACGUGGUACGAGGUGGUACCGGUGAAGGGGGGAAACAUCCGAGAAAGUAUUCCCGGUGUUUCACAUUUACGGACAGAGGAGUCAGAGGGGGAAAGUUGCGUGUUCGGUAUGCUAGGGAGGCGUGGUGGACGAACGAGUUGCGUAUCCGGGUUCGUCUCGUCGUUCUGAGCAACUUUCAUGUUGAAAAUAAUUUAAUCCGAGUUACGUAUUAAAAGAUAUGGUUUUCUAAAGAUUUUACUAAUUUCUGGAAUUUAAUUAAUUAUUUAAUUUAAUUUGAAAUAUGGAUUUAUGACAUCAGCAUGAUGUCAUGCUGACAUCAGCAGUCAACAUGGGUUGACUGGGUCAACUGACGCGUGGGUCCAGUGGGACCCAUGAAGGAAAUAUGCCCUAGAGGCAAUAAUAAAGUUAUUAUUUAUUUCCUUAUAUCAUGAUAAGAGUUUAUUAUUCAUGCUAGAAUUGUAUUAACCGGAAACAUAAUACAUGUGUGAAUACAUAGACCAACAGAGUGUCACUAGUAUGCCUCUACUUGACUAGCUCGUUAAUCAAAGAUGGUUAUGUUUCCUAACCAUGAACAAAGAGUUGUUAUUUGUUUAACGAGGUCACAUCAUUAGUAGAAUGAUCUGAUUGACAUGACCCAAUCCAUUAGCUUAGCACCCGAUCGUUUAGUAAGUUGCUAUUGCUUUCUUCAUGACUUAUACAUGUUCCUAUAACUAUGAGAUUAUGCAACUCCCGUUUACCGGAGGAACACUUUGGGUACUACCAAACGUCACAACGUAACUGGGUGAUUAUAAAGGAGUAUUACAGGUGUCUCCAAUGGUAGAUGUUGGGUUGGCGUAUUUCGAGAUUAGGGUUUGUCACUCCGAUUGACGGAGAGGUAUCUCUGGGCCCUCUCGGUAAUACACAUCACAUAAGCCUUGCAAGCACUGCAACUAAUAAGUUAGUUGUGAGAUGAUGUAUUACGGAACGAGUAAAGAGACUUGCCGGUAACGAGAUUGAACUAGGUAUUGGAUACCGACGAUCGAAUCUCGGGCAAGUAACAUACCGAUGACAAAGGGAACAACGUAUGUUGUUAUGCGGUCUGACCGAUAAAGAUCUUUGUAGAAUAUGUAGGAGCCAAUAUGGGCAUCCAGGUCCCGCUAUUGGUUAUUGACCGGAAGCGUGUCUCGGUCAUGUCUACAUUGUUCUCGAACCGUAGGGUCCGCACGCUUAACGUUACGAUGACAGUUAUUAUGAGUUUAUGCAUUUUGAUGUACCGAAGGUUGUUCGGAGUCCCGGAUGAGAUCACGGACAUGACGAGGAGUCUCGAAAUGGUCGAGACGUAAAGAUUGAUAUAUUGGAAGCCUAUGUUUGGGCACCGGAAGCGUUCCGGGUGAAAUCGGGAUUUUACCGGAAUACCGGGAGGGUUACCGGAACCCCCCGGGAGACUAAUGGGCCUAUUGGGCCUUAGUGGAAAAGAGAAAAGGGAAGCCCACUAGCUGGCCAGCGCCCCCCUAGAGUCCUAUUAGGAAUAGGACAAGGGGCCGGCCCCCCUUCUCUCUCUUUUUCCCCGGGAGUCCUAAUAGGAUUAGGAUUAGGGGGAGGAGUCCUACUCCCGGUGGGAGUAGGACUCCCCUGCGCCUCCUCUCUCCUAGCCGGCCGAACCCCCUGCCCCUGGCCUUUUAUAUACGGGGGCAGGGGGCACCCCAAGACACACAACUUGAUCCUUGAGAUCGUUCCUUAGCCGUGUGCGGUGCCCCCUGCCACCAAAUUCCACCUCGAUCGUACCGUUGUAGUGCUUAGGCGAAGCCCUGCGUCAGUAGUACAUCAAGAUCGUCAACACGCCAUCGUGCUGACGGAACUCUUCCUCGACGCUUUGCUGGAUCGGAGCCCGAGGAACGUCAUCGAGCUGAACGUGUGCUAAGAACUCGGAGGUACCGGAGUAACGGUGCUUGGAUCGGUCGGAUCGGGAAGAAGACGUACGACUACUUCCUCUACGUUGUGUGAUCGCUUCCGCAGUCGGUCUGCGUUGGUACGUAGACAACACUCUCCUCUCUCGUUGCUGUGCAUCACCAUGAUCUUGCGUGUGCGUAGGAAAAUUUUUGAAAUUACUGCGUUACCGAACAGUGGCAUCUGAGCCUGGUUUUAUGGUUUGAUGUUAUAUGCACGAGUAGAACACAAGUGAGUUGUGGGCGAUACAAGUCAGACUGCCUACCAGCAUGUCAUACUUUGGUUCGGCGGUAUUGUUGGUUGAGACGAUCCGGACCAACCUUACGCGUACUCUUACGCGAGACCGGUUCCCUCGACGUGCUUUGCACAUAGAUGGCUUGCGGAAGACUGUCUCUCCAACUUUAGUUGAACCAAGUGUGACUACGCCCGGUCCUUGAGAAGGUUAAAACAGAGUCUAUUUGACGAACUAUCGUUGUGGUUUUGAUGCGUAGGUGAGAUGAGUUCUUACUUAAGCCCGUAGCAGCCACGUAAAACUUGCAACAACAAAGUAGAGGACGUCUAACUUGUUUUUGCAGUGUAUGUUGUGAUGUGAUAUGGUCAAGGCAUGAUGCUGAUUUUAUUGUAUGAGAUGAUCAUGUUUUGUAACUAAGUUAUCGGCAACUGGCAGGAGCCAUAUGGUUGUCGCUUUAUUGUAUGCAAUGCAAUCGCGAUGUAAUGCUUUACUAGAUUACUAAACGGUAGUAAUAGUCGUGGAAGCAUAAGAUUGGCAAGACGACAACGAUGCUACGAUGGAGAUCAAAGUGUCGCGCCGGUGACGAUGGUGAUCAUGACGGUGCUUCGGAGAUGGAGAUCACAAGCACAAGAUGAUGAUGGCCAUAUCAUAUCACUUAUAUUGAUUGCAUGUGAUGUUUAUCCUUUUAUGCAUCUUAUCUUGCUUUGAUUGACGGUAGCAUUAUAAGAUGAUCUCUCACUAAAUUAUCAAGAAGUGUUCUCCCUGAGUAUGCACCGUUGCCAAAGUUCGUCGUGCCCAGACACCACGUGAUGAUCGGGUGUGAUAAGCUCUACGUCCAUCUACAACGGGUGCAAGCCAGUUUUGCACACGCAGAAUACUCAGGUUAUACUUGACGAGCCUAGCAUAUGCAGAUAUGGCCUCGGAACACAGAGACCGAAAGGUCGAGCGUGAAUCAUAUAGUAGAUAUGAUCAACAUAACGAUGUUCACCAUUGAAAACUACUCCAUCUCACGUGAUGAUCGGUUAUGGUUUAGUUGCUUUGGAUCACGUGAUCACUUAGAAGAUUAGAGGGAUGUCUAGCUAAGUGGGAGUUCCUAAGUAAUUUGAUUAACUGAACUUAAACUUAUCAUGAACUUAGUACCUGAUAGUAUCUUGCUUGUUUAUGUUGCUUGUAGAUAGAUGGCUCGUGCUAUUGUUCCGUUGAAUUUUAAUGCGUUCCUUGAGAAAGCAAAGUUGAAAGAUGAUGGUAGCAAUUACACGGACUGGGUCUGUAACCUGAGGAUUAUCCUCAUUGCUGCACAGAAGAAUUACGUCCUGGAAGCACCGCUGGGUGACAGGCCUGCUGCUGGAGCAACGCCAGAUGUUAUGAACGUCUGGCAGAGCAAAGCUGAUGACUACUCGAUAGUUCAGUGUGCCAUGCUUUACGGCUUAGAAUCGGGACUUCAACGACGUUUUGAACGUCAUGGAGCAUAUGAGAUGUUCCAGGAGUUGAAGUUAAUAUUUCAAGCAAAUGCCCGAAUUGAGAGAUAUGAAGUCUCCAAUAAGUUCUAUAGCUGUAAGAUGGAGGAGAACAGUUCUGUCAGUGAGCAUAUACUCAAAAUGUCUGGGUAUAAUAAUCACUUGAUUCAGAUGGGAGUUAAUCUUCCAGAUGAUUGCAUCAUUGACAGAAUUCUCCAAUCACUACCACCAAGCUACAAGAGCUUCGUGAUGAACUAUAAUAUGCAAGGGAUGAACAAGACUAUUCCCGAGCUCUUCGCAAUGCUGAAAGCUGCGGAGGUAGAAAUCAAAAAGGAGCAUCAAGUGUUGAUGGUUAGCAAGACCACUAGUUUCAAGAAAAAGGGUAAAGGGAAGAAGAAGGGAAACUUCAAGAAGAACAGCAAGCAAGUUGCUGCUCAAGAGAAGAAACCCAAGUCUGGACCUAAGCCUGAAGCUGAGUGCUUCUACUGCAAGCAGACUGGUCACUGGAAGCGGAACUGCCCCAAGUAUUUGGCGGAUAAGAAGGAUGGCAAAGUGAGCAAAGGUAUAUGUGAUAUACAUGUUAUUGAUGUGUACCUUACUAGAGCUCGCAGUAGCACCUGGGUAUUUGAUACUGGUUCUGUUGCUAAUAUUUGCAACUCGAAACAGGGACUACGGAAUAAGCGGACACUAGCAAAGGACGAGGUGACGAUGCGCGUGGGAAACGGUUCCAAAGUCGAUGUGAUCGCGGUCGGCACGCUGCCUCUACAUCUACCUUCGGGAUUAAUAUUAGACCUAAAUAAUUGUUAUUUGGUGCCAGCGUUGAGCAUGAACAUUAUAUCUGGAUCUUGUUUAAUGCGAGACGGUUAUUCAUUUAAAUCAGAGAAUAAUGGUUGUUCUAUUUAUAUGAAUAAUAUCUUUUAUGGUCAUGCACCUUUGAAGAGUGGUCUAUUCUUGUUGAAUCUCGAAGAUAGUGAUACACAUAUUCAUAAUGUAGAAGCCAAAAGAUGCAAAGUUAAUAAUGAUAGUGCAACUUAUUUGUGGCACUGCCGUUUAGGUCAUAUCGGUGUAAAGCGCAUGAAGAAACUCCAUACUGAUGGGCUUUUGGAAUCACUUGAUUAUGAAUCACUUGGUACUUGCGAACCGUGCCUCAUAGGCAAGAUGACUAAAACACCGUUCUCCGGUACUAUGGAGAGAGCAACAGAUUUGUUGGAAAUCAUACAUACCGAUGUAUGUGGUCCGAUGAAUAUUGAGGCUCGCGGCGGAUAUCGUUAUUUUUCACCUUCACAGAUGAUUUAAGCAGAUAUGGGUAUAUCUACUUAAUGAAACACAAGUCUGAAACAUUUGAAAAGUUCAAGGAAUUUCAGAGUGAAGUUGAAAAUCAUCGUAACAAGAAAAUAAAAUUUCUACGAUCUGAUCGUGGAGGAGAAUAUUUGAGUUACGAGUUUGGUGUACAUUUGAAAAAUUGUGGAAUAGUUUCGCAACUCACGCCACCCGGAACACCACAGCGUAAUGGUGUGUCCGAACGUCGUAAUCGUACUUUACUAGAUAUGGUGCGAUCAAUGAUGUCUCUUACUGAUUUACCGCUAUCGUUUUGGGGUUAUGCUUUAGAGACGGCCGCAUUCACGUUAAAUAGGGCACCAUCAAAAUCCGUUGAGACGACGCCUUAUGAACUAUGGUUUGGCAAGAAACCAAAGUUGUCGUUUCUCAAAGUUUGGGGCUGCGAUGCUUAUGUGAAAAAGCUUCAACCUGAUAAGCUCGAACCCAAAGCGGAGAAAUGUGUCUUCAUAGGAUACCCAAAGGAAACUGUUGGGUAUACCUUCUAUCACAGAUCCGAAGGCAAGACAUUCGUUGCUAAGAAUGGAUCAUUUCUAGAGAAGGAGUUUCUCUCGAAAGAAGUGAGUGGGAGGAAAGUAGAACUUGACGAGGUAACUAUACCUGCUCCCUUAUUGGAAAGUAGUACAUCACAGAAAACUGUUUCUGCGACACCUAUACCAAUCAGUGAGAAAGCUAAUGAUGAUGAUCAUGAAGCUUCAGAACAAGAUACUACUGAACCACGUAGAUCAACCAGAGUGAGAUCCGCACCAGAGUGGUACGGUAAUCCACUUCUGGAAGUCAUGAUGCUAGAUCAUGAUGAACCUACGAACUAUGAAGAAGCGAUGGUGAGCCCAGAUUCCGCAAAGUGGCUUGAGGCCAUGAAAUCUGAGAUGGGAUCCAUGUAUGAGAACAAAGUAUGGACUUUGGUUGACUUGCCCGAUGAUCGGCAAGCAAUUGAGAAUAAAUGGAUCUUCAAGAAAAAGACUGACGCUGACGGUAAUGUUACUGUCUAUAAAGCUCGACUUGUCGCAAAAGGUUUUCGACAAGUUCAAGGGGUUGACUACGAUGAGACUUUCUCACCCGUAGCGAUGCUUAAAUCCGUCAGAAUUAUGUUAGCAAUUGCCGCAUUUUAUAAUUAUGAAAUAUGGCAGAUGGAUGUCAAAGCUGCAUUCCUGAAUGGAUUUCUGGAAGAAGAGUUGUAUAUGGUACAACCAGAAGGUUUUGUCGAUCCAAAAGGAGCUAACAAAGUAUGCAAACUCCAGCGAUCCAUUUAUGGACUGGUGCAAGCAUCUCGGAGUUGGAAUAAACGCUUUGAUAGUGUGAUCAAAGCAUUUGGCUUUAUACAGACUUUUGGAGAAGCCUGUAUUUACAAGAAAGUGAGUGGGAGCUCUGUAGCAUUUCUGAUAUUAUAUGUGGAUGACAUAUUGCUGAUUGGAAAUGAUAUAGAAUUUUUGGAUAGCAUAAAGGGAUACUUGAAUAAAAGUUUUUCGAUGAAAGACCUUGGGGAAGCUGCUUACAUAUUAGGCAUAAAGAUCUAUAGAGAUAGAUCAAAACGCUUAAUUGGACUUUCACAGAGCACAUACCUUGACAAGAUUUUGAAGAAAUUCAAAAUGGAUCAAGCAAAGAAAGGGUUCUUGCCUGUGUUACAAGGUGUGAAGUUGAGUAAGACUCAAUGCCCGACCACUGCAGAAGAUAGAGAGAAAAUGAAAGAUGUUACCUAUGCUUCAGCCAUAGGCUCUAUCAUGUAUGCAAUGCUGUGUACCAGACCUGAUGUGUGCCUUGCUAUAAGUUUAGCAGGGAGGUACCAAAGUAAUCCUGGAAUGGAUCACUGGACAGCGGUCAAGAACAUCCUAAAAUACCUGAAAAGGACUAAGGAUAUGUUUCUCGUAUAUGGAGGUGACAAAGAGCUCACCGUAAGAGGUUACGUUGAUGCAAGCUUUGACACUGAUCCGGACGAUUCUAAAUCGCAAACCGGAUACGUGUUUACUUUAAACGGUGGAGCUGUCAGUUGGUGCAGUUCUAAACAAAGCGUCGUAGCGGGAUCUACAUGUGAAGCGGAGUACAUAGCCGCUUCGGAAGCAGCGAACGAAGGAGUCUGGAUGAAGGAGUUCAUAUCCGAUCUAGGUGUCAUACCUAGUGCAUCGGGUCCAAUGAAAAUCUUCUGUGACAAUACUGGUGCAAUUGCCUUGGCAAAGGAAUCCAGAUUUCACAAGAGGACCAAACACAUCAAGAGACGCUUCAACUCCAUCCGGGAUUUAGUCCAGGUGGGAGACAUAGAGAUUUGCAAGAUACAUACGGAUCUGAAUGUUCCAGACCCGUUGACUAAGCCUCUUCCACGAGCAAAACAUGAUCAGCACCAAGGCUCCAUGGGUGUUAGAAUCAUUACUGUAUAAUCUAGAUUAUUGACUCUAGUGCAAGUGGGAGACUGAAGGAAAUAUGCCCUAGAGGCAAUAAUAAAGUUAUUAUUUAUUUCCUUAUAUCAUGAUAAGAGUUUAUUAUUCAUGCUAGAAUUGUAUUAACCGGAAACAUAAUACAUGUGUGAAUACAUAGACCAACAGAGUGUCACUAGUAUGCCUCUACUUGACUAGCUCGUUAAUCAAAGAUGGUUAUGUUUCCUAACCAUGAACAAAGAUUUGUUAUUUGUUUAACGAGGUCACAUCAUUAGUAGAAUGAUCUGAUUGACAUGACCCAAUCCAUUAGCUUAGCACCCGAUCGUUUAGUAAGUUGCUAUUGCUUUCUUCAUGACUUAUACAUGUUCCUAUAACUAUGAGAUUAUGCAACUCCCGUUUACCGGAGGAACACUUUGGGUACUACCAAACGUCACAACGUAACUGGGUGAUUAUAAAGGAGUAUUACAGGUGUCUCCAAUGGUAGAUGUUGGGUUGGCGUAUUUCGAGAUUAGGGUUUGUCACUCCGAUUGACGGAGAGGUAUCUCUGGGCCCUCUCGGUAAUACACAUCACAUAAGCCUUGCAAGCACUGCAACUAAUAAGUUAGUUGUGAGAUGAUGUAUUACGGAACGAGUAAAGAGACUUGCCGGUAACGAGAUUGAACUAGGUAUUGGAUACCGACGAUCGAAUCUCGGGCAAGUAACAUACCGAUGACAAAGGGAACAACGUAUGUUGUUAUGCGGUCUGACCGAUAAAGAUCUUCGUAGAAUAUGUAGGAGCCAAUAUGGGCAUCCAGGUCCCGCUAUUGGUUAUUGACCGGAAGCGUGUCUCGGUCAUGUCUACAUUGUUCUCGAACCGUAGGGUCCGCACGCUUAACGUUACGAUGACAGUUAUUAUGAGUUUAUGCAUUUUGAUGUACCGAAGGUUGUUCGGUGUCCCGGAUGAGAUCACGGACAUGACGAGGAGUCUCGAAAUGGUCGAGACGUAAAGAUUGAUAUAUUGGAAGCCUAUGUUUGGGCACCGGAAGCGUUCCGGGUGAAAUCGGGAUUUUACCGGAAUACCGGGAGGGUUACCGGAACCCCCCGGGAGACUAAUGGGCCUAUUGGGCCUUAGUGGAAAAGAGAAAAGGGAAGCCCACUAGCUGGCCGGCGCCCCCUAGAGUCCUAUUAGGAAUAGGACAAGGGGCCGGCCCCCCUUCUCUCUCUUUUUCCCCGGGAGUCCUAAUAGGAUUAGGAUUAGGGGGAGGAGUCCUACUCCCGGUGGGAGUAGGACUCCCCUGCGCCUCCUCUCUCCUCGCCGGCCGAACCCCCUGCCCCUGGCCUUUAUAUACGGGGGCAGGGGGCACCCCAAGACACACAACUUGAUCCUUGAGAUCGUUCCUUAGCCGUGUGCGGUGCCCCCUGCCACCAAAUUCCACCUCGAUCGUACCGUUGUAGUGCUUAGGCGAAGCCCUGCGUCGGUAGUACAUCAAGAUCGUCAUCACGCCGUCGUGCUGACGGAACUCUUCCUCGACGCUUUGCUGGAUCGGAGCCCGAGGAACGUCAUCGAGCUGAACGUGUGCUAAGAACUCGGAGGUACCGGAGUAACGGUGCUUGGAUCGGUCUGAUCGGGAAGAAGACGUACGACUACUUCCUCUACGUUGUGUGAUCGCUUCCGCAGUCGGUCUGCGUUGGUACGUAGACAACACUCUCCUCUCUCGUUGCUGUGCAUCACCAUGAUCUUGCGUGUGCGUAGGAAAUUUUUUGAAAUUACUGCGUUACCCAACAACCCACCUGUCAUACUCUGUUAGGUUAAUUAGGGUUUAGUUAAUUGAUUAGGCUAAUCUAAUCAGGAUUACUUUGUUUAAGUAAUUCUUCAAUUAAUUAAUUAUCAUUUUAACUAAUUUAAUUAUUAUUUAUUAAUUCAUUCAUUUUUUUAAAUUAUUAUUUUUAUUUCGUUCUCGUUUCAGGGGGGCGUGGGGCCCCGCACACGGGGCCACCGCGGGGCUGUUGCCAGCGGGCGCUGGGGCGCUGGGUGCGGGCGCACCCGAGCGGGCACUCGCCCGCAGGGCGGGACGAGGCUGCCGAGGCAUCGACAGCGGGGCAAGCCNNNNNNNNNNNNNNNNNNNNNNNNNNNNNNNNNNNNNNNNNNNNNNNNNNNNNNNNNNNNNNNNNNNNNNNNNNNNNNNNNNNNNNNNNNNNNNNNNNNNNNNNNNNNNNNNNNNNNNNNNNNNNNNNNNNNNNNNNNNNNNNNNNNNNNNNNNNNNNNNNNNNNNNNNNNNNNNNNNNNNNNNNNNNNNNNNNNNNNNNNNNNNNNNNNNNNNNNNNNNNNNNNNNNNNNNNNNNNNNNNNNNNNNNNNNNNNNNNNNNNNNNNNNNNNNNNNNNNNNNNNNNNNNNNNNNNNNNNNNNNNNNNNNNNNNNNNNNNNNNNNNNNNNNNNNNNNNNNNNNNNNNNNNNNNNNNNNNNNNNNNNNNNNNNNNNNNNNNNNNNNNNNNNNNNNNNNNNNNNNNNNNNNNNNNNNNNNNNNNNNNNNNNNNNNNNNNNNNNNNNNNNNNNNNNNNNNNNNNNNNNNNNNNNNNNNNNNNNNNNNNNNNNNNNNNNNNNNNNNNNNNNNNNNNNNNNNNNNNNNNNNNNNNNNNNNNNNNNNNNNNNNNNNNNNNNNNNNNNNNNNNNNNNNNNNNNNNNNNNNNNNNNNNNNNNNNNNNNNNNNNNNNNNNNNNNNNNNNNNNNNNNNNNNNNNNNNNNNNNNNNNNNNNNNNNNNNNNNNNNNNNNNNNNNNNNNNNNNNNNNNNNNNNNNNNNNNNNNNNNNNNNNNNNNNNNNNNNNNNNNNNNNNNNNNNNNNNNNNNNNNNNNNNNNNNNNNNNNNNNNNNNNNNNNNNNNNNNNNNNNNNNNNNNNNNNNNNNNNNNNNNNNNNNNNNNNNNNNNNNNNNNNNNNNNNNNNNNNNNNNNNNNNNNNNNNNNNNNNNNNNNNNNNNNNNNNNNNNNNNNNNNNNNNNNNNNNNNNNNNNNNNNNNNNNNNNNNNNNNNNNNNNNNNNNNNNNNNNNNNNNNNNNNNNNNNNNNNAGUGGCCCAGUGGGGGGGGGGGUUGUUUUAUUCCUUUCCCUUUUAUACCUUUUCACACUUUUCUUCUUUUGUUUUAUUUUAGUUACACGUUAAUUUUAAUUUUAGACAAAUAUAUCUAUAGCCCCUAAAAUAAUGUUUCAGAACAAUCCACUACUAUAAAAAGUUUUACCCUGAUAAAAUAGUCUAGUAUUUUAUAAAAUACCAAAGUCGUUUAAAUAGUUGUUUAGCUACUAUUUAAAUCAUUUUAGUGCUUUAAAUCAUUUUACUAAAAUGUGGUUCCUCCACCAUUUGGACUUAGGAUUUAUUUGUCCCAUUUUGAACAUUUUAGUCUUGACGUUUGAAGAAUUUACCGUUUGACUCGAUUUUGAAUUUGAAUUUGAAUCGGUGUCGAACUAACACGAGAUUAGCAACAGUAACCAUCAUGACGUGGCAUCAUUAACAGAGGUUUACUGUAUCUCAAAUACCCGGGCGUCACAAUGUGCCUAAUAUUGCAGGAGAUGAGGUGGCUCUGGCUGCAUUAAAAUUUUUAGCCCAAAAUAAGAAGAUUAGUGAUAUUUUCCUUGAGCAACACGACAAGGGAUUGGUUCCUCAUUAUGAGGCAAUAAUAGCUAGGGUUUUGAAAGAAGACCAAGUGUUGCCGAUUGAUCAAAUUGUCGAGAGAAAAUAUUCAACAAUGAUGCAGAUGCCUUCACCUAUCAUUGCAACAUGUUAUACACCCCCUGUACAAGCGCAAAAUUUCGGCAACAUCAAUUCAUUGCCGAAAGAUCCUAAAAGUAUUGGGGGGCAAGCCGAUCCAAGCAGGGUUGAGUUUAAAGAAAAAUAUCUAGCCCAGGUGGACAAGAUCAAGCCAAAGCUCACAGGGAAUAGAGUCAACGAAUUUACUACACCUACCCUUGAGGAAUUACCAGCAGAAUAUCAACAGGCCUACGAAGCACUCAAGAAGAAACGUGGAGAGAGAUAUUUGCAAGAAUACGUCAAGUGCCUUCCUCCAUGUAGCAACCAUGUUGGCCCUUCUACACUAUUGAGGCAAGAUAAAAAAGAAGCUUUGCAAGCAAACCAGCAAAAAAGGAUUCACUCGGCUAAUACGGUGGAUUCGGUUGAAACCGGAUUGAGCAACAGGAUGUUUAAGGCCGAGUGCGUUGCAUCGUGCCAGCCGAGUGCAUCGUUCCAGACGAGUGCAUCACCAGCUAAAGCCGAGUGCAUCAAGCCAACUAUUGCCUCGUGUACGAAAAUAGAAGAUGCAAGCUUGGCUGAGCAAAGGAACGACAAACGCAACAAAUUGGUUGUGCUCGAUUUUUCUGGAUGUAAGGGAGCUUACAUGCUACCUUAUGAGUUUCAUGCUAAAGAUAUUGAUGAGCAUCAAGAACACAGUAAUGGCUGAACACAGUUCAGUUAACGAUGAACAUCAAGACCAAGAAAAUGCGGCCGAGCAAAGUUCAACUGACAAAGAGCGUCCGAGUGAAAUCCACUCGGGCAAUCCGACUGAAAUAUACUCGGGCAAUUCAAGUGAAAUAUACUCGGGCAACCUGAGUGAUGAGGCACCAGAUCCAGAAAAAGAGGAAGAGGCAUUGGAGAAUUAUUCAGAAGUGGAGCAAUGUAUUGUUCCAGUGGUACAACCAUCUUCUCCUUCCAACGUCUUCACAAAGGUACACCUAGCAGAUAGUUUACUCAAUUUUCGAUUUGGUCAAAAUCAUAUUGUUGAUGCACCUAUUAGUAAGAUUCUAAUUAAUUUUGAAAGACCAAUUGAAAUGAGUAAUCUUUUUGUUAGGAAGGAUCUUGUCACUAAUCAUGAUAGUCAACACAUGGUAUCGUUCAUAGAGGUUAAUAGUGACAACUUAUCAAAACCAAAGUUGUUCUUGUCAUGCCAACUGAACUUUGUAUUCAUAUGGACAACUUUGUUUGUUUCAUGCCUAGCUAACAUUUGGACUCCUAUGAGCCGUAUAUUCUGUAAUUAUUUUAGUUGCAGAAACAUAAAGUCAGGUCCAAAGUCCUUCGAAGCCGAUUCAAAUGCAUCAGGAAAAGAAGAUGAAUCUUUCCCAAUUGAUAAAAUUGGCGAGCAAAAAUAUGGUUUUACAACAAUGCAUAUGCCUUCACCUAAUACUACAUCAUAUUAUACAGCCCCUACACAAUUGCAAAGUUUCGGCAACACCCAUGUGCCAUUGCCGAAAGAAUCUAAAAGCAAUGGGGGACAAUCGUAUCCGAAGUGGGCUGAAAAUGAGAAAAAGAUUAAAGCCAAUUUCGCCGCUCGCCGGCAGAAACAAAAAGAAACAGAAUUGGCUCAAGUGAAAGAAGCAUUGCCAAUUGGUAGAAGCAAUGUAAAGAAAGAUGAUUCAGAACAUGAAAGUACUAAGGUUAAAAGAGCCGAAUCAAGGAGUAUAUAUUCUGAAUCCAUCAAAUGCAAAGAGGCAAGCAUUAUUGAGAAAGGGCAUGGCAAGCAUAGCAAAGCGACCAUACUUGAUUUUUCUAAAGUUAAUGGAACCUACUUCCUGCCCUAUGAGUUUUGUGCCAGAGAAAUUGAUGAACUUCAAGGACAAGAAUAAGUAGCCGAACAAAGUUCGGCCGACAAAAAUCUUCAAUGUAAUGAUGCACGAAAUCAACAAAAAGAUGAUGAAGAAGCGUUGGGGAGCCAUCCAAAGGCGGAGCAAGAUAUUGUUCAAGUCACACCACCAUCGUGCUCUCCCAACAUAUUUGAAGAGGUAUGUUUAGCAAGUAAUUUACCUAUUUUCAGAUUUGGUCAGGACUUUAUUGUUGAUGCAUCUAUUAGAAAAAUCCUCAUAAGUAAUUUUGAAAGACCAAUGAAGCAGGGUAAUUUACUUGCUAGCAAUAAAGUUGUUAUUGAGCAUAUCGGUCAACCCAUUACGCCAUUUAUAAAGACCGAUAGUGACUUAUUAUUACAGCCAAAGUUUUCCCCGUUGCUUUAUCUAAAGUUCAUAUCUAUUUGGGUAGCUUUGCUUAUUUCAUACUUGGCUUGCACUUGGUCCCAAUUGAGACAUGUGUGUUCUAACUAUUUUCGUUUUAGAAAUUUAAAGCCAAGAUUAAAUUCUGUUGAGAAAACCGAUGCUAGUAUAAUAUCUUACCCAAAGACAUCGGAGAUAGAUUGCAAAACACAAUGCAUAGCCGAAUGGUGUGAUGCAAAAUCUGAACCAUUCGUUUGCUUCAUUCCGAAGCCGUUCUCACAGCAAGAUCGGCUAGAAAACAAGAAGUAUACCUUCAAUUCAAGCAUGUGUGUUCAAAUAUUUGAUUUGUUGCUGAAAAAUAAUUACAUUACAAUUCUUGAUCACCAUGUUAAGCCAUCAAUCCAAGGACGAAUGUAUUGUAAGUUGCAUGAUUCGUCCAAGCAUAAUUUUGAGGAUUGCAACAUGUUUCGUCAAAUAGUUAAAUCGGCCAUUGAAAAAGGACGAUUGAAGUUUGUUGAAACACCAAGAGAUGACCAGUCUAUUCCGAUUGGUCCCGAUGGCAAAAAGUUUUUGCAUCGACUGCUUCAAGCCGAUCCAUUUAAAGAGAAGGUAAAAACUGCAGGUGAUGGGAUCAAGCUUUCAAGUAAAGAAGUUGUUGAAGAGCAUAAUGAACAUAAUCUUGAGGGUGAGAAUUCCAUCCAAGCUACAAUGGAGACGCCAAGGACUGGGGGGCAGCAAGCAAAUCCAACGAUCGAUGAAAGAAAACCAAAAGAAAACAAAGGCCGAAAUAAGCGCAAGUGUAAAAGAUCAAAAAUCACCUUCGAUGAACUAUUUGAGAAAUAUCAAAAGAAGAGUGAAGAGAAGAAUGCUUAUCGGCCCAAUCAUGCAAAGAAACCAAGAUCACCCCCAAGGCGCAAAUAUGAGGAUCGGUAUUGGCAAUGUGAGAGUUUCAAUGCAACAUAUUCAUAUCCUUAUUUUGGGCCGCCAAUGCCAAUGCCGUGGAUGCCUCCCUAUGCUCAUGUAGAUCCAUAUUCAUCAUGGGACAGGUAUGAUACAAGGGCACAUUCUCCAUCUUAUUUUAGACCAUCUCACCAAUAUUAUGCAGCUCCGAGAAGAUCAACAUUUGAACAGUCACAUGUUAAAGACCGUUUCAAUUAUAAGGAAUCGGUCCGGACACCAUGGAUGAAAAAAGAGGUGGUCAAGCAAGUCUACCGCGUGAAACUAUGAAGGACCGAGCCGAAGGAUUCAACAUCUUUGGUCUACACAUUAUCCAAAUUCUUCAACUAUGUCGUUAACGCCUAUGCCAUGGAAUUCGUCAUCAGGUAUGAUCGGUAACCCUCAAUGGGCUUAUUUUAAUCCAUGGAUGCAAUAUAAUUUCUUACGUCAUGAAAGGGUAUUACCAAGUCACUAUACAUUUGAUUAGCUACAAGUUUGUUGCUGAUCCAAAGGGCCGAAAUACUUGAUUUGUCAUUUCAUUUGUUUAUUUCGGCUAUAUGUGCUUUGAAUGAAGUUUAGAUGGUAAUGGCCGAUGAUAUUUAUCUAUCGUCCUAAGAGUAUGUCAAUGCAUGGCAGGUGUAGUAUUCUAAUAUCGUCCUUAGUUUGAUUGGUGAGCGAGACAAUGUACAUGCUCAUGAAAAUUUAUAUGUAUGCCUAUAUUAUGAUUGAAUGGAGUUGAGACAUCAUGACCGAUGUCAUUGAAUAUAUGCUGCAUAGACCAAUUCAUAGCUGCGGAAUUGGUUGAUGGGCUUAUACUUUGUUUGGAUAUGAUUUGGCUUAUGCAUCUUUGAGAUCUAUAAGAGGCCAAAUCAUAGUUGAUUUUGUUACUGAACAUCGGAUUAGUGUCAUGCAUAAUAUUAAUAUUAGCCUUGUCUCUCUAGUACUAUGGAGAUUAUGUUUUGAUGGUUCAAUUCAUAGCAAUGGCCAAAGUGUUGGUGUUGUUUAUAUAUUUCUUUAUGGUACUAUUUUUUGAAGCCUCGUGCCGCUUAGAAUAUUUUUAUGCACGAUUAAUCAAGGCCGAAUAUGCAUUGUUAUUCGGAUUGACUCUUUUACUUGCUAUAGGUGUUAUACAUAUUGAGGCUUUUGGUGAUUCGUUCUGAGUAGUGCAACAAAUAUCCAAGGAUUAUCAAUGUGUUUUACCGAAUCACUUAUAGUUUAUCUUGGGCUAUGUCUAGAUGAAGAAUUUACCUUGGGUUGCAUUCAAAUUGUUCAUAUAUUUAGACAUGGCAAUUGGAGAGAGUUGGCAUAGCAAGCAUCCGGCUACCAUGUCCAUCAUGUUGUAUUGCAUUUCUCUCAAUAGCCGAUGCUUAGUCUUGUCAACAUAGGUAAGGUCGAACCGAAGUCCAGAACUUCGGCCACUAAUGAAAUUUUUAUGCAGGCCAAAGUAAGGAUUGGAGAAAGUUUAUUGUUGAUUGUCUACAAAAUCCUAGCAAAAGGGUGAACAAUAUGGUUCGGAGGAUGACAUUGAGAUACAUAUCUAUGGAACUUUAUCACCGGAUUGUUAAUGAAGCUGAGAAGGUUUCACCCGAGUUUGCAUCAGAAAGUUCACACAAGACAUGGCCGAUAUAUACUUAUCGUCCUAAGAACAUAUAAAUGGCCGAUGGAGUGUUGACAUCGUCCUUAGAACAAACUUGGUACAAGUAUUUUUCGACACGCUAGGUUUACCGAAAAACAGUGGGGCAUGUGUUGACGCUCAAAAGUGGCACGAUCAUAAAGCAGCAUGCUGGGGCGAAAACCUUGCCGGGGUAAAAUCUUGCCGGUGUGAAAGCUUGCCGGUGUGAAAGCUUGCCGGUGUGAAGGCUUGCCGGCGUGGAAAGCUUGCCGGCACAGAAAGAUCGCCGGUGCUUGCCGGUGUGAAAUCUUGCCGAGGGAGAAACCUUGUCAGGAAGGAACCCUUGCCGGAGUACAAACCUUGCCGGAGUGAAACCUUGCCUGUGUGAAAGCUUGCCGGGUAGAAACAUUGCCGGUGUGGAAAGCUUACUCGGACGGAAAACUUGCCGGGUUGGAGGCUGUGAUAGUCAAUCGAACGAGAAGUUGAAGAUGGGCUCAAAAGGUUAUUCAGAUGAUCUCGGAUGGAAAAAUGAUCUACACGGGUUGUCUUCGUCUCGUCGAAACGAUCGAUUUUGGUAUAAAAAUCAUUCAAAUUCGAGUUUGUAUGCAAAAGUUAGAGCAAUCGGAGUGCAGCCCUGUCACGAGGCGAGAUGUGGCGUGCCCCACCAGACACAUGUCUGACGGGUAGUGCGAGGAAAUAGCCUGUGUUGCGAGACCGAUCUGACCCUCAAGAUGAUCUCUGAUCAAAACACCUUCAACAUGAAAGCUGUUCGUCUCGUCGAAACGGUCAAGAUUGCUUUUGGGCUUGUUUUCAUCCGGGAUCGUUUACCACUGCCAAAAAGACCCGCAAUGUGCAGCCAGUUUAAACCGAACAGUUUUGGAAAGUUCAGAUAAACCAGUCCGAAUUUGACUAGGGUUUUGUACGUGAAUUGAUGUAAUUUUCUUGUAAGGAAAGCCGAGAUAAAUUCUUUGCUUGUACGGGAAGUCCAGCCGCCUCUUAUAUAUGUUGGGGGUGACGGCCGAUUGAAACAACACACAAUCGAACAAACACAUCUACUACCUUUUCAUGUUCAUCUACUUUUUAUCUCUCCCUUGUAUCUUUCUUCUCGUUCUUCGCUAGUUCUUCAUGCUGGAGGGCUGCGGAUCCACGAGGCUUUAGGGCCUAGCUAGCGAAUCGACCUAGGGCAGCCCAUAGCCGCCGCAAUCCCUGACGGGGUCCCUCUCGGGUGCGCGGGGUUUCGGGUCUGCAAAAGCGCCCGCCGACUGUCUUGCGUAUCGCGCUGUCGGUCGGGUCUCCUUCGACGUGAGCUGCGGUGCAUCACCCCUGGCGUCGAGGAUACAUGUGACGUGUUCGUGUGCGAACAACGUGCUCCCUGGCUCCACCCCAUUGAAAAAAUAUACAUCUGGAGGCUGCUUUGUUUCCUCAUCAAAAAAAACUUACGUUAAAAAGAUUGCAUGCAUCCCAGGAAAAAUAAUCAAGAAGUCGGACUCAUCCUUACAAAAACAAGGAACGUGUUAAGUUGACUUCAAAGAAAAAAGGAACAUGUUAAGUUAAAAAAAACAAGAAACCUGUUAAGUUAGAAAAAAACAAGGAACGUGUUGUCCUAGGAAAGAUAUGUGUCAAAUCUUACAAAAAAAAGAAUACACACACGUACGUUCAUGCACUUGGAAAAUAGAAAAAAAAGAACAUCACGUAUGUAUACACUUUGGAAACUCAUUACAUGACCAUGUCUGAUAUACUCCUCUAAUGCUUAACAUUAGUGCCUAAUAAUUUAUAUUUAAAAUUUAAUUUACUGAUCAAAUAUCCCCACUGUUUAAAUUUUAAUUUGGCACAUUGUUUGACUACAGUAUGAACCUAAAUUUCCUCUUAUUAAUAUAUAUCAUGGUAAUAAUCCAAAGGCGACUAAUCUGCGCCGGUGCACCGGCGCAAUCAAUUUGGCCGGACACAGCGCGGCCUUUUGAUUAGAUUGCAUUUAACCAUCAGAUCUGGAAUCGUUUUCUUUCCAAUUAAACGGAUUCAACCAAACAGCAGAGGGGAAAACAAAGCAGCGCCGCCGCCAACACUAGCCAUGGACGAUCGAUGUACCAAAACCUUGAAUAACUGCCGCCGGUCGCCACCCUCGCCGCUGGUGGCCGCCCUCGCCGUCGGUCACCGCCGAUCACCGCCCUCGCUGCCUGCGUUUCUCAUCGGCUUCAUGCAUGCAACAGCAUGCAGUCGUGGUUGCAGGCUUGCAGCUCCGGCUCCGGGGGACAUGGCCGCAUCUCCGGUAACGCCAGCCGCCGACCGCAGCACCUGUCGUUAUGGUCGCGUUGUACCUCGCCGUGUGCCCUCCCGAGGCUCUUGCUGGUUCCAACAAAAAACAAUACGUGUUGUAGCAAAAAAGUUUAUCGCUUCCAGCAAAAAAGCUUACCGCUACAGCCCGCCAUCGUCAUUGUAGCAAAAAUGUUAACCCGAUGUAGCUUUUGUGGUUGCCGACUGCAACAAAAAAUGACGUGGUUGUAGCAAAACACAAAAGAAAAAUGCCGGCCGGCCGCUGUGUAUGGUGGUAACAAACCCUAUAGCCGGUGGUAGCGAAAAACUUCAUAGUUUGCAGCAAAAAAAUGUUGUCGCCCGUCGUCGAGGUUGCAUCGUCUUCAUGAAUUAUGUCGCAAAAAAACAUUGUCGCCGGUAGUAGCAAAUGAAGCCGCCGGUAGUAGCAAAACAAGACACUGGUUCCAGCCAAAAAAUAAAUCAGCGACAGAACCUUUGGUUGGUUACAACAAAAAAACUUGUCGGUUGUAACAUCCCUCGCCGCCGGAUGUAGCAUCUCCCGGGGCUGGUUGCAACACUCCAUAAAAAAAAUGUUGUCUAUGAGCGCAUCCAUGGCGACUGCUGCACCAUCAGCAACGAGGGGAAGAGGAGGCAAUGAAAAUCGUUCGAGUCGUAGCUCCACAGGACGCGGCUGCAGCAUGGGGAGUCCAAAAAUCUGUCACAAGCAACAUGCGCCUCACCAUCCUCCUGCGCAGGAGAGAGAAGAAAAAGGAAUAAGAGGAAGAAGAAAGGAAACGGGAGGAAGAAAAAAGAAACGAUUGGUGGUGGGCUGAGGCAAUUAGUCAAACGAGGGGCACGCGGGGCCGCAGGAUACAGCGCAAUCGAACGAAGCGCGCGCGUCCGGCCGAAGACUCGGCCGGACUGCCGUCUGGAAACGUUUCCCUAAUCCAAAGGCUUUGUCUGAAUGACAAGUCGUCUGGGUUACCGGCUAACUAGAAAAAAGAUAAAUAUGCUAGAGAAUUUCAUAAUAAUUAGAAAUAUCUAGCCUUUAAUUAUGUAAAUCAGAAAAUCACAACCGUUGGAUUUACUUUAAAGGUAAAUUUCUCUAAAUUCCCACCAUUGCCAGUAUGUAGAAACAUGUGCUGCUUCAAUUCUCCCAUAAUCACCAAUCAAUCAACAACACAAAACAUACCUCAGUUAAAAAAACUGAACAAAAAAAAAGAAAAAA
rnacentral:lncRNA from 1 species